AGAGCUUGGAGAGAAGCCUUACUUCGGCGGUGAAAAAAUUGGGUUUGUGGAUGUGGCUCUGGUGCCCUUCUCUUGCUGGUUUUACGCAUAUGAGAGCUUUGGCAACUUCAGCAUAGAGGCGGAGUGCCCCAAGUUGAUAGCUUGGACCAAGAGGUGCAUGGAAAAGGAGAGCGUGUCGUCUUCUCUUGAAGACCCGCACAAGGUCCAUGGAUAUGUUGUGGGGAUAAGAAAGAAGUAUGGUAUAGAGUAAAAGGGAAACAUCAUGGGCUAUUAAGCAGUGUAGUUUAGUUAAUAUUAUAUAAUAUAUAUGAGUGUUUGGCUGUUUGCUUAAGUUUUUUCUUUGAAAUUGUAUCGUUGAUGAGGGUUGGUGGGUUUGCUGACCAUUCCAUCGUUUCAUGUCACAUAAACAAGUAUUAAAACAAGUUGGAUAAGACAUGCCUCUUGCCUGGAACCUGACAACCUGUUGUACAUCCAUUGGAAAAAAAAAAAGGUACAUAGCGUUAAAACCAAAUAAUAAUGAAAUUGAUCUUAAAACUAAACCUACUUUUUUUUAAUGCCUGAUAGGACAAAGAACAUACAUAUUGUCUUAAUUACUAUCAAAUGACUUGUGUACACUGUACACAACGUUCAUAAAAUGUACCUUUUUUCCUAUAGAAUGAAUGAUGAGUCAUAUACCUAUUCAUAAAUGAUAUACCAUAAUGUGUCAUGCUUAACUAGUACUACAUGAGUAAAGUUAAAGCAACUUGCUCAUGCUUUAUGCUUGUUCCAUAAUUAGAGUCACUUGAACAUGUAACUUAUAAAUAAACAACGGAUAUGUAUAAUAAGUGAAGUGAAACAUUUAUACAAUGUAAAUUUGAUGCGCUUAUGUUUUAAGAUGAUGUACUUAUUUUUCAAUAAGAUGAACCUAUUUUUUCAAAGGAUGUACCUAAGGUUCUAGAAUGAGAAAUGAGAUGUGUGAAGGCCUCAAAAGCAUUCCGAGGCCUAUAAAAGUGAAAGUGCAUGAUAAGAAUAAGCCAAACAAGUCACCUAUACAAUGAAAAUAAUAUGUACCAAUUAUUUUUUAAGGAAGUGUACUUAUUUGCAAUAUGAUGUAUUUAUUUUUUUUAAGGAUAUACCCAAAGUUCUAUGAUGCCAAAGGCCUCAAAUGCAUCUCAAGGCUUAUAAAAGUGAAAACUCAAGCUCAAAAUUCGCCAAAUAAGUUAGUUAUACAAUUUAAAUGCAAUGUAUUUAUUUUUCAGAAGAUGUACAUAUUUUUCAAGACGAUGUACCUAUUUUUCCAAGGGAUAUACCUAAAGUUCUAGGAUAUAGAAUGGGGUGCGGGAAGACCUUAAAUGUACAUCGAGGCCUAUAAAAAUGAAAGCUCAUGUCCAAAAUAGGGCAAAUGAGUCGAGUAUAAUGUACUUAUUUUUUUUAAGAAGAUGUGCUUAUUUUUCAAUACGAUGUAUCCAUUUUUUAAAUUGAUGUACGUAGGGUUCUAGGACGUAGAAUGGGAUAUGUGAAAGCGUCAAAUGUAUCCCAGGCCCAUAAAAGUGAAAGCCCUUGUCCAAUAUAGCUUAUGUCAGUAAAUGCAACCUAGGCCUACAAAAAUGGAAGAUCAUGUCCAAAUUAGUGUAAAUGAGUCACAUACAUAAUAUAUAUAUGGUGUACUUAUUUUUAAAACAAUUCUAAAAAAUAAUUUUUAAAAAUAGUUUUUGAAAUUUGUUUUUUGAUAUUUUGUAAACCAAAAAUUUGUUUUGAAACCUACAAUAUUUUUAAGUUGUUUUCUAUAUUUUAAAAUAUAUUUUAAUAAUAAAUUUUAUAUGUAAUGUUUUAUUUUUAAUCACUCUUCAUGUUUGUAUGCUUACUUUUUAAGUAGUCAUAAAAAACCAAUUGAAGACCACUAAAAUAUAUUUUCAGAAAAUACCAUAUUUUUGUUUUUAAAAUCAAAAACUAUUUUUUGUUUUUUAAUUGUUACAUUUGUUUUCUUGUUUGUUUUUUUUUAAAAUAGAAAAUUAUUUUCGAAAAUAAUUACCAAAUAGAAUCUUAAUCUUUGUCUUUAUCUUUUAAAAGUAAGGAUUGAAAUAUCAGUAAAUAUGGAUAUAUCGAUACUUGGAUUUUAUGGAUAUAUCAGAAAUAUCGGAGAAAUAUCGAUGGAUAUUUUUCAUCAAAUAUCGGUGAGACAAAAAUUAUCCAAAAUUGAUGGGAAUGCUUAGAAAAAUCCAAAGAAUGAUAAAAUAAGCAAGAAUAUACAUGUUAAAGUUAUUUUAUAAGUGUAAUUAACAUAAAUAUGGUCAAAGAAAAAAAUAUCGGUAAACAGUUUACAAUACUUGGAUUUUAAGAAUAGAAAAUAUGAAAUUUGGAAUUGUACACUUAGAAAGUUAGAAUUGAGUUAAGAAAUAUUUGAUUUUAUUAAAUGAAAACAAUUUACACAUAAACAUAAUACAUAUGACAUUGCAAUGGUCCUUAAUACCAAAAUGAAGAUCGAUGUGGUUCCAUCAUAUUGUUAUUGUUAGAUGAAGGGAGUCCAUCUUGUUGAAGACAAUAUUUAUACCAGGACAUGGAGUUUCGAUAGUAUUGAUUGUAUGUAUGAACAUGUCAUGCAUAAAUUUCUUGUGUCCUAUCGACAACCUGUCCAUGGAUGGGAAAUCCAAGGUUUUCCCAUAUGCUCGUUUGAAAUCCUUGUUGUUGUAGCUGAUGUGGAAGAUAGUAUGGCAUUUGUGUGGAAGAAGGAUAGUUAUACCUUUCAUACUCUUCAUCAGCGGAACUUGAAACAUUUUGAGGAAGCUGACCAUAACUCAUUGCAUAAGGGGCAUAAAUGUUGGCUUCGUUUGAUGAAUCACUGAAUUGAGUCUCUACACUCAUCGACUCAAAACUGGCCGACAAUGAGUCCUCGUUGUAUGGCAUCAUCCUUCGUUGUCUUCUUCUAUAUGGCUUUCCAAUGGCUCCAACACCUGAACCGGCUCUUCUAGAGUUGUGGUCUUCAUCUUGAGUACAAUGUGUGAAAUAAUCUUCACAAGUAAAUGUCGAUGGUUAUCCACUUCGUUGUUGUUGUCUAACAUCCCCUUCAUCAUUUCCAAGGUCGCUACCAUCAUUGGUCCUCUCUCCUCUUGAACCAUCAUAACCGGAAGCGGAAGUACCAGUAGACUAUGUCUACUAUUAUGUUCAACACUCAUGGAGUCAAAAGAAGGUCAAGAAGUGACUGUCGGCUAAGAAAUUCCUUGUCGAAAUGAAUCUCUCGUGUCUUGGCUAAAACUAUCAGUAUGAACUUCUUCGGAUAACACCCGAUCAACAUCAACACUUGCUUCUCAAACAUGUGCGACAAUUCGUGGGUCGGGAUUUCCAUCUUCAUCAUCUAAAUGAAGAAGUCUAACCCAUUGAAACAAUUGGUUAUCUUCUUCUUCACCAACCUCAGUUGCAAUGUCAAGUAAAUCGAGGUAAUCUUUCUCUGCAACUUUGUCAUGUUCUGCUUCCAUGUCACAUAUCUUUAGUUUCAUGUUAUAAUAAAAAAAAAACUAAUUAUUAGAGCAUCGGGUAAGCAAGCCGAUUUCUUUGUUUUGUAUGAAUUAAGGCAAACAUGCUCCAAUUUCUUUCACAAGUUGAAGAUGAUGCAGUUUGCGAUAAAACCUUAAUGGUCAACCUUCUUAAUGUAGGAGUGUGAUUUCCAUACAUGAACCACCAUUCAGCUACAACCAAAUAAAUGAUAUCAAUACUUAUAUUGGAAAGCUACAAUAAUAUGCUAAUGAAAUGAAUUAUUAAUUCACAAAUAAUACUCACCGGGAACCAUUUCUGACCUCAAAGCAAUCGCUGCUCGAUCACCAAAUCCUCUUUUUGCAUCUCAGAAUAGUAUAAUCUACAUAUUAAAUAAUUGAAAAUGAAAAAGUUGAGUAAAUGAAAUUCAAUUAUUUAAUUUAUAUUAUAACUCUAAUAAUUUACCUCAUUUCCAAAUUGACUAAGACCUUCUGAUGUAGGAUCUAAUUUCGUAAAGACUUCAUGAACAGCUUGAGGUAGAUCAGGAUCAGUACCAACUCCACGUUUAUAUUGAAAUCUUGGAUUAAGAAAGAAUGCUAGAAUAGCAAAGUAGAAAUGUAAAAUUAGAAUGUUAUGAAAGACACAUAUUAAAUACCAAUAACUUUCGAAGAUGAAUAAUACUUACCUACUGCAUGAAGAGGAUGUUUAAGAGUUCUAUCCCAACGAUCUGCAAUUAUUUCUAAUAUUCAUUCUUUAGCAUUAAGUCGAAUGAGGUUCUCUUUCAUAACUCGAAUCAAUUUGUACACAAAUGACAUUGUAGGAACAACUUCUGAAUCGACAAUGCGAAGAACCCUCAUAUAUUGACACUAGCUCUCCCACUCUUUCCCAGUACGCAUGGUCAAACAUAAGUGAUUCAACUUCUUUACCGAUUAAUGUGCUACUUAAGUUGUGUUGUGCCCAUUCAUCACUGAUAAACACUUUCUUCAAGUUUGCUUUCUUUUUCAAAAGACUGUUGAGGGCCAUAUAAUUGGUUGCAAAUCUUGUUGCUCUAGGACGAACUAUGUCUCCACCACACACCUUCCGCAUCUGCACAAGCAACCAACUAUGGUUAUAAAUGAAGUCGGUUAUCUUUCAAGCCUUUGUAAUCACAUCUGCAACACUCGUCCUUUUAUCGAUGUCUUCGAACAUUAAGUCGAUGCAAUGUGUUGCACACGGAGUCCAAUAAAGAUUGUAUUUCUUCAUUAACAACUUCCCCGCCUUCACGAAUGCCGACCCAUUAUCUGUAACUAUUUGUACCACAUUUUGUUUCCCAACUUCCUUGAUCACAUCCUUCAACAAACCAUAUAUGUAUUUGUUGUCCUUUAUAUUAUUUGAUGCAUCAAUAGAUUUGAGGAAGAUUGUGCUACCUUUUGAAUAUACCAUGAAAUUAAUUAUGCUUAAUUUCGUAGGCCCAGUCCAUCCGUCGCACAUAAUCGUGCAUCCAUAAGUCUUCUACUUUUCUCUUUGAAUAUUGACAUAAGCUUCCUUGUCUUUGUACUCCAUAUCCAAAUACUUGUGUUUGAUUUCAUAAGGAGAUGGUGGUUCUAUACCCAUACCUACCAUCCAUAUAUAAUUAAAGCAUAUAAGAACAUUUGUGGCAAUCAUACUAUAUAAAUAGUAAUGAUAUUGUUAAAAUGAAUACAACUUUUAAAAUUAUAGUAAUUACCUGCUUGUUGUGCACCAACAAUCAUGUUCUUGAAGUUGUGAGAGUUUGCUUUAUUGGGCGGAACACUCUCAUAUAUGAAGAACUUACCGAUCAAACGUCCCAUGGUUUCCUUAAUGGCACCACCUUUGAAAAGAUUUUUCAUAUUUUUCUGUCUUACUGCUGAAGAUUUGUACAAUGAGGGUGCAUCAGGCAGUGAUGGAUCUGAAUAUCGAACACUUUGCGAUUUUCGCAUUUGCCUUGUUGUUGGAUUGGUUAGAUGUGAAGACUCACCUAUUAUAAUUAUUAAAAUUAAACAUAUAUGUUAAUUUAAUAUUAUUGAUAAAGUUGAUAAGAAACAGUAAUAAUUCAAAUUAAUAUUAUACAUGUUUUCCUUUUGCCUUUUACAAAAUGUUCUUCUUGCAUGUUGUCAAUUCCAUUCAGCAGCUUUUGAUGCUCAAACUGCCUCUCUAUAAGCAUGCCGCUCAUCAGGGUGCAUGUCAGCCGGAUACAUAUACACAUCAUCAUCUCCAUCAUCAUCAUCACCACCAAGGUUCUCCUCAUCGUCCUCAUCAGUUACAUGUCUAUGUCUUCUUCCCAUUGUGUCUCGCAGUUCAGAUCGAAUCUCUUCUAUAUCUGCAGCUUUCUUCGCUUUUGCCUUUUUUUUUUUUUGUUCUAGAAGUCAUCUUAUUUCUUGUUUCACUUCUAGAGGCACGUUAGGACACUUUUUUGUAUUUGAAAUAGGGUCUGUAUGUGAUAGGUGAAAUUUAAAACGAGUAAUCCCACCACUCUUUAUUGCCAACCCACAGUAAUUGCAUACUGUUCCAUUUUUGUUUCCUUCCAUAGGUGUACAAUAUUUCCAACAAGGAUCUCGUUGUUACCACUUUCACUAGCCAUUUUCUGAAAUUGAAUUAUGAAACUAAUAUCAAAUUUAAAAUUAUUAAAGAUAAAACAUGUAAGAAAUUUAAUAUUCAUGAAAUUGAUAAGAACUAAUAAAAAUUGAAUUAUGCAUAUAUGAAAUAGAUAAACAUUACAAUAAAAUUUCAAUAUGAAUUAAAUUUAAAUUAAAUUAAAUUAAAUUUGCAUAUUCAUGAAAUUGAUAAGAAUCAUUACUAAUAAAAAUUAAAAUUAAAAUUGAAUUAUGCAUAUAUGAAAUAGAUAAACAUUACAAUUACAUUUCCAUAUGAAUUAAAUUUAAAUUGAAUUAAAUUAAAAUUGCAUAUUCAUGAAUUUGAUAAGAAUCAUUAUUAAAAUUGAAUUAUGCAUGAAUUAAAUUUCCAUAUGAAACUAAAUAUGCAUAUAUGUCAAAUCAAUUUCCAUUCCAUAUGAAAUUUAAUGUUAAAAUGACAAAAUUUCAAAUUAGAUAAUAUCAAUUAAACUAUAUAUAACAAAUAAAAUUGAAUUAUGCAUAAUAAAAAUAAAUUUUAUGAAAGGUAAGACAUACCUUAAUUAGCCUUGACUUGGAGUUAAUCCCCUUCACCACCAAAUUUUCAAAAUUUUAAAAUUUUGCUAGAUCAUAUAAGAAUUUUGAUGUAUGAAAUGCAAUGGAAUGUGGGUAUUUAUAGGAAUUUUUUUGGUCAAAAUAGUCGUUGGAUGGUCAAAUAGCCGUUAUAAAUUAAUUUUAACCGUUUGAUCAAAAUUUGGUUAAAAUUUCACCAUUAGAUACUCAUAUAACCAUUGGAAACACUUCAUAGCCCUUGGAUAAAGUGAAGAUUGAUUUUCCACCAUUGGAUCACAAAUCUGACCGUUGGAAGCCUUUACAAAUACACGGGUGAAAUCUGGGCCAUCAAAUCCUCAAAAAUUCAAAUAUGCCCGUCGGAUCAAAUUCCUUAAAGUUGCAAAAAAUCGCCGAUUUUUUCAAAUAAUCGGUGAUUAAUCCUGAUUUUCUCAAAUAAUCAGCGAUUAAUCCCGAUUUUCUCGGCAAAAUAUCGUCGAUUUUUUCAAAUAAUCGGAGCUAUAUCGAUAAAAUCGCCGAUUUUUUGGGGUUGUCCUCUGGCUUCUCCGCGCGUGCCUCCACUUGCGAUUUAUCUCCGAUUUAUCGGUGAAGCACCGAUAUUUCGCCAAUAUAUCGGUGAUUUUAUCGAUUUUUUGGCGAUAUUCUCGGGGAUCGUUUCGAGGACGACUAAUAUCCAAUAUUUCUCCGAAAUAUCGACGAUAUUUCCCGAUUUUUCAAUCCCUGUUUAAAAGAAAAGAACUAUAAAAAUAUUUUUAAAUUAAAAGAAAAUUAAUAUAAAAUAUUUAAUAUAAUUUUUUAUGAAAAAAUAUAUAUCUAUUUUAUUUUAAUAUAAACAAAAAAUUAUAAAUUUUAAUCAAACCAUAAAGCUAGAACCAUAGUGAAACUAGAACCAUAUUUAAUGAUUCUGGUUUUACGAUGGAGGAGAUAUGUAAGAGGUGAGAUCACCCCGUAUUUUUUAUUAUUUUUUUUAUGAUAGUGAAAAUUUUUGCAAAAACAAAGUUGACAUAUCUUUCACAUUUGAAAGUGUGUGUUUUUUUCUCAUAUGUUAUUGCUCUCAGAGCGAGAGUUCUCCUAACAAAAAUGUAAAAUAAAAAAUAGGAAAAGUCUACAAUACCUCCUUCGGUACCAUGCCUCCAUUUUUUAUCAUCCAUUGGAUGAAAAUGAUUAAAUCUCAGCCAUCCAAAAUGAAAAAGAAAAAAAAAAUUCAAAAAAAAUUCUCCCGGGUACCUUCCCCUCCCGUUCUCUCCCCCAUUCGGCAUCCUUUUCCCCUUUUUCCCCCCUAAUUUGCUCUCUUGCUCUCUUCCCCUCCAUCUCACGCAUCCUCCAUAAGCCAACUUCCUCAGCUCACCCGUUUCCCGCCCCUCCAUAGCUGGGUGUCUCGCGCAUCCUCCAUAGCCGACUUCCUCAGCUCACCCAUUUCCCGGUCUCAUCUUUGUUUGCCGACUUCCUCAUCUUUGUUUGCCGACUUCCUCCAUAGCUUACCCAUUUCCCGCUGUCAUCUUUGUUUUCUCUCCCUUUUCCCGUUUUUCUCUCCACUGAUUGUCCACAGCUGGGUGAAGACCACGGUCGGCUUCAACCGGGCCAACCUCUUCGAGGCCGACAUCGCAGACCUUAUCAAAGACGUCUCCACAGCUAGGUGGAGACCACCUUCGCCGUCAGCCGGGAUCAAAGACGUCUUCACAGGUGGGUGGAGACCACCAUCGCCGUGAACCGGGCCAACCUCCUCCAAGUCGACGUCUUGACCUCAUCAAAGAAGUCUCCCUCAAGGACCGCGAGCUCAGGAUUGUGGGCGAGGUCGGUGCCAAGAUCCGAGUCUUAGACUUCAUUUCUCCCGAUGUCCAGGUCAGCUAUUUUUUCUGCUAGAUUUUUCUUCUCGAAGAUUUUAUGUAAAUUUUCUGAAUUUUUGCUUUCUCUCCCCCCUACCCCUGCAUUUUGUCACACGGAGAAUUUCUGUUCUUUUACACGGAGAAUUUUAGUGGAAUCUUCAUAACCCUUGUGUUUUCUUCAUAUUUUAUAUUUUGUUUAAGAGGUGUAAGGGGGUGUUUUCAGGUUCUAAAUUUAAUGGUUUAAAAACCCGAAUUGAAGACGUAGCUGGAAGAAGAAGAAGAGGACGUGUAGUACUAAGGAAAAGAAAGCUGAGAAGGACACAAUUGUUUGUCACUCAAAAGGCGCUUGUAUCCUAAUUAUUUGGUGAGUUCUAUAUAAAGGGAAAAAAAUGUGAGUAGUAAUUAUGUGUUUUACAAUAUUGUGUCCAUUAUAUUUCAUGUUUUUUGUUAGAUUUAUGGAUUGAUUACAUUAUAGAAAAAGAGUGUGGUUAGAUUAUUGAACAUUGAAAAAAAUUUGUAUGUUAAUUUUGUCAUCAUUUUAAAUGUAAAGAUAUUUAGGGAGGAUGUUGUAGUUGUAAUGGUAUUUGUAUUUUAAUUGGCAUUUGGUUGGUUGUAGUAAGAUAUAAAAAUAAAAUUUAUUGAAAUGUGAAAAAAAACUUAUGUUGAGAUAAUGUGGUGGUGAAAGUAUGUUUGAUUUAUUAUAUUUGAAAUCAUAUUAUAAAAAUUGACUUAAAUGCUUUGAUUUAAUUUUUAGAGCGAAUGCGAUGGUCUUGAAGUUGUUAGAAAUCCAAAGAGGCCUAUCGGCGCUUGGAUACAUUACUAGUAAGGGAAAAUAGAAAUAUGUAAAAUAAUAUGUUUUUUAAUUUAUUUUUUGUGGUUGUUAUUGUUAAAUUUGUUUGAAAUUGUUUUGUAGUAACGAUCANNNNNNNNNNNNNNNNNNNNNNNNNNNNNNNNNNNNNNNNNNNNNNNNNNNNNNNNNNNNNNNNNNNNNNNNNNNNNNNNNNNNNNNNNNNNNNNNNNNNNNNNNNNNNNNNNNNNNNNNNNNNNNNNNNNNNNNNNNNNNNNNNNNNNNNNNNNNNNNNNNNNNNNNNNNNNNNNNNNNNNNNNNNNNNNNNNNNNNNNNNNNNNNNNNNNNNNNNNNNNNNNNNNNNNNNNNNNNNNNNNNNNNNNNNNNNNNNNNNNNNNNNNNNNNNNNNNNNNNNNNNNNNNNNNNNNNNNNNNNNNNNNNNNNNNNNNNNNNNNNNNNNNNNNNNNNNNNNNNNNNNNNNNNNNNNNNNNNNNNNNNNNNNNNNNNNNNNNNNNNNNNNNNNNNNNNNNNNNNNNNNNNNNNNNNNNNNNNNNNNNNNNNNNNNNNNNNNNNNNNNNNNNNNNNNNNNNNNNNNNNNNNNNNNNNNNNNNNNNNNNNNNNNNNNNNNNNNNNNNNNNNNNNNNNNNNNNNNNNNNNCACGGGAUUGAAGAGUUUAAGAAGAAACAACAAAGUGGGGUUUGCGGUUGCUUAUUGUUUUUAAUGGUAAUUAAUUUACAUCAUAGUGAAAUACGAUUUUGUUUUAAUAUAAUUUAUGAACUAACUAUAUAUCUAUGUCAAAUAUACUCGUAGUUAUUCUACCACGAGCAUAUAUCGUUUGAAGAGAAAUUCCUACCGCUAUAUACUCGACCUUCUCCUCGGAUUACUGCUUGGGGAGAUGAUGAAGUAUUGGACAGGAAACGAAGAUUGAAAAAACUUGGUGGAUAUGCAAAUGAGAAUGUAAGUUAUAGUUUUGAAAGUCGUUUACUAUUGAUUUAAGUUUUUAGUGAUUUAAAAUAUGAUAUGUAUUAUAUUUUGAUGAAUACAUUGUAGCUCAAAAUAUGGGUGAUAGAAAAUGAGAUAAGGGAUUGCGUUGAUGGAAAUGCAACGACAAUGGCGAGUGAGAAUGAGGACGAUGAGAAAUUUGUAUCCAAUCUAAACAAAGAUGUUAUUAAACGAGUAAGUGUUUUACAAUAUAUCGUGACUAUCUAUAUUAGCAUUGAACCUUUGUAUUAUGAUGUUAUUAAUCACGUUCGUAUAUAUCACUAGGUUGAUGGUGGGAACUUAAUGGAGAUGGAUAAAACCUUUCAACAAUUAAAGACACAUCUACUUGAUAUGGCUUAUGGUGCAAGUAGUAGUAGUUGUGAUCAAAUUUUGGCUAAAUUUGAGGAGAAUUAUACUACAGUGAAAGGUCUCUUCCUUAGGUCAAGCGGAAAACCUUUGAGAAUGCACGAGGAAGGAACGAAGAAUGACAUGCUCUCAUGCGAGAGAAGUUUGGAAGAUACGAACAAUAUGAAUGUGAAUGAACAUUAUCUUCACACUUCGUCAAAUGAGAAGUUAUGCACCGAGGACUUGAAUGAAAAGAAUGAAGAUGCAUGUGCUACAUCAAUUGAAGUGCAUAUCAUUCCAGACGAAAAUGAAAAUUUUUUACCACUUCCAAUCAAAAGGAGUAGAAGAGAUUAUGGAAAGGUAUGUAUCAUAUAAAAGAAAAAAUUAUUUUCUUUACAACUACUUAACCAUUACAUAGUAAAUAGAUGUAUAUUACUGACAUUUUCCAUAUUAGGAACCAUUACGAGCACUAUGUGGUUAUCCUAAUCAUGUCAUGAAAACACGUUCAUCAAGGGAGAGGAAACCAAGUAAAUUCAAGGUCUCCCCGUUUGUACAGAAAUCAAGGAAGAUGGUAAAACGUGACGCAUCAGAGGUAUAAUACAAAUAGUUUAAUAUCAUUGUUCUUAUUUUUUGAUACUUAACAUAUAUAGUUAAUAAUUAUGUCUUGUAUUCGAAUUAGUCAAUCCCCAUGUCCAUUCGUGAAGACGUGGUGGAUAUUCAAUCAUUCAAUGUACUUCAAUCUCUUGUCGCUGAUUAUGUUUUCAAUAAAGCGUUGUCAAAAAGGUUUGUCGCGUCUAGAACAUUCAUAGAUGUGUUGUUACAAUUUUAGCCUUCAUAUGCUUCCAAUUUACUGAAGUUUGUUUGAACAUAUUAUUAUUUUAGUGAGCUUCUUGUUGACUUUGGUCAUGAACAUGGAGUUCGUGGAGAUUUUGCAUGCUUACGUCCUAGACAAAAUUUGAUGGAUGUUGUAAGUACCUACUUCAUUUAUAUCAAAUGCAUCCUAUAUUAGUUAAAUAAAUUUAUUGAAGUUAUUGUUCAACAAUAGGUAAUAAAUUUAGAAGCCUCAAAGCUAAAUUAUUUUGAAAGACAAUUCAUAGGCAUACGAAGUAUAAGAUGCUAUCUUCCCACGACAUUUUCAGUAAGCUCAUAUUUCUCUUGUUGUUUACUUACAUAUUAAGUACAAUAUAGUAAUGUUCGUAUUAUGUUUUCUUAUUAGCAAAUGAUUUUGUGCGGGAGUCCUCAUCCUGUUUUCGAUAGAAAAACAUCCAUCGUGAGUAAGCACAUUAGUGAAUUGGAUGAUUGCGAGAAGGUUAGUAAUUAUUUCUAAUGUUUAAUUGCAUAUAUGAAAUUUAGAAUAGAUAUUGUUUUCACCUAUAAUAUAGUAGAUUUUUUUUGCCCCAACUCAUAUAUAUUGUUUUUCUAACUUUACAGCUAUUUAUUCCAAUGCAUGACGAAUGCCCUGGUCAUUGGUAUCUGUGCGUCAUUGACUUCAAAAACUCUUAUACCCAAAUUUUGGACUCAUUACGAUCGAAGAAUUGAGACAAGUUCCGGUUUUAGAGUGUCAAAACAGUGGUAUGCUUUCAUGUUUAUAUUUUUCUUCUAUUCUAUUUUUUCCUCUUCCAUAUUUAUUAACACUUUCAUAAUAAAUUAGGUUGAAUUUUGUCAAACGUUCUUCAAAUUGUAUGACAUAGGGAAAGAUGUCUUCCAAUUCUCCAUUGAUUGGGCUCCUUCGAUUCCGACCCAAGAGAAUGGGUUAGUAUGAAUACAUAACUCACAUUACUAUUCUUUUCCUGAGGUAUAAUUAGACAAGCAUUGAAUAAGUUGUUUUGCUUUUCUUUUCUCUUUCUUAGGUGGGACUGUGGAGUGCAUGUCAUUAGACAUAUGCAGAGAUUCAAAAAUGGUGAUCCGAUGACGAGCUCCGACUUUUGUAAUUCUAUGAAAAUACGUCGAGAAAUAGCAUGUGAUUUAGUUUUACACGAGGGAAAUAGAGAAAAACAAACCAUUGUGGCUAUUGUUUGUACAAAGACGUCGACACGAGCAAUGAAAAAAUUAUUAUUAUGAUAUUUGUUAUUUUUCAAAUAUUUAUCAUUUCCAUAUCCACAUAUCGUCAUGUUUAUUGGGAAGUUGUGAGCUUCGAUGACCAUACAUUAUUAAUGAUUAAGUCCAUUUUAUUUCAAUAUCCAAAUACUCUUCUUUCAAUAUGGUCGUCAAAAUGAAAUUGUAAUAUAUUGGUAUCAUUCAUGUUCGACAUGUGUGAUUUUGUACGAUCUUUAACCUAAUCAGAUCUGUAAAUAUUCAUUUAUCUAUGCUAACAAUAUAUAGUUAGUACAUUACUACACUGGUUGACGAAUGUCGUUCAGCCGGUAAGAACCAGUCCAACGAUUUAUCUAUGUCCACUUUUCAUAGGCAUACGCAUUAUUCGUACCGGUUGAGAACAUUCCUCAUAUUUUCAGUUGUGGAAAGUGGUUGAUCGAUGAAGAAAUUGUCUCAACCGGUUGACGAAUGAUUUGACCAGUGGGAACCGGUUGAGAAAUAUAGCAAAUUGGUUGAGGAAUUUGCUCAAUCGGUUCAUGGUUUUUUAACCAGUGGCAACCGGGUGAAGAUGGGCAUCAACCGGUUGAGGAAUUUGCUCAACCGGUUGCGUAUAUUUUUAACCAACAUCAACCGGUCGAUCACUUCUAGAACCGGUCGACCGACUUGGCACAACCGGUUGAGCAACUGGUUGAGCCAUUUUUGACCAGUGGCUACCGGAUGAGGAAUUUCCUUGGCCGGUUGAGAAGUUUUCUCAACCGGUAGCCACUGGUCAAAAAAAUCCUCAACCGAUUGAUGGCCAUUUGCUCAACCGGUUUAGGAAAUUCCUCAAUCGGUUGAGGAUUUGUUUAACCAGUAGCUACCGGUUGAGGAAUUUUCUCAACCGGUUGAGGAAUUUUCUCAACCGGUUGAGGAAAAUCCUCAUCCGGUAGCCACUGGUCUAUAAUGCCUCAACCGGUUGAGGAAAUUCCUCAACCGGUUGCCUCCUGCAAUGCUAUUGUGCACAAAAAGGGUAUGAUAUGAGUUGUACCAAUAACUUUUCACUAUGGAAACAUUCGACAAUGUACCAUUAAGUUCAAUUAUAAGGUUUGAAAUUGAUGGAAACUGGCAUUACAAUUUACCUAACUACGAUUUACCCAUUUUGAGUAAAAUCACUAAAUUUACCUAUUUCAUGUGAAUUACAUCAUAUUGAUUACUUUCCUAUAGUUAACUCAUAACCACCUAAUUGUCAAACUUUAACCACAAUUGAAUUUAAUUAAAUCCGCAUAAUUAACCGUUUUUUUCGACAUGAUAUAAAUGAAUCGGUUUCUCCAUUUACCAAUCAUUUUAUCCCUUGUUAUCAAUUAAAUUAUAAAUGUAGAGGAUAUUGCAUUCUAUCAAUCAACUUGACUCUUGAUCAAAAUUCAAACUUUUCAUUAAAUAGUUAAGUUAAAAGUACACAUUAGUGGAAGUGAUAAUGUCAACUAAUAUAAAUACUGAUUUAAUACCUACCAUCCCUUACUCCGCUAAGGAAUAAAAAAAAGGUUGCAUAUCCUUUUCAUUUGGAUAUUUGUUUGGAUCCCCACCUUCACAUGGUGUUGACAUACUUUGUUCAUGUUGCUGAAAUCCUGCUAUUUGCACAUGCACAUUUCAUUGUUUUUUUCAGCUAUCCAAUUCCAUUCCAAUUAAUUAAACCUAAUCAUUAAAUAAUGCAUAGCUGAAAUUCAUGUCAAAAGUGUUUCUUCAUUCCCGAUCUUACAUUAUUAAGUUCAACCCAAUCUAUGUACAUGUCAGAUGGGUCAUUCGGCAACUGCUCCCUUAACAUUCCCUGCAUGUUUCAAUAAUUAAGUGUUGUCAAUUAUUAUUGAAUUAUAUGUUAUCAAUGUUUGGAAAUUAUAUAACAAGCCUAUUGUACAUACAUGUAAGGUUGCAAAAAUGUCAAUUGAUGAAUUUGUUGAAGGCAUCAUUUCCCUUUGAAUGUCACAUUGGGAAGACAAAUUAGUUUCCUCCUACGUACUCAUAAUGCCAUCAAAACAAUUAUGUUAGUCAUUUAUGUUAGUACACCUACAAAAAUUAAUCUUAGGGGCAAUUUUUAUUGAAUAUGACAUACCAUAUAACCCGGCUGAGCAUUUUGAGGGAUUGUAGCUUCUGGACACUUUCGAAUUGUGUGACCCACUCUUUUACAACAACCGCAUCGUCUUCCCUUUUGAACAUUCAUUGCCACUUUGCCUGGAUUCCCUUUAGUCUUCACAAUAUUUGGAUCACGAACUUGGUUAGUACCUAUCGCUCCAUCUGAUGCUAUUUUCUUCCCUUUCAAAUUAUAGUUAUAGAGUUCCUCCAUUCUCGCCGUCAAAUUUUGUAUUUCAUUUUUGGCCUCUAUAAAUGAAGAUGACGUAUCUGACACAAAGUAGGAGAGCUUGUUGCACAUCGAACUCAAUGAACCAUAUCGUACAAACCGAUCCAUGUUGUUAUUCGUCUCAUUCACUGGUAUUGAUCUUGUAUACACCUUUGCUAACUUUGUCCACCUCUUCAUAAUACAUGACUGAGGAAUCUCUUCCAAAUGCUCCACCUUCAUAACCACCACCAUGUGGCAACAUGGGAUGCCAAUUGACUCAAACAUCAUGUAUGAGCAUUUUAAUGUUACAAUAUCCGGGCAAAAUUGUACUUCCCAAUUUAAGUUCGGGCGUCUAAACUUAGAUAAUGUGUAUGCCCGCAUUGAAUGAUCACUUACAACACCAACCACAAAGAAUAACUCAGCAUUUUUCAUCUCCUCACGAAAUUUAAGGAAAGAUUCUUUUGUGUAUACCGUCGCAGCAUGAUUUUCAAGUAUGGCUAGUUUGGUUGAAAGCACGGGUGAAGAAUUGUUCGACUCGAACUCUGCCUUUGCCUCGUUUUGCCGUAUUCUCAGUAUGGCUCUAUCAAAUUGUUGUACAAACUCAUAGAGUCGCAAACGAAUUUUUAAGAAUCUAUUUAGAUAUGCAUUCAUACUCUCAUACCUUUGUGUGGUUCUCAUCCCUCCAAAGAAAUUUCCACGUAAAUACGCCUCUGCCCAUCUUUUACGUUUCCCAUAUAUCUCGGUCACCCAACGAUUCUCAUUAAGUCCCAAAUUUGCAACCAUUUCAUGCCAAACCUUUUCAAAUUCUUCUUCAUUCCCACGCAUGAACAUGCACCUUGCAAAUAUGCUUGAGAAGUCCUUAAUAUGCACAUUCGUGAAUGCAUUUCGUUGCAAAUGCCAUGAACACAAUCGAUGACACGUAUCGGGUAAUACUUUUUUAAUUGCCUUACGCAUAGCUUUAUCCCCAUCAGUUACUACAGAUAUGGGUUUCUUAUUCAUCAUUGCAUCAAGAAAUGUCUCCAACACCCAUUCAUAUGUCCUAAUACUUUCAUCUAUCAAUAACGCACAACCAAAUACAACAGUUUGAUGGUGAUGAUUAACACCGACCAACACUAUUAGAGGCUUUUUAUAGGCAUUUGUCCUAUAGGUUGUGUCAAAUGCUAGGACAUCUCCAAAACACGCAUAAUCCAUUCGAGCAGUUGAAUCAGCCCAAAACAAAUUUGCUAGUCGACUUUCUUCAUCAAUGUUGAAUUUAUAAAAAAAUGAAGAAUCCAUUUCUGCCUUUCCACACAAAUAAGCCAAUGCCGCUUCUGCAUCACCGUCUUUAAUUUCACUUCUACGCAUUGCAUCAACGUGAUUGUAUAUAUCUUUUUGUGUGAAACCGACGUGCUCAUGUCCCCCUGAUUGUUUUACCAUAUAGUCCAUAAUUUGUGUGGUUUUAACACCUACUUUACACAAAACAUCAACUUGUGCCUUAUCUGGAUUACUUAUUGUUCGAUGAGACCGAAGGAAUUGUGUGUUGAUAGCAUCGACCAAAUUAUGAUUAUGAUCUCCUAUAAAUUCCUUUACAAUCCACUUUCCAUCUUUCCUAUUCAAGCCUACACGAAAUGCAGCUUCACAUCCAACCCUAGUCAAUGAUCAUGGCUCACGAUGUCGCUUGUCAUUUUCAAUAAACUUUGUCACUCGCUGUCCUUCUCUAGAACACACCCACUUUCGAGAUAUUAUAUCUCCAUUCUUGUCUCACUUCAAAUCAUCUUUUCGAAUACUAAAUCCGGCUACUCUAGCUAACAUGUUGUAAAAUGUUUCAGCCUCAUCUAUGCGAUCGAAUUGCAAUUUGUAGACUUCUUCAUCUGAAAUACCCUUCAACACCUUCUGUUUCAAACCGUUUCCACCCAGGUUGUAAGUGGCACCGAUAAAUACAUUGUCAUUGAUGACGUCCUCCUCUUUCACUUCAAACUCCCGCUUGAUUGUUUUCUCCUUCACCGAUUGCAUAAUCUACAUUACAUAAAUAAGGUAAAAAAAUUCCCCAAUAAUACUUUAACAAAUUAUCAUAUCACUUUUGAAUCAAUUGAUUGUAUACUUGAAGAUAAACCGAAUUCGACAACGUCAUCUAUUCUCAUUUUUGGAAAAAAAUUUAGAAUUUGAUAAAUUAUAGAACCGGUGUACACUGCACACGUGAUAAUUUUCCCAUGAUUUUCCAUUUAAAAGGUCAUAUGUUGCAAAAUUGAUACUACUCUGCUAUACACAAUCAUAAGCAAAACUUUUUAAAAUCAUUAAAUAUCACUUAAAAAUCAUUAUGUUGAGGAAAUAACUUAUGACAAAUGCAAGUGCGACACCAAUACCCUCAAAAGAUGGCAUUAGACAAUGAUCCACGUCUGACAUCUAUACAGAAACGCACCAUAAUUUAAAUUGUCCUUAGACAACCAAGUGAAGUAAUAGUUAAGUUCAACUUCGUAGACAUGGUUCUGCUGUUGAGGCUAAGGUUGUAGUGCUUUUGGAGGUCCUUGUGCAAUAACAAUAUUUCAGAUUGUCCAACUUUUUUUUGGUAGCGGAUGGUGUUGUUGGUCUUGAUGAGCAUAAAAAAACAAUCGGUACAUUUGUUUGUUUCCUCGUAACCCGAAUCUACUCUCUUCCCUUGCUCUAAGCUAUUAUAAUGUGGUUGAGCUACAAAUUGACCGGAUGCAUUUUGGUGGUGUUCACAAAAUUUGGCAGUGUCUACCGGUUGAGAAGAUCUAGCGACCGGGCGUAUUACGCCGGUCGACCGGUUGUGGAUUUUUUAACCAGUAUAUACCGGAUGAGGAAUAUCCUCAACCGGUUGAGAAAAUUUCUCAUCCGGUUGCCACUGGUCAAAAAAACAUCAACCGGUUGAUACCCAUUUGCUCAACCGGUUGAGGUUUUUUUAAACCAAUUGCUACCGGUUGAUGAAUUUUCUCAACCGGUUGAGGAAAUUCCUCAUCCGGUCUUCACUGUUUUAAUAUGUAAACCGAUUAGCUAAUUGUUUCUUUUCGUUGUUGAUUUCAUUAAGGCCUUCAUUCCUUAUCAGAACGUUAUAAUGUUGCCCUAUUUAGGCAUACUAUGUUAACAAAAUUUCCAACAUUAAUCUUAGUUGCCAUCUUCAAGGAGUUUGCCAGUCACAAUAAUUAAUACCUCUCAUCCACUUUCUUUAAAAACAUGGAAAAUGACUUUUAUAUAAUUCUAUCUAAAAGCACGGAAGCUUUUGGGUACACCGCCAAACUUAUUCCAAACUUACCCCAUAUUGGGAGUCAAUAAUACACAUUUCUUAAGGUUGAUUCUCUCUUUUUAAGUCAUUUGAAUAUGUAUUACCCUAUAAUUUUGAUGAUGUUGUGAUUUUUACAGCCAACUUAACUCACUUAUAUUAACUAAAUUAAUCUCAACUGUUCAACAGAUCACUGAUGCAUAUUACUAACAAUGUGCUUUAGACAAUCAAAAUCCAAACUCUUUAACAUCAAUACAUACCAUUUAAAAAUCACUAUUAGGUUUUGGAAAUAUUCGCCCAUCCAUUUCAAAGAUGAAGGCAUUAAGCUUAAAAAAUGUAUUAUGGAUUUGUUUACCUAUUCUUUAUUGAGUUAAAGAUCAUACCGUUAAAAUGGAAGGUCCAAGUGUGAUGCAGCUUGACCUGAAGAUUUGUCUUCUGGAUGUUUUUUGUGACUUGUUCUCCAACAAAUAGCAGACCUCGUUCAGAUGCUAAGGUUCUUACAAUACUAAAACUCCCCCAAAUAUAUACUAAGAUAUGUAUGUGGUUGGUUGCUGGAGUUAUUACAUUUUUUAAUAGGCUGCCACAUGUUGAAAACCUACCACCACAAUGGUACACUUAGUGGUUGAUAGUUUGGAUAUUUGCAUCAGUUUUUUAGGUACCAUUAAAUAUAACAUUUAUAUCAGUUGGGAAAGUCAGCCUAAUGUGGAUAUUUUUUACACCCAUUGCAAAUGGAUAUGUGUAUAACUUAACAAAAUAUAAAGGGGAGAUAUGGACUUAAUUGAUAAUAUUGACAUUUGUUACUAUUGUUUAGCCUAUUUAUUGUAACUAUGUUUUGAUACCGUUUCCUACUUACUAUAUUUUUUCAUCAAUUAACGGUAUUUUUUUUUUAAAUCAUGCUUCCUAAUAUAUCCUAUAUAUGAGAAAGGUUAGUUAAGCAGACUUAAUUACGUAAAAUGAGAUAUGUUAUGAUAUUCUACUUAUGGAAAUUUUAAAUAAAUUCAGAUUCAUUAAUUUAUGUCACUCACCAUGGUAUAUCGUACUUAUUCGAACAAUUUUUCAUACAACCAUAAUUAAUUUUAAUGCCCCUAUGGUAGUAUAUGUUAGUUAAUUACAAUUUUAAUCUAAUAGGUCUGACUAUAUCUUAGUGAGUUCAUUACACUAUAUUUUUCCAUGAAUUAACGUAAUUUAUUUUUAAUUAAUGCUUCAUAAUAUAUCGUAGACAUGAGAAAGGUAGGUUAAUUACACUUAAUUACGUAAAAUGAGAUAAGUUAUGAUAUUCUACUUAUGGAAAUUUUAAAUAAAUUCAGAUUCAUUAAUUUAUUUCACUCACCAUGGUAUAUCGUACUUAUUCGAACAUUUUGUCAUACAACCAUAAUUAAUUUUGAUGCCCCUAUGGUAGUAUAUGUUAGUUAAUUACAAUUUUAAUCUAAUAGGUGUGACUAUAUCUUAGUGAGUUCAUUAUACUAUAUCGUACCUAUCAAAAAGAUUAGUUAAUUUAUAUGAUUUAAUUAACUUAAGUUCUCAUAUUUUAUUUUCCUUAAUAUAAAUUUUGUGAAAUUAACUUCAAUUAAUUUCUUUAAGGUACAUCAAAAUAUUUAUUCAUUUAAUCCAUUAUAGGUUUAAUCAGUUCAUAUGGAAACUAUUACAUUAAAAGUGUAGCAAAUAUAAUGUAAGACAUUAAGUUAAUUAAAAUUUAAUUACUUCAUAAACUGGAUGUCUUUCCACGAAGGUCGACCGAUGUUCAAACCAGUUCUACCCCUCAACCCCUUUGUCUUCUACUCCAUUCUUCUUCAUCCUCGCGCGAGACCUGAACCCGUCCGUCUUCCACUUCAGUCUUGUUCAUCCUCACGCAAUACCUGAAGCCCAUCUGAAUACUCAUGCCCCCAAAACGAGCACCGGUCGAAGCAUCCUCACCCGGUCGAAAAGGGAAGAGCCCGGUGGUAUCAAGGAUGCGCGGGACCAACAAAAAGACCUCCGACCGACAACAAGCAAGCGAAAGCACCCACAACACCUUGGAUGGAGCAAAACGCACCACCAACGGUAAACGUCCGGCCGUGGAAGCAAGUCUGGAGGUUCGUAAGAAGGCCACCUUUGAUCGAUCUACGUUCGCAACCCCUGACCUAGCCCAACGAUUUCAUCUUCACUUUGCGAAUCGGACCGUAAUCCCGGGUAGGAACAUUGCUUUUGCAAAGCUCAGUUAUUUCCAUUUCGAUGUGCUUUUCGCGAGAAUGGGUUGGCUUCCGAUUGUCUCCGUCAAUGAGUUCGUUUAUCCCAAGGUUGUCAAAUGUUUCUACUCCAAUAUGACAUUUGAAGACGAAGGACCCAUUACUACCACGAUUAACGGUGUACAGAUCGUUUUUGAUGUUGCUGCACUUUGUCGGAUUUUAGAGAUUCCAAACGAAGGGGUUUGUUUGUAUGAAGCUAAGAAAUGGCCAAAGGUGGAAGGUUUCAAACCUGUAGAAGCUUUACAGAGGCUAUGUGGUUACUCGAGAUCUGAUAGACCAACUUCCCAUUUGUUGACUGUGUUGAGUCGUAUCCUACAUCACAUGAUAUCGUACAUUUUCAUCCCUAAAGGAGGGCACCGAGAUGAUGUAUCUUUCUUGGAGGCUUUUUUGGUUGACAGCAUUCUCACAGAAAGAAAGGUUAAUAUUGGUUACAUAAUUUUCCAACAUAUGAAAGCAUGUUCAAUCAGCGAAGAUUCAGUUCUCCCCUAUGGCAUGUUUAUCACAAAGAUUGUCAAAUACUUCAAUGUCAAUUUGCGCAAUGAGACAGACGGGAAAAAACUCAAAUCAUUUGAUACAUAUGAUCGGGCUUCACUUCGCCGCAUGCAUUUUGUAUGGAAGAAAGAUGGUUCAUGGGCAAGGAAGUCUUCCGUUCCCCCCUCAGAGGUUGAUGUCUCUUCAGACAAUGGGCCCUCCGAGGAUGAAGAAUAUGAAGAUGAGGAUGUACAGGGAAGAACUCAUGCAAAAGCAAAUGUCACACAAAUACCGUCAACAGGUGGUGUAAGAGCUAGGGCGUUAAGAAAUCAUCCUUCACUAAUUGGACCGGACGACUCUGAGGCAUCAGAUAACCUCAAUGCCCAGAUUAAGUCCCUUGGUUCCCGCUUGGAGGAGAUUGUAUUAGCCAAUGACCGACGUUUGACAUCUCUGGAGAAUCGCAUUGAUGGUUUACACGAGGAAGUGAAAGAGGGUAUGCAAGUUAUACGACGCCAACAUGAUGAGAUGAUGGUCUUCUUCCGAUCCCACUUCCCGCUUCAUGGACCAGACCAUUAAUGACCCCUUCUACAUUUUGUACUAGUUUUAUAGUUAUUAAACUUUCAUUCUGUUUUUGGACAUUUGGCUAAUAUAAAUGCCCUUUUGUUAUUAUGACUUCUCGUAUUACUUAUGGAUGUUGUCAUCGGCCAUUCACAUAAAUGGCGUAAAUGUAUUCGCUCAAUGAAAAUGAUGGUAUAUGGAUUAUGUAUUUUCCUCUACAUGUAUAUAUUAUACCUAUCUUAUUUUGUUUAUAGCUCUUGAUAUAUAGGUUAUUUUCAUCUCUUUAAAACUUUUUCUGUAUAUUUUAAAUUGUUGGUAGACAUCACAUAAUUUAGGUUCCCAUUUGGGUGCCAUGAAUAUUUUUGUCUUUUAAAUAUUGAGUCUGAAAUCCCUAGUUUCGGAUGGCAAAAGGAAGGUUAUGACUAUUUCCAUCAAAAGCAUAGAAGAAUCAUGCGUUAGGAAGGUUAUACUCAGUAUUGGUUCAUCGUAAAACGUAUGUAUUCUCCUCCCUUUGUCUAAUCUACUAUAAUGUGUACGAAUAUGGUCAGCCUACUAUAUUUUUUUUUAAUAAAACUUGGGUAUUUUCAACCGGUUGAGGCAAUGCAUCAACCGGUAGCAAGUCCCGCUAUUGGUUUUGGGGGAAAAACAAUGGCAGUGUCAACCGGUCGAGAAAGAGCAUCAACCAGUCGCAUGUUGGUUUGCAAUCGGUAGCCACUGACCACUCACAGGUCAACCGGUUGAAUACAACCGGUCGACCGGUUACUACUUAAUACAAUAGGGUGAGCUAUGCUUGCAUGCUUGCAUGAAUUAUCGUACUGAGUUUUGGCCCUCUGCUUUCCAUAUUUAACCCAUUCUUUAUUUACUAUUUUAAAUACAUUUUUAUUUGAGGUGCAUUUGGAUGUCUUAUGAAAACAAAUAUCUCCAUUGUGUUUUGCAUAGAUUUGAAGUUCAAAUUUCAAUUCUAGAAUGGUGCUAUAAAUGAAAAUGAGAUUGCUGGUAACAGGCCGAUGGCAUUGGAUCAAUUUUGACUUCCCCAUUAAGGGCAUUGUUUUAACUUUUAAUUUUUAAUCCUCACUUGUGAGCCAUUGAUUUCCAUUGUUGUGAGCCUUUAAAUUUCCAUUACACAUCCAACUGCAUCUGUAGUGUUUACUUCUGUCCAACAAUUUGUUUGUUGUUGAUCCUAUUUUUUUCUGUAAGUCUUCUUUGAACCAAAUGACUUAUUUGAGUCGAUUUUAUGUGGUUUGAGGCUAUAUCUAGGUUGUAAACUAAUCUAGAUUAGAGCAAAUUAAUUCCAAUGGAAAUGAUGGAGCACUUAGAAGAGUGGGCUUUAGAGAUUGGUUAUAAGGCGGGUGGUCUUCUGUCUACUUACUUAGGUCUUCCUCUUAGUACCCCUUUUAAAUCUAUGGUGGCUUCAAAUGGAGUGAAAGACAGGUUCCACAAAAGACUAGAUAAAAGAAAAAUACAAUAUAUCUUUAAAGGAGAAAGGCUCACUCUAAUUCAAAACCCUUUAUUUAGUUGUUCUAUCUAUUUUGUGUCUUUAUUUUGCAUGCCAAGGACAAUCAAAUUGAGGUUGGAGUGGAUUCAAAGGGAUUUCCCUUCGGAAGGCAAGGGCUCUUGAAAGAAAAUCACAUUUACCAAGGUGAGCAAUUGUUUCUUCAGAAACAAUUGAAGGAGGCCUUGGGUAUUAGGUGUCUCUCAACACUUAUCAAAACACUACUUUGCAAAUGAAGUUGAACACAUGCAACUGUUAGGAUCCACAUUACCUCCUUAUUUAUAACCUAUGGAUACUAAAUAAAUUGCAAAAUUUUGUCCAGCAGUUUCAGAUGAUGAUGCAAGCUCCGAGUCUGGAAUACACUGAGCACAAAGAUUUGGACAAACAAUGGCACUCUCCUUGGGGCUCCACUGUGGUUGAUGAUGUAGCUCCUGCAUUUAAAACGAUAGUGGAGGAGAAUUAUUUAUCAUCUUCAACAUUUCAUCUAGACGAUACAAACGAGAAUAGAUUGCAAUGGUGGACACAGAGAAAGAACCUUGAUCACCACCGUCUUGGCAAAUUGGUGAGGUAGGUUUUCACUCCCUUCUUACCCUAAGUUUGUAUAUCCAUGUAUGGAGUUACAAAGGUUCUUUAGUUUGCAUUUGGGAAUAGGGGCCAAGUACCCAAUUCCCAUCCAUCAAAAUUCAUUUAUAGAAUUUACAUCACUCAUCUCUCAUCUCUAAUUGUUUUGGAUUUUGACAUGGUAGUUAAAGAUCAAGAAUUUCAACUGUUGCUAUGUUAAUGGUUGCUGAAAGUGCAUAAACAUUAUAGCAUUAUGCACCACUAAAUUAUUUAUUUUAUCUUCUGGAAAUUCAUUUUUUUAAUAGAUUGUCAACAUACCAUGCCUUUUAUAUGCUAAGGACUUGGAAGAUUUAUGGUUGGGUCCCUGGAGAUACUUGCUUUUGGGGGAAUGUUUGGACUGUGAACGCCUGGAUUUGAUACACAAGAAGCUGGUGCAUGAUCUAAAAUGUAAAAGUCAAAUCGAUGUAAAUAAGAGCCUUCUUAAAAUUAUUGUUUGGAGUGCCAGAUAUUCCCAUGGAAGAGAAGAAUGUUUUUUGCAGCUAUGUUUACACAAAGGCCGUUUUAUUGGUAAAGUGGGAUUUUAUGAUGAAAAAACAAUGUGUAAGGUAUUCUCUAACCACUAUCUAUUCCUUGGAUUGAGUUAUGACCCUACUUUUGUGUUACAGACAUAUGGGGCCAUUGAAGUCCAUGAAAUAUGGCUCUUUAUUAAAAGCUAUCUACAAGUCCAUGAAAUAUGGCUUCUUUGUUUCUUGUCCCCUAUGGAACUGCUAUGAAUUCAUCCACCUCUUAGCCUGAAUCUCAUCAAUUUAUGCAUACGUCAGUAUGAUGUAGUGGAAUUUUUAGAACCUAGACCUUAUCACUUUUUUUUUCCUUGUGGAUGAUUCUAAUUAAGUAGCCUAGUUUCAUCUCUUUCUUUACAUUUCCAAGCUACUUCAUCAUUAUUUGUUUUGCUAUGCAUCAACCGGUAGUAGUUUGUUUUGCUACCGGUAACAUGUGCCCAUUUGGGUUUUGGGGAAAAAAUUUGGCAGUGUCAACCGGUCGAGGAACACCCUCAACCGGUCUCAAAUUGGUUUGCAACCGGUUGCCAUUGGCCAUUUUGGGACGUGCAUCAAGAAAUGGCCAGUGUCUACCGGUUGCAUUUAACCGGUCCACCGGUUAAGACUUACUACAAGCUUUUCCCAACUCUUUUCAUUCCUGCUAGCAAUAGAUGGCAGAGGCAAGCUUGGUCAUUUAAACGGUGAUGUGAGCAAACCAGGAGCACCACAAAAUGAGAGUCACUUCCACCAAAUCUUUGUGUAUGCCAAUAAGCACCACAAAAUGCCCGAUCACAUCCUAAACCUGCGAGAGAAGGAAAGAUAAGGAAUGAUUGCAUAUCUAGAAGCACUUCAACAUAUCUCAAAGUAUCUAUGAUCAUCAUUUUAUUCCUCAAGCAAUUAAUUCUACUUCAAAAGAAUAUGAAAAUAUUUUGAGUUUAGAACAAAGGAUACCCUUAAAUAUAAACUUGUUUAUUCCACUUUUACAAAGAUUACAAUUUAAACCAAAGUUUAAAGUCCAAAACCUCGAUUCAAACAACCCAAACUGUUGGUCAAUAUUUACAUAAUAAUAGAUAGUACCCUAGAUACAAGCAGAAUCCUUGCCUGAUUUCAAGAUAGAAAUUGUAAUAUGGAAAGCAAACUCACAAAUAGCCAUCAAGACAACAAAACCAACAAAAUAACAAUAGUGUUGGUAAGUAUUUACAGUGUUGUGGUACACCAAUAUCAUUUCUGGAAGGCAUCAUUCCUCCACAUGCAUGGCAUUGUAGGUGGACAGUGUUAGGGUUGCACAGGAAUCCAGCAUAUUCAGCACCUGAUGUUUGUAAAUGAAUUAGUUAAAAUAUAUUACAAACAAAAAAAUCAAGCAGCAAAACAUCUCAGGACCAAAUAUUCACAAUUCAUAAGAAGCCAUUGAAUGAACCUUACACUUUGUCUAUAUCAUUACUUAAAAAAGAAUUUUCAUGAGAUUAUCUAAAUCAUGCAAGUAACAGUCAUCAAUACAUGAUAGCAACUUCUUGCAGUAAUACAACUAAUAAAUAAUGCAACAGAACAACCAGUUCAGAUUGAUGGUAAGUAAAUGUGUGCAUGCCAUAUUGCAGUCGAUCAAAUCAAUUAAGCAUACAAUUUCCGAACAUAUUAUUCUGUAGAUAGUUAAUAUUACCACAUUGAGGGCAUGGAAACUCCAAUUCUUCACUUUCCUCAUUUAGUCAUGAAUGUGCCCGUUUCCAACCAAUCAUGGAAAUCUUGUGAAUACAACUCGGUACCAGAAGUUGGUGGGAAAACUGAUUUAUUUAUCUCACACCCGACCAGAUAUUGCAUUUGCAGUCAACAUAGUAAGUCAAUUUUUGCACUCACACUAUGAAGUACAUCUUGAGGCAGUUAACACUUUUUAAAUUCAAUAAUAAUAAUAAUAAUAUUAAUUUUAGUUCUUUUCAUAUAUUAAUUUGUCUUUUGUGAUUUUUUUAAUAAAUAAUUUUUUUUUUUUUUUUUUUUGCUUUCCAAGAAUUUUUGUUGAUUUUUUCAUAAGGUCUAUAACUUUAAAUUAAACAAGCUUGAAUAUAUAUGUUUGUAAUAAUCUUAUAUUAUAUUAGUACUUAAACACAAUUGUAUGUCAUUUUUUUAUGUUUAAUAAUAAAUUUUCAAUAUUAAAGUUAGAAUCUAUAAGAAAAUCAACAAAAACAAUAUAUCAAUUUAGAAAUUAUGAAAUCUAAAAUUUAUAUAAAAAGGUAAAAAGAAAAAAUUAUUUAUGAAUAUUAAAUAAAUGAGAUUUAAAAUAACAUACUGGUUCUAUGAAAAUUUUAAAAAUAACUAAGAUAUGAAAAAAAAAAAAAAAAAACAUGUUAAGUGUAAAUUGGUGAUAAUUUAAAAUCGAGACAAGGAAAAGGACAAAAAUCGAUGCGUUGACCGCGUUGACCGUGCCGCUGCCGGUCGAUCGGGUGACUUACCGGUCGACCGGUUCAUUGGGGUGAGAAUUUAAAGCGCCUCCCGCGCCUCAGUUUCUCACUCAUUUCUUCUGGUGCUUCAAGCCUUGUGUCGUUCCAGCUCCCCUCAAGGGAUUUUAUACGCCAUUACAGCCUUCUGAGACGUACGGAUUGGAUUGUGGAGUCUAGGGUUUUGGAUUUUGGGACUCAGGGCUACGCAUUUGGGCGAUUUCCUCCUCAGUUGGCGCGUCAGAGCCUGCGUCAGUGUAUUCCCGCUCUUGAGGCCUUUCAGGUGUGUGUGCAUCCCUCUCUUCAGCCUCAUCUCCUUCAUCUCAGCCUUUCGGAUGGCACCUAGGAGAGAGUCAGCUGCUUCCAGGGCUCAGGGCAAGCGCCCUGCUGAGCCAUCUCAGCCAGAUCAGUCCGAGGCUCGCCGAAAGGCGAGGUACGACACCGCUCUUUUCGCUUUUGUCGAAGACUACCAGAGAUAUAAACAAAAAUUUGCCCAGAAGAAAGUUGUUCCAGGGAGAAGCAUCAAUUUCUCCCAGCUUAAGUACUUUGGAUUUGAGGAGAUUUUUGGACGGAUGAGAUGGCUGCCAGUGGUGACUAUUUCGGAGUCUAUCUUCCCGACUCUGAUUCGCACUUUCUACUCACGGGUGACCUACGGGGUUGGAGGACCGAUCACGUCGACUGUCAGAGGAGUUGAGAUCACCUUGAGUCCGGAGAGCAUUUGCCGGAUUUUCGAUAUACCAUCAGUUGGACUCAGGGUGUAUGAGUCCAAGGUGUGGCCCACGGUGCCGGGAUUUGAGCCCAGAGAGGCUAUUCAGAGGCUGUGUGGACUUGCCGAUGCCCAGGGGAUGGGCAAACCCUCUGCACAUAGCCUGACAGUGAUUAGCCGUAUCCUUCAUCACAUGGUGUGCACCAUUCUGUUGCCACGGGGCGGACAUCUAGACGAGGUAGCCUACCUCGAGGCUUUCAUAGUGGAUUCCAUUUUGACAGGGAGACGGAUUCAUGUCGGGUACCUGAUGAUGAUGCAUAUGAUAUCUUGCUGUGAGAGCAAGACCCGCGUCCUCCCCUAUGGUCGCUUCCUCACGAGAGUAUUCAAGGAUGCCGGGGUUGAUUUGAGCCGCGAGACAGAUUUCGAGGCCCCAACCACGUAUGACACAUAUGACGAGCAGUCUCUUGCCCGUAUGAAGUUUGAGAAGGCCCCUGAUGGCUCUUGGAUCAGGAGAGCUGAGCGACCACCGCCACAGGACCAGGGGUAGGGACAGCUGCAUCCUGUAGAUGAGGAGGAGGCCGAGAUUGGAGAGAUGGAGGGUGGGCUAGACCCUCAGAGGGACUUUGAGCAGAGCAUGCCUGAGUGCGACAUUCCUCCUCCUGAGCCGAUGAUAUCUAAGCCGGCAUACACAGCUGGACCAUCUGAGCCUUCUCACGCAGAGAUACCAUUUCAGGCACCUCACGCACCCGAUCAUGCACCUUGGAUGGAUUUAUCCGCUCAGAUCAGUUCUCUCGGGACUCGUAUGGAGGAGCUUGCAGUCGUCAAUGAUACUCGUUUCCACUCUAUGGAGGAUCGCAUAGAUGAGUAUCAGACCGGCUUCACCUCUCAGUUUGAGCAUCUCGAUCAGAGACUUGGGCAUCUUCAGGAGCGUAUGGAUCACCAACAUGAGGAGAUGAUGGCCUACCUUCGCUCAGUGUUUCCUCCACCUCCGCCUUGAUAUCUUCGAGACCCCCCCCCCCCCCCCCUCCCCUUCGUUUGUUUUUUAUGUUACCAAAGGGUCUAGGGGACAUGAGGACACAUGCAUGACAUUUCCAUAUCAUUAGUCUUGUGUUGUGUAUAUGCGAUAUUAUUAUAUAUGAUAUGAUAUUUUCGGAAUUCACAUUGUCUCCUACUGAAAUUUUGCAUGUCAUUUAAAAUUUUUGCUUUAAUUGAUCCAUGUUUGGAUUGAGGGGGAGAUUUCUUCUCUCCUAGAUAAGGAAGGUUUGUCAUCAUCAAAUAGGGGGAGAUUGUUAGCCGAAGGGUGCCCCUAAUCGGGUUUUGAUGAUAACAAACCAUGGUUAAGUGAUUAAUUGUUUUAAAUUCUCAGGUAUAAACUCGAAAAUUCAUCAAAGGACUAAAUGGAUACAUGAUCGAGACGCUUCAAAGACUUGAGAUCAUAGGAAAUAAAUGUAGGAUGAUAGCACGAGUGCACUUAGGAUGUUCAUACCUUUUCAUGCAUCUUAGAAAACUCGGUUUAUUCUUUAAAACUUGAUUUUCUUUAAAACCAGAUUUUUAUCAAACAUACCUUAGGAAAAUUGAUUAUAAAUUGGUAUAUUAAUUCACCUAAAGACCUUGCCUAAGUAGUACAAAAGAAAGGAAUUUUCAAAAGGAAGGUUUUUGGGGUAAAAAUGCUCAACCGGUCGACUCUAUGUAUCAGCCGGUCGACCGGUUUAUCAUGUCCGGUCCAUACCGGUCGAGGAGUGUCAUAAACACACUCUCUCAUCUAAUGGUUUAGCCUGUCAGCAGCUAGUGUCAGCUGCACCAUCAAGUCAUCCAUCCUGUCUUUCUUUCCCCUAAACUUGGAAGUAUUACAGAGUUGAGAGUUUACAUAUUUUGAGAGCCUCGCUGUAAGUCACUAUAAACUAAUUCUUUUCUCCAUAGCUAUUGAUCUAAUACUCUGAAACCUAGACAUAUGACUCAGCCUCAAAUCUAGAUGUUUUAGGUCACCCCUCCAUGGAGGGCAGGAAAAUAUUCUAGGUACAUUAUCCCAGGGCAUAGUUGUGACCACACUGAUCAUUAUGCGAGAAGUCGUAUUAGAGUUGUCAUUUGACAUAAAGUGAGGAUACUUUAGUAUCAAAAUUAUUCAUUUUUUUCGGCAAUACCUGGCAUUAGCACUUUCAUUUUGUGAAAUGGCAUGAUUUAAGACACUUUCUGGAGUCACUAAUUGCAGAAGAGUUAAAAGUCCUUUGUCUCAUGGUUUGGCAUGGGAGGGUUAGGUUUCAACUUAGACACUUAAAAGAACCGUGUUGGUUUCCUGAAUUUCAACAAGAAAACACAUUAUACGAACUCAAAUAAUGUGGCAUAACACAACAAAGUAGUGUAAGUCCAGCAGAAAAAACAAGAAAAAAGGACAUGAAAGCCAUUUAUGUAUCUCUCCCAUAUCACUCACUGCACUGCACCUCUACUAACACUAUCUCUUGUGGCCCUUGCUUUGCCUUUCCCUAGCAACAACUUAAUGCCCACAUUUUGGUAAAGUUUGUGAGUAGAGCUACUAAUAUUCUCAAAAACUUUUCAUGGAUUAGUAGUGAAGUUCUUCAGUACUUAAUUUGUUGUAUAAAAUUUAUAUUUUAGUAAAAUACCCGAACUUGUUUAAUUGUGAAAAUCCAAAAUCAAUCAAAUUAAUAUAUUAAUACUAACGGGUCUUUCGUAAAACUUAAGACAUUUCAGUAAUUAAUUUACUUUAUCAAAUUUAAGGUUUAAUAAAGUUCAGAUAUCGAAGAAUAAAAAAACAUGGUACUAAGUUUUCUUUUUUUUAAAAAUAAAAUAAACAAAUACAUGUUAAAUUAAAGUUCUCUAUUCACAACAACCUAGGACACAUAUUCUAGAUAUUUCUGUUUUUAGUAAAAAAUCUCAUCUCUUGCAAAACCACAAACCUGAUGCAACAGCAACAUUAUUGAAAAUAACAAAAAAGCAAUGGUUAUUAAAUCAGAAAUGAAAAGGAAAAUAUUAAGGUUCACAUGAUCUGUAAUUAACAGAGAGGGGUUUAUGCUCAUUCCUAUAUAUACCUAAAUCCACAUGGAUCAAAGUUAGGCCAGACGUUGUCAUACUGAAAAUAAAUGUAAAGAUAAAGAACUACGACCAUAGAGUUUGUUUGGAAAUGAAAGAAUGGCAACUUCCCUUUUCUUGAUGAUUGGAGGAACAAUGGUCAUUUCUGCAUUUUUUGAUUCUCUGAUAGUUACCAACCGGUCGACAAAAUGCAUCAACCGGUACCAAGUUGUUUUGCUACCGGUAGCAACUGAUCAGUUUGGGUGGUGCAUGCAGAAAUGACCAGUGUCUACCGGUCGAGUGCACAGAUCAACCGGUUGACAUUUACCGGUCGACCGGUUAAAUAUUGAUACACUCGGGUGCGAUAUGCUUGCCUGCUUGCAUAAAUUAUCGUACUAAGUUUUAGCCCUCUUGUUCCUUAUUAACGCCAUUCCUGAUUUACUAUUUUAAAUACAUUUUUUGCACAAUUAGAUCAUCUCAAAUUAAUUUGUGUAACUUGUGAAUUUAUGGUAUGGAAGUUCCUUAAAGGAGACUUCAGAUUCACCUCCCCUUGUUGCUGCUGCGUCUAUUGGGCUCAUGGGCCUCGUUGGUGUAAAUGUGGACAAAUUUGUGGAAUUUUUGGGAAUGUUGUAGAAAUUUGGUAUGUGGGGUGUUGACGAAUCUUUGGGCUUUUAUUCCAAUAAAUGCAUGAGAUUGAUUUUGAUCCAUGAUUAUAUAAAGAGGGAUCCAAGCAUAGCAUUGGUUAUGGUUUUCAACUAAUCAAGAUAUUUAUAGAAAGAGAUGUAUAAAUUUUCUUGUCGUAUUUUAUAAAUUUGGUAACUUCAUUUUUUGGAACUGGUGCCACUCGGCUUGUGUAUAUAGUACAAAGACCUUUGCAUGCCUGAAGUUAAAAUUGAAUAGAUUCAUAUUAGUCCACUUAGAACACUAUCAGCAACAUGGGUACUAAUAAUAUCAAAUCAGCAAUUUCUCCAGUAACAGAGAAUGGCAAUGUGUGUGUGUGUGUGUUUGUGUGUGUGUGAGAGAGAGAGAGAGAGAUAGAGAGAGAGGACACCUCAUUAAUGUCACACUGCUUAUCAGCUUCAAUAUAAAUACAACCCUUUACAUGAUCAACUAAAAAAACAGAUAUUAUCUGCAGCUUAGUUCCUAGUGACUGCAAGUCAACGUAAUUAUUCAUAAGACAGAAAGCUGAAAGCCUCUCCCGUCCAACCUACAGCCAAGAUAUUCUUCAGGUCAACUCAACAAAUGAAAGGAGCGUAAAAGGGGAGGGAUUGCUCAAGGCAUUCCAAAUUCAGAUCUCAAAUUAUUAAACAUUGUACCAUGCACUUGACUUUCCAGAUCGUUGGAUCCUUAAUAGAAGGGAUAAGCGAGUUUCUGUUUCACUGAUCUUUUCGUCUCAUAAUCAUCUUCAGCAUAGGUAACAAAUUUAGAACCAUCCUUGUAACAUUCUUCUACCAUCUUUUCAAGAUCUUCCUCACUCAGCUCCUUUUCAUUGGGAAAAAAUGGAAGGUUAUGGGCUUUUCCAGCUUCGUUCUUAACUUUUUGGCCUGUAUUGAAUUAAUCCGCUUCAAAAUCUGUUCCCAAAGACGGAAAAACAGAAUUAUCAAUCUAUAUAACACAUUGAUAGGAUGAAGUAAUGCAAGAUAAAUUAUCAAUCUUAACUUUUAGCCCUGUAUUGAAUUCAUCCUCCAAAAAAUAUGUUCCCAAAGACGAAAAAACAGAAUUAUCAAUCUAUAUAACACAUUGGUAGGAUGAAGUAAUGCAAGAUAAACCAAAAUUAUCCCCUACCGUAACAACGAAACAUGAUGCCUAAACAUCACCACAUCCACUAAUUUUUAUUUUUUAUAUAAGUAAUAAAUUUUCUUACCAAAUGCGUAAAAAGAGAGCAAGAGUAUCAGCACAUCCAUUAAUAUAAUCAAUGGACUCUUACCAAAUGCGUAAAAUAUGCUUGUGUAUAAAAAUUCAGACUAGCCAGCUACAAUUUACAUCUUCCAUGGGUUUUCAUUUUUCCUCGACCAGUACUCGACCGGACGCCAUAAGCCAGUCGACCGAUCCAUCAACAGGUUGACCGGUUGAUCUAAUCCUCGACCGGUUGAGUUUUUUUGGCCUCGAAAAACCUAUUUUCUAAUUCCUUUCUUUUCUAAAACUUAUGGAAGGUCUUUAGGUGAGUUAAUAUGCGAAUUUUGAAUCAAUUUGCCUAAGGUCUAUUUGAUAAAACUCGGGUUUUAAAGAAAAUCAAGUUUUAAAUAAAAAACCGAGUUUUCUAAGGUGCAUGAAAAGGUAUGAACAUCCUAAGUGCACUCAUGCUAUCAUCUUACAUUCAUUUCCUAUGAUGUCAAGUAUUCCAAUCGUCUCGAUAUUGUAUCCAUUUGGUCCUUUGAUGAAUUUCGUAGUUAAUACUUGAGAUUCUUAAACAUUAAACCAAUUAGUUACUUAACCAUAGUUUGUUAUCAUCGAAACCCGAUUAGGAGAACCCUUGGGCUAACAAGCUCCCUCUAUUUGAUGAUGACAAACCUUGGUUAUCUAGGAUAGAAAGAAAUCUCCCCCUCAAACCAAUCAUGGAUCAAUCAAAUGAUAAGCAAUGUAAAACACGAAGAAUCAAUUGAUAAAAAUAUCAUAUCAUAUCAUAUAUAUAUGGAAAUCUCACAUGUACAAUAAGAUAGAUAUGACAUUGAUAACAAUGACAUGCAUGAGAGACUAAUAGAUCCUAUAGAUCGUACAUCCUAUAAAUAUCUCCCCCUUUGGCAACAUAAAAAAGAAACGAAGGGGGAUCCCAAACACACUCAUGGCUGAGGAGGUGGUGGUGGAAACACAGAACGUAUGUAAGCCAUCAUCUCCUCGUCAACGUUAUUAUCUUUGUAAAAAAGGGGAAAAAAAUAAUAAUUUGAUAUUAUUAUUGUAACAUGUACAAAAUUAAAUAAAAUGAAGUUAUUAAAUAAAUUAAUUUAAACUAUAAAUAUUAUAAAAAUAAUAAAUUGGAUUUAGAUUAGGUUUGGGUUGUUCGAAUUUUUAUUUGUAUUUCACCUUAAUUAAGUUUGGGGAAAAAAAAUUGUACCCUAAGAUUAUAAAUAAUUGUCGAACCUUAUCCAAAAAAAGGUUGGCUUAAGUCAUGACAACUUGCCUAAAUUGCACCUCCUAAUUCCGAUUAUCCAAAAAAGACUUGAUGGCCUAUUGAAGAAAAAGGAUCAAAUCUCAAUAACCCCUUAAAUGAGGAUUCAACAUAAGAUCAACAUUUUUUAAACAAGUAAAUUUUGGAACGACUUUGUGGGAUUGAAAGAAACUAACAAAAACCAACAAAGGUACAAAAACUGAUACAUAUGGUGGUAGCAUAAGGUUAUAUAAUUCAUUAGUUACUUCAAAUGCAAUUAUUAUGAUCUGUGCGAACGGUCAUUUAUUAUUUUAUUCAUGUUCGUUAUGUCCAUGUUGAAUUGUGUUAUUUAACUAAAAAUUGCAUCAAAUGCAUUGGAAGCCUAUGUCUAUACAUGAUAAGAUUUGGUUUUUUAAGGAUCACAAGGUUCGUUUGGUGUUUGAUGUCAGCUUGUCUGUGGGUAAGCCUAUGUCUUGAUCUAUGUUGUUGGGAAUAGUAACAAAGAGAAGUCAUAUGUCAUGAUCUAAUCGCCAUAUCACAUACCUAAAUGAAAACAAAAUGAAUUUUAUUAACCGGUCGACCGGUUAACUUCUGCCGGAUGCGUACUUUUCUCAACCGGUAGCCACUGGCCCUUUUGGUUGCUGGAUUCUCAAAUGGACAGUGGCUACCGGUUGAGAAAAGUAAGAAACCGGUAGAAGAUAACCGGUCGACCGAUUAACAUUUCCUUGUAUAAGUUGUAAUUUGUUUGGAUUCCCCUAUAGAUUUGUGUAUUGAUAGGCCAUUUGGUAUUUUGCUACCUGUAAUUGCUCUUUCUUUGAAGGGACAUCAUUGUGGUAAACGAACAUCCAUAUAAACCGACCUUUAGUUGCGUGCAAGCGGGUAUAUAUUUUAUGUGAAGGUGCGUUAAUAAUAGAGGUCGAAGUGAUUAUUAAUAAUUUAAACUAUAAAUANNNNNNNNNNNNNNNNNNNNNNNNNNNNNNNNNNNNNNNNNNNNNNNNNNNNNNNNNNNNNNNNNNNNNNNNNNNNNNNNNNNNNNNNNNNNNNNNNNNNUAAACUAUAAAUAUUAUAAAAAUAUUAAAUUGGAUUUUGAAUCCUCACAUUCUUCGUACCCUCCCAAUUCUCCAAAAAUACUAAAAAAUUCAAAAAUAUUAAAAAAUUAACAAGGGUGCGAGGAAUGUGAGGAAUCUUCACAUUCUUCGUACCCUCCCAAUUCUGCACUUAUUUGGACUUUUUAAAAAUAUCUGGGGCAUCAUAUGGCUUGUAUGUUGUUUAAGUUGGUCCGUUACACUUAGAAGGUGGUCAAAUGACAUCCGGAAAAAUCGAAAUCCAAAAAUACUAAAAAAUUCACAAGGGUACGAAGAAUGUGAGGAAUCCUCACAUUCUUCGUACCCUCCCAAUUCUCCACUUCUUUGGACUUUUUAAAAAUAUUUGGGGCAUCAUAUGGCUUGGAUGUUGUUUAAGUUGGUCCGUUACACUUAGAAGGUGGUCAAAUGACAUCCGGAAAAAUCGAAAUCAAAAAAUACUAAAAAAUUCACAAGGGUACGAAGAAUGUGAGGAAUCCUCACAUUCUUCGUACCCUCCCAAUUCUCCACUUCUUUGGACUUUUUAAAAAUAUUUGGGGCAUCAUAUGGCUUGGAUGUUGUUUAAGUUGGUCCGUUACACUUAGAAGGUGGUCAAAUGACAUCCGGAAAAAUCGAAAUCAAAAAAUACUAAAAAAUUCACUACAUUUUGAGGGUGUGAAAUGGAUCGUAAAAUUCAAAGUGAAAGUUUACCGAACAAAUAUGUGAGGGGUUUAAACUUUUUUGGAUUUAAUAUGGCUUGGAUAUUGUUUAAAUCAGUUCAUUAUACUUAGGAGGUGGUCAAAUGAUUUCCAGAAAAAUCCAAAUCUAAACAUACUCAAAAAAUUCUGUACAUUUUGAGGGUGUGAAAUGGAUCGUAAAAUUCAAAGUGGAAGUUUACCGAAAAAAUAUGUGAGGGGUUUGGAUUUCCAUAUUGUUAGUAAUUAUACCUUUUUUGUAUUUUCAAUAUUUCAACCAAUUUUUUUUGAAAAGCUAAGAAAUCUCAAUUAAUAAUUAGUACACAACUAAUUUAAUUUUAAUUUGAUAUAUAUUUUAUAAAAUUUAGUUCUAGUUUUCCUAUUUUUUUAAGUUCAUAAACCAAUUAUAUUGCUUUUCACACUUCAAAUAUUAGUCAAAUUUUUUUCAACAAAUUAUUUGAUGUUAAAAUAAAAUAAAUUUACUUUUCCUUAAUUUCUAAAUUAUAUCACCAAAUUCUUUAUAAUUUUUUUUAUUUUAAAUUUAAUUUUUAUGUGGGGUUUAAUCACUUUAUAGUACAAAAAUAAAUAAACUGUAAUUUAUUUUUUCAAAAUUUUCUUUAUUUAUUAUUUGAUGUUAAAAUAAAUUAAAUUUACUUUUCCUUAAUUUCUAAAUUAUAUCACCAAAUUCUUUAUAAUUUUUUUUAUUUUAAAUUUAAUUUUUAUGUGGGGUUUAAUCACUUUAUAGUACAAAAAUAAAUAAACUGUAAUUUAUUUUUUCAAAAUUUUCUUUAUUUAUUAUUUGAUGUUANNNNNNNNNNNNNNNNNNNNNNNNNNNNNNNNNNNNNNNNNNNNNNNNNNNNNNNNNNNNNNNNNNNNNNNNNNNNNNNNNNNNNNNNNNNNNNNNNNNNUUCAUAAACCAAUUAUAUUGCUUAUCACACUUCAAAUAUUAGUCAAAUUUUUCUCAACAAAUUAUUUGAUGUUAAAAUAAAUUAAAUUUACUUUUCCUUAAUUUCUAAAUUAUAUCACCAAAUUCUUUAUAAUUUUUUUUUAUUUUAAAUUUAAUUUUUAUGUGGGGUUUAAUCACUUUAUAGUACAAAAAUAAAUAAACUGUAAUUUAUUUUUUCAAAAUUUUCUUUAUUUAUUAUUUGAUGUUAAAAUAAAAUAAAUUUACUUUUCCUUAAUUUCUAAAUUAUAUCACCAAAUUCUUUAUAAUUUUUUUUAUUUUAAAUUUAAUUUUUAUGUGGGGUUUAAUCACUUUAUAGUACAAAAAUAAAUAAACUGUAAUUUAUUUUUUCAAAAUUUUCUUUAUUUAUUAUUUGAUGUUAAAAUAAAAUAAAUUUACUUUUCCUUAAUUUCUAAAUUAUAUCACCAAAUUCUUUAUAAUUUUUUUUAUUUUAAAUUUAAUUUUUAUGUGGGGUUUAAUCACUUUAUAGUACAAAAAUAAAUAAACUGUAAUUUAUUUUUUCAAAAUUUUCUUUAUUUAUUAUUUGAUGUUAAAAUAAAUUAAAUUUACUUUUCCUUAAUUUCUAAAUUAUAUCACCAAAUUCUUUAUAAUUUUUUUUAUUUUAAAUUUAAUUUUUAUGUGGGGUUUAAUCACUUUAUAGUACAAAAAUAAAUAAACUGUAAUUUAUUUUUUCAAAAUUUUCUUUAUUUAUUAUUUGAUGUUAAAAUAAAUUAAAUUUACUUUUCCUUAAUUUCUAAAUUAUAUCACCAAAUUCUUUAUAAUUUUUUUUAUUUUAAAUUUAAUUUUUAUGUGGGGUUUAAUCACUUUAUAGUACAAAAAUAAAUAAACUGUAAUUUAUUUUUUCAAAAUUUUCUUUAUUUAUUAUUUGAUGUUAAAAUAAAAUAAAUUUACUUUUCCUUAAUUUCUAAAUUAUAUCACCAAAUUCUUUAUAAUUUUUUUUAUUUUAAAUUUAAUUUUUAUGUGGGGUUUAAUCACUUUAUAGUACAAAAAUAAAUAAACUGUAAUUUAUUUUUUCAAAAUUUUCUUUAUUUAUUAUUUGAUGUUAAAAUAAAUUAAAUUUACUUUUCCUUAAUUUCUAAAUUAUAUCACCAAAUUCUUUAUAAUUUUUUUAUUUAUUUUAAAUUUAAUUUUUAUGUGGGGUUUAAUCACUAUGUAGUACAAAAAUAAAUAAACUGUAAUUUAUUUUUUCAAAAUUUUCUUUAUUUUUCUGUUUCAUAAAAAAAAAUUCCUAAACAAAAUAAUUACAUUAAACAAAUUUAUAAUUGGUUAAUGUAAUAAAUGUAACAAUGUGUGUUGCAUGAAAUUAUUUCCCAUGGCAACCGGUUGGGUGACUUGAAGAACAGGUUUUGUUUUUUUUUUCUUUUUUAAAUGCCAUGUGUCUCUACCCUAUUAGCCCAAAAAAAGUUGGUAUGGUACCGAAAAGUGCUUUUCGGUACCGUAGCAAGACCCUAAAAAAUAACAUAAAUAUAUUUCAUGGAGUGGACCAGUGUGUACUUAGUUGACCAGGACUGACGACAGCAAUGACGUGGAAUGAUCAAAGCAAUGACCUCUCGUGGAAGCAACCAGAGCAUUGGAUGCUCCAUAACCAAACUUUACUUCACUCGCAAACUUGUGGCACAAGCUCAUUAGUUUUAGUUCUAUUAUUUACUAGUAAAAUUAAAAUUUAAUAAGUUUUUAAAAAUAAAUAAAUGUGCUGAUUUUUUUUUAAUGCAGAUAUUAUAUAUAUAAAAGCUAAAUUGCUUUCUAUUUGAUAAUAUUUUUGGAUUUAAAUAUGAUAUUAAUUUUAAAAUUAAAUUAUUUUUGUACAAAUGAUAAAAAUACAGGAAUAUGUCAACCGACAGUUUUAAUUUUUUUUUUUAAAAAAGUGAUUACAUUAAAAUGAGAUUUGAUAAAUAAAUUCUAGACUGAUAAAAACCAUAUAGAAAAACUUAAAAUAUUGGAAUUCUGGAAUUCUGGAGAAAGAAAGAAAACUGAGAUAAUGAUAUAAUAUGGAAGGAAAGUGCAUGCUGAGAUAAGGAAUGAGCAUCACCACCUCCUAGAAAUUUCCAAGGUUUUAACCCACUCUCUGAGAUUUGCUAUAAAUACUUGACAAUUUCCCUUGGGUUGUUCAUCAAUACUUGAGUCUGAAUCUUAUUGAUCACAGUAGGAGCAAUGGCAGACGAGAUUAUCUUGUUGGAUUUCUGGCCUAGCAUGUUUGGUAUGAGGGUCAGACUUGCCCUGUCAGAGAAGGGCCUCAAGUAUGAAUAUAAAGAGGAGGACCUUAGGAACAAGAGCCCUCUGCUUCUUGAGAUGAAUCCAGUUCAUAAGAAAAUCCCGGUUCUGAUCCACAAUGGAAAGCCCAUUUGUGAGUCUCUGUUAAUAGUUCAGUAUAUUGAUGAGGUUUGGCACGAUAAAUCUCCGCUUUUGCCUAGUGACCCAUACCAGAGAGCCCAGGCCAGGUUCUGGGCGGACUACGUAGACAAGAAGGUAUGUCUUUGCUGUUGAUUUAAAGCCUUUUUUUUCCAUUGAUUCAUGGCGAUUGGCUCAGAUUUUGAUAAUGAUGAGGGAUUUGUCCAAAAUGCUGGGUUCUUCUUCACACAUUCUCUUCUGACAUUAAGUUUUGUGGGCCUUGGGGUCUCAAACUAGAACUUUACUGAUUCUCUUUGCUGCGUGUGCAACAAGACUCCACUUUGCAUUUCUGAUGUGGGUUUUCAGUUCUUUGUUAUAUAUGGGUUUUCAUUUCUUUGUUCUGCUGAAUCUGAAGUCCGUUCUUUCCACCCAAAAAAGCAGAUCUCAAGAAUGCCUUUUCCCUCAAGAAAGGGGAUCCAAAAACCAGUUUUUACAGCACAGUGUUUGGUUUUUUUUUGUUAUCCUGAUGUUCAACAUUUUGCAGAGCAGUUCUUUUAAUACAUGUUUUGUUGCUUUGAUCUCUUUCUUCUCAUUUUCUAAAACCCACAUUGAGGGGAAAAGCUUUAGCAAAUGAUACAUUCUUUCAACUGAUUCUGAUAUUUUUCUGCCACCGGCCCUUCAUUUAAUAUGUUCCUAGUAUAUGAGAUUUCUAUGCUGAAGGGUCCUUAAUAAACUUGUCCAACUAUACAGAAAGUUGAAACUUGAUGAAAUGCUCCAAAAAAAUAACCCUUUUCUCUCUUUGACUUUAUUGUUUUCCACAGCUCUAUGAACUUGGAAGGAAGAUAUGGUCAACCAAAGGAGAAGAGCAGGAAACAGCCAAGAAGGAAUUCAUAGAGUGCCUCAAGCUUCUGGAAGGAGAGCUUGGAGAGAAGCCUUACUUCGGCGGUGAAAAAAUUGGGUUUGUGGAUGUGGCUCUGGUGACCUUCUCUUGCUGGUUUCAUGCAUAUGAGAGCUUUGGAAACUUCAGCAUAGAGGCGGAGUGUCCCAAGUUGAUAGCUUGGACCAAGAGGUGCAUGGAAAAGGAGAGCGUGUCGUCUUCUCUGGAAGACCCACACAAGGUCCAUGGCUUUGUUAUGGGGAUGAGAAAGAAGCUUGGCAUAGAAUAACUAUUUUGUAGUGUUGCUGUGGUAAUAUUAGAUAUAUGUGAGUGUUUGGCUGUUUGCUUAAGUUUUUGCUUUGAAAUUGUAUGGUUACUAUUUGCAGUUGAAACCCCUUUUGGAGGGUUGGUGGGUUUGCUGGAAAGAAAUGUUUUGAAUUUGUUUUCAUUUGUUUUGGACUGGACUAGAGAGGUGUUCUUUGUAUUCCAUCAUUUCGUGUCAUAAACAAGUAUUAACACAAGUUGGAUAAGGCAUGCCUCUGGCCCUUUAUGGUAACGUACAAAGAUAUCAUGGGCCUACAAAGAUAUCAUGGGCUACAGAAUAGGUUAGGGCCCGCUUUUUAAAUCACUUUUUUUAACUAAUAUGUUUGGCAAAAGAUGUUCUUCAAUAAUUUAAUUCAUCUUCCUUGUCGGUCAUUUUAAGUAACAAGAAAAUGAAAAAGAAAUAAGAGAAAAGUUCAAUCACGUUCCAUAAUGUUUGUUUUUGAAAAUUGCUUUUAUGUUAAACAAACAAAAAUAAUUUUUUAAAAUUUUAUAAAAUUUUAUAAAAUAAGGAUGUUUGACAAGUUAUUUUGAAAUUGGUUUUUCUUUUAAAAAAAAAUAAUUUUUCUAUGUUGAUUUUGUAAAAAUAUUCUAAAUUUAAUUAAUAGAAAUUUAAUUGAGGUCUUAUAAAAAAUGAAAUUAGUUUUAAAUUAUAAAUAAAUUAAAAAUAGUAUAAUAUAUCAGCGUGGACCUAUUUUUUUUACGUGCGUCCUCACUCGACGAUGAGACUCGUUUUUUAUUUAUUUGGUGAAAAAUAUGAUUUUUAGAAAAAGAUUUGAAGUCCUCAUUGAUUUUUGUUUUAUUUUUCAAGGGAAAGACAAAAUAAAAAAUAAAAACCCUAAAUAUGAUUUCUGAAGGAAAAAUAGGUUUGUGAAAAAUCGAGUUUGGGUUUGGGGAUCAAGUUACUUAUUAGGAAGGUAUGGUAAUGAGUUAUAACACCCCUCUAAGCUCGUUUAUGUACGACCUCUACUAAAUGAAUUAAGGAAAUUGUGACAAUUAAUUAAUUAAUUAUAGAUACCAAGAAAAAUAAUCAUGUAAAUGAGUAUGUACAAGUCAAGGUGAAAAUUAAUAUACACAAAAAUAAUGAUGAAAUCUAAUUACAAGAAUACACAAAAUAAAUAACAAAAGAAUUAUGCAAAAAUAAUUUAUUGAACUAAAUAAAAAAUAUUAAAAAAAUAGUUUUCAAGAAAUUUCGAAGGAUUUUAUUAAAAAUGAUUUUUAAUUAAUGAUUUUAAUUUUUUUUAUUUACAAAAAAGAAGUUUCAAUUUAUUUUCAAUUAAUGAUUUGAUUCAAUUUCAUUUGUAUUUAAUUUUUUUUAAAAAAAAAGUUAUUUGCACUUAUUAUAUCAAAAGAAUUUAUUACAAAAUUUCAAUUUGGUAAUAAAAAUGAUUUUUACUUGCUUUUACAAAAAAAAUUACAAUUUUAUUUACGAAAGUAUUUCACUUUGUUUUAAUUUGAGAAAAGUGACUUAUACAAAUUAUUAAAAAGAAUAUAACUUUAUUUGCAAAAGAAUUUUUAAUUAAAAAUUAAUUUUUGGGACAACUUUAUUUACAAAAUAAUGUUUGGACAAUUUUUAUUAAACAAAUAAAUUUUUGGACAAUUAUUAUUAAAAAUAAUUUUUCAAAUUCUAUUAAAAACAAUUUUUUUGGAUUUUUCUAAAAGCAUUUUUUUGAAUUUUUAUUAAUAAAAAAAACUUUCUUUUAUUAAAAAGAAUAUUUUAAAAUUAUUAUUUUAUUAGAAUAUAUUUACUAAAUUAUUCCUCUUAUUUAAAUGACAAUUUUGAUUUGUUAAAUAUUUAAUUCUGUAUAUACUCAAUAAAUAUAUACAAACUAAUAUUUACAAGAACUAAUAGAAAUAAAAUCAAACAGAAGUGAGCAAUAAAACGUGUACCCAAAUAAGGUUACAACAAGCUUAAUGUCUCUCUACAACUUUUUUAUUCUUACUUUCUUCCAUGAAAUUUUGUGCUUCACGUGUUAUAAAUUUGUACUCAGCCAAUAGAAUUGCAGAAUAGGCCCAUGCAAAAACAAAAAUAGUUCAAAUGUAAAUAUCCAAAGGUGUACAAAAUCCUUAACAAAUAUUCAAACUCAAAUUCAAAUUUCAAAUUAGUUCGAUAAAUCUUGUCAAUCAAAAUGGACACAAAUUAACAAAUAUAACCUAACAAAAACAUCUCACAUGCUAUAAACCUUAAUCCAAAAAUUUCAAAUUAAUAACCAAAAUACAACACAAUUAGCCAAGCCCAAAAUAUCACAAAAUAAAAUAAAUUCAAUUAGGCCUAAAUUUAAUAUUUCAUAAUCCAAGCCUAAUUUAAUAUACACCAUAAUUGUCCCACAUCCAAAUUAAAUAGUUCAAAUUGGUGAAGCUCAUAUCAAAUAUUCAAGUCAUCAAUCAAAUUUCACCCACAUUGUGGACCCAAAAUCCAUACCUAUAUUAUGGGUCCAAAAUUCAUAUCAAUUAACAAGCCCACAUUAAUAAUACACAUGACCAAAGAAAAUAAUUUCCCAAGCCCAAUCCAAUAAGCCCAAAUAAAUAACAUUAGAUUCAAGUCAAAAUCAAUUACUAUGCAAACAAAAAUAAAAAAAUAAAGAUAAAAAAAUGAAAAUAAAAUAAAGUAAAAAGGAAAUUUACCCUUUUUUUUUAUAACUAUGGGUGGUAGGAUUGCUAGUCGGCAGUGACUGGCAGGUAAUGGCGGGUGGUGGCGGGCAGUGGUUGUCGGUAGUGGUGGGUGGUGGUUGGCCGGUAGUGGCCGUGGAGUGUGGGGAAGGGAAAAGGAAAGAAAAAGGAAGAGAAAAAAAAAUGAAGGAAGAUGGGGAGCGUGUGACAGUGGGGGUUUGUGGAAAAUGGCAGUGUAGAGAGAAGGACUAUGAGAAGAAGAAAAAAAAAAUGGAAGAGAAAAUGGGGACCAUCGUGUGUGAUAGUUGGGGGGAAGAAAAAAAAAAGAAAAAAGGAAGGGAGGAGAUGGGAGAGUUGACCGUGUUUGGUGUGUGGGUCGUGGAGCGGUUGUUGUGUUGGAAGGGAGCCUGAAGAAGAAAUGAUGGAGGAAAAAAAAGUGAAGAGAGGAACGUAGAGAAAGAUGAUAAAAAAAAAAAAAAAAAAAAAAAAACUUGGAGGGGGUAUGGGGAGUGGCUUAGACAUGUAGGAGAAGGAAAUGGGUAAGGGAAGUAGGUGGAGUGGGUAGAAUGAGGGGAAAGAGGAAGAGAGAAGAGAGAAGAGAGUGAAAAUAAAUAAAAUUAAAUUAAAAAUAAAAAUAUAAUAAUAAUAAUAAUAAUAAUAAUAAAUAAAUAAAUAAAUAAAUAAAAAUAAUAAUAAAAAUAAUAAUAAAAAUAAUUUAUAAAAUAAUAAAAACUAAGAAUUAAAGGGUGUAAGUGGGCUAAACAAUUAAGAUGUAAUCAAAAUUUAAAUCUAAGGAUAAAAUUGAGCUCAAUAUCAAUGUAAAAAUAAAAUUAGGACAAAUUUUGGGGUCUACAAUCGGUUUUCAUAUAUUAUUUCUUAUGGUGAUUAGAUCUAUUUACUAGGUUGUAACUUAAAAAAAAAAAAAAAAAACCUAUUAGUAAAUUCAAUGUUACUUGAUUUGAAGUUUAUUCUUUAAUAAAAAAAUUUAUAAAAAUAUAAGUAUGUAUAGAAAAAAAGUAGACUCAUUAAAACCCAAUUUUUAUCCAUAAAUUUUUAAUAUUAACCACUAUUUAAGUUUUAAGUUAUUUAAAAAAAUUACUAAACUCAUUAAUUAAUUUAAUGUAUUAAGUUUUGUUUAAUUUGGAUUUUAUUUGUCUAGUGAAAUAAAUAAAUAAAAAAUAUAGUUUCAUGUAGAAGAGAAACAAUAGAGUCAUUGUAGAUUAGAACUAGAAGUUAUAAAAAAUAUGUAAAAUAUAUAUAAUUAUAUAGCUGGAGUUUAUAUUAUAAAUUAUAAAGUUAAAAAAAAUAUAAAAAACUACCUUCAAUGUAAUUUCUAAUUUCUUUUAAUUAUAAUGUAUAAUCAAAAGUUAGACAAAACAAAAUUGUACACUCAUAAGUUAAAUAAUGAAUAUUUCAUAGCCUCAAAGGUGUAUACAAUUUUACACAUUUUUGUUAUGAUAAAAAUAAUCCAUAGCCAAAAACUAUGAAAGCGAUCAAUUCGUAAUUUUUAUUUUGUUAAUAUUACAUGAUGUUCAUGCAUUUUUUUAAACCAUAUUUAUAAUAAUCCUAUAGCGAUAAAAUAUAACAAAAUCUUAAAUCGUUAUAGUUUUAUUAUAGAAUAUUAACUGGAUAAAUAUUGUUAGAUAAUUUAAUUAAUUUAUUUUAAUAAAUUAAAAUAUUAUUCUAAUAAAAUUAUUUCAAAUAUUAUUCUAAUUUAAAAAUUACUAGACUGUUAAGUCUUGUUUAAUUUUGAGUUCAUUUAUAUAGUAAAAUAAAAUUGGAAAAUAUGAUUUCAUGUAGAAGAAAAAUAAUAGAGUUGUUAUAGACUAAUUUUCAUCCAUAAAUUUUUAAUAUUAAUUACAUCAUUAUUUGAGUUUUAAGUUAUUUCUAGAAAUUACUAAAUUUAUUAAUGAAUUCAACACAUUAAGUUUGGUAUAAUUUUAAGUUUAUUUGUCCAAUGAAACAAAAUUGGAAACAAUAAAGUCAUUCAAGUUCAAUUUUUGUCCAUAAAUUUAUGGUAUUAAUUGGAUCACUAUUUGCAUUGCAAUUUAUUUUUAAGAAUUACUUAGACUUGUUAAUAAAUUCAACGCAUUAAGUCAUACUUGAUUUGGUGAUUAUUUACUAAGUGAAAAAAAUUGUAAAAAUAUGAUUAUAUGCAAAGAAAAAACUAGCCAAGACAUUUAAAUGAAUUUUGGUGUAUGAUAUUCUAAUGUUAGUGAGUUUCAUGACUUUAUAGUACUAACUAAAUCAAUUUUUGACUUUUAAGUUAUUUUUAAAAAUUAGUAAAUUUUAUGUAUAAAGUAUAAUUUGAUUUAGAAUUUAUUUUAUCAAUGAAAAUUUUCUUAAAUUAAAUGAAAUUCAUUAAAACACAUGUAAUUUAAAAGAAUAUUAUAUUUGAAGAUUUUUAGUAUCGGUAUUAGAUCGUAGAAAGAGGUAAAGAAGAAUGAUAUCAUCUUCAAUCUUAUUUGCUUUUUAUAGUUUUUUUAAAUUCCUCUAUAUUUUUCUUUUGCUUUUAAAAAUUGAUGAAAACAAUUUCUACUUGUUUUCUAAAAUAUGUUUUUUAUUUCACUUUAUUUUUAAAAAUUACAAAUAGAAAACAACUAACAAACAAUUUUAUGAAUUUUUAAAAAUAGUUUUUUUUUUAAUUUUUAAAAACAAAAGUUAUUUUUUAAUGAAAUGGCCAAAUGGGCUAAAAACUUUUCAACAGCAAAUUUUGAGAAUUUGGGUCAAGUGCUAUGUGCUCUUGUACAAUCCUCCACUAUUUUUGGCCUUCAUGUCACCGUUGUCAACUUUUACUGUGAAUAAGUUCACGAGCUUAUCUUACUUUAUAUUCGAGAGCAAGGAACAAGAUCUUGAGAGAUGCUUGGUUUGUUUUUUUUUUUGUAUUAAAGAAAUAAAAGAGUAUUCACUUACUAUUCCAUUUUGUACUAAAAAAAUUUGAUAAGACAUUGAUAGGCAUGUAAAUAUUAUAACAUUUAAAUAAACUAAAAAUAUUUUUGUUAUAUUAUUUUAAUUUUAAUUUUUGAACUUUCAUAUUAACGUUCGUUUUAAUUUUUCAUAUGAUUUAAAAUUGAUCAUGGUUCUAACCUUUUACUAGGCUAAAAUCUUUAACUUUUUUAGAUACAUAAAAUAGAAAAUAAAAUAUAUUUUCAUAUAAAUUGUAUUAACAUUUCUUUAAUUAAUUUUUAUAUUUCUUAAAAUACAUAUAUCUUAAAAUACAUAUAUCUUUUUUAAAAAAUAAGUACAUCAUUUAGAAAAAUAGGUACAUCUAAUAUAAAAACAUGUACAUUUCAUUUCAUCGGGGAUUCUUAUCCUCAUUCAACCUAAUUCGGGUGUGGGAUUUCACUUAUGUAGGUCUCAGAAUGCAUUUGAGGUCUUCUUAUACCCUAUUCAACAUGAUAUAACUUUGUGUACAUGUUUUAAAAAAAUGUAUAAAAGUUUAGAAAAGUAUUUACAUCUAAUUUGAGUUGAAUCAUUCCCUUAUUCGACCUAUUUUGAAUCUAAAUUUUAACUUCUAUAUACCUCAUGAUGCAUUCCCAAACCCUAUUUGGCAUGGUAGAACCCUAGGUACAUAUGUUACAAAAAUAAGUAUACUCUUAAGAAAAAGUACAUCUUUUACAAUAAUAACUAUAUUCUUAAAUAUAUAUAUAUAUAUAUAUAUAUAUAUAUACAUUCGUAAGAAAAAUGCAUAUAUUUGAUUUGAGGUUAACCAUGAUCCAAUUCAACCUAAUUUGGAUAUAAGAUUUGACUUAUAUAUGCCUCAAAAUGUAUUUUAUGCCUUCCAAAACUUCAUGUAGCAUGGUAGAAGUAUAGGUUCUGAAAAGGUGAAUCUCAAUAGUGGAAUACACCUAAAGGGGGGUUGAAUAGGUGUUUUGACCAAUUGAACAAAAUCUCAACUCAAAUUAGUAAACCUUAAAACUUCUUGAAUAUUUUUCUUCUCUUCACAAAGUCUAAAAAACAAAUUAUAAAUCACAUGAAUAUAUGAAUGCAACAACACUCCCCAACAAUAUUCAAAUGAAAUUCACAUGCACAUGAUCUAAUACUCCUAAACCCAAAUCAACUUAAAACUAAAUUAUGAUAAAAACAAGAUCAAUAUACAUCAAAAUAUCAAUGAUUAACAAUCAGAAAUGACUUCAAAGAUAAUUCAUAGCCAUUUCUCUUUAUCAUUCAAUCAAAUACUAGACAAUCAAAAUUAUAAUAAAUUGUAGAAACUAAAAAAUGAUGCGAAGAAGAGAAAACGAGACAAUGAGACACCAUAAAUUUACAUGGAAAAUUUUUGAAGAGAUAAAAAACCAUAAGCCUACUACCAAUCAAAAACAUCCACUAUGAAGAAUAAAAACUAAAUACAAGGUUUUACCUAGCUCAAGCCAACUAAUCCUUCCCGGACCACUUGACUAGUACCUUCACUUUUAGUUUCUCACAUUCUUAUUUUAGAGCACAUUUGGAGUCUACACCAAGCUCGAUCUCGACCUCUUAUUGAUUUCACAUAAGAAAAAAAUGGGUUUUUGUGCAAAACCAAGAGAAUUAGAUAUGAAUGUUUCAAAAAUCAACCCAUGCUCAUUUUCAAAAAAUCCAUUUUAAAAAAAUUUCUUAGAAAACUUGGAUGGAUUUUCUUCGUAGGUAAACACCCUUAAAAUGGUGAGGAAAGAAAAAACUCUCUCACAACUAUUGUAGUCACCACUUAUAGAGAUGGAAGAGAUUUGAUUUUAAAUGAGAAAGAAACCCUUAAUCGAAGGGUUGAAAGUUGAUCUUAAAAAUAGGUUGGUUGGAUCAAUCUGCCUCUACACUUAGAUCAAUCCAAAAACAGGGGAACAAAAGCCUUGUGCUAAUAAUAUUUCUCCUUGUUUUCUUAACUCAUUUAAAGAUGAAAAAACAGGGUUGAUUCAUAUUCAAUCACCACACUCGACUAUAUACCUCAGCCUCUUAGCAAAGUUUUAAUCUUCAAAGGUCAAGUAGUCCGAAGAGGGAUUUGUAAACUGAGUUAGGGGACACUUAGGAAUUUUGUUUGAAAUUACCAACCUAGCUAAACACUCACAAUCUCCUCCUUUGGCAAUUCUGGGACAAAACUCUUUACAAUACGAAUGAGUACAAGUAAGUAAGUCCCACCCAACUCUCAUACAAGGCCACACACUCACUCAAAACCUCACCAAAGGUGCUACAAAUCCUAUAAAUAAAUCUCAAGAAAAAACUUUAGGAGCACUUGCACAUAUUACCAAGACACUUCCAUAAGUUUCGAAUGAAUUGAUACACAAAUAUCCACAUAUAUCCACAAAAUCACAUGUCUAAAGAUAGUUAAUAUGCAUUCAUGAGUUCAAAAACGUGUCAAAUAUCCAUCGAUAUACAAAAAGGGUGAUCAUGAUCAACAUAUCAAAUAUCCAAAGCAACAAAACACAAAGAAACCGUCAUGAUCAACUACAUGUCAUAUCAACAUCCAUGUAAAAUGUAAAAUGUUUCCUAAUUUUUGUCCCAGUAGGAGACAAAAGGUCAUAAUCUCCCAUUUUCUAUCUUAGAAAAAAGACAAAUGAAUGAGAAUUCAAUAGCAUAAUAUCUCACAUCCAAAUCAACAAACAUCCACUUUUCAACAAAAUGUCAAAUACCCAAAAAUCAAAUAUUCACAUAUUACCAAGUAUCCAUAUCAACAUUUCAGAAAAAAAAAAUUAUAGGAUACAAUAAUCUCCUCUUGACUCCCAUCACAAGAUAUAAGAAUCUCUCCCUGAAUCCUAUCACAUGGUUUCAAUUAAAAACUUUCAAAAAAUAUGCUUUAUCACCAUGAAAAUAGAUUUCAAGCAUGAAAAUUUAUGGAAACCACUCAAAAUGAACAACCAAAGCCUAGGAUUAGCAUUCCUAGAAACUAGGAACACUCCAAGGCAAAAAUGAAAUCUCAAACUAUUAAAACUAUUGUGAGAAGACUCCACACACAAAAAAUAAAUAAAUAAAAUCCAAAUGAGACUAAGGGCUGAUUGGAAUUUCCAGAAGUGUAGAUUGUGUUGUGUUGAUUGUGCUGUGAAAAACAUAGUCCUAAGGGUUGAUUGGAAUUUCCAACUGCUGGAACGGAAUCCCAACUACACAAGAUACAAUCUAGUGACGCACAUUGGAGGUCCUAGCCAACACAUACUAUGUAGAAGGCAAUUUCUGACAACACCGACGCACUAAGAAGAGACACACAGACCGACGACAUGAGUUGGACAACACAACAAUUCUAGGCUAUUCGACGAGGCUGUUUGGUGGGAUUGGCUAGACUUGAAACGCUCACCAGAUAGGGAAGUCUGACUAUAAAGGUUUCCAAUGGUAGAGACUUAUGACGGUAGUGGUCGGAAUGAUGAACCGACGAUGAUGGCUAAAGAGAAGCAUAGAGUAGAGAAGUUUCCUUCUUUAGAACAAAAGACCUAGGGCUUUUGAAAGAAAUGAAUUGGGAAAAACUGAUUUAGGGAUUUUGACUUUUUUACUUUUAGUUACGAAAAUACCUCUCAUCCAUUAAACCAUAUGAGCAUAACUAGUUGGGGGCAAAAAUGGAAAUUUUCACAAAUGCAUAAGUGGUAUCGAUUUUAGUGGAUUGAUCUAGCUUUCGAUUGUGCUCUCGAUGAUACACAGUCACAUAGGUUUGAACAUACCAAAUUUGAAAAAAAUGGUUAAGUGUGUGAGAGACAAGUACUAGGUGGUAUCGACCUUGGUGGAUCGAUCUAAGAUUCAUUCAAGGGCUCUCGAUCACUACAUUGUGCACACAAUGGAUCGAUCCACAAAUUCAAUAGAUCGAUCGACACCUAAUUGAAAAAUGACUUAGGCAAAAACUAUUGAAAAAUCACAAGAAAUACACCAAUAGGCUUUCCAAAAACUGAAAAUUGAUUGACCAAAGAUGAGAUACAAUAGGAUGGCAUACUUAUAUUUCAAUUAAUGAGUUAGAGUUGAUUCACAUUGAACAAAAAUGCUUCCAAGAACUUAACAAUGGACAAAAUUAAUAAACAUAGAGAUUGAAGUACUUUCCAAAUUUAUCAAAUGAAUAGGUAAAAAACAAAUGAUUAUCAACACUCUAACAAGGAAGCUUAAGCUAAAAAAAAAAACUCACUCAUGACACCAUAAAACGGUGAAAAUGUUAAAUAAUUUCCACUUAUAAACCUAUAUUCAUUUAUGAGCCAAAAAUCAUUUUCAAGAUACUCUUCCUUUCUAGAGAAAUUCAAGAUAAUGUUCCAAGAAGUCAAUUUGCAUCUCUCUUGGCUAGAUUUCUGUUUAACAUGACCUAAUCACAUCCCUUUAAUAAAAUUCAUACACUAUUUGCUUUUCAUAUUUAGCAUUGAAAGGAAUACAAAGCUAUAAGUUUUACCUUAAAGAUCAGUUUUUGACUUGAGGAUCUCUAAGGACGCCUUUACAACAUAACAACAUAAGAGAUGUCCCACUUUUGCAAGGGAGGCUUUUUAAUUCUUGAAACACUGCCAAAGAGCCAUAUCCAUUCCGGGAAACUUCAUAUUUUCUUUUUCUUUUCUUUUUCAUUUUUUUUAAAAAUUUAAUUUCAAAGAGAGGACAAACAAUCAAAGAUUGAUAUUCUCAACCUCUCAAGGAUAUUCCAGGUGUCUUUACUCACUCUUUAAUGCUCAUUAAAUGGGUAUAAGUUUACAUUUAGACUUUAAAGAGCAUUAUUCACCAUUUAUGCAAACACAAGGUCUAACAAUGAGCUUUUUCUCACUUAAUAGAAAUGAAGCUAAUCAUUUGUAGUUUAUCUAACCAAAUCAAAAUAGCAAGGAUUCAAUAUCAUGUUUAUCAAACAAGCCAUGGAGAUAAAGACAUCUUGAAGCUUUUAAGAUCAUGAUGAGUUAAUUUAACUUUUAAACAAAAUGAAUAAGCAUGUCACUCUCAUGAACUCAACAAUUGUUGAAAAUUUAUGAAAAAUGGAGAAAAGAUUGAACCAAAACAAAAAGAACAUCAAGUUGAUGAUAUUUGGGAACUUAGGAAGACAACUAGGACUCAAGAAUAUGCAAGAGGAGUCCUAGACAAGUUUUAGAGGCAAUUAAAUAGAGAGUAUAUAAACCUAUGGGGCUCCUAAGUGAUUCAAACCUAGAAAUGUCCAAAGGUUUAGUAACAUUGUUAGCAAUUUGACUUUCUAUAGGGAAAAACUCUAGUGAAACAACCUUGUCUUCUACCAAGUCUUGAAUGCAGUGAUGCUUAAUGUCCACAUGUUUUUAUCUAGAAUGAAGAACACGGUUCUUUAACCUAUCAAUAACAUUGGCAUCAUCAAAUUCCUCCCCAUCAAUCUUAACUUUUACAAUGGGAUGCUCUUUUUCAUUUUGCAACAAUCUAUGUUGUAGCAAGUGAUUAACACAUACAAUUUUAGAACUUCCACACACAAGAGAAGAGGAUGAAGGAGAUUUUUUACUAACAACAUAGCACUUAUCACAAAUUCUCAAGCCCAUCAUCACACAUACAUCAUUCAAGUUAAACACCUUGCAAAAAUUUUGUGAAAAUUUUACAUUGAACUCAUUCCCACACAUUUGGCUUAUUCUAACUAAGUUAGCCUUUAAACCUUCAUAUAAGACCUCUUCAAGAUUAGGAAUUUCGGGGGCACAAAUGGUACCUUUGUCUUUCACCCUAGCCACAUUACCAUAUCUAAAUGUCACAUUUCCUCCAUCAAAUUCAGUGAAUGAAGUGAACAAAGAUUUAUUUCCAGUCAUAUGAUGUGAGCAUCUACUAUCAAGAUUCCAUGAGUGUGACUCACUAGCUCUAAGUACGUUAUGGACAACAAAACACUUCAACUCAUUCAUUUACACCCAAAUUUGUUUAAUAUUUGAGACUUGUCUUUUCAUUCAAAGUGCUUCCUUUCAACUCACCAUUAUGAGGGAUCUUUGACCACUUCUUGGACACUCUCUUAUUCUCAUUCAAUAACCUAUUCUUCAAAGUAUAACAUUCAUUCAUUAGGUUGGUAAAUUUCUUUUGAAAAUUAUCAGACAAUCUUGCAUAACAUCUAUAAAAAAUGUGUCCCAUUUUGCCACAAUGAUUGCAAUGAAACUUGAUUUGAGAAUGAGUUUUCUUAGGAGAUUAUUUUUCACAAGGCUUAACAAAAAUUGUUUUACCACUACUUGGAGUAGUAUUUGCAUCAACAAAUCCUAAGCCUUGUUUAUCAAAAAAUUUACACCCUAAAUUGAUCAACUCAUUAAGUCUCUUAGAGCUAGGAUGUGACUCUUCCUUCUUAAGACUUAACCCAUCCUUGAACAUUUGAUUCACUUUUCAAUACAUAAUAUUUUUUCUUCACUUCCAAAUGUUCAUUUUCAAGAAAUCCAAUUUUGUCAAGCAAAACCUUAUUUUCUCCCUUCAAGACAUCAAUCUCAUUGAUUAGAAUAUUCUUAGAAGCCUUCCACUUGACUUGUUCUUGUUUAAGGCUCAAGCACUCCUUAUACAAAGUCUCAUAUGCCGUGUCAAAACUCAUGUCAUCAUCAUUGGAGUCACUUGACUCAUGACUCACUUAUCACUUAAGACCUCUUUCUUGAGUGGUUUCUCAUUGACACUUGCAACAAAGGCUAUGAAGUUAGUGCAUUUUUCACUUCCAUUGGAUUCUUUUUCACUUGAUUGACAAGAUUCUAUGUUGCUUCAAGUGACUUGCAUGACCUUCUUUCCUUUUUUUCUUUGAGGGACAUUUGGCGGCAUAAUGUCCAUUUCCUCUACAUUUAAAGCACUCAAUCUCCAACUCUUUUUUCACACAUUUCUCCAUAUCCUUCUUUUUUUUCUAAUAGAGUUCCUCCAUUUUUACCAUCAUUUGAUUCUUUCUUGGAUUUUAUGAAUUUCAUGUACUUCUUAAUUUUUUUAGUAAACUUAGUAAGCACACCAUUUGAUAUUUUCUCAUCAUCCUCACUUUCGGAACUUAGGGACUCUUCUUUAAUAGUUUUUAAAGCAAUUCCCUUAGCUUUCCUAGGUGAUACAAGCGUCAUCUCAAAGGUUUGGAGGGAACCUACAAGUUCAUCUAUCUUCAAGGAAUCCACAUCCUUAGACUCUUCAAUGGUGGUAACCUUAGCUCUAAAUCUCUCUCGAAGAGAUCUUAAAAUUUUUCUAACCACCUUAGUGUUAGAGACGGAUUCACCUAGAUUGAAGUUAGAAUUCACUAUAUCCAUCAAUUUUGCAUGAAAUUCUCCAAAAGUUUCAUGGUCAUCCAUCCUAAUGGUCUCAAACCUAGAUGUCAACAUUUGAAGCCUGGACAUUUUUACGACAUUAGUUCCUUCAUGAGUCACUUGGAGGAUAUCCUAAGCCUUCUUUAACCAAAGUGCAUGUGGCAAUCCUAUGAAAUUCAUUCGUACUAAUGGCAUUGAAGAUGGAGUACAUGGCUCUAGCUUUAUUCUCACUUGCUUCAUUUUCACUUCUAUCACAUUCCAAUUUUGGCUUGAUAACAUUUGUUAGUUUACCUUCUCUAUCUAACACCUUAGGUGGAGACUAACCAAAUUCAAUGACAUUCCAAACUUUUUCACUUUGCAUUUUGAGAAAAUAUUGCAUUCUCACUUUCCAAUGAGAAUAAUUUUCACCAGUUAAGAAUGGUGGUCUCCUAAUGGAAGAUCUCUCUUAAUGAGGUUCCAUGAUUGAGAUUUAAGGACCGAAAAUGAUUUUUUCUUUAAAAACCCUCUCUGAUACCAAUUGAAAAGGUGAAUCUCAAUAGUGGAAUACACCUAAAUGGGGGUUGAAUAGGUGUUUUGACCAAUUUAUCAAAAUCUCAACUCAAAUUNNNNNNNNNNNNNNNNNNNNNNNNNNNNNNNNNNNNNNNNNNNNNNNNNNNNNNNNNNNNNNNNNNNNNNNNNNNNNNNNNNNNNNNNNNNNNNNNNNNNAAAAAAUGCACACUCUCUCACAAAGAAUGUAAAUUUUUCAAAAAAAAAAAAAAAAAAAAAACUUUCUUUUAUGGGGGGGCGCGGUGCUAUACAUUCUUAUAUAGGUAUAUAUAUAAAAAUAUAGAGACCUCACAGAGAAUGUGAGGGGUUCCUGUUCCUUGUGGGUCACUUCUAAAUCCUACACACACCCCUAAGAAACACACACACACUUUUUUUAUGGUGAACCACGACAAUAUACAUCCUUAUUUGGAUCUCUCUAUAAACAUAUAGAAGUGUGGGAGUGUGUGAGGCUCUCCCUUAUUUGAGUGGGCGUUUCUAAAACCUAUAUACAAAUUUUUUUACAUAUAGAAAUAUGAGAGGUACACGUCUAUUAUCUUUUCAUACCAUAUCUAUAUCACUCACUCUCUCUCUCACGUUUGUUUUGUGUGUAUAUAUAUAUAUAUAUAUAUAUAUAUAUAUAUAUAUAUAUAUAUAUAUAUAUAUAUAUAUAUAUAUAUAUAUAUAUAUAUAUAUAUAUAUAAAGUAUAUCCUUUUUAGGUUGUGCCUUUGAAUUAUUCCACUUNNNNNNNNNNNNNNNNNNNNNNNNNNNNNNNNNNNNNNNNNNNNNNNNNNNNNNNNNNNNNNNNNNNNNNNNNNNNNNNNNNNNNNNNNNNNNNNNNNNNCAAAGAUGAUUCAUAGUCAUUUCUCUUCAUCAUUCAAUCAAAUAGUAGACAAUCAAAAUUAUAAUAAAUUCUUGAAACUGAAAACUGAUGCUAAGAAGAGAAAGAGAGACAAUGAGACACCAUAAAUUUACAUGAAAAAUCUCCGAAGAGAUAAAAAACCAUGGGCCUAUUACUGAUUGAAAACAUCCACUAUGAAAAAUAAAAUCUGAAUACAAGGUUUUACCUACCUCAAGCCAACCAAUCUUUCCCAAACCACUUGACUAGUACCUUUACUUUCAGCUUCUCACCUUCUUCUUUCGAGGCACACUUGGAGUUUGUACCAAGCUCAAUCUCGACCUCUUCUUGAAUUCAUACAAGAACAAAAUGGGUUUUUGCACAAAACUGAGAGAAUGAGAGAUGAAUGUUUCAGAAAUCAACCCAUGUUCGUUUUUAGAAAAUCCAUUUUUUUAAAAAAAUUAUUGGAAAACUUGGACGGAUUUUCUUCAUAGGUAAACACCCUCCAAAUGGUGAGGAAAGAAAAAACUCUCUCACGGCUACUACAGUCACCACUUCCAGAAAUGAGGGAGAUUUGAUUUUAAAUGAGAGUGAAACCUUAAUCCAAAGGUUGAAAAUCGAUCUAAAAAACAUGUUAGUUGGAUCAAUUUACCCCUAUACCUAGAUUGAUCCAAAAACAGGGGAACAAAAGCCUUGCACCAACAAUAUUUCUCUCAGUUUUCUUUACUCAUUUAAAGAUGAAAAAUAGGGUUGAUUCACAUUCAAUCACCACACACUCAACCACAUACCUUGACCUCUUAGCAAGUCUUAAUCUUCAAAGGUCAAGUAGUUCGAAGAGGGAUUGGUAAACCAAGUUAGGGAACACUUAGGAAUUUUUUUCGGAAUUUCCAACCUAGCUAAACACUCACAGGUUCAUUUUUUUAGAAACAUAUAACACCUUAAGAAAAAUAUGUACAUUUGAUUUCAACUUAACAUGACAGAGUCACACUCAUUUGGGUCUAAGAUUUGACUUAUGUAUGCUACAAAAUGUAAUUAAGAGCUUCCCAAACCUCAUUUGACAUGGUGGAACCCUACCUAAGGUACAUCUUUUACAAAAAUACAUACAUUCUUAACAAAUAUAUAUAUAUAUAUAUAUUUUGAAGAAAAAUACUUACAUUUUUUUCAAGCGAACUGUGUGUUGGCGUCGUAGAUCUAAGGAACGGAAACAAUACGAAUUUAUUUAUUUAUUUUUUUAAAUUGAUCUUUAGGGUUAAAGUGCUAACCUUUAGGUUUGGAUGUUUCAGACCUUAAAUUCCAAGUGUUGAAGAUGACAUUGAAGUUGUUGGAAGUCUCGUAAACCCAUGGUCUUUUGCUUGAUGACUCAACUUUAUUCUUGGCACAUUUUUGAUAGGAAGGAAAGAAAGGUGGAGGCUAGAGCUCUCUUUAUCUCUAAAUGGUGGAAGGAAAAAGUGAUGAAGACUCUAACCCCUAGGGGGUAUUUAUAGGGUUCCUAACUAAGCUUAAGUGACUUGAGCCCACAUGGGCUUGGGUAACUUAAUUUAGGCCAAAAUGGAUCCUAAUUGAUUAAUUAACCCAAUAGGGCCUACUAAUUAAUUAAUUAGCUCAAUCUAGAGACUUUGUUCACUUAUCCUUGUGCAAUCUUGUAUAAUUACCAAAACACCCUUAUGCACAAAAGUAAACCUAUAGUCAAUUCGACCCUCAUAACUAUGCCAAAAAGAUAUAUAAGCUCAGAGCGGGGACCACUAGGAUCCAUAAGAGUACUAACUCCCUCAGGAUCCAAUUAUGAAGUUGAUUCAACAUCUUAUUACAAAGAAUCAACCAAACUCCAAUAUUCUAUGUAAAUAACAACAAGACACUACGUGCUCGGGUCUAUGACCUAGUAUCCAUUGUGUUCAGUCUUCCCAUGAACUGGUGUUUUAGUCUAACAAGGUGAAAGCUAUCAACCUUUCAAGACUCUCUACCAUCCUUGUGUUACAAAUCCUCCUAUUGUAUAUUCAAUUGACAUGUCUUAGCUUUCAAAGAGCUUAUGUCAAGUUCUACUUAAGGAACUAUUAUGACCAUAGUUUCCAUGAACACAUCCCCUUAAGAUCACCCAAGGGGACACAUUGUCUCAAUCCCAUGAGAUAUCAUGGUGUCUAUUGAGAAUGCCUAUUGUUACCGACUUCCAUUAACAGUGACCCAAUCCAUAGGGAAUAUAUGAUCAACUUACGAUCUCACCCAUAGGUAAAAGUCAUUGCUAAUUUUAGUACAAUCUCAAUAUUCUCUCAAGGUUGAGAGAUAACACAAUGAAGUAUCUUGGUGAGGUCAUGACUACUUGAUAGUCUUAAGUCAUGACUCAUCAUAGGUCUUGUCCAACGUGUAAUCAUACACAGUAGUGUACUCACCAUGGGAAACCCAUCCCAAUAACGAAGACCAACCAUCCCUCCAAUUAGGAGGUGGUGCACUACAACCUCUAAUGGGUUGCCUAGACCCAUAAACCGGUUGUGAACAAGUCAAUUAUUUGCAAGGAACCCAUGACUUAAAGAUCUUCUAUGCAACUCCUAAUGCACCUAAGUCAUGUACAAUGCAAAAUAUGUUGACAAGACUUCUCAUAAAAUAUAAUACAUGGAAUAAAGAUAGAUAAAAGUGAAAUGGGAACAUCAUUAAAUAAAUAAGGAAUUUCAAAUUUAAUACACCAUGUUAUGCUUUUAAGAGCUCUAUCUUAAGACUAUAAUCCUAUUUGACCUUAUUUAGGUCUAGGUAUUCACUUAUGGAAGCCUGAGAAUGAAUUAAAGGUCUUUCCUUACCUUGUUAGGCUUUUCUAAACCAUAAGAACAUCCUUAAGAAAAAAUACAUAUAUUUUUAUGGAAAACAUGUACGUUCUUAAAAAAACAAAAUAUGUGCGUUUUUUUUAAAGGAGAUUGUGACCUUAUUUUGCCUUAUUUAGGUUUUAAUAUUAACUUAUGGAAGCCUUGUAAUAAUUUUGAGGCUUCCCAUUCCUCGUUGGUCAUUUUUAAAGUCUACGUACAUCUUUAAGAAAAAUAUGCACAUUCUUAAACAAAGUAUGUAAAUUCUUCAAAAAAAAAAAAAAAAAAAACCUUUUCUUUUAAGGUGGACCAUGGUUCUAUUCAUUCUUAUUUAGGUCUAAAUAUUAAAUUAUAGAAGCCUCAUAAUGAAUUUGAGGUCUUCCUGUUCCUUGUAGGUCAUUUCUAAAUCCUACAUACAUCCUUAAGAAACAUACAUGCAAUUUUUUUAAGGUGAACCAUGACAAUAUACAUCCUUAUUAGGAUCUCAAUAUUAACAUAUGGAAGUGUUGGAAUGUUUGAGGCUUUCCCUUAUUUGAUUGGGCAUUUCUAAAACCUAUGUACAAUUUUUUUAACAUAUGGAAAUAUGAUAGGUACAUGACUAGUAUCUUUUCAUACCAUAUCUAUAGCAUUCAUUCUUACUAUCAUGUUUGUUUUGUGAUUAUAUAUAUAUAUAUAUAUAUAUAUAUAUAUAUAUAUAUAUAUAUAUAUAUAUAUAUAUAUAUAUAUAUAUAUAUAUAUAUAUAUAUAUAUAUAUAUANNNNNNNNNNNNNNNNNNNNNNNNNNNNNNNNNNNNNNNNNNNNNNNNNNNNNNNNNNNNNNNNNNNNNNNNNNNNNNNNNNNNNNNNNNNNNNNNNNNNUCAAAAAAAAAAAAAAAAAAAACCCUUUCUUUUAAGGGGGGGCACGGGUCUAUUCACUCUUAUUUAGGUGUAAAUAUAAAAAUAUAGACGCCUCACAAAGAAUGUGAGGUCUCCCCGUUCCCUGUGGGUCACUUCUAAAUCCCACACACACCCCUAAGAGACACACACGCACUUUUUUUAAGGGGAGCCACGACACUAUACACCCCUAUUUGGGUCUCUCUAUUUACAUAUGGAGGUGUGGGAGUGUGUGAGGCUCUCCCCCAUUUGAGUGGGCGCUUCUAAAACCCAUGUACACUUUUUUUAACACAUGGAAAUAUGAGAGGGACACGUCUAGUGUCUUUUCUCACCCUAUCUAUAGCACUCUCUCUCUCUCUCACGUGUGUUUUGUGUGUAUAUAUAUAUAUAUAUAUAUAUAUAUAUAUAUAUAUAUAUAUAUAUAUAUAUAUAUAUAUAUAUAUAUAUAUAUAUAUAUAUAUAUAUAUAGAUAUAUCCUUUUUAGGUUGUGCCUUUGAAUUAUUCCACUUCUAAUGGUUUGAAUUGUUUUUUCUAUUCUAAUGACUAUAAUUACCAUGGUACCAAGAAUUAUGUUUACCACGACCAUGAUUGUGUCCUUAGCCUUGUUCACGUCCAAGUCCAACUCAAUGUCUAGGAGCUUGGACGGAUGUGACAGUUGCUUCUAGCAAUGACACAUACCUAAUAGUAUGAGGUUGAUGAUUCUUCGGUAGAAGUUCAUUAUUUUGUUUAGCCAUAAGAAGACAUUAAACUAAUUCAAAAUAUUUAGUGAAAUGAUGUUCUUGAUAUCGUUGCCAUAGGAGUACAUUCGAGGCAUGAAAAAUGGUGUUCAUUAUUCUUUAAUGAUUUUUUCUCCAUAUAAAUUGUGAACAACUUUUGAAUAAAGUCGAGUUGUGGUCAUUGACAGACUUGAAAUUUUGUAAUCUCAAGUGCAUCUAAUCAUGAUGUGCUUUUGGAAGGAUUACAAUCUCGUGGUGGCCAUAUCAUUAUGUUAUAUUAUUCCAAAGGAUCAAAGUAUCAUUCCAUUAGAUUAUUUCAAAGGAUGAAAAUUCUUUGAUUGUAAGGAAUUCACCUUUUAUUCCUUCAUCAAUGUGAUAAUGAAGGAAUAUUAAUGCUCUAGUACGAUCUUGUGAGGAUGCCUCAUUUUAUUUUUUAAUGGUCUUUUCAAGAUUCAUAUUGUUUAGGUGAAUUUUAGCAUCUAGAAUCCAUAUAAAUAGUUUGCCUGAAAUAGGGAGUGUAACAAACUCAAACUUGGUAAGAUUUGACAUUAUUUGAAAACUAUAUUUGAAAUAAUUUAAUUGGAAUAAUAUUUCAAUUUACCAAAAUGAAUUAUAAAUAAAUGAAUAAAAUUAUCUAACAAUAUUUUAUCAGGUUAAUAUUCAUUAAUAAAAACAUAACGAUUUAAGAUUUUGUUAUAUUUUAUCUCUAAAGGAUUAUUAUAACUAUGGUAAAAAAAAUGCAUGAACAUCAUGUAGUAUUAACAAAAUAAAAAUUACGAAUUGAUAGCUUACAUAGCUUUUGGCUAUGGAUUAUUUUUAUCAUAACAAAAAUGUGUAAAUUUGUAUAUAUCUUUAGGCUAUGAAAUAUUCAUUAUUUAACUUCUAACUAUACAAUUUUGUUUUGUGUAACAUUUGGUUAUAUCAUUAUAAUUAAAAGAAAUUAGAAAUUACGUGUAAGUCAUUCUUUAUAUUUUUAUAACUUUAUAAUUUCUCAUAUAACCUUUGGCUAUACAAUUGUACAUAUUUUACAUAUUUUUUUAUAACUUCUAGUUGUGAUUUUUUUUCAUAAUUUUUGUCUAUAAAAAAAAUAUUUUCAAGUUUCUUCAUCGAAAAAAGGAUAAAUUAAAUAGAAAAUAAUACAAAAGUAGAAGUUUAUCACAUACCUUUUAGAGGAGAAAAAAGAUAUUUUAUGAGAAUAAGUUUGUCCUUUUAGUGUUUGAAUCUUAUACAAAAACUUAUAAUAAGAGUUUUCUUUUGGAGAGACUAGAAUUAGAGAAGAGAUAGAGUUCUAAAAUAACUUUGAGGUAUCCAUUUCAUUGACCCAAGUUUCCUAUUUAUAAGAGUUUGAAAAAACUAGGAUUAAUUAUAAUAUUUAAUUCUUUAUGGGGAAAAAGUAAAAAAUAAAAAAGGCUUUUAAUCAUUAAUUAAGAGUACUUGCUUAAAUACAAAAUUUCACAAAAAUUUAAACUAAAUUCCUUUAAAAAAGAAUAGAUAACUUGUUUUAAAAAAUAGUUAAACUAUGUUAAUUUUAUAUAAUUUGAGUGAGAAAUAAAUUUAUUAUAAAUUGACAAAGUUGUCAUUCACAAAAAGCAUCAAAUAUAUUUGAUUUUUUUUUUCAUUUUCAUUUUUCAUUUUUUUAAGGAAAAAUCAGAUUUAAAUUUUUUUCAUAAAUUGAUAGCUAAAAGAUAAAUUUACAAAAUUUCAAAUCCCCACAUGUUUCCAUUAUUUUUACCCCAUAAAUUAUCCCAUCCUUAAUAAGAUUGAAUUUUGCAAAUUAUUAUUGAUUACUCAUUCAAAAAUAAAAAUAAAUUACACUAAAAAUCAUAAAAUUUAAAUUAGAAAAAUAUUUAAUAUAAAUUUUAAAAAUUCAGCUUUAUAAAAAAUAAAAAUAAUUAUCAAUUCUAAUAAGAUUUUUUUAAUCAAAAUUCUAAAGCAUAAUUCACAUUCAUCUAAAUAUUUAUUAGAAUUAAUAAUUUUUAAAAAUAUAAAUUAAAAUUUGAUACCCCUUCGGAGAUAAAAUUCCAAAAAUCAAUGAAUUAAUUUAGAAAAGAAUACAUAUUUCAAUCUCAAAUCUUCAAAUCUAAACAUAUACUAACUUAGAAAAGUUCUAAUAGUUUCUAACAAGUCUAAGUGGGUAUUUGGUAAAUCAAUUUAAUAACUUAAUUCAAGUUAUUAAAUAAAUUAAAUAUAGUUGGUAAAAUAAUUUAAUGGUAUGACUUAAAGUAAAAAACAACUUUAAGUAAUAAGUAAAAAUAAUUAAUUUAUUCUUAAAUUCAUGUUUUCAUUUUAUCUUUUUACCCUCAUUUAUCUUAGUUCCACGAUUUAUUUUGCUAUUAUACAACUUCCAUCAUUACUUGAUCUCAUUUACCCUCAUUAUAAUUUAUGGGGGUAAGUAUAUUAAUUUGAUGAUUUAGAAUAAAUUUUAAAUUAAUUUUAUUAAAAAAUCUUAAUAUUUAAAGUAAAAAUUAAGUAAUAAGUUUUAAGUCAAUAACUUCAAUAUAAUUUUACUUAAAAUCAACUUAAGUCAUUGAGUAAUAAUUAUUGAGUUUUACCAAACACCCCAUAAUUAUACUUAUUAUCAUACUACCAAUUUCUUAUCAAUUACAUAAUUAUUUAUUAUAAAAUUUUAAUAUGUUAAUGAAUUAUGAUAUUUAAAUAUUUAAAAAUAUGUUGAUUGCAAACUAAUUUAACAAGAAAUAAAAUAAUAUUAUUUUGUAAAUAUUUUUGUAAUGUAAAAGAUAAGUAAUUUAAUAUUUUUUAACAUUUACUAAUAAUUAAAAUAUAAAAAAUUUAAAUAUUUAACAAUACUUAAUUUAUUCAAAUUUAAAACAAAUUUAGAUCUUAGAUAAAAAUACAAUCACCACUGAAAUUUUAAAUAUUUAAAAUACACAUAAAGUUUAAAUAUUUAUUUAAUUUCAGGAAUCUAAGAACUAAGGAAGGGACCAAUAGUGACUUGUCGAUCUAAAAGUAUGCAAGUUCUAUUUUCUUUUCCCUACAAUAUCAUUUUUUUCCUUGCAACAUCAUUUUUGUGGUGGAAAUUAUGCGGAGGACCAGUGUACUUAAUUGACAGGGCUGGCGAAAGCGAUGACGUGGAAUGAUCAAAGCAAUGAGAUGUCGUGGAAGCAACCAACUAUCGGGACGCUUCUAUAUUUUACCAUGCCAUAACAAAAGUUUCCAUAAUUCGCAAGUUCUGGAGAGAUACGAAACCGAGAUAGAAUAUAAUUUAGAAAGGAAAAUGAAAAUGAAAGCUGAGAUAAGGAAUGAGCAUCACCACCUCCUAGAAGUAUCCAAGGGUUUAACCCACUCUCUGAAAUUUGCUAUAAAUACUCAGCAAUUUCCCGUGUUGUUCAUCAAUACUUAAAAGAGUUUGAAUUUAUCAAUCACAUUAGUAGCAAUGGCAGACGAGAUUAUCGUGUUGGAUUUCCGGCCUAGCAUGUUUGGUAUGAGGGUCAGAGUUGCCCUGGCAGAGAAGGGUCUCAAGUAUGAAUAUAGAGAGGAGGACCUGUGGAACAAGAGCCCUUUGCUUCUUGAGAUGAACCCAGUUCAUAAGAAAAUCCCAGUUCUGAUCCACAAUGGAAAGCCCAUUUGUGAGUCUCUGAUAAUAGUUCAGUGUAUUGAUGAGGUUUGGUACGAUAAAUCUCUGCUUUUGCCCAGUGACCCAUACUAGAGAGCUCAGGCCAGGUUCUGGGCGGACUACAUAGACAAGAAGGUAUGCCUUUGCUGUUGAUUUAAAGCAUUCUUUUCCAUUGAUUCAUGGCGAUUGACUCAGAUUUUGAUUAUGGUGAGGGAUUUGUCCAAAAUGCUGGGUUUCUUCACACGUUCCCUUCUGAUAUUGAGUUUUGUGGGCUUUGGGGUUCCAAACUAGAACUUUUACUGAUUCUCCUUGCUGUUUGUUCAACAAGACUAUACUCUGCAUUUCUGAUAUGGGUUUAAAUUUCUUGUUUAUGUUGAAUACGAAUUCUGUUCGUUCCAUCAGGAAAAACAGAUCUCAAGAAUACCUUUUUUCCCCAAGCAAGGCGAAUACAUAAACCAGAUAUUUAAAGAAAGGUGUUUGGUUUUUUGUUAUCUUGCUGUUCAACAUCUUGCACAACAGUUGUUUUAAUAUAUGUUCUGUUUCUUUGAUCUCUUUCUUCUCAUUUUCUGAAACCCAAUUUGAGGGGAAAAACUUCAGCAAAUGAUACAUUCUUUCAGCUGAUUCUGAUCUUUUUUCUUCCACCGGCACUUCAUUUUAUUCUUAGCAAAUGAUAUUUCUAUGCGGAAGAGUCCUUAAUAAACUUGUCCAACUUUACAGAAUUUGAAACUUGAUGAAAUUCUCCAAAAAAAAUAAUCCUUCUCUCUUUGACUCCAUUAUUUUCCACAGCUCUAUGAACUUGGAAGGAAGAUAUGGUCAACCAAAGGAGAAGAGCAGGAAACAGCCAAGAAGGAAUUCAUAGAGUGCCUUAAGCUUUUGGAAGGAGAGCUUGGAGAGAAGCCUUACUUCGGUGGUGAAAAAAUUGGGUUUGUAGAUGUGGCUCUGGUGACCUUCUCUUGCUGGUUUUAUGCAUACGAGACCUUUGGCAACUUCAGCAUAGAGGCGGAGUGCCCCAAGUUGAUCGCUUGGACCAAGAGGUGCAUGGAAAGGGAGAGCGUGUCGUCUUCUCUUGCAGACCCCCACAAGGUCCAUGGCUUUGUCGUGGUGUUGAGAAAGAAGUUUGGUAUAGAGUAGAAGGGGCACAUGGGUCCUCUCUCGAAGACCCCGCAAGGUCCAUGACUUUGUCACGUGGAUGAGAAAGAAGUUUGGUAUUGAAUAAAAGGGAAAUAUCACGGUCUAUGCUCUAUUGAGUAGUGUUGUAUUGGUAAUGUAAGAGGAGUGUUUGCUUAAGUUUGCUAAGUGAUAUGGGUUUGCUGAGCUAUGUUGUUGGAAAUAAAUGUUUUGAAUUUGUUUUGGACUAGAGACGUGUUCCUGUAUUAAAGAAAUAAAAGUCUUUGACUACAUUUCCAUCGUGUCCACAUGAACAACUAUUAAGACAAAUUGGUUAAGACAUGCCCUAGAUAGAAAUAGAUAGAAGUGAGUCAUGAAAUGCACAUAUCUAACCUGCUCUUAUUACCAUAUUUUUUUUUUUUUAAAAAAAACUUUGAUAUGAGAAGUCAAAGAGCAUGUCGUUGUUGAUUUUUUUUUCUUUUUCACAAGAAUAUAUAUAUAUCUUCCAUAAAAUUAUCUUCAUGAAAAUUUUCUAUUUUCAAUUUUUUUUCUCUAUUCCAUUUUCUCAUAUUUAUUGAUUUUAAUUAUUUAUAGAUGUUUUAAAUAUAAAAUAAUAAUAUAAAAUAAAUAAUUAAUAAGAAAAAUUUUAAUAUAACAAUAAAUAAAUAAAAUGUUGAAAGUAAUAUUAUGGUAGGAAGGAUGUAUCACUCUUUUUUGGUUUAAACUAAGAUAUGUUACCAUCAUUUAUGUGCUAGAUGUCUUAUUAAUGGUGAAAUAACGUGAAUUCAAAGGGUGUUAAUGUAACAUUGAUCAACACAACCCUUGAAAAAAUGAAUACCACUCUUUUAUAAAUAAAAAACACCACUAAAUUGUAUUAAAAGUAUCAUUGUAGUGUGAAUGUUGUACUAUUCUUCUUUGGUUUAAGGUAUGUUUCCAUUUGUUAUGUGCUCAACGUAUUAGGUAAUGAUGAAAUAACGUGAAAUGAGUGAAUGUUAUUAUGCAACAACACCGAUCAACACAACCCUUAGAAAAAGAGGGUACCACUCAUUUAUGAAAAAUCUACUAUGUUAAAAGUACUACUAUGGUGGGAAGAAUGUAUCACUUGUCUUUAAGUUCUACCAUGGUAGGAAAAAUGUAUCACUCUUCUUUGGUUUACGGCGAGGUUUGUUACUAUUCAUUACAUGCUCAACGUCAUAUGUGAUGAGGAAAUAAUGUGAAUUGAGAUGGUGUUAUUUCACUAUAACACUGAUCAACACAAAUCCUUGGAAAAAAGGGUACUACUCUGUAGACAUAAAAAAAAUUAGUGGAUUAAAUUACCACUAAUUUGGUCUUCAAAAUGAAUAAAAAAAAAAAUAUAUAUCCUCUUAUGGAUAAGUUUCCUUAAUCUCCAACUAUAAAAAGGAUAAUAAUAAUAAUAAUAAGAAAAUUAUUAUUAUUAUUAUUAUUAUUAUUAUCUUGUUGAUAAAACCUCUUGGGAGAAGAAAAUUUGCUAAAAUCAAGGAACUAAAUCCCUUGAAUUAAGCAACUAAACUCCGAGAAUUUGAAAUUCAAAUUCCAUAUCUUCACCUAUAAAUAGAGGUGUCUUCUUUCAAGAAAGGAGAUGAAGAAAUUGAGAAAUAAAAAAAAAAUUCAGAAAGGAAAAUCCUAAGGAGAAAAUCCAAAGGCAAUUUUGUACAGGAAAAAAAGGUUUCAUAACAAAAGAAAAAGUUUCAUCAAAUUUCUCUGCAAGUUUGGUAAAUGGUAGAACUGCUAAACGCAUUCUUUGCCAUUUAACGAGUUCAUUCGGGAAUAAGCCACUUGUGACCCUCGAUUGAUCUUUGAAAUCAAGAAAACGUCAUCGUCGUCUUCCAAAGUGUGAUUAAGGCAAAAGAAUUAGGGGGGAAAAUUAUUUUGGAAAGAAUAUUAUUUUGAGAUUUUACCCACAAUAUUUUCAAUUUUAAUAAAUGUUUUGUUCGCAUUAUUUUCCUAUUUAUUUUGUUAAUUUGGUAGGACCAUUUAUGAAAUUUGUGGGUACAAAUUUCUAGCACGCCCAGCGAGACUUCUUUGCCUCUCGUCUCUUUUUAGAAGAUUGAUCUCUACUUCAUUGAUGACACCCAAAAGAACUCAAGUUGUGCAUGUAAACAAGGGCAAUGACAAGAUCAUCAUUGCACAAUCAACACAUGACGCCGCUAUGGGCCCCAUGACUCAUAGCAAAGCAAAAUCAACAUCUUCACUCUCAACAAAACAAAUAAGUGAGUUUGCUUGUUUGCUAAAAUCGGUAAGAACGUGUGAUGAGCACCAGCCACUCAUCACAUUGGUCUCUCUAGGGGCAAAGAGCCAUAGUCCUCGUAGUAGGGGAAAACUCACUUCAACACUACAGGACUUAGGAUAAAUCUCCUAGCUCUGUUAUCGAUUCUAACUCUAGCACCGGCUCAUACUCCGAGUCGCCAGCUGGAAUGUCAAAGGAGGAAAACUACUCCAAUCGUUUCGACUCUUUUACUUCUCCCUUCUCGAUGACUAUGCUGGUAAUGGCAACUGGCACUACAUUUGUAGAGGAACAAUUAGUAGAGAUGGCUCAUGGCAUCGCCAAACUCACCAAAAUGGUUGAGGAGAAGGAUAUGCAAAUAGCCUCCCUCAUAAAUAAGGUUGAGGCACAAGUACAAAAUAUGGGUGAGUCAAGUCAAGGACUCAACCACUUUCUGAAUGUUGCAUCUCUUCUCGAUGAUGCACCACAUGCGUAUAGGACAAUCCAAGUUGAGAGACAAAUGGCGGAAUCUGCCUCAAUGGCAUCAUUAUCUAUCCAACAACUUCAGUACAUGAUAACUAACACCAUUAGAGUGCAGUACAGUGGACCCUUACAGAGUACGCUCAUGUACUCAAAACGUUACACUAAGAGGAUUGAUAACCUACGUAUGCCUGUGGGUUAUCAACCUCCAAAAUUUCAAUCAUUUGCAAAAUUUCAAUCAUUUGAUUGGAAGGGAAAUCCAAAACAAUAUAUUGCCCAUUUCAUUGAAACUUGUAACAAUGCAGGUACAGAUGGUGACUUAUUAGUUAAACAAUUCGUCCGUUUUAUUCGAAGGAAUGCUUUCGAUUGGUACAUAGACCUUACACUUAAGUGUAUCGAUAAUUGAGACCAAAUGGAAUGUGAAUUCCUCAAUAGUUUCUAUAACACCCGACGAACUGUAAGCAUGAUGGAACUUACUAACACUAAGCAAUGGAAAGACAAGCCGAUUAUAAACUAUAUCAAUUAUUGACAUUCCUUAAGCCUUGACUACAAAGAUAGAUUAUCUGAGGUAUUGACCAUGGAAAUGUGCAUACAAGGAAUGCAUUGGGGUCUCCUAUACAUUCUCUAAGGGAUACAACCUCAUACAUUUGAAGAAUUAGCUACCAAAGCACAUGACAUAGAGCUCAACAUAGACAACCAUGGUUCUAAGAAGGACCUUACCAUUGAUCGAUAAAGAGAAAGACAUGAUGGGAAAAUGAGUGACAAGACCUCAAAGAAACCUAUUCAGGAGUCAAUGACAAUAAAUAUAACUCUUGUCAAAAUCUCAGCAAGAGAUAAAAAAAAGGAAGUAAAAGAGGUCAGACUAACCCAGGAAAAUAAGAUGUGUCAAUUCAUCUUGAAGGAAUUAGAGGAGAAGAAGUAUCCUUUUCCUGACUUUGAUGUGCCUAACAUGUUGGAAGACUUGCUCCAAAAAAAGGUUAUUAAGUUACUUGAGUGUAAGCAUCCAAAAAGAAUGGGUCGUGUUAAUGAUCCAAUCUACUAUCAUUACCAUCGAAUUGUUAGUCAUCCUAUGGAGAAAUGUUUCAUUUUAAAAGAUCUCAUAAUGAAACUUGCAAAGCAAAGAAGAAUUCAUUUAGAUCUGGAUGAAGUAGUAGAGUCAAAUCAUGCUAUAGUCACAUUUGAGUCAUUUGAUCCUGUUCCAUUACAUGUUCCACUUAAGAAACUAGGGACAUGUGGCAAUACUAUUCAAUGUGAGUCACCAAAACCAAAGCAAACAUAAGUGUCAUGUUAGGAUAGCCUUCUUCGCCUUUGCUCUGAUAAUAAAUCAAUGUCAUAUGACGAAGAAGGUUGGAUAUUGGUGACACGAAGAAGACUUUGCAAGAAGCAAGGGUCGCAUUCAUACCCUAACCUUCUUAGGAGGGAAUGACAUGAGUGGAAUACUCACCAACAUUUAAAGAAGAAAGAAAAAAAGAAUCUUAAAAGAAAACAAGCGAUUGUACAAAUAGACGACUUUUUGGUCCAGAAACUCAUCACCCCUAUCACCCUAGAGAAAUACUUCCCUCUAGGGUUCUUUGAUAAAAGGGUGGCAGUAUCAACUCAUAUGGUCUCUUGCUAAGAGACUUCAAAAGAAGAGGGGUUAAGUGAAGAUGAGGAAAACAUUCUUGGUGUUGAGUCAAGAAAAACUAAGGAAGAAGAGGGGGUUGUAGCAAGCCUACAACACCUACUCUCACUAUUUAGUAGCCACGAAAUGCUACAACUACCUAAUGAGAUACAAAAUGUGUUGAUUCAAGUACUUAAGGAUCCAACACUCUAUGCCACCAAAAUAAAGGGGGCAAAAAGACUUGAGGAUGAAAGCCACAAUUGUGCCAAAUGUUGUGCAGCCAUCAUUUUUACUAACGAAGACCUUCAGUUAGGGUCAAAACCACAUAAUCGACCCCUGUUUGUUACUAGGUACAUACGGGAACAAAAUAUCACUUGCAUUUUAAUUGAUGAAGGGUUUGGAAUAAAUAUCAUGCCUAAAGCAACAAUGAAAUGACUCAGGAUUGCUACAAAAGAACUAACUCAGAGUCGCCUAAUGAUCUAAGGCUUUAAUCAAGGGGGACAACGAGCUAUUGGUAUGAUUCACCUAGAGCUUGUUACAGGUGAAUUGAGUUCGAACACAUUGUUUCAUGUAAUCAUUGCAAAACAUUUUACAACUUAUUACUCGAGCGACCAUGACUUCAUGAGAAUGGGGUAAUUCUUUCGACACUAUACUAGUGUUUCAAAUUCUAUAGAGGAGGGGUAAAGGUAGUAUAGACUGAUACUAAGCCAUUUACAGAAGUCGAGUCUUAUUUUGUUGAUGCUAAAUUUUACAUAGAAAAUGAUGUUAUGCAGGAAGUCCUUCUUGCGAUUAUUCUCUCCACUGGGAAUGCUAAACUUAAGGAAAAAGUUGAGCUAUGUAAGUUGACAUCAGCAGGGAAAUUUCAUAACAAAUGAUGACUCAAAUAAAAAAAAAAGAGAAAUUUUCAAAAAAAUUGACAUUGGACUUGACAAUUCUCACUACUUUCCUAGUUUUUAGGUACAUCCCAAUAUCUCGACGAAGUGAGGGUCAACCAUUUUUCAUAGAAGACAAAAACAAAGUACAACCCUGAGGAUUGGAAAAUGGGGACCUUUAAGUCUUGAAAGAAGAUACGACCAUUCCUCUUCCAAACUUACAACUUAUCUCUAGGGAUGAAACACAAAAAUCCAACAAAACCUCAAGAGAUCAAACAAAGCAAGAAUUCUUUCCUGGUAAAAGAAUAAAUGAGGAGUUCAACCCUAAGACUUACAAGUUAUUAGCCAAGGCAAGGUAUUACUUCACUUCGUCAUCACGAUUAGGAGAACUUAGCCUCGAGACUACAGGUGAAAAGAUGCAUGACUUUAACGAAACUCAAAAAAAGUUGAAACAACAAGGGUAUGCAGUCAAACCUUCUAGUGCAGGUUUAGGGUUUGUACCUUUUGAGCCUAUCAAAAUUUUAGUUAAGACUAAGAAGACUAAGGCAAGUACACAACAUAUCAUUGUAGAAGACAUGGAGGAGAGUAGUGGGUCUAACUCUCCUUCUCGAAUUUCAAUAUUUGAUCGGAUUGAAGCUCUAAUUACAUGAGCUUCAGUGUUCACUAGGUUGGGCGAUUUUAACCAAGUAUAAUGUAAUUUAGCACAUAUUCCACAAAGGUCAAUACAACGAAGGAUUAAUACUCUACCCAAAAGUCACGACGACAAAAUCCCAAUAAGAAGUAGUGUAGUGAACUAAAUAAGAAUGCAAAAAUAAGAAGUUUAAUCCCAUCAAGGAUGAAACACCAUUCAACUUGGGAAAUUUGUACUAAUGGCUAGUUAAAAUUAAAAUGACAUACCAUCGUGAUCACCAAGCAGUCGGACGAGGGAUGCCCUAAAGAUGUUAAAUAAAGUUUGACACACAGUAACUACCAUAUUACAGUAGAAGUUGACUCUAAUUCAGAGUUUUUAGAAGAUGAACUAUGAGAAGCUCCUCAAGUAUUUGAGGACGGGGGGCAGGCCACUGUAGAUGAGUUAAAAGAGCUCAAUUUAGGUACAAAUGAGGACCCAAGGCCAAUUUAUGUAAGUAUGCUUUUAAGUCCUUCUGAAGAGAAAAGUUAUUUUGAAUUGUUACUCAAUUAUAAAGAUGUCUUUGCAUGGUCGUACAAAGAAAUGUCAGGUCUUGAUCCAAAAGUUGUAGUACAUUAACUCACGGUGAAACAUGGUGUCCGAUUGAUUAAGCAAGCCCAAAGACGAUUUUGACCAGAACUUGUUUCGCAAAUAGAAACGAAAAUUUUCAAAUUGAUUGAAGUUGGUUUUAUUAAGGAGGUAAAGUACCCGACAUGGAUUGCGAACAUUGUUCCAGUGAAGAAAAAGAAUGGGUAGAUCCGUGUCUGUGUAAAUUUUAGAGAUUUAAACAAUGCUUGCCCAAAAGAUGACUUCCCAUUACUAAUUAUUAAGCUUAUGGUUGAUGCAACUACAGGUCAUGGAACUUUAUCCUUCAUGGAUGGAUCAUUGGGGUAUAACCAAAUACAAAUGGUGCCAGGGGAUGAAGAACUUACUGCAUUUUGUACUCUAAAGGGUAUUUACUGUUACAAAGUGAUGCCUUUAAGACUAAAUAAUGCAGAUGCAACGUAUCAACAUGCCAUGCAGAAAAUAUUUGAUGACAUGCUUCAUAAGAAUGUCGAGUGCUAUGUUGAUGAACUGGUGGUCAAGUCUAAGAAGAGAGAAGACCACCUGCAAGAUCUUCGUAUGGUGUUUGACAGGUUAAGAAGGUACCAACUUAUGAACCUACUCAAAUGUGCUUUUGGUGUUACUUCUAGUAAGUUUCUAUUUUAUUGUUCGACACCGUGGCAUUGAAGUGGAUCAAUCUAAGAUCGCAACCAUUCGAGCUAUGCCAGAGCUGAGGAAUCUUUAAGAACUUAGAAGUCUUCAAGGACGUCUUACUUUUAUUCGACGAUUUAUUUCAAAUCUUGUAGGACGAUGUCAAUCCUUCAACCAACUUAUGAAGAAAGAUGUCCCAUUUGUUUGGGACAAAGCUUGUCAUAAUCCCUUUGAGAGAAUAAAAAAGUAUUUGGCUAAUCCACCAAUCUUAGGUGCUCUUAUGGCAGGGAAGCCAUUGAUACUCUACAUUGCCGCACAAAAAUGCUCUCUUGGAGCAUUGUUUGCACAACAAAACGAGGAGAACAAAGAAAAUACAUUGUAUUACUUAAGUCAAACUCUAAUGGGAUCAGAACUAAAUUACUCCCUAAUAGAGAAAACUUGUCUUGCUUUAAUCUUCUCGACAAAAAAGCUAAUACAUUACAUGCAGGCAUACACAGUACACUUAAUAGCACACGUUGAUCCCAUUAAGUAUGUGCUAUCAAAGCCAGUUAUUUCAAGACGAUUAGCAAGAUGGGGGUUGUUACUCACUGAGUAUGAAAUAAUCUACAUUCCUUAAAAGGUAAUCAAAGGACAACGCAGACUUCUUGGCAGAUCAUCCUAUCCUUGCAACAUGAAAAAUUUUAGAUGACUUCCCCGAUGAGGAGAUCUUUUAUGUUGAUGUUUUUCCUUCGUGAAUGAUGUUCAGGUCAGCACGUUAUGAUGGAACAGGUGCAGAUGUUGUAUUUGUCUCACAACAAAGAUAGAUACUACCAUAUUCAUUUGUUCUUAGUGAGAGAUGCUCUAACAACGUUGCUAAAUACCAAGCCUUAAUUAUUGAACUACAAAUAGCGAUUGAAAUGAAAAUCACAAGCUUAGAGAUAUGUGGGGAUUCUAAGUUGGUAAUCAAUCAACUUCUAGCCUUGUAUAAGGUUAAAAGUGAUGACUUAGUUCCUUACUUCCAAUAUGCUACCCAACUGAUGGAAAAGUUUGAGCGAACCUCUUUAGUUCAUAUUCCAUGAAAGAAAACUAAAUGGCAGAUGCUCUAGCUAAUCUAGUUGCAAGUUUGACACUGCUUAAGGACGAGACUAUACACAUCACUCUUUGCCAUAAGUGGGUACUGCCGCCAUUGCCACUAUUACAACAAGAAGAAGUAAACGCUACAUCGGUAUUUACUAUUGACAACGAAGAUUGGCGACAACCAUUAAUUGACUACUUAGAGCAUGUGAAGUUACUUGAUGAACUAAGGCAUUGAACAUAAAUACGACAUUGAGCUCCAUACUUCAUUUACUACAAAGAAACACUUUAUCGAUGCUCAUUCCAUGGAGUACUUCUUCGAUGCCUAGAAGGAGAAGAGACAAAUCAAGCAAUUGAAGAAGCUCAUUCUGAGAUCUAUAGGGCUCACCAAUCAGGGCCAAAACUUCAUUUUCGAAUCAAAAGGAUGGGAUACUAUUGGCCAACUAUGGUUAAGGAUUGUAUGGAAUAUGAAAAGAAGUGUCAAUCAUGCCAAUUCCACUCAAAUUUUAUACACAACCCCUUGAGCCACUCCAUCCUACAAUUGCGUCAUUGUAGACCCUCAAUUUUGUCCCUUUAGCACAUGUCUUUAAGUUCGUUUUCAGUGCUUCAAAAUAGUUCCUUGGUGGCCCAUGGCUACUCAUACCACUUACCUUUUUCUGAGUCACCUCGGAGAUUUUGGUGGAGGAAUUAUUUGAUCCUUUAUUGUGACCCUUGGCAGCCCUAACUUAGACUUAGACUUUUCUUGUUUUUUUUUUUUUUUUUUUAGGAUAGCUUUUAGAUACAUUUGGCCCAUUUGGACAUUUUUAGCGUGACUUGUAUGACUUGCAUGGUUACAUGGCUUUUGGGCUCGACUUUUUGUUUAUUGGUUUAUUUUUAUUUUAUUUCAUUUUAUUUAUUUUUACCGUUUCCUAAUUUAUUUACUUGCUUAUUUAUUCAUUCAAUGAUUUAACUUCAAGAUUUUCAUGUUUUUGCAAGGAAACUUACCAUUGGAGUUUAAGGAAGGUGGGACUCUCCUUGGAAGGUUUUGGAGGGGAAUUUGAAAUUGAGAAGAUUGCUUUUGAUUGGAAGAUUUAAAAAAAGGAAGAAAAGAAGAAAGGAAAUAGGAGAAUUUUCCUUUUUGGAAAGAAAUUUAGGUCUUGAGGGGUGAUAUAUAUAGGUGAGAAAAGGAAAAGAGGGGGAAGGAUUUUUUUUGGGGGUAGAGCACGCGUUGGAGGAUUGGGAGGAGAUUUGAGGAGGUUCUUUUUGGAGCAGCAGGCAUUGGAGGAAAAUUUGUCGGGGAAAAGAACAGAGGAAACGAAAAGAGCAAUUGCAACCAAGGCUGUCCAGGUAUGCACCUCGUUGCUUUUGGAAUUCUGACCUAUGUUUGAUUUUUUUCCACGUGAAUAUUUAAUGGUAUUGUUGAUUUUGUGUGGACGAAAGGGGCCACAAUUUGUUUUGUUGAGAUUGGUUGCUUGCUUGUUUGCCUUGUUUUGGUUUUGAUUGUCAUUGAUGUCUUCGGAAGCAUAUAACUCCAUGCCUGAAUGUGAUCAGAUUCUGUUCUUCAUUUAAAUCAUAUUCUGCAUUUGUCUCUCUGUUUUUAGCCCAUGGAUUAAUAUCUGAAGUGGGGGCUAUCCAUGUUUACUGAUCAACACCUUCUGCCAUUUCCUUCUCCAAGUUUUACUUCAAUUUUUUUUAUCUUUUAUCUGUAUUCUUUUCCUCGCAUGGUGUUCGAACCCUUGCUCUUGUAUUUGGGUAUACGUCGAGGAAUGAUGUAAGUGUCAAUAUGAGGGAUGAACUGUGCAACAAUCCCACUCAAAAAUAAUUGAUUCCGAGGUAUUGUAAUGGAUUGUGGAGACUGGAGGUAACGUCUUAUUGGCAUCAGAUUUGACCUUUCUAAUCCUAUGGGAUUCAAUGGCUCGUACAGAAUCGCAACUCCGGUGUUAUUUGCAAGCAUAGCUAAAUGGGUUAAAGCCAAGCUAAUAUUUUCUCUUGCUUCCGAAUGAUCGCGUUAUCAUUGGCCAACAUCACUUCUACCCUUUCCAAUUUUCCAAGCGCUUCUGACCGUAAGAAUAAUGGUCUCAGAGAAAGCAAUUUGACUUGUAAAACAGAGGGUUUCAGAGAGUGUCAGGAAGGUGAUUGAUUUGGGUAGCACUGAAAAAGGAUGGUUUGAACUAGGGUUUUGAAUCACGCCUUGAGUUAUUAGAGCAGUACGAAGAAUUGCGGGAUACCAGUGAUGGAUUGAUGGGUUCGGUGCCGAUUCUGGGUCGUAUUACAGAUUUGGGGCAGAGACGAUUGGUGAUGGCAAUGGGAUUAAUGCAAAUCAGGGAGAUGCUAUUUUUGAGGAAACGUAGUUCACGGGUUUUAGGAAUGUAGUUUCAGAAUUUUCAGAGAUUCUUGAUGUAUUGUGUUAGAAUAUUCUGAAACAGUUUCAGUAUACCGAAGGAUCCAAUACGGGCUUAGCAAUUACUAUAAGGAACAGAAAGAAGGAAAUUGAUGCGACUUCUGCGAACAAGUAAGUUCCAGAUACUUCGGUUGGAAGAACCUUCUCAAUAAGGUGAUCAAUCAGAGGAGGUAUCUUGCACAGUAGACCUUUCUGAUUCUUUAUGUUAUCAACUUGAUCUUGUCUCUUUUGUCGCAUAUGUCAAUUCUGCUCAUUUAUGGAAUUCAAAAUCCUCAUUGUUGUUGCCUGAAAAAGAAAUUACGGCAAUUGGAGAAGACAAUCAGUCUGACCCUUUUUGUUGAAAAUUUUGUUUUGGAAAGAUUUUCUAUUUAAACCUCCCUGCGGGUACUAUUCGAUGAAGUCUUUGGUAAUAAAUUUCAGGAUGCUAUUGAAUUGAUAAGUAUGUAGCCAGUUGCUUCUAAUUUAGCAGCCUGGAAGAGAAUGCGAGUUGUUGAAUUCAUGCACAUGCGAUAUGCUCUGGAAUCUGUGGUGCUUGCAGUUGGAGCUAUGGAAAGAAGUACAUCUUAUCAUCUACUAUUGGUGAGAGAUAUAUUGUUCUUGCAAUGAAGCACCCUGCUGUCUUCUUAGAUAGCAGGUACAUUGACAAUGGGGAUAAGGAUAAGAAGACUUAUACGUCUUCUUAGAAUAUGGAGGAUUCACUCAAUACAAAAGUCACUCUUUUCGUCUCUGGAAUUGAGAAACCACAGUUUAGAGGAUGGAAUUAAAGUUUUUAUGCCCCAAGUUGCAGUAGCAGUUCUGGUAAUACUCAAACUCAGAGCAUCACGGGGUAUGACAGGAUGGCUGGAAUGGUGAUUGGAAGGCUCCUGGCGUCCAGAGAUUCCCUAAGUAGCAGUGGAAGUUUACUACUGGUGUAGCCAUGAUUGAAGUUACAGCUCCAUGUGUAUAUGCUAUCAAAAGAAGAAGGAUACGAGACUCUGAUUUUCCAUACCACUGGAAUGGGUGGAAGGGCUAUGGAGGAUCUGAUCAGAAGGGGAUUUAUACGAUGUGUUCUGGACAUAACAACAACAGAGGUUGCUGAUUAUGUAGUUGGAGGUGUUAUGGCUUGUGACAAUUCCCACCUUGACGUCAUGAAGAUAAGAAAUUUGUCGGCUUUGUAGCAAACGAACUAAACGAAACAGCAUCAAAGGUAAUGUUGACCCGAAUGAUUAGGCUCAUAUUCAGAAAGACAGAAUUUGAUCCAGACUCGAUUUCCUCUGGUUCUGCUACAAAUAAAGAAGUUGAAUUUCUGGACUGCACAAGGACCUUUUAGUUCUGAUUUUUCUUUAGGUGCCAAUCUUACCACAAUGGAAGAUGUCCAGAAUAGUUUUAAUGCAACGCAACUUAGGCUUUGUGGAAGGUUAAGCAAUGUUGAUGGCUAUAUAAUGCCGAUCAUCUUCCCAAGUGUUAUUCUCUGUGGCUGAGUUGUUUUCUGAAGCUGAAACAUAAAGACCCUCUCAAUAAGGCCGCCUCUAUGAAUCUUGCUCAGCAUGCACUGAUCAGCAAUUUCUGGUGAGAUCUCAGCCAGUUCCAGCUGAUAAGCAGGUGAACCAGGCAGGAAGGACCAAUUGGCAAACACUCUUGGGCUUUCCUGGUGGGCAUGAAACCCAGAAUUGCAAUGGGGUAGUUCAGAAUCUGAAUCUAGUUCGACUUGGAGGUCUGAGUCAGACAUUAUAUAAUUAGGAUGGCAAAGAAGACUCCUUACCUACAGCGGCCCAAAUUUAUUAAGUCGUCCUUUGACACUAAAGAGAUCACCGGUUUGCCCUUGAUAAAUUAAUGUCAUCAUGAGCAGAUUUUGUUCCUAUUCUUUAGCUGAGAAUCAAAUGCAUCACACCAUCGAACAGUUGAAAUCUUUGAGUAGGAGCAGAGAAUGAUGCAGAACAGAGAAAACAAUGACCCAGGUCCAACAGGUCUCAUGAGGUUUGAUGGUGAGAUCCGUUCAGCAAUGUUGGGAAGCAACUGGAAAUAUGGGCCUCAUGCUGCUGCAACUCACUUAGACUACAUGGUUGAGUUUACAGUCACUGUGCCAAUUUUGAGUCUUGCUGGAACAAUGGAUAACUUACCAGCUGGUGAACCAUGGCUGCAGAAACUAAAAGCGGAUUGAGCAGGAUGCAACUACUCUCAUUCCAGGAAACAAAGAACUGAAACCACACGAGUAGGACCCUUUGAACAAAAAUGCUGGUAUCAAUACACAUCCUACGUGCCCAUCUAUUAUUCAAUCCAAUUCUGAAGUCCCAGUCAUGUCACCUAGAAAAAGCAAAGGAGAAAUUCAAAGGGAACCCUUGGGCUUGAAAGGAAAGGUUCUUAGUCUUGGAAAGGUUCAGAAAAGCCGGAAGGUGUAGAAAGAAUUCAAGCAGCCACAGAAGGCUUCCUCCAAGCUGAUAGUACCACCUAGCACAGGUUUCGGUACCUUAACCUAUGGAUAUAGUUUGCUCUUGAGAGCGUUCCAUACAUUCGAAACGGCAUCAAUAAGUCACUACUUUUGGAUCAGCACUUGGAACUGGAUCUUAGUACUGUCAUGCUUGGCUGUUGCUUUUGGUUUUAGAAACAUGAACUGCUUAGGUAACGCAUCUGGCUUGGCAGUUAUAAUUAUAAUGUCAGUCACCACCUGCCUAAUGUCUCUGGUUGCUGUACUGUGCCGACACCAGAAUGUCUCCUCUAUAAUUGGCUCCAUGUUCUUCAUUGGCGUAAUUGAAGCUUUCUAUUUCUCAGCAUGGAUCUCUAAGCCACUCCUGAGCAUGCGUGUAAGAAUGGAUAGCAGGGCAGAUUUUCAGGUUCCUGGUCAGAGUGGAAUAAUGGGACAGCCAAAUGAAGACGAAUUCCCCAUGAACUUCCAAAAAUAGACUUAAUGAUAAGAAGAGAGGUGAAAAAGAAUUCAGUGGCUAUUCGAGAUGACUUUUAUGGAUGAAUUCGGUAGAGAAUUGAAAAGAAUUCAAGUGGUUGCAUAUGUGGGUGAGAUUCAAUAGCGUUAACGGAUACUCUUGAUGGCUGAAAUUUAAAAGAAAUGAUAGACUACAUAAGUGAGGUGAUUGAAUUUUAUAAAUAUGAUUAUGGGUUUUGAAUUACAUCGAGAUCAGCACUUGUUGAGAUUAUCAUAUUUAUGCUGGUAACAUUGCAAUCAUAUACGUUUUCAUCCCAAGAGUUUGAUCAUGCGUCAAAAUAUCUAGAAGCAGAGCAAAUUGAAACCUUUUCAAAAUCAGCAGUGGACAGAUUCUGUCCUAAAACACUUGAAGUUGGAGCAUACUGAGGCAGUUUAGUCUUCUGAAAUCCAUACCUAGUUUCCUGAUGAUUCAAGUUCUUUAUUUGACUUUUCCUUUAUAGAGAAAGCUCCUAGUGGCAUUGACCAGCCAGGAAUUCACCAUAUGCUUCAUCAACAAUAAUGUGCAAUUCAGGAAAAACGAGGUUGGAUGGUCAGAAGAAGACUUUGAAACUAGUUCAGGAUCUCAAUCUAGUGAAUCUGAUUUCUCCAGUUUCAGUCCAGAUGAGCUUCUGCAGUUAAUUGGUGAUGCAUCAGUUAUGGGAAAGGUCCUUCAUCAACUAGCACUUCACCUUUAUAAGAAUCCAUCAUGAUUCUCAGCACUUGCUGUUGUCUAUUUUCUGACAUGUAUUAAGCAAAGAUUGGUCUGAAGAGAGAUAAUACAUCCUCUAUCUAGUACACAGAUUCAGACGCUGAAUUCCGUGAUUAUGUUAGUGAGGUCACGAGGGAAGUGUGUAGGCAUCACUAUGCAAAGUGCCUUGAAGUUGUAUCAAUUCGUUUGCUGGAUAAUCGCCCACAAAUUAGCAAAAAUCAUCUUUCAAAAUAUAUGAAGUAUCCUACGUUUAUAGGAGAGCAAUUGAUCAUUCAACACCAAAUUGUUAUCUUCAGGGAAAUGUUGAUAUGAUUGGAGGUGCAAUAGCAUUGACUUGAGAUAGUCAACAGUAUGUGAUCACAGAGUUAGGAUAUUACAACAAGAAGAGUCCAAUGGGCUUAAAUCUUUUUGACAGAAAUUCUCAUCUAUCUUGGACUUUAAGCUAGCGUCUGAUGAAAAACAUCAGAAUCUUCACCCUAUUCUAUGAUAGAUGCAUGCAUUGCAGUAUGCUCGAGAUCAUUGUAGGCCUUUAUCCGAGAAGAAACAGAAUAGAGUGAACCAGGUGUUGAAUAAAGCCCGUGAUGAUGCUGAAAGUAGUGCCUAGAAGAACUCGUUAGAAAGUAACAAAGGCAAUGUCCUCUUUCCUCUCCUCUGAUGUGCCUUCUCCUGUUUGGAGUAUACCAAUAAUUCGGAAACUGCACUCUUUAUCUGUGACUUUACUUGAUGGAAACAAAGGGCAAGAUGGGAAGCCUCACAAGGAAGAGAAGCCUCAAAGUCUAUAUGAGAAUUUAGAAGAUUCUUUUGCCACAAAGGCAGCAGAAGAAAUAUGCUUGCAACAGAAAGAACUUAGGGUAUUUGAAAUUUCUGGAUUGGUGCUGCUCAAUGAGAAUAUACAGAAAAUCAAUCCAAAUGAACCACUAAAAGAAGAAUGCACUACUCUAGGUGAAGUAUCAUGGUUAGAGAAUCACAGAAACGCGUCUGCAAUAAAACGCUCAGAUUCUCCAAUAGAAAGUGACAGAACCAUGAAGCUGCCAGUAGAGGUGCCUGAGGGAGCUGAGGAACCUGCAGAAGAGUAUGAAAACAACAAAGAACUGAUCAUAGAGAAAGAGAGAGACAUCAAGGAAUUUCCAGCCGUGUCCAUUGAAGUUGAAUAGGUUAAAUAGGAACGGCAUUCUGAGACAAUACUCGCUGAAAAUCCUAGAAUGACAGAUUCUGAAGUGCAGACUAAAAAUGUGAACCUAUAGGAUUGUGGAAGACUUCAGCAAAGACUCUAAAAGAUUUCCCAUCACAAAAGCAAUGGAAGCAGAGAUGCUACAGAAACAGAGUGGUAAAAGGAAAGUGGAUGUCUCUGGUUCGGUAUCUGAAAUAUCAAAAGAAAUUAAUAAGGAGGUCAUAGAAGAUGCCAGCACUUGCUCUAACAAUAUUGAUGCUGCAUCCGAAGAGGGGAAAACAGAAGAGUCAAGCUUGUAGGAAACUCAACUGAAUGACAAAUACAAAAAGAUCAUUAAGACUAGCUCAGAAGAUAAGACACUAUAAGCAAAUACCACAAAUGAAACUAGUCCACAGGCUGAAGAGGUUGACAGCAUGAAGCUUGAAGAAACUUUUGAAUUGAUGUCUCAACUUCCAGUUAAGGCAUGUGAGAACACAAACAAGGAGAGUGAAACAGUGGAAAGGUCGAUUGAUAAUGUGCUGAAGAAACCGAUUAAAUCUUCUGGUAUAGUAUCAGAAUCCCAAGAACAAUGUGCUGAAGAAACUGAUUAGACCCUUAAGCUCUUCUCUAGCAGGGUCUUUGAUAUCAAAUGCCUGUCAGAACCCCCAUUCAGUAAACUGCUUCAAUUUGAGCUCAGGAAUCCAAGGAAGACACGGAUAAGGGAAAGUUGAUUACGCCAGAAUCUGUAUUUCUCAAGAGCAACUCAAGUUUACUGGAACUCUUCACCCUUCAUUGGAAUUCAAUAAAACUUUGAACAACAGAGAGCCACAGAAAAGUACUAAAGGAGGGCAGAAUGUAUUUUGGGAUUCAACAUCAGCAGGAUAGUCUCAAAUCUUAUUCCCAGGCUCCACUCCAUCAUGGCAACCUUGCUAUACACACCCUCUCCUCUAUUUACUUUUGUGAUUGGGAACUUACUAUUUUAAGUUGAAUUUUUGAACCAUUGUUCAACUAAACAUUCCCAGCUUUGAAAAAUCCAUCUUAGGAGCAUCUAGGUAUAAAAUCCCAAUUUUAACAUGCUAUUUGCUGCCAUUUUCCUCCGGGCAUGCACUUUCACUAUUUUAUCCGAUUUUUAACUAUUUUCAUGAUUUUCUCGAUUUUCUCAAGCAUGAACAAACUUCAUGAUUCCAAACAAUGGAAUUAAUAGAAUAAAUUCAUGCAAAAGUAAUCAGGGCAUUGGGGGGAGGCCCGACAUUCAUAAUAUUCUCUUCAAUAGUGUCUUGUUUGAUAUUUGAUUGAUUGUGCUUCCUCUUUGUGGUAUAUAUGAGAUUAUUUUGAAUUAGUUGUUGAGUUAAUUUUGUUUCCCAUAGAGGAUUAUUAACUCGCUAAUCAGGUACGCUCUUUCUACCACCACACUUUCCAAAAUUUCAUGAAUAUGAGACAUAACCAUAUUUGAUGCCAUAAUUGAUUGCUUUGAUGCUUGUUGGAUCGUCUUUGAUGAAAAUACAUAUUAUGUGUCAUAUUUCCAAACUAAUCUCUCAUGUUUUGUGAUAGUGUUUGAGAAGCCGUUCAGGUACGCACUUCGACUCUCUCUUAUGGUUGGUUUUCUUAUUAGGCAUGCAAUAUUUGAAAUCACCUAGCCUACUCAGGUAUCCAUAAUUAACUGAUUAAUGGCCACGCUUCCCUUAACUUAGUCAGUAGAGACCUCUUUAGGGCUUAGAGGGGUGCUACCUCCUAGAGGUACCUUCCCAAUAAGUAACCUGAUCCCCGAACCAAGACUUGGGUUUUCAAAGACACGCUUUUCCAAAAAUUAUGGAGUCAUUUUUUUAGGGUUUUAUUUCUUGUUUUAUUUUCCCUUCAAAAAUAAAAAUAAAAUAAGUGGCGACUCCAACUUUUUCAAAAAUCAAUUUUUCACAAUAAAAAGCGAGUCUCGUCGAUCGAGUGGGGACGCACGUGAAAAAUGCGGGUCCACAGUCAUGGCCAUUUGAUGCAUGGGGACUUGACGUGGUCAGACCCAUUACUCUUAAAUCCUUUGUUGGACAUGCUUACAUAUUGCAGCAACAUAUUAUUUUUCUAAAUGGGCAAAAGUUGUUCCACUUAAAGAAGUGAAUAAAGAAAAUGUAGUGAACUUCAUUCGAAGUAAUAUUAUCUAUCGGUAUAGGGUACCAUGAUAUAUAAUCACUGACAAUGGGAAACCCUUCUAUAGCAAAUUGAUGAUCAAUCUUUGUGAGAGGUUUAGUUUCAAACAACACAAUUCAUCAAUGUACAAUGCACCGACCAAUGGUCUCACAGAAGCAUUCAACAAGACUCUUUGCAACUUAUUGAAGAAAAUUGUUGAUAAUUCAAAGAGGGAUUGACAUGAAUGAGUAGGAGAAGCACUUUAGGCAUAUCAAACAACAUAUCGAACGCCUACACAAGCAACCCUUUAUUCCCUUGUUUAUGGUGUAGAAGUUGUAUUGCCCCUUGAGCGUCAGAUCCUUUCAUUAAGGAUUUCUAUACAUGAAGGACUAACUAAUGAAGAUAAUGCCAAGUUACAUCUUCAAGAGUUAGAAGCACUAGACGAAAAGUGACUCGAAGCCCAACAACACUUAGAGUAUUAUCAAGCACACCUUUCAAAAGCUUUAAAAAAAAAAGGUUUGUCUUCGGUCUUUUCAAGUCGGUGAUCUAGUUCUUGCCAUUCGUAGACCCAUUAUCACCACACAUAAGACUAGGAGUAAAUUUACAUCAAAAUGGGAUGGACCUUAUGUGGUGCAAGAAGUCUACACCAAUGGUGCUUAUAAGAUCGUCACUGAAGACGGAUUAAGAAUUGGCCCUAUCAAUGGAAAAUUCUUAAAGCGUUAUUAUGCUUGAGUCACACUACACCCUUAGCUUGCAUGAGCAUAAAUUAUGUCUGGAGCACCAAAAAAAAAAUAAAAAAAUCCGCUAAGUCGAAAACCUAAAAGGACGCCUUAGGUAAAAAUUAGGACAUAUGCUCACAAGAUUAAAAUUUUCUUUUAGCCUUGGCAAAAGUUAGAGCAUGAAAAAAAAAGGUGCUGCAUUUGACUUGAUCCUCUCUCUUUGAAAGGUAUGUAAGCAACUUGGGGAAACCACCUAAGUUCACUCACUACCAAAAAAAAAAAAAAAGGUCUCAUUUUUAUUAAUAAAUAAAUCUGACUAACAAAUGCUAGACUUUAUUACAUCUUAAUAAAAAAAAAUGAAUGAAAGCAAAAAAAAAAAGGGAGCCAAAACUAAGUAAAAAGGUACAAUGAUCACAUCCACACCAAGCAUGCAAGCUCGUCACGUUGAGUCCUUAAGGCUUCUUGAAGUGUCUCUAAAGUUUUGACAUCAACAUCAGUAAGCACAAGGGUUUGGGCGAUAAUGACAUGUUAUUUCCUCAAACGAGAAACAUCAUUAUGUUUAUUGGCUAUAAUCUCAUCAAUCUCCAAGAUUAAGUUAUGAAUGUGCUCUUUUUGUUUACCUAGUUGCUUAAAUUCCUUCUUAAGUGCUUCCUAUUUAGCAUCGAGAGUAGCUAAGUCUACCUUUAAUGAUUGACGAUGGUUUUCCUAUAUACACUUAGAGUUUAAAGCAUCCACAAUCUGAGAUGCAAUAAUAGCUAAACGUUCGCUUUGUACUUCUAGAGAUAUAUUUAUAGAAUGGGUGCGUCACAUUGCAUUGAGGUGAUCUACACUUUCCAUGUACUUCUCAAUCUGAGACUUUAAUGGUGAAGGGUUCACUCCAAUCUUUGUGAUAACAUUGAAAAGCUCAUCAAUUUUUCCUCUUAAUAAUGGGAGACAUUUAUUUGGAAAUUUUAAUAAUCAUCACCUUAGUGCCUUCUCCUAUCAUAAGUGCUUCUUGGCGUUAGGCAUUAAGGAUGAUUUGUUUGACGUCGAAUGUGUGAAUGGAAGUAGAAGGAGCAACCACGGUAGGACAUGUAGAUUGUUGUUCAGUAAUUAAACCUAUAAAUGCUAAAAUUGUUAAUUCAUCAUAUGUUGUAUCUCUAAUUGUGGUCUUUUGACCUCGAGAUUCAAUCAGAACAUCACUUAAGAUGUUAGUAAUACCUUUAUCACCCAAAUAAGAAUGAGACAAAGGUAAUGGGAUGAUAGAGUGAUUAUCUUGUUGUAUGGUCAAGGUAAAGGGUGCUGACUCCCUAAUAGCAAUAGUACUUUCGAACUGAUCCUUAGGAGAGGACUCAUCCCCUUCAUUGACAAAUUGGUUGUCACCCGCCACCUAAGGCAAAUAAUUAUUUUUGUUAGUAUCAAUGCAAAAAAAAAAAAAAAAAAACCUUUUCACCAUCAAGUUCCAUCGCUUGAGUAGAAGUUAGGACGUCAGCAAAGAAGACAUUUACAUCAAGAUGAUAAGAGUUAGUCUCAUCAUAGUACAUAGGGUUGGGUCUAAUUUUUUUCCAUUUGAAGUAACAUUCACUUGUAUCUUCAAAGUUUUUGUUUGAUACAUAAAGACCCUGUGCAUUGUUAUGUUGCUUAAAAGUCUUGUGACAGUGAGUAUUACCACCGUUGAAAAUAGUUUCCUCAUGCUCUGAGUGUGUGGAGGUAUUAGUUUGAUGUCCACCCAUUGAGCGCUUAGAAGAAGCUCUUGAAUCAUCAGGUAAAUCAUCAAAAUCCUUCUCAACAUUGUCUCUAAUAUUCCCCUUAGUAGAAACACUUAAGUCAACCUUGCGCGUUCUACUCUCUAAAGAUCUAGAGGGUAUUUGCCAAGAAGAAUUAGGAGGGGGCUCCAUACAAGUAGUAGUAAGAAUUUCUUUAUCAGGAUUACGUACUCUGAUCCACCAAUCCGCAUAAGCCAAUCUGGUAUAGUAACUUUGGAGUAGGUACCAAGCCUAGUACAUGACUGCCAAUGUUGAUACACCGCCUUUAAAGUUCUAGUGUGAAAAAUCUCUAGCGAACUCUCCGGAAGGUCUUGAAGAUAUACAAACUGCCUAGAAAACCGAUGAGGAUAAUACAGUUGGAUUACCCAAUGAUUACCUUGUCGCAAAGAUAAAUAGUUAGAGUGAAGACUUAUGAGAUAAGAAGCUUUGGUAACACUAAUAGAUUCAUUAUCAGUCCAGUGCACAUGCCUCUUGUGGCGCAAUGCCAAGUGGUCUAGCUUUACGCCUUUGCAAGACAUUAUCAAAGCCUAAGCUUGCAAAUCAUCAAAACACUUAACAAAAAACUCGCCAGUGUAAUAAGUCAUCCGUGGGGGAUGGCUCCAAGAAGGAGAAAUGAAAUGGGUAUCGAAAUAUUCAUUUAACCAUCCGUAUAAGUAAUGAAUAGGGAAAAUAGAUGCAUUAGUCCCAGGCUUUGAAGAAUAAGUGAUUUUAUUUAAGCUGUUGUAAAUACUUCCUAACACCAAAACAACAAGGCUAAAUGUCUCACCUUGAGCCAUUUUACUAGCUACCUUGAAGACUUUAGGAUGAAUCAAAUUGACACCUCCCAAGGAAGAACGAACUUGUAUAACCAACAUGCUAAGAAAGCGCCUAAGUAUCCUUCACAUCUGCCUCAGCUAUGCCAAGGUUGUAAAAAAUUUCCAUCUCUGACUGAAUACGAGAUUUAAUAGGAUCAAUUUCCCCAGAGGGGUUAUGAGUCUCCUUAGGCCUUUACGCCUUAUUCCUUGUACUUUUAUUUGGAAGUUUUGCAUACUUCAUGGAGCCUUUAUACCAAAAUGACACCCAAGAGGCUAACUUGACUGAAGACUUCCCUUUCGUGUUAGAGCAAAUUCGAUGAUAUGCAAGGAAUAAGUUUUGACAACUUGGUGGGAGUGAGGGCUUUGUCACAUCAUUAGAUAACUCUUCCAUGCUCGGUACCAUCUCAUCAUAAAAAGAUCCAAUGAUGGGUAGUCCAACAAUAUGAUACAAGUCCCAAAGAGAGAUGGAAACCUCUCUAAUGGAAGUAUGCAAGGUGUUAGUGGUAGGACACCAACGUUCACAAAAGGCCCUAAUCACAGAGGCAUGACAAUCAUAGCUGAAUAAGGACGCAAAAAUAGCUUCAUAAAGCUUACAUCCUUUAAGAAAUGGUCCAUGCCGGUCCAAUACCUCCUCUACCCAUUCCCAAUAUCCUUCGAUAAAGAAAUAUUCCCUUAGUACUUUGAAUGAACUUCCCCAUUUAGCUUCUCCGUCAUGAACACAAGAACCAAACUAUCCAAAUUCAUCAUGAACUUUAGUAGUAGUUGGGUGAGAGGAAUUCAACAACAGAACAUCAGAAACAAGUUUCACCUUAUUGAGUUUUGAAUUGCCGAUAUUUGUAAGCUUGCAAGAUGCAACUCGGGACAAGGAAGAAAUGUGUAAUGGGUCCUUUGUCACUGGUACUGACAAAGAUUGAAGGUCAGUAAGUGACUUAUGCACUGACAAGGUAGUCCCCUCCUCAAAAUCUUCACUAUCAUCCUCAAGAAUAGUUACAAUCUUCUAUUUGAAACAUUUGAAGAACGCCAUCCUACAUAAAAAGGAAAAAGAAGGUAGAGAGAGAGAUAAAUAAAACAUGGGUAUAAGUUUUUAGAUACCACUAUGCAUUUAAGUCAGAUCAAUUCACAUGAGUGAAGACCUUAGCACUUAAGUCAUAUAAAGUGUUGAAAGUACAAUACCGCAUAGCAUCAGGGCCAUAACUUGUUUGCAUAGAUACCGAGUAUUAUUCUAGUUUUAAUUAAAUGUUAAAACUUGAACACAACUAUGCAUUCAAGUCAAGACAAUUUGCAUAGGUGAAGACUUUAGCACAUAAGUGUUGAAAAUACAACACCGCAUAACAUUAGGGCCAUAACUUGUCUACAUAGAUAACAAGUAUUAUUAUGGUUUUAAUUAAAUAUUAAAACUUGAACACCACUAUGCAUUCAAGUCAAUCCAAUUUGCAUGGGUGAAGACUUUAGCACAUAAGUGCUAAAAAUACGACACCGCUUCGCGUCAAGGCUACGAAUUGAUUACAUGAGGGUCAAACUUUAAAUAUUCAUAUGUUUUUUUAUUUUUUAUUUUUAUUUAUUUUUUAUUUUUUAUUUUAUGGAUAUUUAAGUUUAUUAAAAAUUUCCCUCAAGUACUAAGGUAAUUUAAAAAUAAAUAAAUAAAUAAAAUUAAAUUACCUGAAAUCAAAUUCGUCUCUACGAAUAAUGGAGGCUAACAUGUGUUCGAAAAAGGUGAAUCUUUUUCUUCCUUGACAAAAAAAAAAUGAAUAAAAAGAUCACGUGUCAACAUAUAUAUAUAUAUAUCCAUCCAUUUUUUCAGGAGAUCACGUGAAUGGAUUUUAUAUAUAUAUACAUAUAUUAAAUCCUCAUCCUUACAUCAAUAUAUAGAUAUAUAGCCUAGUGAUGACGUCUCCCAAGGCAACCAACAUUGAGGCUCUGUCCCCAUUGACUUCGACAUACACCCACCAAGCUCCAAAAUAUAUAUAUGCAUUUAAAAAAAAAAUACUUACAGGUUUGAAGAGGUGAAGACUUCUUACGGUAAUUCAAGUCAAGUUUCUUAAAAUUGGGUUGAAAAUCACCCAAAAAUUCAAAAAAAAUAAAAGAAUAUGAAAGGAUUCAAGUCGGGUUUCUCAAGUUGGGUCAAAGAACACUCAAAGAUCAAAAAAGCUCUUUGAAAAAGUUCAAGUCAAAUUUCUUAGCUAUUGUCCCUUUUAUAUAUAAAAAAAACGUAUAUGGGGAUGACAAAUUGGAAGAUGAUUGAAAGUGUAAAGUAAGAAGGAAAACAAAUUGGAAGAGGAUUCAAAGUGUAAAGCAAAAAAGGAAAACAAAGUGGAGUUUGGAAAAAAGUGGGAAAGAAAUAUUUUUUUUGGAAAAAAAAAAAACUUCAAGACUCACCCCAUCCACAUGACAAUGCAUAUAUGUGAUGCGUCUUGAAGUGGGGGUAUUUGUAGACAUAAAAAAAAUUAGUGGAUUAAAUUACCACUAAUUUUGUUUUCAAAAUGAAUAAAAAAAAUCCUCUUAUGGAUAAGUUUCUCUAAUCUCCAACUAUAGAAAGGAUAAUAAUAACAAUAAAAAAACUAUUAUUAUUAUUAUUAUUAUUAUUAUUAUUAUUAUUAUUAUCUUGUUGGUAAAACCUUCCAGGAUUUUUUUUUUCUAAAAUCAAGGAACUAAAUCCUUUAAAUUAAGCAACUAAACUCUGAGAAUUUGAAAUUCAAAUUUUAUAUCUUCACCUAUAAAUAGAGGUGUCUUUUUUCAAGAAAGGAGGGGAAGAAAUCGAGAAAAAAAAAUCCAGAAAGGAAAAUCUUAAGGAGGAAAUCCAAAGGAAACUUUGUAUGGGAAAAGGGGCUUCACAACAAAAGAAAAAGCUUCAUCAAAUUUCUCUGCAAGUUCGGUACAUGGUAGAACUGCUAAACACGCUCACCGCUAUUUAACGAGUUCAUUAAGGAAUAAGCCACUUGUGGCCCUCAAUUGAUCUUCGAAAUUAAGAAAAUGUCAUCGUUGUUUUCCAAAGUGUGAUCAAGAUGAAAGAAUCAGAGGGAUAAUAUUUUUUUGGAAAUAAUAUUAUUUUUGAGAUUGUACCCACAAUAUUUUUAAUUUUAAUAAAUAUUUUGUUUGCAUUAUUUUCCUAUUUGUUUUGCUAAUUUUGUAGGACCAUUUACGAAAUUUAUGUGUACAUACUCUUUUAUGAACAAGGUAGUGUAGAAAAAGUGUAACACUUUUUUUUUUAACUCAGGUAACUCAAGUAAUAUAUCAUUUCUACCAUAGUGAAUCCAUUCUUCUUCUUUAGCGUAUAAAAAGUGACUCCGUUCUUCUUUAGCACAUUAACUUGAAUACGCAACUCAAGUAAUAUAUCAUUUCUACCAUAGUACUUUUAGCAUUUUAGUGGUAUUUUUUUUCUCAUAAAAAUGUGUACCCUUUGAAUAAGCAACCUUUGAGGUGCACAACUUAAUGUUUUAAGAGGGUGCACUAUUUUUUCCUAGCGCAUUUGAAAUGUGUACAACUUCACUAUGCAAAAAAACAUUAUUUUUUAAUAAAAUUAAGAUCAAAUUAAUAUAAAUGAUUAAAUACAAUUUUUAUGAAAAAAAUAUAUUUUAUUUUUUAUUUAUAUAAAUAAAAAUAAAAAAUUUAAUAAAACAAAAUAUUAGAGCCACAACCAAUUUUCUAUCUUAUAUAAUUAAAAAUAUUAAACAUUUUAACCAAGAAGAAAAUUAAAAUUGUGAUCAAGUUACAUCCAUAAGCAAAAAGUUAAAAUAGUGAUUAUCGACUCUAACUUUCACAUAAAAAUUUAACAAUUUUUUAAAAAUAUAAACAAUAAAAUAAUAUGACAAUGUAAUAGGAUUAUAAAAUAAAUAGAUAUUUUAUUUAGGAGGAAUAUAGAAAAUCUUAUGUCCUAAGCUUCUAAAUUUGUUCAUAAUGAAUUUAUUUUUAUAUUAAAUUUGUUUUCAUUAAUUAUUUCUUAUAUAUUUUUAUUUUGUGUCUAGAAUAUCCAUAAAUAAUUGAAAUCGGUAAAUGUAAAAGAAGAAAUAAUGAAAAAAUAAAAUUAAAAAGAUUUCAUGAAGUCAACACAUUAGAAAAUAAGAACAGAAAGGUAGAGAUAUUACGAAGGAGAGGAAAAAGAAAAAAGAAAAAUCAUAUGACAUGGUUGUCAUAUUAAAGUAAAAAGAAAAAAAAAUAAAAUUUUGUAGUAAUUAACUGUGAAAGGAGAUCGAGGGUUACAGGGUAAUUUUAAAAUUUUGAUGAUUUCACUAUUGAAAUACAUGUUUCUAGAAUUAAUUUUUCCAAGAUGUAUGUACUUUAAAAUUUAAAAUUUAAAACUUUAAAUUUUUUAUAUUUUUUAGUUGUUGCAUGAAUAUUACAUCAUUCUCCAUGAAUAGAAUGUGAUAGGGCAUGGUUUUUAAAUCACUUUUAUAAUAAUUUUUUUAUAAUUAACAAGUUUGGCAAAAGAUAUUCUUAAAUGAUUUAAUUUAUAUUCAAUGCUAGUAGUCAUUUUAAUUGGAUAAACUUUUCAAAAGCAAAUUUGAAGAAUUUGGGUCAAAUGUAAUGUGCAUUUUUGUAGGGCCCUCCCAAUGGACCUCGUAAUGCCAAAACUUCUGGCCUUCAUGUUUUGUCAACUUGUUCACACAAUAAGCUCACGAGCUUUACCUUGCUUUAUCUUGUGAGACUUUGAUAUAUGCUUUGUUUGUAUUAAAGAGGUAAAAAAGUUCUUAACCACCAUUCCAUUUUGCACUAAAAAAAAAUUGAUAUAGACAUGCCAAUUGACUUUGUGUGUCAAAUAUUGUCAUGAUGCAUAUGAGAAAAUAAUGUGUCAUUUGACUCCUUUGAGUCAAAUCUUGCCUUUAAGUACAGAGAAAUAUUUGAGAAAUCGCAAGCAUUUUUUCUUUGUUGUUCAUUAAUAUAUGGAAUAGGUUGACCUUUGAAUUAGUCAAGGACAUGGUAGGUCUUUUGGUCUUAUUUUUACUCAAAUUUAUUUGACUCAAAACUGAAGUAGCAUUAAAAAUGAUACUUCAUGUGGUUGUAAAUUUACAUUUCCUAAGGGUUUUCUUCCCUAUUUGAACCAAAAAUUGAUUUUUAGGGUUAGAGGAACACCUCCCCUACAACAGUCAGACAAACUCCAUUGAGUUCCUCUUCCAUUCAAAGAGUGGGUGUGUUUGUUUCCCAAGAAAAUCUAACCCAUUUUAAGUUCAAAAUAAAUUUUUAUCAAAUUUUUCUUUAGAGCUUGGGUUGAUUCAUUUGGUUCUUCCAAAGAUGAGAACUUUUAACUCAAUGACCCAAUCAAAUUACAUGCAUAAUAACAUGAAAAUCUAGAAACUUAAGUAUUACCGUUUCUAAAUAUGACAACUUUUAAUUCAACAACCCAAUCAAAUAAUCAUGCAUAAUAACGAGAAAAAUCUAAAAACCUAAGAACUACCGUUUCCGAAGAUAUGGACUUUUAAUCUAAUAAACCCAUCAAAUAACAUGCAUAGUAACAAGAGAAUCUAAAACCCCUAAGAACUAACAUUGCCAAUUUAACCCAAUAACCCAAUCAACUAACAUGCAUAAUAACUAGAGAAUAUAAAAAAACCCUAAGAACUAAUCAUUGAAACAUGAAAAUUUUGAUAGUAUGGGAAUAACCUAUAAACCUUAAAAUUAUCAAACUUUGAAAAGUAAGAUUUUUAAUAAAAUAGCAUUCUAACACCAUGAAUGAUAACUAGAAAAUUUAAAACCGAACCAAAAUUUUCAAGAUAAGACUUCUAAGAAAAUAGCAUUUUGAUAACAUGAAUAGUAACUAGAAAAAUUAAAACCUAACCAAAAUGUUCAAGAUGAGACUUUCAAUGAAAUAGAAUUCUAAUAUCAUAAAAUAUGUUCCAAAAAAUUUAAAACCUAACCAAAUUUUUGUAUAACCAACUUUUCAAGAUGGGAAUUUUUAAUAAAGUAACAUUCUAAUAACAUAAGAAGUGUACUUGAAUAUGUCUAAGUAUGUUGUCCUAAAGGAGCACUUAAAAAGAAGCUAUUCUAAAAAGAGAAAAGGAAAAUCCUAGAUCUAACUUGGGGUUUCCAAGGGUCACAAUGAGGGGCUAGAUAAAUCCCUCAACUAGAGUCUUUGAGAUGGCUAAAAAAGGUAAGUUGUGUGAGUUGAAAAUGGGCCACCAGGGAGACUACUGCAAAGUAUGAAAAUAGCACUUAAUAGGGCAUGUGCUAACGUAACAAAUGGAAAGUCUACACUUGCAUGCUAGAUUUAUUCUAAGUUGUGCUCACAUCUAUUUUGCAAGGUUGUUUUAUUCAUCUCAUGGACCCUAAGGAUGAAUGAAUGAAAUGCUUUUAUUAAUUCAAUUGAAUGAAUGAAUAUGAAUGGAUAUGAUCUUUGCCAUUUGAUUCUCUAGUUUGGGUUGUGCACCCCAUGAGGGGUACAAGAUUUUUAUUUUAUUGUAAAAAUAUUUUCUUUUCAAUAGAUGGGUUGUAAGCUCCAUUAUAGGAGCAUAUAAUUUUAUUUUUUAUUUUUUUGAUUGUAAAUUUUUUUUUUUAUCCAUUUAUGGUGACCCAAAAGGAAAGGAAAAAUUCUUAAAUUUUCAUUUUUGAGAUCCUAUGGUGACUUAAGAAAAAAGAAAGAUUCUUGAAAGUUCUUGAUUUGAGAUCCUAAUUUGACUCAAAAUUGGGACAAAUCAUAUAUGGUUUUGAAGCUUAGGAAGUUAGGAAUCCAAUGCUUCAAACAAUUUUCUAUUCGGAGUUGAAAUGAGGAAGAUAUAGUCAAUUGAAGUAAGGUUGUACAAAGAGCAUACUAUUUCAGAAUUAAGUUCGGGCCAAAUUGUUUUUGGUUAUUUGGGCUUCUUUUUUAGCUUUUUUUUUUUUUUUUUUUUUUUUUGUGGAAAUUCGACAUUUUAGGGUUUUGUCAAUUUUUACUAACUAAUCUUUGGUUGUAAGAAUAUUUUGAUAAUUUGAAUUUUGUCCAAUUUUUAAUUACCAAAUAUGCAAUAGGAUCCCUAAAGUUCAUGAGAAAUAUUUAUUUAAUUAUUUCCUUGUUUUUAUUUUAUGUUAUCUUUAUUACUUGCUUAUGUGACCUAAAAUAGGAUAAUUUGGUAUUCUUAAUUAGAUAUAAAUUUUCAUGGGCUUUUUCAAAAUAGGAAAACUUAUUUAAAUUGGAAUGUGUAUUGUUAGGAAAUUUAUUUUAAGAAAAGAUAAGUUAGAAAAGAAUUAAGAGUUUCCAUUCCUUUUAAAAAUUAAUUCUUAAUGAUUUUAAUUUUAUUUAAAAUUUUCUUAGAUCUUUGAGAUCUCUAAGAAUAAAAUCUUUCUUUUAAUGAAAAAACUCUUGUUUUUCCAAAUCUUUAUAAAAUAAUAUUUUUCCUAUUUUGCACAAGGUUUUGAUUUAAAGAAAAUAAGUUGAUUUUGAAAAUUCAUAAUAGAUAAUUUAUAAUUAAGAAGGUUACCAAAAUAAGUAUUCAAACCUAAAGAAAAAUGUUUUGGUAUUCUCUAUAAAUUUUCAUGAAAAGAUUUUUCCAAGAUUAUAUAUUUGAAUUGGUUGUUGCUAAUGAGAAUCUUAUUCAUUUGGAACUAUCAUUUUGAUUUUGGUAUAGAUGCUUCUCCAAGCUACUACACCAUACCUAAGAUGGUCCUUCAGGCUCUCUCCUCCUGAGAUAAGGAGGAAACCCCUAUUUGGAUAUGGAUAGUUCAAAAAUAAAGACUAAGAGAGCAAUUUUGUUUAGCAAACGAGUCUUAGUUUAAAAGAUAAAUAACGGAUUUGAAAAACCUCAUGAUAAGAAGGGUUUUCAAUCUUGUAUGUAGAGGUGUCUAAUGGGUCGUGUUGGGCUGACAUGACCUAAUAUUGAUCGGGCCAUUAGGGGCCAAUGUGUCGGGUUGGGUCGACCCAUGCAAGCCAAAUAGGUGACUCGACACGGCCCAUAAGUCCAUGGGCUAAUCGUGUCAUGCUGGGUCGGGUCGUGCUGUGCCGGUGGGCCAUGGCCCAUGGGCCACUCACUUUGUUAAAAAUUUUAAUUUAAUUUUUUAAGUCAUUUUUUCUUAAGUUUUUUCCUUAUUAAAUAAAUUUUAUUUUUGUUACUUUAAACACCUCUAAUAAUUAUAUUUUUAUUUUAUUUUUUAUAUACUUCUAAUAAUUAUACUUUUUAUUUUUUACAUUUAUAUUUAUUGAGUUUGUAAUUGUAAAAUUUAUAGAAAUAUUAGUUUUUUGUUUUUAAAAAUAGUAAAAAAAAAUUACAUUUGAAUUUGUUUAUUUUAUUUUUAUCAAAAUAACAAUAAAUUUAAAAUAAUGGAAUAUAAAAGGAAAUGAAAUAUAAAAAAAUAAUUCUUUUAUUCAAUAUUUCAACAAAUUACAUGAAAAAAUAAUGAGAAAAAAAAAACAAAAGUGAGAAUUGCAUCACUAUAGUUUGAGUACAUCCCAACUAGGUUGGCACCCACCCAACUAUCAAUCAUAUGCAUUACUUAACCUUUAAAAAUUAACUACAUUUAAUAGAUUUAAAAGAAACGAACAACAUAUAAUUCUUCAAUUAUCAUAUUCACUUUUGUCUUCUUAUUCAAUCUUCAUUCUUAUUUUUUCAUCUUCAAUCAUCAUCAAUCUCUUGAACAUCAUUGUUUGCAUUGAGAUGCAAUUUCUUGAAGGCUUCUUUAAGUUCAUCCUCUAAAGUUUGACAUGAAAAAAGUAAAAAUAGUUAUUGAUUUACUUUUUUUACCCCUCAAACUAGUUGUAAUAUAAUUGUUAAGAGGGGUAUUAUAGACAUUUGACAUGUAAUAAAAAGUAAACACUAAAAGGUGAAAUUUAAAAGGGCCAAGUGGGUCGACACGGUGGGCCGACGGGUUGUUUCUUUAGGCCUAGCAUGGCCUGCUCCUUUGGGUCGUGUUGUCUUAGCUUGCUAUAGUGUUAGGCCAUACUGGCCUUGCCUGACCUUUUGGCGUGCCGAGCCACGGGCCAAAAUGGGCAGCCCGACCCAAUGACCCAGAUUUCAUUAUACAUUUGAAUGGUUUGAAUUGGAAGUUUGAUUUAGGACAAAAUCAAUAACCAUUAAAAAAAGAAAGAAUAUUGUAACACCGUUCAUACCUAUUGACUUUCGUUUUUAAUACUAUUGAAAAUUUUCACGAAUGAGAAGGCAACAAAGCAAGAAUUCUUAAGAUUCUAACUAUGCUACAGUCAUGAAAGAAGAAAAAGGGGGGAGAAGUAAUGUUUUUAUACUACAACCCACAAUCAUGAAAUAAGAAAAAAGAAAAUUCCAAAAAAUAUAGACCAAACAACAAGAACUUGCUUAGGCAUCUUCUAUACGUGAUCCUUUCUUGUCACUUGUUUUUUUUCCAUACUGGAAUGUAAAAUCCUACCAUGAGUGUUAAAAUAAGAUUGCCAUACUUAUUAACCAAUUAGUGAGUAAUUCCUACAAGUGAUAGUUUCUUAUAAUACACAUAUUUCUUGUUUACUUGAGCGCUAGUAGUAAUGAUCAUAAUUUUAAUAUAUUGAGAAUGUAAAAUUUUCUAGCAACAAAUAUAUUUAGCCCAUUGUAUUACAAAAAAGUACUAAAUGAAGAAAAAAAAUAGAGAUGGAAAGAAAUCUAAAUUCUCUUUAGUUCAAAGGUAUAAAAUAAAAUCAAAUAUAAUAAAAAAAUUCAAAAUUUUUCAAUCUUUAUGUAGAAUAGAAAAAAGAAGAAGAAAAAGGAUACUCUUGGUGAAACAUGUAAGAAAUGUUAAUUGAAUUUAAAUUUAUUUUUCAUUUUAUUAUUUUUUUAAAAACUUUUUAUUGUUUUAAAUUAAGAAAUAUACUAAAGACAUAGGUUUUAGUGAUUGCCAUAUGUUGGUAAUAAGCAGGGAAUGUCACUAAAAAAUACAAUAUAUUUUAAUUAAAUGUUACCAAGUAUUGUAUAAUGAAUGAGAGAUGAAUGUUCAAAGAACUCAACCCCUUUUUCUUUUUAGAAAAUCCAUUAGAAAAUUUUUCUUGAAGACUUGAAUAAGAUUUCCUUGGAAAGCAAACAACCUCCAAAAGAGGAAGGGAAUGAAGAGCUCACUCACCGAUUGUUGCUCUCUACAAGCUCUCUCCUCCUGAGAUAAGGAAGAAACCCCUAUUUGGAUAUGGAUAGUUCAAAGAUAAGGACUAAUUAGAAAACAAUUUUUUUAACACACGAGUCUUAGUUUAAAAAAUAAAUAACGGAUUUGAAAAAUCUCAUGAUAAGAAGGGUUUUCAAUCUUGUAUAUUUAUAUUGUCAUUCAAUGACUUAAAUUUCAUUAUACAUUUGAAUGGUCUGAAUUGAAAGUUUGAUGUAGGACAAAAUCAAUACCCAUUAAAAAAGGAAAGAAUAUCGUAACACCAUUCAUACCUAUUGACUCUCCUUUUUAAUACUAUUGAAAAUUUUCACAAAUGAGAAAGCAACAAAGCAAGGAUUCCUAAGAUUCUAACUAUGCUACAAUCAUGAAAGAAGAACAAAGAAAAUUCCAAAAAUAUAGACCAAACAACAAGAACUUGCUUGGGCAUCUUCAGUAAGUGAUCAUUUCUUGUCACUUGUUUUUUUCCAUAUUGGAAUGUAAAAUCCUACCAUGAGUGUUAAGAUAAGAUUGCCAUAAAAGAAAUUAUCAAAUAUGACAAUAUUUUUUCUAAUUUUCAAAGAAUUAUCAAAUAUGACACUAAAUUUUCAAAAUAACACUAAAUUUCUUUCUAUUUUGGAUUUAAAAGUGAGUAGUAAAACUAAAAUUAUCAAAUAUGACAAUAUUUUUUCUAUUUUUCAAAGAAUUUCGAAAGCAUUAUAUUUAAUUAAAAACACUUGGCUGAUAAAUAAAUAAACUGAAAACAUGGGAAUUCUGGAGAGCUACGAAACGGAGAUAAGAAUAUAAUUAAGGAAAAUGAAAGUGAAAGCCAAGGAAUGAGCAUCAUCACCUCCUAGAAGUAUCUAACCCACCUCGCUGAAGUUUGCUAUAAAUACCUAACAAUUUCCCUUGAGUUCAUCAAUGCUUGAGUUUGAAUCUUAUCAAUCACAGUAGUAGCAAUGGCAGACGAGAUUAUCUUGUUGGAUUUCUGGCCUAGCCCGUUUGGUAUGAGGGUCAGAGUUGCCCUGGCAGAGAAGGGUCUCAAGUAUGAAUAUAGAGAGGAGGACCCGAGGAACAAGAACCCUCUGCUUCUUGAGAUGAACCCCGUUCAUAAGAAAAUCCCAGUUCUGAUCCACAAUGGAAAGCCCAUUUGUGAGUCUAUGAUAAUAGUUCAGUAUAUUGAUGAGGUUUGGAACAAAAAAUCUCCGUUGUUGCCUAGUGACCCAUACCAGAGAGCUCAGGCCAGGUUCUGGGCGGACUACAUAGACAAGAAGGUAUGCCUUUUCUGUUGAUUUAAAGCAUUCUUUUCCAUUGAUUCAUGGCGAUUGACUCACAUUUUGAUUAUGGUGAGGGAUUUAUCCAAAAUGCUAGUUCUUCACAUAUUCUCUUCUGAUAUUGAGUUUUGUUGGCUUUGGUGUCCCAAACUAGAACUUUACUGAUUCUCUUGCUGUUUCUUCAACAAGACUCCCCUCUGCAUUUCUGAUAUGGGUUUUUAUUUCUUUGUUCUGUUGAAUCCGACGUCUGUUCGUUCCAUCCAAAAAAGCAGAUCUCAAGAAUACCUUUUCCCCCAAGAAAGGGAAUACAUAAACCAGAAUUUUAAAGAACAGAUUUUGGUUUUUCGUUAUCCUGCUGUUCAACAUUUUGCACAACAGUUGUUUUAAUAUAUGUUCUGUCUUUUUGAUCUCUUUCUUCUCAUUUCUUUAACACAAAUUGAGGGGAAAAACUUUAGCAAAUGAUACAUUCUUUCAACUGAUUCUGAUAUUUUUCCUAGGAUACGAGAUUUCUAUGCCGAAGGGUCGUUAAUAAACUUGCCCAACUAUACAGAAAGUUUGAAACUUGAUGAAAUGCUUCCAAAAGAAAAAAAAAAAACCCUUUUCUCUCUUUGACUCCAUUACUUUCCACAGCUCUAUGAACUUGGAAGGAGGAUAUGGUCAACCAAAGGAGAAGAGCAGGAAACAGCCAAGAAUGAAUUCAUAGAGUACCUUAAGAUUUUGGAAGGAGAGCUUGGAGAGAAGCCUUACUUCGGUGGUGAGAAAUUUGGGUUUGUGGAUGUGGCUCUGGUGACUUUCUCAACCUUGUUUUAUGCGUAUGAGAGCUUUGGUAACUUCAGCAUAGAGGUGGAGUGCCCCAAGUUGAUCGCUUGGACCAAGAGGUGCAUGGAAAAGGAGAGUGUGUCGUCUUCUCUGAAAGACCCACAGAAGGUCCAUGGCUUUGUCAUGGAGAUGAGGAAGAAGCUUGGUAUAGAGUAAAAGGGGAACAUCAUGUGUGGGGGUCUUUCCAUCGAAGACCCACACAAGGUCCAUGACUUUGUCUUGUGGAUGAGAAAGAAGUUCCGUGUAGAAUAAAAGGGCUUUUGAAUCGUGUUGUAUUGGUAAUAUGAGAGGAGUGUUUGCUUUAAGUAUGCUUUGAAGGGGCUGGAAAGAAAUGUUUACAAUUUGUUUUCUUUUGUUUUGGACUAGAGACGUGUUCUUGUAUUGAAGAAAUAAAAGAGUUUUUAACUACAUUCCAUUGUAUCAUGUCACAUAAACAAGCAUUAAAAUAAGUUGGAUAAGACAUGCCACAAAGUUGAUCAGAUGCGUAGUCUAUAAAGAUAUCAUGUCCCAUAGAUAGAAGGUGAUAGACAGCUCACGUGACCAACUCAUACUUUGAGACAAUCCGGUGAUUGUUGCAGUUAUAUCAUAUCCAUUGACCAGCUCAUCCUCUGAUUCAAUCCCACAAUAGUUGCAGUUAUACCAUAUAAUAUUUGUACCUACUGUAUAUAAAAAGGCAGACCCACAAUUAUAACUGUAAUUCCCUCUUGAAUCUAGUCAAUAUGUGUGUUUAUACUCAUGCAAAUAUGAAUGAAAGAUAUUGUUUUUUGCCCAAAGCUUUCUGCUGUUUCAGGGUAUCAGACCCAUAAACUCCACCGAGUCACUAUUCCAGCAGCCACCCAAAUCUUGUAGUCUCUUCAUUGAAACCACCUUUUAUUGCUAUCCCAAUGACUGAAGACUCCAACUCCUCCGGGCCCUUCCCAUAUCACACAGUCAUCAUGUCAUGUGGAAACACUCCUUCAACCGCACUGGUGUCUGUUAAUGCAGCAACACAACUUCCCCUGAAACUCACCGGUAGCAGCAUUUAUCCCUCUUGGAGAACAAUGUUCUCAACACUACUUUAUGGCUAUGAUCUGAUUGGGUAUGUUGAUGGAACAUAUCCAUGUCCACCAGAAAUGAUAAAAAUGGGUGACACUUUCACACCCAAUCCGGAGCACAAAAUUUGGAAACGCCAAGACAGCCUACUUCUGCAUGCUAUCAGGGAAUCAGUUGAUUCCACCAUUGCCCCUCUUGUUGCAUCCACCACAUUUGCUCAAGAGUCUUGGGCUCGUCUACACACCACAUAUGCCAGCAAAUCGAAGACUAGGAUCUUAGGACUCCGAGAGAUGCUGAGCCAACUCAUCAAAGAAAAUAAAUCUGUUGUUGAAUAUAUGACAGUAAUCAAAACUAUGACCGAUGAAUUGGCUAUUGUUGGAUCCCCUCUCGGUGAAGAAGAAAUGGUGAUCAGUGUUCUCAAAGUUUUAGGAUCUGAGUUCAAGGAAUUGAGUGCAGCAAUAAGAGCUUGAGAUUCUUCCAUAUCCUUUGAAGAACUACAUGAAAAACUAGCAGAUCAUGAAAUGUUCCUUAAAUGUGAAGAAUUCAAGAAGCAUAGUGUUACUGUUACAACUCAGUUUAAUCAAAAGGGCUCAAACAACUUUGGCAAAAAGGGGAACAACUCAAACAGUAAGAAAGGACGAAGUUCUCAAUUUGGAAAUAAUUAUCAAGGCAACAAGAAUCAUCAUGGACACAUGUUCCCUAACCAAGGGAAUAGAUUUCUUGGUCCACAAGGGCGUCCUCCAUUCAAUCCCCCUCAAAACUGUGUUGUUUGUCAAUCAUGUGACAAAGCUAGACAUACUGCUAGGGUCUGCAGGUCUCGCCCACCCUCCUAUUUCACACCAAAAGAAAAUUUCAUGGCUCGAGAACCACAAAUUCAUAAUGCCAAUUGGGUAAUAGACUCGGGAGCCUCACACCACAUUACUUCAGAUCUUCAGAAUCUUUCCAUUCAUUCUGAAUAUGGUGGUACAGACGAUGUAAUUAUUGGUGAUGGUAAUGGUAUUUCUAUCACUCAUACUGAUUCUACUAAUUUAAUUACUGAAAAUUCAAAUUUUAUGCUUGGCAAUGUUUUGUGUGCUCCGUCUAUUCAUAAGAACUUAAUUUUUGUGUCUUAGUUUUGCAAACAUAAUUGUACAUCCAUUGAAUUUUUCCCUACUUACUUUUUGGUGAAGGAUUUGAGCAUGGGGGCAACACUCGUUCAAGGCCAGAGUAAGGGAAAUCUGUAUGAGUGGCCGACUUCUUCUCCCAACUCAAGCUCCACACCUCAGGCCUACAACACCACCACCAGUUCAACAUCUCGAUCAUCCCAAUCUGCGUAUUCUCCAACAUGUCAUCUCAAGUCAUUCACUUUCAGUGUCCAAGUUGUCUCUAGACUCUUGUAACUCAUGCUUAUGUAAUAAAAGUCAUCGACUUCCCCUUGGUGCAUCUUCUCUUAUAAGCUCUAAACCCCUUAAACUUAUUUCUACUGAUAUUUAGGGACUUGCUAUGAUGUAGGACAACCCUACACUACUACAAAAAAUGUAAUUUAUGACGUUUUUUUUCUUGACGCUUAUAUAAAGUGCCAUUAUUUAUUCUCAAAAAUGGGUAUUAAUGACGCUUGCAUUAUCUUGGCGCCUUAAUGGGAGAAAUAAUGACGUUUUUAAAUAAUGGCGCUUUUUUAAGCAUCAUUGUACAAUGAAUUUCAAAUAAUGACGCUUUUUUAAGUGCCAUUGUAGGAGAACCUCAACCUUGGCGCUUUUAAAAGCGUCAUUGUACAAUGCAUUUCAAAUAAUGACGAUUUUUUAAGUGCCAUUGUAGGAGAACCUCAACCUUGGCGCUUUUAAAAGCGUCAUUUUCUGUUCAUUUUAUAAUUACUCACAUUUUUCAAUUAAAAAAAAAGAGAUAAAUGUAAUAAAGCCUUUUCCAUACCCGAUGCCCACACUCAAGUUUCAUUACCAAAUCUGUCUCUAACUGAACCAGCAAGCUCCAGCCAAUUUCGAUUGAGAAAAUGAAGUUCUUACUCCAAAUCAAGAAGAUAGCAUUCAUGGAUGCUCCACCGAUUUGACUAUUUGGGUGCUGGAUUGAGAGAAAGGAAAUGAAUGGAGAUAUAAGAGAAAGCUAAGGUUUUUUUAGAUUCGUAGGUUGGGAGAGGCAAGAGGCAGCAAAGGCAGGUGCCUUCGGUUGAAGAGGUAAGCAAGGAGUAAAGGUCGAAGAACCAGAGGAACAGAGGAAAGAAAAGAAGGGAGAAGAAAAAACCCGGAAGAGAGAGUUGUCGGGUACGAGCCCACAUGUUCUCGUUUUCCCAUGGAUUCACAUUCUUCACUAUUGAUUUCUGGGAUUUGAGUGUGAAUGCUUGUAAAUCUGUUGUGGUUUUUGUUUAUUAUCAGUUAUUUUCUUGGUUUGCAUCUCCGAUAAAAAGAUACUAUACCUCUGUUUUUAGGCUCAGUUGUGUCUCUCCUCUGUUUUUGUUCUCUGGAAGAUUUGGAAAUGAUUCUGGUGUUGUUCCAUUUGUGUACAAUGGUUCAUGCCGAAAGGAGCUUGCUUUCCAUGGAGUUGUAGGUACUGCCUAUAACUUGUUUGAUGAAAUGCCAUUUCGAGAUAUGGGCUCUUGGAAUGCAUAGAAAGUUUUUCAACAUUCUUUAUUAAGGGAUGUAGUGUCAUGGAACUCAAUAAUUGUUGCCUAUGAGUAGAAUCAUGUGGCUUUCGAAUUAAAUAAAAAAAAUUUCUUCAGGGGGCGCGACCCCCGACAUCCCGAGCAAAGUGCAACAUUUACUACUAAUUUAAGCUUCACAAUCUGACAUAGGCUUCAUUGCUUAUAUUAUAAAAGAUGCUAUUCAACUUCAUUUUUAAAUGGGUUACACAACAUGUUAUCUAAUUAAUAAUAACGUCAUGUUUGGUUCAUCUAUUCAAUAAACUAAUUGAGAUUUGACACCCCACUUAUGACCACAAACUAGAAUGGUCACCCCCAACAUAAGUAGAACACAUGUCAAGGUGCGGCUUAGCUCUACUUUAGCCUUACUUGGGAAAUCUACCCAAGUCUAAGCCUAAAAACAAAAUGAAAAAAAUAUCAUGAUAUUAUAUUAAUACAAAUUAUAUAUAUCUAUAUUGAUUAUCUAAUUAAUCAAGACUCUAAAAAAUGAGUAACUUUGAUAAAUCAUUUUGGGGGUUGGAGAUGAACCAAUUUUAACAUGAACUUUAUGUAGUGGGUCUUUAAUGGAUUUAGCCAAGUUAUUGAACUUAGGCCUAAAAUGUGAUGCUUACAAACAAUAUUUUCCUAUUCUUACCAUUGCAAUUGAUAUGAAUAAUUUAUAAUACAUAACUAGAUGUAAUAUUUUAAUAAGUAUUUAUGUUUUAGUUUUAAUCAACUAUGCAUGCAUGAAACCUUAGAAUUCCCAUUCAAGUAUCAUUGUGAGACAGAAGUUUCUCUUAUUACAUACUAAGACAAUAAGUUGUCAAAAUGUGAAAUGUGAGUAUAUUUAAGCCAGUUUCAAGUUGACAACCACUAAAUUUGUUUUCCAUGUGAUAAAGAUCUUUUCUUUGCAAAUGAUGUUUGAAUUGUCCAGUUGGACAGUAUAGGAAAACAUGAUAUCUAUGAAGUUAAUUGCUUGUUCUUAAUUCAAUUUUUAGAAAAUUUGGUAGUCUUUCUUCUUGUUCUCUGGGUGCAUAUUUGGACAAGGUCACAUAUUGUGCCUUAUCCAUUUUGUGUACUUGGUGAACUAUAAGGAAAUGCUGCCGAAAUUUCUUUAAAAUGAAUUUAAGUAUAUUGGCAAUUGACACAUAGGGAUUAUGUAUUCCUAUAUGGGAUAGGAACCACCACCUAAUUAAGGAUGUUGGAGAUGUUAGAAUGCCUAAAUCAUGUAUAAAUCACUUGCUUCUAUUCAUUCGAAUCUUAGUUCCAUUCGUUAAUUGUUUUAGUUCAUGGUAUCAUUGUCUCAUAUGGUUAUGUGUUUUUAAAAUUUUCAAACUUGGUGUAUUCAAUAAUAUAAGAGAAGACUAAAAGUUAGAUCUUGCUUUUCGUUCCUAUUCAUGAAUAAAGCAAACAUCAUGAACGAACUAAGAUCCAUUUUUUAUGCUAAUAUUGAAUAACCUAAUAUACUAAUUAUGUUUCUUGUCAUAUUGCUUAUUGUUAGAUGACUUGCACAUUGUCGUUUUUUGGAUUGGUCUAAGUUUUGUGACAAUGUGGGAAAUUUUAAUUUGGUAGAUUAUAUAUUUUAAGCCUAUUAAUAGGAUUUUAUUAAUAACUUUAGUUGUUAGUGGUAUCUAGGAGUUGUGUUUAUCUCUUGUACAUCAAAUGGAUCGUUCUUGGAUGUCAAAGGAUAGGAGAUCAAAGGAUUAUGCAGAUGGGGUAGAAAACUUUAUCGCAUUUGCAUUACAAUAUUCCACAUAUAAAAACUCCAUUAAAUGUCCAUGCCUUCAGUGUGGUAAUAUGAUAUUCCACACUCCUCAAAAAAUUAGAGAACAUUUAUUCUUCUAUGGAAUUGAUUAGAGUUACCAUACAUGGUAUUGGCAUGGAGACAUUGCUCCAAGUGGACCACCAACUAGUAGGGCAGAAUGGCAUCAUACAGUUGAAUUUAACGAUGUGGAUAGUACAAUAGAAAUGGUUCAAGUUGCAUAUGAUGAUUGUAAGAAUGACCCAAAAUCGUUUGAAACAUUACUUGAUGAUGCUCAAAAACCUUUAUAUCCUGGUUGUAGAAACUUUACAAAGUUAUCUGCAUUGGUCAAAUUAUACAACCUGAAAGCAUGAUAUGGAUGGUCUGAUAAAAGCUUUUCAGAGCUUUUAAGUAUUCUUGGAGAUAUGUUGCCUCUAAACAAUGAGUUGCCUCUGUCUAUGUAUGAAGCAAAAAAAACAUUGAAUACAUUGGGAAUGGAAUAUGAGAAAAUACAUGCAUGUCCCAAUGAUUGCAUAUUGUAUAGAAAUGAGUUGAAGGAUGCAACUUCUUGUCCUACUUGUGGAACUUCAAGGUGGAAGUUAGAUGGAACAGGUACUAAAAAGAGGAAGGGAGUCCCUGCAAAAGUAAUGUGGUAUUUUCCUCCUAUUCCAAGAUUUAGAAGAUUGUUUCAAUCGCCAAAAAUUGCAAAAAACCUCAUAUGGCAUGCUCAAGAAAGAGAAUUUGAUGGUAAAAUGCGUCAUCCAUCUGACUCCCCAUCAUGGAAGCUAGUUGAUCACAGAUGGCCUGAUUUUGCUUCAAAACCUAGAAACCUUAGACUUGCCAUUUCAGCAGAUGGUAUAAAUCCUCAUAGUUCAAUGAGCAGUAGACAUAGUUGUUGGCCUAUUAUAAUGGUCAUUUACAACCUUCCUCCUUGGUUGUGCAUGAAAAGGAAGUUUAUGAUGCUAUCUUUAUUAAUAUCAGGUCCACGACAACCUGGAAAUGAAAUUGAUGUUUAUUUAGCACCAUUAUUGGAUGACUUAAAAAUGUUGUGGGAUGUAGGGGUUGAAUGUUAUGAUGUGCAUCAGCAAGAGGUCUUUACAUUAAGAGCUAUUCUACUAUGGACAAUCAAUGAUUUUCCUGCAUAUGGAAACUUAUCUGGUUGUGUAGUUAAAGGAUAUUUUACAUGUCCCAUAUGUGGGAAAGAUACAUUCUCUCAUAGAUUGAAGCAUGGGAAAAAGAACUCAUAUACAGGUCACAGAAGAUUUCUUCCUUGCAACCAUCCUUUUAGGAAACAAAAGAAGGCAUUUAAUGGCAAACAAGAGUUUAGCUCACCUCCGCAACCAUUGAGUGGAGAGGAAAUCCUAAGGAAAAUUGAUGUCAUUUCUAAUUCAUGGGGAAAAAAUAAAAACUCUCGAGGCAAGUUGAAUGUCAAUACUACAAAUUGUUGGAAAAAGAAGUCCAUAUUCUUUGAUCUUGAGUAUUGGAAAUACCUACAUGUUCGUCAUAGCUUGGAUGUAAUGCACAUAGAGAAGAAUGUUUGUGAAAGCAUCAUUGGUACCUUACUCAACAUUCCAGGUAAGACGAAAGAUGGACUUAAUUCUCGCCUAGACCUGCUAGAGAUGGGCUUAAGGUGUGAAUUGGGGCCAAGGUUUGAAUCAAAUCGAACUUAUCUCCCACCUGCAUGUUAUACGUUAUCUAAAGUGGAGAAAAAGGUUUUUUGCCAAACUUUAUCACAAUUAAAGGCUCUUGAAGGUUAUUGCUCUAACAUGAGAAACCUUGUGUCAAUGGAAGACUUGAAGCUUUAUGGUCUUAAAUCGCAUGACUAUCAUACAUUAAUGCAACAGUUAUUGCCAAUGUCAUUACGAUCCCUUUUGCCAAAGCAUGUAAGGCAUGCUAUUUGCAGAUUGAGUUUUUUAUUCAAUGCUCUGUGUAGCAAAGUGGUUGAUGUGUCUGCACUGGAUAAGUUACAAAAUGAUUUGGUGGUGACAUUAUGCUUGCUUGAGAAGUACUUUCCACCUUCCUUCUUUGAUAUCAUGCUUCAUCUUACUGUACAUCUUGUAAGGGAGGUGAGACUUUGUGGACCAGUUUACCUAAGGUGGAUGUACCCAUUUAAAGAUUCAUGAAAGUUUUGAAAGGGUAUGUACGAAACCGUAAUCGGUCGGAAGGUUGUAUCGCUGAAUGCUAUAUUGUAGAGGAAGCUAUUGAAUUUUGUACAGAGUAUUUAUCAAAUGUAGAUGCGAUUGGGAUUCCUAUUAGUGCAAACAUUGACCAAAAAGUUGGGGCACCAAUACCUGGAGGUCAAGUUGUGACAAUUGAUUUCAAUUUGUGGUUACAUGCACAUCAUUAUGUUUUAGAGAAUACAACUAUUGUUCAACCUUAUAUUGAGUAAGAACCACUAACACUUAAUAUUUGUGUCUGAUACUUAAAAUAACUUUAAAACAUUAACUUUGAAUUUCUUAUAAAUAAUUACAUAGAGAGCACAUGGAAUGGUUGAAAUUGAAAAAUCCUCGUCAAUCAAAAAGACAAAAGUGGCUCCAGGAUGAACACCUGCGGACUUUUACUUAUUGGUUGAGAAAAAAGGUAUUGGAAUGGUGUUAAAAUGUGAAGUAUUCUUUUUACUAAUGUUUAACAUACAUAAUAACUAUUAUUUAUAAUUACAGAUUGAAGCUGCAAUUGGUAAUAAUGAACCUAUAUUUGAAACCCUUAAGUGGAUAGCUCAUGGUCCUAGCCAUUAUGUCUCUAAAUAUCAUGGAUAUGUCAUUAAUGGGUGUCGAUACCAUACCAAGGAAGGAGAUGACUUACGAGCUACCCAAAAUAGUGGAGUUAGUAUUGUAGCUUCAACAAUGCAAAUCGCAAGUGCAAAGGAUCAAAAUCCAGUGUUUGGUGAGCUUUGUUUCUAUGGCAUUAUUACCGAGAUCUGGGACCUUGAUUAUACCAUGUUUAGGAUACCGGUUUUCAAGUGUGAUUGGGUUGAUAAUAAAAAUGGCAUAAAAGUUGAUGAUCUUGGCUUUACAUUAGUUGACUUUAGCAAAAUUGCUCAUAAAUCAGAUCCUUUCAUUUUGGCAUCCCAAGCUAAGCAAGUAUUUUAUGUGCAAGACCAACUUGAUCCAAGAUGGUCGGUUGUUUUGUCAACUCCUCAAAAAGAUUUCUUGGAUAUAGAAGGAGGUGAAGACUUUGUUGACAAUUCAAUUGAACACCAUCCCUUUAUAGGGGCAUUGCCACAAAUUGAAGCGUUUGAUGUAAUGGAUGACUCAGAUGCAACAUGUAUGCGAGGCGAUUGUGAGGGGAUUUAGAUUGAGAAAAAAUCCUCUAUGUAGCUAUAUUUUAAUGCUAAUGUAUGAAUAAAGGCCAUGAAAUGGGUUGCAAUAGCCACAAAAUAGGUAAUUUUUAUCCUUUUUUUAUUUUUUUGCACAAAAUAUUGACCAUUCUUUAACAUCUCCCAACAACAUAUUUACUAAAACCUUUUCCCUAAAUUGUGCAUGGAAGAUACUAAAUUAGUUAUGUUUGUGAGUAAAAAAAUUAUGAAAUUUUUUAUUUUCAAUAUGCAUGUUGUGUUUUCCAAACUUAAUGUAACACAAACCGAUAGUCCAAAAGCUUUCAUAAGUUCUUAUGGACUUGAUGAACUUGUUGAAAUCACAUGCUCCUUCCAUGUUGAUUCUUAUAGGAAAUUCCUACUGCAAAUUUAGCUUUCUUAUACAAAGGCCCUUGGGUUGCUUAAAAUAAAUGAAAUGUUAAACAAAGUAGGGCACAAAAAAAAGUUUAAAUGAAGUGUUAUCCUUGUUAUAUGAUGAACAAUUCUAAAAAGAUCUAUUGAAUUCAUGAUCUAUUGCAUUUCAUUGUGCAAUGAUUAUGGAUUUAUUUCUUUGAAAAGUUAUGUUUUACAAUUAUUCUUUGACUAGGUUAUAUGCAAUAUAAUUUUAACUAAUCUUUAUCAUUUUUUAUUUUUUUUUUGUUACAAUAAUGGAGACAAAGGAAGGAGAAAAACCCAUAAAAAGGAAGUACAGAGGGAUGACACGGAAGCAUAAGAUUAUAAAAAACAGAAGCAAGGGGGUUAAGUAGCCGGUUAAGUACAAUCUUGAUGGCAUUUUCAUAGGAGAAUCAGCAGUUCAUCUAACAAGCUACUUAGGCGUGUUAGCACGCACUAUGGUGCCAAUAAGAUAUAAAACUUGGCAUGUUGUACCUAAACAGUUGAAGGAUAAGUUAUGGGACAGCAUUGAGGUAACCAUUUCUUAUUUAAAUCACUUUGAUGCAAAAUGUCUAUCAUUCUUAACCUCUUGAAAUUACUAAAGUUUGGUAUUAAUGUGCAGACUGCUUUUUCAUUAAAUCAUAAAAGCAGGAGGAAUUGUAUGUUAACAAUGGGAAAAUGCUUUCGGUCCUUUAAGAACUUGCUAACGGUGAAGUACAUUCUUCCUUUCGAAGACCAACCGGAGCUCCUCAAAAGACCACCAAUUCAAUAUACUUUUAUUGAGGAUGAAGAUUGGACAAUAUUUGUCAAAGAUAGAUUGUCUGACAACUUUAAGGUAUAAUUAAGACUCUUUACAUACCUCUUAUUCACAUUCAUUAAUUAUAAAAUUUUAAUUUAUAGGAAUAUCGAGAAAUUCAAAAAGAAAGAAGAAAGAGAAACAUUUAUAAUCACCAUCUAAGUAGGAAAGGAUAUGCCGGUCUUGAGGAAGAGAUGGUAAGUGUAAGCCUAUUAAUUGCUUUUUAUUUAUUUUAUGCAUAAUACAUAAUAGGGUUAUAUGAUAAUUAUAUUAUACAUUGUCCUAUUUUGAAAGAUGGUUGCAAGUAGAUCAAUUGAAACUAUUGAUCGAAGCAUAUUAUGGAAGAAAGUAAGGGAAAAAAAGGAUGACACCUUUGAUGAAGUGGCCAUACCAGUAAUUGAGAAAAUAGUAAGUGAAUAUUUUUCAAUUUUAAUUACAUAUAUUUAUAAUAAGUUAUUUACAAUAACAAAUUUGCAAUUUAACUUUAUAAUUAAUAUUUUUUAAGGACAAGCUAUUGAAAGAGUCUCAAGAGAAUGGUAGAAGUGUUAGUGGAAGUAAUGAUAUACUUGUGGAAGCAUUGGGUACUCCUGAGUAUAGUGGUCAAGUUAGGGCCAAAGGGAAGCACUACACACCUUGCCAAUAUUUCAAUAGUGCUGCAGAUCGUGCUGUCAGGGAUUUCAUAGCAGCAUCUAAAGAAGAAUAAAGAAUAUUUCAGGCAGAAGUGCUAGCAAAACUGUCUCAAGUAGGAGCUGUUACUCCCCAAUCUGAUGUUAGCAGUUCAAGCAUGAAGCAAAAACAACUUCUCCUACCAAAAGCAGUGGAUAAGCCAAUCCGUAAAGUUGAAGAUGUGACCCCACCAGAAGCAAUAGAACCACAGAAGAAGGUAUUUAUUCAGUUAAGCUAAUUUGAUGAAAAAGUUUCCUCUAAUAUGAGAAAUAAUUUAAUUUAAUUUUGUUGUUUGAAUUGACUUCAAAUGUUGGUGGCAACAUAUAUGGUCUUCUUUGAUGUGGCAACAUAUAAUAGGAUGUGGCAAUGGACUGAAAUGUUAUCAUGCAAGUUUGUUGCAAUUGAAUGUAAAUGAAAUUGCAUUUAUCAUUGUAAUAGGAGCUAUAAGGUGAUUGAUGAUGAUAAUGCAUUUAUGUUAGUUUUGUAUAAACCCACUAAUAUUGAAGUGAUUAUUGUGAAUUGAGUUUUGUAGGUUAGAAAAUGUGAGCUGGCCAUAGGCACCAAGGAAAAUAUAGUGGGAGGUGGAACAAUUAUACUUGAAUGUGGUCCCAACUAUUUAGUAGUUGUUGAUGCUCCUUAUGAUUCAAGUGCACCCCUUCCCAUUCCUAUUCCUGGACAAACUACUACUGUUGGGGCUGCAAUUGGUUACCAAGUUUUGUGGCCAACUGAUUUGGUCAUCAUCCGUACUCCCAUCUUAGUAAGUAAAUUUAAUUACCAAACUUUAUAGUGACUUUAUAUAUAUAUAUAUAUAUAUAUAUAUAUAUAUAUAUAAACUAGUUAAUUUGAUUUGUACCAUGGUUCUUAAUUGUACAGGCAUCUAAGAAAGCAAAGAAACAAAAAGUAAAUGAAGUUGAAGUCAAAUCCAAGGGUGAAAAACCACAAGAUAUGAAAAUUUUUGAGACAUUGGUUGGCCUCAUGCUGAGUACAUCAAGAACACACCCUAUAAACUUCCCAGAUGAUGUUUUUGGUUAGAGUUUCAAGACCUUCAUGAUGAAAGAAGAUAUGGAAAUGAUAAUAUCAUCAAAAGAAGUGUCAUCCAAUUGUAUUUUAUACUACAUCUGGUAAGGGAUUUUAUAAUUUUUGAAUGACUUUUCACAAGAUUAUGAGAUAGAAGGUUAUUUUCUAAUGACCUAUAAUGAUUGUUGAUAACUUGUCAUGUGGGUUAUAAUCAGGCAUUUGCAUAGAAAGUUGAUUGAUGCAAAGUAGGCCGAACGAUAUGUUUUUGUCAAUCCAGCAUUGGUCUCAAAAGCUGGAAUGGGAGAGGGAAGCAAGGAAAACAGGUCAAGGGUUAUUGCAGAUCGACUAAAGAAUACAAAGCAUGCUGAAUAUAUGCUUAUUCCAUACAACCCAGAGUAACCUUUUAUCCUAAAUAUCAAUAUGGUGUUUGUAAGUUAGUUUGUGAUGUUUGAAUUUGUGGAUACUAUAUUACAAUUUUCAUUUCUUUUCUUUAGUUUCCAUUGGGUGUUAGUGGCAUUGGAGAUGAAGAAAAUGAUUGCAUAUUACCUUGAUCCAAUGGCCUGUCAACCAUGUGAUGAUCUUAAGGACAUAGUUAACAUGUAAGCAUAUAUUUUCUCCUAUUUUAAUACAAUUGAUAGUGUCUAAAUAACAUCUUUUUAAUUCUUUUUGUAGGGCAAUGAGAAUCAACCCACCGGAAAAACAGAAAACAUCAAAGAGGGAGCCAACUUGGGUGAAAGUGGUUGUAAGUACUUAUUUGUUUAGAUUAAAAUAUAUUGCUUCACCACUUAAUUUAUGACAAAAUUAGAAAAUGGAUGGUUAUUAAUAUGAUCAUCAAUAAGAUGCUAAAGAAGUAAGAACAUCAUUCUAGUGUUUAUUGCAAUUGUUGAUACUUUUCCCAUAGUGCCCAAGACAACCAGGUAGUGUGGAAUGUGGGUAUUACGUGAUGAGAUAUAUGAAGGAAAUUAUUGCUAAUCCAAACCAACUAACAUCAAAGGUUUGCACUCAAUUCAAUUCAUAUGGUUGGUCAUUUUACUAUAGCAUUUUUUUUUUUGGUCAAUUUAACUUAGUGAAUUGUAUAUGUCACUCCAAUUCAGUUUUGCGGGAAGAAAUCAUAUAGUGAAAUGGAAAUUAAUGAAGUUUGAUCAGAUUGGGUUAUGUUAGUGACUCAGUUAAUCAUUACUCAUGUUUGAAGGUACCUCUUAUAACUUAUAGUCUAAUACAACUUCAUAUUCUUUUAAAGAUGUAGUCAAUAUUUUGUUAAUGUUAAUUUUAUAAUGGAUUUAUUCACAAUGAUAAUUUGUUAAUGUAUAUAUUUGUACUCCUAGUUGGCAGUGUUUUCAAUAUGGAUCAUUUUGGGGGUUGCUCUAUUAUGAUUGAUGUAUAGUUGGCAUAUUGAGAGGUGAAGCCAAGUAGACAUGGUAGGUGUAACAACUUUUGUAUAUUUCCUCUACAAAUUAUUAUCAGUUAGAUUUGGAGAAAUCCUACAAUAGCAUAGCUACAAAAAUUCCUGCAUGUCCAAGCUCAUUUUCGUAGAGCCUUUAGUUUCAUUACAUGUGCAUGAAUUAGGAAUUUGUCUAUUCUCUACAAAAGCAUUUUUGGUCUUUAAGAUUACUAGCUUUAUAAACUUCUUUAAUCUAAAUUUAUAAAGGUCUCCUACUAUACUAAUGGGCUUAAAGUCUAUAAUAUCUUGUACUUCCAUUUUCUUUUACAUAAAAAAUAGGAAGCUAGUUUAAGACUUCUUACAAAUAAGCCUAUGGAAGGAAAUAACACCUCUUACUAAAUGGUUGUUAAAUUGUUUAUUAUAUAUUCUUCAGGUUGUACAAAAAGGCAUAGGUCAUUCUAUUAACAACGUCACUACUGCUCUUGAUGAAGGACACCCACAAACAAUUCAAAAUAUAUCAUCAAAAGAAUUUUGAGGUAACAUGUUGUGGUUAUUGUAAGUUUUAUGAAUCAAUUCCAUGUUUAGAGAUCAUUUCAUGCAAGUUCCAUAUUUAGAUAAUAGAUAUCCUCAUAUUAUUAAAUGUUGAUAUACUAAUACAAUAAGAAGAACUUAGAUAUUUUAACACAAUUUUAUAAUUUUACAUAAAUAUGUUAAUUUACAAUUUUAUAAUUUUUCGGACUUCCAGUUUUUUUUUUUUUCAUUCCUUAGUUCCUUCUCAUGCAAAACAUCUAAUGUCUAGUACAACCUAUAAGAAGAAUGAGAAGAUGUUAAUGGUUGAAGUUUCAUAAAUAAGAUAAAAAUCAUACCAAAAUAGUCAAUGAGAUAAAAACUUUUUUUUUUUCUGUUUUUUUUUAAAAUAGAAUAAGAGUUCUAAAAUAUUUAGAAAUUUGGUGUAAUAAAAUUAUUGGAGUUUGUUGAGUUCUUUUGAUAUUUUGAAAUUUAUUGCAAUGGAAGAAAGAUAUUUUAGGAAUUUAAAAAUUGGCAUAUACACAUUUCAUUUACAAAGUUGCUUCUUAACUAUUUGUUAAUACUAAUAUGUAACCCUCUCAAUUAUUUUGCAGAUUGAGCAUCUAGAAAGUGAGUUACAACUAUCCUUUUUCACUUGGAAGAAAAAUGAUGUAAAACUAGAUGUAGUGAAGGUUAUGAACAAUUCAAAGUUGAAGAAGAAGUUGUAAAAUUGUUGGUUUUAGUUGUUGAUUAUGUAUGAUGUUUAUGGAUAAAUUGUAAUAGUGAAAAAGGAAGACCAUAUUUGAUACUUUUUGUCAAUGGAGAUUCUUAAAUUAAGUUUUCAUUAUUAAUUUAAUUGUUGAUAGAAAAUUAUAAAACAGGGCAUAAUUAGGACAUUUUAAUUUCUGGGCUAUUAAAAUUUUAUAUGAGAUAAGAUGACGCUUUUUUAAAGCGUCAUGCUUUACUUGAAUAAACAGAAGAUGACACUUCUCAAAAGCGUCAAGGUUGAUGUUAAAAAAACAUGGCAUUUUUUUUUAGUGUCAAGGUAUAAAAUGCUAUACGAUGACACUUAUUAUGAGUGUCAAUGUUGCUCCUACAAAUAAAAAGCUAUAAGAUGACACUUAUAUUGAGUGUCAAUGUUGCUUCUACUUAUACAAUGAUGCUUUAUUAAGUGUCAACGUUGCUCCUACAAAUAAAAGGUUAUAAGAUGACACUUAUAUUGAGUGUCAAUGUUGCUUCUACCUAUACAAUGACGCUUCAUUGAGUGUCAAUAUUGACAUGAAUGAAAUUAUUAACAUAUGAUGACACUUAUAAAGCGUCAAUGUUUCAAAUAAUGACACUUACUAUGAGCGUCAUGGUUGACGUCCAAAGAAGAUGACGCUUCUAAAAAGUGUCAACGUAUGCGAUUUAAAAAGAUGACAGUCUAAUAUAUGACGCUUUUAAAAAGCGUCAUCUUAUAUCUAUCUUGACACUUAAAAAACGUCAUCUUUUGACAUUUUCCUUGUAGUGCUAGGAUGGUUGCCUACACUCAAGGGUAGGUGGGCUAGGGUUUUAUCUUUAGGGUGUAAGGAGAGAAACAAGGAAUAAAUUUUAUGGUAGAGAAAAUUAUAAGAUAAGAAAUAGAGAGAAAGAGGAAAAAUGAAGAAAAGAUGGAAAAACCUUAAGAGUCUCACUAAGGCCUUCUAGAAGUCUCACCUAAAAGAAAAUCAAUGGAGUCUUACCAUUGAGGGUUGCAACCUUGCAAUGAAAGAAAGUAUAAUAUUAUUAAUCAAAUUCAUUCAUUUGAUUUACAUUGAUUAGCCUAUUUAUAGGCUUCUCUAAGAAAUCAAAAGUCUACUAGGACUCUAAUAACCUAUCAUGACUCAAAUUCUAAUUAUAUUAUAACUCAACUAGCUAAUCCUAAUUAGACUCCAACAAACACCAAUCCCAAUUCAAUCCUAAUUAAUAUUAAUCAUACUUAAAGUUUACUUAGGUCUUCACUUUCUUCCUUGAAUAAACUUUAAAAGGCUUUCCCCAUCAUGCUCCUAUCACAUCCUUUGAUAAUUUUUUUAUAUUCUGUGAUUUUUGUUGACCAUUUCACCAAAUACACAUGGCUUUAUCCUCUAAAAAACAAAUCAGAUACCACUUUUAUUUUUGAAAACUUCAAGCAACUAGUAGAAAAAUAUUUCCAAACCCCAAUCCUGAUAGUUUAUUCUGAUGGUGGUGGGGAAUAUGCGGGUCUUCAUCCUGCUCUCUCCAAACAUGGAAUUCAACACCUCUAUUCUUCUCCACAUACUUCACUAAUUGUAGGGACUGCUGAAAGACAACAUAGACAUAAUCUUGAGACGACAUUGACUCUUCUUCAUCAAGCCUCCAUUCCUCUUCAAUUUUGGCUUGUUGCUUGUCAAACGAUAAUUUACCUCAUUAAUCGAAUGCCAAUCCCACUUUUAGAUAACAAAUCUCCUUUUCAGACCCUCUUUCACACUUCUCCCUACUAUCUCGAACUUAAAAUAUUUGGUUGCCUUUGUUACCCCUAGCUAAAACCCUACACAUGCCAUAAAUUGGAUCCCAAGUCUCGUCCUUGUGUUUUCCUUGGCUAUUCUCUCUCACAUAAUUCCUAUAGAUGUUAUGAUCCAUCCACCUAAAAAAUGUUCAUUUCUCAGCAUGUGGUCUUUGUGGAAAAUAGUUGACCAACUCAUACUUUGAGACAAUCCCAUGAUUGUUGCAGUUAUAUCAGAUCCAUUGACUAACUCAUCCUCUGAUUCAAUCCUAUAAUAGUUGCAGUUAUACCAUAUAAUAUUUGUACCUACUAUAUAUAAAAAGUCAGACCCACAAUUAUAGCUGUAAUUCUUUCUUGAAUCUAGUCAAUAUGUGUGUAUUUAUACUCGUGCAAAUAUGAAUGAAAGAUAUUGUUUUUUGCCAAAAGCUUUCUGCUGUUUCGAAACAGAGAUUGGUUUUUUAUUUUCACACAUAUAUAUGUAUAUCUUUAAAACAUGUACUUUCAAUAGUCAAAUCAUCAAACUUUCAAAACGACUAACCCUUUUCUCAUCAUGACAUUAAUUAUCAUAAUUUUUAUUUUUAUACUUUGACAUGAUAAGUCAAAGUGCUAAUCAUGGUUGGUUUAAAAAUAAAUAAAUAAAUACUUUCACAUUUAGCAAUCUACUAUGUCACAUGAUGUUUUUUUCCUCCAUAAUAUCUCCACAUUUUUGCCUUUUUUUUUUGUUAAAUGUAUUGGCUUCAUGAAAACAUUCUAAUUUAAUUUUUUUCUCUAUUUCAUUUGUUCAUAUUUAUUGAUUUUAGUUAUUUAUAUUUAAAUAAAAAUUAAUAAUAUAUAAUAAAUAAUUAAUAAUAAUAAAUUUACUAUAAAAAUAAAUACAUAAUAAACAAUUUUAGAAGUUUAGGAUAAAAGACUUUUUAUAUUCCUGUUAAAUAAAAUAUUUAUUUAUUUUAUAAAUCUUAUUACAUUGUCAUAUUAUUCAAUUUUUUUUUAUAUAUUUUUAAAAAAUUUUAAAUUUUCAUGUGAAAAUCAGGAUUGAUGAUCAUGGUUUUAGCUUUUUUCUUAUGGAUGUAACUUGACCAUAGUUUUAACUUUCUUCUUGGUUAAAAUGUUUAAUAUUUUUAAUUAUAAAAUAAAAAUAUGGUUGUGAUUCUAAAGUGUUGUUUUGUUCAAAUUUUUAAUUUUCAUUUAUAUAAAAUAAAAAAUAUGUAUUUUCAUAAAAUAAAAAAAUUGUAUUCAAGCGUUUAUAUUGAUUUUCUCUUAAUUUUAUUAAAAAUUAAAAUUUUUGUAUACUGAAGUGGCAUACCUUUUAAAUGUGUCAAGAAAAAAUAGUGUACCCUCCUAAAGUACUAAGUUGGUGCACCUCAAACCAUUGUGCAACUUAAGUUGCAUUUCCCUAAUACCACUUCUUUAUGAAAAAAGUGCUACUAAAAAUGCUAAAAGUAAUAUUGUGGUAAGAGUGAUGUAUCUCUUUUUUUUAGUUUAAGCAAAGGUAUGUUACCAUUUGUUGCAUGCUAGAUGUCUUAUUAAUGGUGAAAUAACAUGAAUUCAAUGGGUGUUAUUGCAUAAUAACAUCGAUCGAUACAACCCUUAGAAAAGUCCAUACCAUUUUCUUAUAAAAAGAAAAUACCAUUGAAGUGUGAUAAAAUGUACCACUAUGGUGGAAAUGGUGUAUCACUCUUCUUUGGUUUAAGGUAUGUUACCACCCGUUACAUGCUCAAUGUAUGAUGUAAUGAUUAAUAACAUGAAUUGAGUGGGUGUUUUGCACAAUAACAUUAAUUGACACAAUCCUUAGAAAAGAGGGUACCAUUCUUUUAUGAAAAAAGUAGUAUAUAAAAAGUGUAGUACUCUUUUAGCAUGGUGGUACUUUUAGCACACUUAAGUGUUACUUUUUUUUAAAAAAAAUAUAUAAAUAAAAAAGUGGUGCUCUCUUUUCUAAUGGUCUUGUAUAUCAAUGUUAUGAUGCAAUAACAUUCAUUCAAUUCAUGUUAUUUCAUGAUUGCAUAAGACAUUGAGCACAUCCAUUCAGUUCAUGAUUGAGUACAUAACGGGUGGUAAUAUACCUUACCAUAAACCAAAGAAGAGUGGCAUAUCCUUUUUUUUCAUAGUGAUACUUUUAACACACUUGAGUAGUCCUUUUUUAACAAAAGAGUGGUAACUUCUUUUCAAAAGGUUGUGUUGAUCAAUUUUAUUAUGCAAUAACGUCACUAAAUUCACAUUAUUUCACGAUUAAUAAAACAUUUAAUGCAUAAUAGAAAGUAAUAUAUCUUACCCUAAACUAAAGAAGAGUGAUAUAUCAUUUCUACCACAAUAGUAUUUUUAGCAUUUUAGUGGUACUUUUUUUUUGUAAAAGAGUUGUACCUUUUGAAUAAGCUGGGGGUGCACAACUUGAGUUGUGGAUUGCUUUAAGAGGGUGCACUAUUUUUGUCUAACACCCUUGAAAGGUGUGUAACUUCAAUAUGCAAAAAUUUUAAUUUUUAAUAAAAUUAAGAGAAAACUAAUAUAAAUGAUUAAAUACAAUUUUUAUAUAAAAAAAAUAUUUUAUUUUUUAUUUUACAUAAAUAAAAAUUUAAAAAUUUUAACAAAGCAAAAUGUUAGAACUAUAAUAAAGUUUUUAUCUUAUAUAAUUAAAAUAUUAAACAUUUUUACCAAGAAGAAAGUUAUAAUUGUGGACAAGUUAGAUUCAUAAAUAAAAAACUAAAACCAUUAUCAUCGACUUUGAUUUUCACCUAAAAAUUUAAAAAUUUUAAAUUUAUAUAAUAUAUAUAUAUAUAUAUAUAUAUAUAUAUAUAAGAAAGAGGUGCCACAUUAUGAAUUGAGGACGUGAAAUUUCUUAACGCUAGAUGUACCACUCCAACUUAAUGAGUGAGUGUUUAUCUUGUAGUAUAGGUUUAUGUUGAAAUGGAUUGCAACUUAUUUUAAGUUCCUUUAUUCUUUAUAAUUCCACACUUAGUAACGUCCUUGUCAUAAUAUUGUGGUAGGCAUGAUUGUGGAAUAUGUAUUAUGAAAUUCAUGGAGCUGUGGUCAAUGGGAGAGUUGUCCAAAUCAAUUGAUGUGUUAUGUAGAAGGACCUAUGUAUUAUCAUCUCAUUAAUGUAAAAAUAGUUAUAAAAGGCGAAAUUCAUUCAUUUGCUAAUUUUUUUCGUUAAACUUGAAUAAAUGCAGGGAAAGUUAAAACAGUAUAGAUUGAAAAUUAUGGGCAGCUUGUUGUUUUCAGCAUAAAAUGCACAUUGACAUCAUUUCAUGAGGGAAUAAUGGGGAUUGUACAUUUUGAUGACUGUGGACCUGCAUUUUUCACGUGCGUCCCCACUCGAUCGGCGAGACUCGUUUUUUAUUUGUGAAAAUUUGAUUUUUGAAAAAAAGUUGGAGUCGCCACUUAUUUUAUUUUUAUUUUUGAAGGGAAAAUAAAACAAGAAAUAAAACCCUAAAAAAAAUGACUCCAUAAUUUUUGGAAAAGCGUGUCUUUGAAAAACCCAAGUCUAAGUCCGGGGAUCAGGUUACCUAUUGGGAAGGUACCUUUGAAAGGUAACACCCCUCUAAGCCCUAUAAAGGUCUCUACUGACUAAGUUAAGGGGAACAUGUCAAUUAAUCGGUUAAUUAUAGAUACCUAAGUAGGCUAGGUGAUUUCAAAAAAGUGGUGAUUACUACUCAAAAAGUGCUAUUUGAUAGCCUAUAAUUAAUCCUUUUAAACACUUUUGAGUAGUAGUUUAGACCUUUUAACUCAAUUGGCAUGUUAAGGAUCCUUUAAAGCAAUUUUAAUCACUUUGUGCAAGUUUUGGUGUUUUUGUUAGUAUUUUGAUCACCAAAGCAAGUCAAGACUGAGGAGAGCUAUGAGGAAUCUUGGGCAAAGCUUAGAAGUCAUUUGCCAAGAGUGAAUUCGGAUUGCAAGGAGAAAAAAGCAAAGAGAAUCUGCCAUAAAGCAUAUUCUUGAUGACAGUCGUAGUAGCCACUUUUAGAGCACUUUCUGAAGUCCAAAUGAUGCAUGCUAUAUACCAUUUCAAAGAUCAGGAAGUCAAAAAUCCAAUGCUUCAAACGGUGUGCAAUUCGGAGUUGAAACGAAGAAGUUGCAGCCAUUACAAGCCAAUCACUCCGAGCUGAAGGAAGCAUUUUGCAAAGUGCUGCGAAAUCACCCUUUUGUUGCGAAGUGAUUUCGCAGCAUUUUUGUACAGUAAGGUGUUUCUCCUUCUGACGAUGCACGAUUUAUGCCGCGAGAAGGAAGCUAGGAACCUCAAGGUGGAAGCCAACUUCGCAGCCUUGUGAAGAUAGCUUGGUGUUGCGAAGUAAUUUCGCAGCCCUCCUUGAGCGUCUGCGAAAUCUCGCAGACACCAUUUUUCUCCUGCGAAAUGGUUCCUGAAGCCUCCCGAUAUUUGCUACCGACAUUGGGAGAUAUUUUCCAUUAGAUUUUUGUUGUCUAAAUCCCAAAAUACUCCUUGUAAACCUCCAAUUACAUGAUUCCUUAGUUUUUAAGUUAGUAAAAAGACUAAAUAUCUUUAUAACAAUUAGUUUUAUAUUAUGUUGAUAUAUAUACCUCUCGAGAGCCUGUUCUCAGAGAGGAAUUCCUUCUGUAAAAGUUUGGGUAAGCAAGUAAAGUCUAUUUUCUUUCUACUGCCUUACCUUCUCACUUUGUAUUUUCAUUUUAUUUCUAAGUUAUGAAUUCUCUGAGGAGUUUUCCCCAGAGAAUGAGUAACUAAACCUCUAAUUCCUUGGAGCUAAGGUUGCCGGGGAAGGUUCCAAGUGCAAGAAUGCAGAGCUUUGUGGUUUUAGCUUUUAAUGAAGAGGAAGUGAAAUCCUUUAAUGAUUUCUAUGUUUUUAGUUAACUUAAAACACCUUAGAGUCACCUGGGCCAACACUUGGUAAGGCAAGUGAUUUCCAACCAUGGAAAUGCACUAGUUUACCCCUUGCGAGCCUCUGGUAGGUGACUUCAGGGUAGGAUUUUCUGGAAUUACCAACACUUGGUAAGCUUUAGGACUCCUAGGAGACAUCCAUUAGUUAUCUCUUGCGAGUUUGUGAAGGGAAGUCCAAGGUUAAAGAUCAUCUUGAAUGGUAAGUGCUCGUGAGAGGCAUGAACCAUUGCAAGUUGCAUCAGUGAGAGAAUUAAAGUGAAAUCUAAUUGAAGGAGUCUCUGUACAACACCGGUUAGAGAAUUGACUAUAUGUUGAAUCUCUAACGCGAGGAAAUGAACCAUCUGACCGGAGCUAUGUCUUUUGCAUGAGGAACCACCCCAGUGAACCUAACUCUCCAGGGAAUGCUUUUCUUCCUAAAUUAUUCCAACUUUGUGUAUGUUAGUUAGUUUAANNNNNNNNNNNNNNNNNNNNNNNNNNNNNNNNNNNNNNNNNNNNNNNNNNNNNNNNNNNNNNNNNNNNNNNNNNNNNNNNNNNNNNNNNNNNNNNNNNNNGGAAGUCCAAGGUUAAAGAUCAUCUUGAAUGGUAAGUGCUCGUGAGAGGCAUGAACCAUGCAAGUUGCAUCAGUGAGAGAAUUAAAGUGAAAUCUAAUUGAAGGAGUCUCUGUACAACACCGGUUAGAGAAUUGACUAUAUGUUGAAUCUCUAACGCGAGGAAAUGAACCAUCUGACCGGAGCUAUGUCUUUUGCAUGAGGAACCACCCCAGUGAACCUAACUCUCCAGGGAAUGCUUUUCUUCCUAAAUUAUUCCAAACUUCUGUUAUGUUAGUUAGUUUAAGUAUAAACCUUUACCAAUCAAAGUUUGUGUUUUACUUCUUAAGCUAACCGUGAAAUGAAACAAGACCAAUUCACUUGGAAUUGGUAUCAUUGAUUGCUUGUUAAUCAUUCCCAGUGAACGAUCCUAGAGCCACUAUACUAUAGUAGCUUUUUAUUUGCUACCCUAGUGUAUGGUGUUAUAGGUAUAAAUUUUGUUGAUCACUCCCUCAUCUAAGGAGCACCAGCUGGACAUGGAUCAGCUGAGACACCAAUUGGGCAUGAAUCAAAUGGCGCCGUUGCCGAGGAAUGAGUGUCAAGUUUAUAGUGAUACCAUUUUUGAGCACUUGUGAUUUUCAUCACAAGUUGGUAAAGUUUCUUUCACUUUACUAAUUUUCAUUCUUUCUUUGUUUAUUCAUAAUCUAAGAUUUUUUUUUUUAUUUAGUCUAGUUUAAUUUUGCUGUUGUAGCCCUGUUUCUCUUGUUGUCCUCUGUUUUUAUUUAAGUUGCAGAUAGAUACUAGUUGUGUAUGCCAAAGUGGAUACGAGACAGUGGAGGAAGGCUUGUUAAGUGUGAUACACCUCAGAGAAGAGAAUUGGAAGUGAUCUUGAAUAUCAUGGAAGCUACACCUGAAGAUCAGCAUAGUCACCAAGGUCGUCAAGACAAUCUCAAUGAAUUCAGAUCAAUGAGGGACCGCAUGCAUCCACCUCGUAUGAGUGCACCAUCAUGUAUAGUGCCCCCUACAGAGCAGCUAGUGAUCAGACCGUAUCUUGUUCCACUUCUACCAACUUUCCAUGGAAUGGAAAGUGAGAAUCCGUAUGCACACAUCAAGGAAUUUGAAGAUGUUUGUAAUACAUUCCAAGAGGGAGGAGCUUCAAUUGAUUUGAUGAGGCUUAAGUUAUUUCCUUUUACUUUAAAGGAUAAGGCCAAAAUUUGGCUUAAUUCUUUAAGGCCAAGGAGUAUCCGCUCUUGGACUGAUUUACAAGCUGAAUUCCUCAAGAAAUUUUUUCCCACUCAUAGAACAAAUGGCUUGAAAAGGCAAAUUUCAAACUUCUCAGCUAAAGAGAAUGAGAAAUUCUAUGAGUGUUGGGAGAGAUACAUGGAAGCUAUAAAUGCUUGUCUUCACCAUGGCUUUGAUACUUGGCUAUUGGUGAGCUAUUUUUAUGAUGGUAUGUCCUCCUCAAUGAAGCAACUCCUCGAGACAAUGUGUGGAGGAGAUUUCAUGAGCAAAAAUCCAGAGGAAGCUAUGGAUUUCUUGAGCUAUGUAACUGAUGUUUCAAGGGGAUGGGAUGAACCAACCAAAGGAGAAGUAGGAAAGAUGAAGUCUCAGUUGAAUGCUUACAAUGCAAAGGCUGGGAUGUAUACUUUAAAAGAAGAUGAUGACAUGAAAGCAAAGUUGGCAACUAUGACAAGAAAAUUGGAGGAGCUGGAGCUGAAAAGAAUACAUGAAGUGCAAGCUGUUGCUGAAGCACCAGUGCAAGUGAAGCUGUGUCCCAAUUGUCAAUCAUUUGAACAUUUGGUGGAGGAAUGCCCUGCAAUUCCAACUGAAAGGGAAAUGUUUAGAGAUCAAGCAAAUGUUGUUGGACAAUUCAGGCCUAAUAACAAUGCUCCUUAUGGAAAUACCUACAACUCAAGUUGGAGGAAUCAUCCAAAUUUCUCAUGGAAGGCCAGAGCAACUCAGUACCAACAGUCGGAUCCACCAUCUCAGCAAUCUUCAAGUAUUGAACAAGCAAUGGCUAAUCUCAGCAAGGUAAUGGGAGAUUUUAUUGAAAAUCAAGAAGCCACUAAUGCUCGAGUCGAUCAAAAAAUUGAUAGAGUGGAGAGUAUGUUGAAUAAAAGGAUGGAUGGAAUGCAAAAUGAUAUGAACCAAAAGUUUGACAACAUCCAAUAUUCAAUUUCAAGGCUUACAAAUUUGAAUACACUGCAAGAAAAGGGAAGAUUUCCUUCUCAACCUCACCAAAACCCCAAGGGUGUCCAUGAAGUGGAAAGCCUAGAGGGAGAAUUAUCACAGGUGAAAGAUGUCAAGGCCUUGAUCACUCUAAGGAGUGGUAAGAAAAUUGAGCAGCCAAUACCCAAGCCACAUGUUGAGAAACAAGAAGAGAUAAAGAAAAGGAAAGAAAUGGAAGAUAAAGGGAGUGAGAUCAGUGAAGAAAAGAAGGACUCUGAUUCAACAAUGAAUGCAAUUCCAGAGAAAGAGCUUCUGAAGGAAGAAAUGCUGAAGAAAUCAACUUUUCCACCUUUUCCUCAAGCAUUACAUGGGAAAAAGGGGAUUAGAAAUGCAGCUGAAAUCCUUGAAGUCUUGAGGCAAGUAAAAGUUAAUAUUCCACUGCUGGAUAUGAUCAAACAAGUUCCAACAUAUGCAAAAUUCCUAAAGGAUUUAUGUACUAUCAAGAGAGGGUUGACUGUAAACAAGAAAGCCUUCUUGACUGAGCAAGUAAGUGCAAUCUUACAAUGUAAGUCUCCUUUGAAGUACAAAGACCCUGUAAGUCCUACCAUUUCAGUCAUGAUUGGAGGAAAGGUAGUGGAGAAAGCCUUGCUAGAUUUGGGAGCAAGUGUGAAUUUGCUUCCUUAUUCUGUCUACAAGCAAUUAGGUCUUGGAGAGUUGAAGCCAACAGCAAUCACUCUAUCUCUGGCAGAUAGAUCAGUGAAAAUUCCAAGAGGGGUAAUUGAGGAUGUAUUGGUUUAAGUAGAUAAUUUCUACUAUCCAGUAGAUUUUAUUGUUCUUGAUACAGAUCCUACUGUAAAGGAAGCUAAUUUAGUUCCUAUCAUCCUUGGAAGACCAUUUUUUGCAACUUCAAAUGCAAUCAUCAACUGCAGGAAUGGGCUGAUGCAACUCACUUUUGGUAACAUGACACUGGAUCUCAAUAUUUUCUAUAUGUCUAAAAAGCAAAUCACUCCGGAAGAAGAAGAAGGUCCAGAAGAGCUAUGUAUAAUUGAUACUUUGGUAGAGGAGCACUGCAAUCAACAUAUGCAAGAAAAGUUGAAUGAAAAUCUUGAGAAUAUUGAGGAAGGUUUUUCUGAAUCUCCUAUUGUGCUUGCUACUCUACAAAGUUGGAGAAAGAUAGAAGAAAUUCUACCUUUGUUCAAUAAGGAAGAGGAGGCAGCUGUUGAAAAAGAAAUUCCAAAACUCAAUUUGAAGCCUUUACCUGUGGAGCUGAAAUAUACAUAUCUUGAAGAAAACAACCAAUGUCCUGUUGUAAUAUCUUCAUCUCUGACCAAUCAUCAAGAGAAUUGUUUAAUGGAAGUUCUCAAGAGGUGUAAGAAGGCAAUAGGAUGGCAAAUAUCUGACUUGAAAGGCAUUAGUCCUUUAGUUUGUACUCAUCAUAUAUAUAUGGAGGAGGAAGCAAAGCCAAUCCGUCAAUUUCAAAGAAGGUUGAAUCCUCAUCUACAAGAGGUGGUGCGAGCUGAAGUGCUGAAGCUACUUCAAGCAGGAAUCAUUUACCCUAUAUCUGAUAGCCCUUGGGUGAGUCCUACUCAAGUGGUACCAAAGAAGUUAGGGAUCACAGUGGUUCAAAAUGAAAAAAGGGAAGAAAUUACUACACGCCUCACUUCAGGUUGGAGGGUGUGUAUUAAUUAUAGAAAGCUGAAUGUUGUCACCAGGAAGGAUCAUUUUCCCUUGCCAUUUAUUGAUCAAGUGCUGGAGAGAGUCUCUGGACAUCCAUUUUAUUGUUUUAUGGAUGGAUAUUCAGGGUAUUUUCAGAUUGAAAUUGAUUUGGCAGAUCAAGAAAAGACCACUUUUACAUGUCCAUUUGGAACAUAUGCUUAUAGAAGAAUGCCUUUUGGUUUAUGCAAUGCACCUGCUACAUUUCAAAGAUGUAUGUUGAGUAUUUUCAGUGAUAUGGUGGAGCGAAUUAUGGAGGUUUUCAUGGAUGACAUCACCGUAUAUGGAGGUACAUUUGAGGAAUGCUUGGUUAAUUUGGAAGCAGUUCUUCAUAGAUGCAUUGAAAAAGAUCUGGUGCUGAACUGGGAAAAAUGCCAUUUUAUGGUACGUCAAGGAAUUGUCCUUGGCCAUAUCAUCUCUGAAAAAGGCAUUGAAGUUGAUAAAACAAAGGUGGAGCUUAUUGUCAAAUUACCAUCUCCAACAACUGUAAAAGGAGUAAGGCAGUUCCUUGGCCAUGCAGGGUUCUAUAGGAGGUUUAUAAAAGGUUUUUCAAGUCUUUCAAAACCUCUUUGUGAGCUGUUAGCUAAGGAUGCUAAGUUUAUAUGGGAUGAAAGGUGUCAGAAUAGCUUUGAUCAAUUGAAGAAAUUUUUAACAACAACUCUAAUAGUGAGAGCCCCUAACUGGCAAUUACCUUUUGAACUAAUGUGUGAUGCCAGUGACUUUGCUAUAGGAGCUGUGCUUGGCCAAAGAGAAGAUGGGAAGCCCUAUGUGAUUUACUAUGCAAGUAAAAUACUAAAUGAAGCUCAUAGGAACUACACAACUACAAAGAAAGAAUUGUUAGCUGUGGUAUUUGCUUUGGACAAAUUUCGAGCUUAUUUAGUGGGGUCUUUCAUUAUUGUGUUUACUGACCAUUCAGCCUUGAAGUAUUUAUUGACAAAGCAAGAUGCAAAAGCAAGGUUGAUUAGAUGGAUUUUUUUGUUACAAGAAUUCAAUCUCCAAAUCAAAGAUAAGAAAUGAGUGGAGAAUGUAGUAGCUGACCACUUGUCAAGGUUAGUUAUAGCACAUAAUUCCCAUCCCUUGCCUAUCAAUGAUGAUUUUCCUGAAGAAUCACUCAUGUUCCUAGUGAAAACUCCUUGGUAUGCUCAUAUUGCUAAUUAUUUAGUAACUGGUGAAAUUCCAAGUGAGUGGAAUGCACAGGACAGGAAGCACUUCUUUGCCAAAAUUCAUGCUUAUGAUUGGGAAGAGCCCUUUCUCUUUAAGUAUUGUGCAGAUCAGAUUAUUAGGAAGUGUGUCCCUGAAGAUGAGCAGCAAGGGAUUCUAUCUCAUUGUCAUGAGAAUGCAUGUGGAGGCCACUUUGCCUCUCAGAAAACAGCCAUGAAGGUAUUGCAAUCAGGGUUUUCUUGGCCAUCUCUUUUUAAAGAUGCCCACAUCAUGUGUAGGAGUUGUGAUAGAUUCCAAAGGCUUGGAAAGCUAACAAAAAGAAAUCAAAUGCCUAUGAACCCCAUUCUGAUAGUUGAGUUAUUUGAUGUAUGGGGCAUUGACUUCAUGGGACCUUUCCCAAUGUCUUUUGGUAAUUCUUAUAUUUUGGAGGGGGUAGAUUAUGUUUCUAAAUGGGUUGAGGCAAUCCCCUGUAAACAAAAUGAUCACAGGGUGGUUCUCAAGUUUCUUAAAGAGAACAUUUUCUCAAGAUUUGGGGUGCCCCAGGCCAUAAUUAGUGAUGGAGGUGCUCAUUUUUGCAACAAACCUUUUGACGCUCUGUUAUCCAAGUAUGGAGUGAAGCAUAAGGUGGCUACACCUUAUCAUCCUCAGACUUCCGGGCAAGUUGAGCUAGCUAACAGGGAAAUAAAGAACAUCUUGAUGAAAGUGGUGAAUUCCAACAUAAAAGAUUGGUCUAUUAGGCUUCAUGAUUCAUUGUGGGCAUAGAACAGCUUAUAAGACUAUUCUUGGGAUGUCUCCCUAUCGUCUUGUCUAUGGCAAAGCAUGCCAUCUCCCUGUGGAAGUUGAAUACAAGGCUUGGUGGGCAAUAAAGAAGCUGAAUAUGGAUUUGAUCAAGGCCGGAGAAAAGAGAUUUCUAGACCUUAAUGAGAUGGAGGAAUUAAGAAAUAAUGCUUAUAUCAAUUCCAAAGUUGCAAAACAGAGGAUGAAGAAGUGGCAUGAUCAACUCAUCUCCAACAAGGAAUUUCAGGAAGGGCAAAGAGUUUUGAUGUAUGACACAAGACUCCAUAUCUUUCCUGGAAAGCUCAAGUCAAGGUGGAUAGGCCCGUUCAUUAUUCACCGAGUAUGGUCCAAUGGAGUGGUGGAAUUAUUGAAUUCCAAUGGCAAGGACAGCUUCAAAGUCAAUGGAUAUCGUCUCAAGCCAUUCAUGGAGCCAUUCAAACCAGAAAAGGAGGCAAUCAACCUCCUUGAACCUCAAAAAGCCUAAGUGAAAAAGGGUUUGCUGGACGUGGUUUUACCACAGUCCAAAAUUUUUGUAAAUUUUGUAAAUUUUCAAGUUGUUUCCAUACUUUUGAUCUUAGUUUUCGAUCUUAAAUCAUGUUUUUAGGUGUGUUUUAAUCGUUUUGAAUGAUCCCAGGUGGAAGAAAUUUCAAGGAGAUUGAAAAGAAAAAAAUCGGGUCGAAAUCGGAGCCAAAACAGAGGAAAAACAGGGGAAAAACAGAGCUCUGCGAAAUUUCGCAAAGUGAAGGAAACUUCUGCGAAAUGAGCAUUUUGUUGCCAAACCAUUCCGCAACACUGUAGAAAUCUCUGCGAGGCUAUUUCGCAGCUGCGAAAGUGAAUUUGGCACACGAGUGCCACUUCGCAGUACAGUAGCAUCCAUUUCGCAGCUGCGAAACGCAUUGCGAAGUGGAAAAGCGUGAUUUCGCACCAAAAGUCCCAUUCCGCAGAGUAUUUCGCAAUUGCGAAAGUGGUUUUGGCACACGAGUGCCACUCCGCAGCACAGUAACAUCAAUUUCGCAGCUGCGAAACUCACUGUGAAGUUGCUGCGAAAAUGGCAUUUUGUUGCGAAACUUAAACUGACCCUUAGGCUUCCGUUUUUCCUAUUUAUACCGGUCAUUUGAGCUGCGAAAAGGGUUUCAAAAAUCAGAGCACCAUUCUCGCAGCCUCUUCGUCUUCUUCAGUGAGCCUCGCAAUCCAAACCCCCGGUCAUCCUCUCAGAUCAUCUACGUCGGCCAAAGUUCGGUAGCCCAAAAUGGCGCGAACACGAGGGGCUAAGUCUUCAUCUCCUUCGAACUGCAAGAAGACGCUGUAAAAGGAGCCACCUCCAGAUUCUGCUCCAAAGCCUUCGCCGUCGAGACCAAUUCCACCUCCGGUGAAGCCCGCGCCACCAAAGCUGCCGGCAAGACGAUACCUUACCAGGUCAGGAGGUCGGCCAUUGCAGAAGAAACCCAGGGUGGAGAGCUCAGAACCCAUCGAUUUGACUGAGCAAUCUCCAGAGCCUUCACCAAUUCCAUCACCGGUUCAAACUCCAGUGCCGUCUCCGGUUCCCUCGCCAAGUCCCCUACCAGUUCCAUCGCCAGUACCAUCUCCGGCGCCGCAAAAAAAAUCUCAAGAGCCCCAAGCGCCACUUCCCGAGCCCAAAUUCAAGCUGAAACAGCUCUGGAAGAAGUAAUUAGGAGGCCAAUGCUACCUCAGCCCCCAAUUGAAGGAAACUUGGAUUGUAGAGCACGGGCAUUUCAUUCCGAACUUUGCUUCGACUUACCGGCAUUCAGAGUGAGGCCAGAGCUUGCCCAAUCAUUCCAGCUGCUGAGGAGGUAUCAUAUGGAGCAUCUUCUAGCUCCAAGAUACUUUUUCUACCCCCGGAUAGCCACGGAUUUCUACCAAUCUAUGACAACCAAAGAGGUCAGGAAUCCAACUUUGAUUCAUUUCACUAUCGAUGGGAGACAUGGUAUAUUGGGAGCACGACAUAUUGCUGAAGCCCUGCAAAUUCCUUUUGAGCCAACCCAAUUCGAUAAUUUUAGAGCUUGGGCAAAUCCUACUGAACUAGAGAUGGUUCGCACCCUUUCCAGAGGAGCUGCAAAUCGAUCACAUCUGCUGAGGGGGGAGCUUCCUCCAAUUAUGUUUUUGAUUGAUGCCUUUUUGAGGCAUAAUAUCUAUCCAUUGCAGCAUUGGACCCAAAGAAGGGGAGUCCUCCUGGAAGCUCUUUACAAGAUGUCAGAAGGAUUUUUCUUUGGGCCUCAUCAUCUGAUCAUGGCAGCCCUUCUCUAUUUUGAAGAGAAGGUGCACAGAAAGAAGCUUCAAAGAGCUGAUUGCAUUCCCCUCCUCUUCCCAAGGCUGCUAUGCAAAAUUUUGGAGCAUUUAGGAUAUCCCUCUGAGCCUCAGCUGGAGAGAAAGCUAAUAUGCCGUGAGCCAUUCACUCUUGAUAAAUGGAACAAUAUGACGGCCUACAAAAUUGAUCAGCCUGGGCAGCCUCAGCCAGCUGCAAGGAGAGCAUCCCCAAGACAUAUACCCGAAUGUAUAACAGUUGCUGCUCCUGCCAUUCCUAGAGCUCCUCCAGCUGCACCUGCUUCAUCUCAGCCAUCCACAUCAGCUGAGCCGAGGAUGGCUAUUCCUAUAUCUGAAUAUCGAGAGUUGUGCCGUGCAUUGGAGACUCUUACAGCUUCUCAGAGCAGUCUUGCUCAAGAGAUGGCAGCCAUCAGAGCAUGCCAAGAGCAGAUGUUAGCCACUCAGGCUCAACAAGCUGCCAUCUUAAGGCAGCUCCAAGUCCAUUUCGAUCUACCACAAGCUGUAGAGCCCUCCACUGAUACUCCAACAGAGCCACACCCUCAUCCUUUAGAGUCUCAUCCUCCUAAGCCCCAAGUCCCAGCUGAUACACCUGCUGAGGAGGCAGAUCCUUCUGCCUAGUCCCAGCACCACCCCACUCAUCAGACUAUAUUAGAUAUCUAAUAUUUUUAUGUAUUUCGUUUUUUUUAGUUGAAAAGAAGUCCCAGUAUUUUGGUACUAUAUAUGGGAUUCCUUGUGUUACUUGUCCUUGGCACUAUACUCGAAUGAAUUGAAAGUAAUACAAGUUGAAUAUUUCUUGUUAAAAGUCAGCAUUAAGUUAUUCUUAUUUCCUUUUCUCACAUAUUCUAUUCUUUUUGAAACAUGUGGUUUUCCCCAAUCAAUAUUCGAAUUUGAUUUCAGCAAGGAGGUACCACUUCCUCCCUUUAAUUACAGUCACUCAUAUCACAUUGAGGACAAUGCUCAGUUCGGUUGGGGGGUAUGAGGAAGGAAGUAUUCUAAAUCUUUUUGGUAUUGCAAUUAUAUUGGUUAAUUAGUUGUAGUUUUUACUUUUUACUUUUGUUACUCUAUUUUCCAUGAAUUUUGAGGAAAAAUUUUCAAAUUAAACCAAGAGAAAUUGAACUGUUGUUUUUCACUUGACUUAGAGUAUGGAUUAUGCUUACUAAAGUGGUUCAAUUGUUGAAGCUUCUAUUGAAAUUGAAUUUAGUUCUUCCACUUUAAGCUAUUCACACACAGUGCACAUUAGUUUCCGAUUAUAAGAUGAAAAGCUAUUUCCCUCUUGACUUAGGACAAUUUUGAGACUUGGUAUAUUUGACCUCAUUUGAUAAAAAUUGGAACACCCUGCAAAAGGCCAAUGAGCCUUUGAAAUAAAGAAAGUUGUUUGCUUGCCUUGAAACCCGAGCAAGGUCUGAGGGGUAUAUGGUGAAAAUCUUUUAAGCCUGGUGCCCUAAGCCUUAAUUGGUUGGGAGACACCGACCUCAAUGCUCGUUAUAAGGGUGAAUAGGUAGAGUUAGCAUAUGGUAGAUGCUUGGGUAUUAGAAAUUCAUUCUUAAAAGUCCGGGGAAAAAUCCGAGGAGUUAGUGGUUGAAAGAUCCUUAAAGCUUGGUGCCCUAAACCUUAAUUGGUUGGGAGUCAUCGAUGGACCCCCAUUACAUGGACAAGUCAGAAAGAGUACCCCAUAAAGCUACCCUUGAAAAAAAAAAUGAUGAAAGUGUGUUCUUUUCUUAUUGAUUAUGGUCAGAUUGCUAAAGUUUUGAAAAGAGAUAGGUUGGGGGGAGAGACUAGUUUAGCAUAUUAUUCUCGGAAGCUAAGGAACCAAUACACAUAGAUUUUUGUGGAAGAUUAAAGUUUGAUUCUUAGGAAGUGGAAAUGAUUUUAAAACUUCAGUUUGCAUAAUGCACUCCCUUGAUUGACAGUGUUUAGCAUAGUUUGUUAUGACUCUUGUUGAGAUUUGGGUUUGUAUUUCUUUAAUGCUUCAUGUGAGAAUUAGAUCAUCAUGCCACUUGAGAAUUAUUUUCCUUUAGCAUGAUGUUGUAAAUUUUAGAUUAGUUUGCUAUUUAUUUUCAUUUUUCUCUCCUAUAUUGCUAAGGGACUAGCAAUAUGUCGGUUGGGGGGAGUGAUUACUACUCAAAAAGUGCUAUUUGAUAGCCUAUAAUUAAUCCUUUUAAACACUUUUGAGUAGUAGUUUAGGCCUUUUAACUCAAUUGGCAUGUUAAGGAUCAUUUAAAGCAAUUUUAAUCACUUUGUGCAAGUUUUGGUGUUUUUGUUAGUAUUUUGAUCACCAAAGCAAGUCAAGACUGAGGAGAGCUAUGAGGAGUCUUGGGCAAAGCUUAGAAGUCAUUUGCCAAGAGUGAAUCCGGAUUGAAAGGAGAAAAAAGCAAAGAGAAUCUGCCAUAAAGCAUAUUCUUGAUGACAGUCGUAGCAGCCACUUUUGGAGCACUUUCUNNNNNNNNNNNNNNNNNNNNNNNNNNNNNNNNNNNNNNNNNNNNNNNNNNNNNNNNNNNNNNNNNNNNNNNNNNNNNNNNNNNNNNNNNNNNNNNNNNNNCCUUUAGCAUGAUGUUGUAAAUUUUAGAUUAGUUUGCUAUUUAUUUUCAUUUUUCUCUCCUAUAUUGCUAAGGGACUAGCAAUAUGUCGGUUGGGGGGAGUGAUUACUACUCAAAAAGUGCUAUUUGAUAGCCUAUAAUUAAUCCUUUUAAACACUUUUGAGUAGUAGUUUAGGCCUUUUAACUCAAUUGGCAUGUUAAGGAUCAUUUAAAGCAAUUUUAAUCACUUUGUGCAAGUUUUGGUGUUUUUGUUAGUAUUUUGAUCACCAAAGCAAGUCAAGACUGAGGAGAGCUAUGAGGAGUCUUGGGCAAAGCUUAGAAGUCAUUUGCCAAGAGUGAAUCCGGAUUGAAAGGAGAAAAAAGCAAAGAGAAUCUGCCAUAAAGCAUAUUCUUGAUGACAGUCGUAGCAGCCACUUUUGGAGCACUUUCUGAAGUCCAAAUGAUGCAUGCUAUAUACCAUUUCAAAGAUCAGGAAGUCAACAAUCCAAUGCUUCAAACGGUGUGCAAUUCGGAGUUGAAACGAAGAAGUUGCAGCCAUUACAAGCCAAUCACUCCGAGCUGAAGGAAGCAUUUUGCAAAGUGCUGCGAAAUCACCCUUUUGUUGCGAAGUGAUUUCGCAGCAUUUUUGUACAGUAAGGUGUUUCUCCUUCUGACGAUGCAUGAUUUAUGCCGCGAGAAGGAAGCUAGGAACCUCAAGGUGGAAGCCAACUUCGCAGCCCUGUGAAGAUAGCUUGGUGUUGCGAAGUAAUUUCGCAGCCCUCCUUGAGUGUCUGCGAAAUCUCGCAGACACCAUUUUUCUCCUGCGAAAUGGUUCCUGAAGCCUCCCGAUAUUUGCUACCGACAUUGGGAGAUAUUGUCCAUUAGAUUUUUGUUGUCUAAAUCCCAAAAUACUCCUUGUAAACCUCCAAUUACAUGAUUCCUUAGUUUUUAAGUUAGUAAAAAGACUAAAUAUCUUUGUAACAAUUAGUUUUAUAUUAUGUUGAUAUAUAUACCUCUCGAGAGCCUGUUCUCAGAGAGGAAUUCCUUCUGUAAAAGUUUGGGUAAGCAAGUAAAGUCUAUUUUCUUUCUACUGUCUUACCUUCUCACUUUGUAUUUUCAUUUUAUUUCUAAGUUAUGAAUUCUCUGAAGAGUUUUCCCCAGAGAAUGAGUAACUAAACCUCUAAUUCCUUGGAGCUAAGGUUGCCGGGGAAGGUUCCAAGUGCAAGAAUGCAGAGCUUUGUGGUUUUAGCUUUUAAUGAAGAGGAAGUGAAAUCCUUUAAUGAUUUCUAUGUUUUUAGUUAACUUAAAACACCUUAGAGUCACCUGGGCCAACACUUGGUAAGGCAAGUGAUUUCCAACCAUGGAAAUGCACUAGUUUACCUCUUGCGAGCCUUUGGUAGGUGACUUCAGGGUAGGAUUUUCUGGAAUUACCAACACUUGGUAAGCUUUUGGACUCCUAGGAGACAUCCAUUAGUUAUCUCUUGCGAGUUUGUGAAGGGAAGUCCAAGGUUAAAGAUCAUCUUGAAUGGUAAGUGCUCGUGAGAGGCAUGAACCAUUGCAAGUUACAUCAGUGAGAGAAUUAAAGUGAAAUCUAAUUGAAGGAGUCUCUGUACAACACCGGUUAGAGAAUUGACUAUAUGUUGAAUCUCUAACGCGAGGAAAUGAACCAUCUGACCGGAGCUAUGUCUUUUGCAUGAGGAACCACCCUAGUGAACCUAACUCUCCAGGGAAUGCUUUUCUUCCUAAAUUAUUCCAAACUUCUGUUAUGUUAGUUAGUUUAAGUAUAAACCUUUACCAAUCAAAGUUUGUGUUUUACUUCUUAAGCUAACCGUGAAAUGAAACAAGACCAAUUCACUUGGAAUUGGUAUCAUUGAUUGCUUGUUAAUCAUUCCCAGUGAACGAUCCUAGAGCCACUAUACUAUAGUAGCUUUUUAUUUGCUACCCUAGUGUAUGGUGUUAUAGGUAUAAAUUUUGUUGAUCACUCCCUCAUCUAAGGAGCACCAGCUGGACAUGGAUCAGCUGAGACACCAAUUGGGCAUGAAUCAAGUUGCAUGCUAAACAAGAUCAAAUCACAAUAAAGGAGAGUUAGGGUGCGUACCUGAGCCGUUCUUCAAGCGCUAUCAUAAAACAUAAACGGUUAAUUUAAACAAUAUGUCAUCCAACAUGUAUUUUAUUGGAAAUAAUCAAACAAUGAAACAUGCAUAUCAGGACACUCAAGCAUUAUUAGACAUAAGUAUUAUUUCACAAUGACAAGCAUAUUCACAAAAUUCAGAAAGUAGAUGAUAGAAGACAUACCUGGAUAGCAUAGAUAAUUUGUAACGUGCUUCCUCAAGUUGUAAGGGGUUAGAUAAUAAAUAAUAAAAUAUAGAAAUCCUAGCAUGCUCGUUAACUAAUUAUCAUAGCAGAAAUUAUCAAAGUAUAUGAAGACAAUAAUUAUCACACUCAUCUUGUAUACAAUUUCUAAAAAAAAAAAGAUAGACAUAAUUUCAACAAGUGACAAAUAUGGCAACAAAAAUAAUUUUUGAAAAGAUUUUUUUUAUGUAGGGGUUUCACCAAUUCCCCAAAUUGAUAUACACGAAUUUAGCUCAGAAUUAUCCCAUUUAUGUGGGACCACAAGCUUUGAUUCGUGUCUUUGUUCAAAACCAAAAUUUUUGUUGAAAACCGAGAAGGAUGCAAACCGAACAAGAUAUGGUUGCAUAUCAUUUUUAAAUAAAAAAAAAAAGGAGAUUUUGAUCCUGAGGACUCUAAUGAGUUUUUGAAAUAGAUUUUUAAAAUGAUUUUUUUUGAGAAAAGUAUUUUAUUUUAAAAUAAAAGGAAUUAAUUUGGGAAAAAUAAAACAUAAGAAAUAAAAUACCAAACAAAACAAAAAUGAAACCUCAAAGUAAAAUUUUUUAGUAAUUGACAAAAAUGAUAAUGGUGAUGGUAGAGGCCAAUCUUCAUGAUUUUCCAAUGGCCUCAGAAAGAAAAUCAAAUUAAAUAAAGGAUCACUAACAGGCAAGACAUUCUAAAUUAGACAAACUAACAAAGUAUCAAUUCAUGAACUAACCGCUAGGAUUUUAAAAGCAUAUAAGCUAAGAUAAGGAUGAUCAUGAACUAACAUUAAUGAUUUUGAAAUAAAAACUAAAAAGGGAUCAAUUCGGGUAAGGAACUAAAAUUAUAGAAGUACCUAAACUAAUUAUAACGAGUUUGACUAAAUUAAACUAAAAACAUGAACUUUCAAACAUAGAAUUAAUUUUACUAAUGAACCAAAGCAAACUAAAAAUAUGUAUUUUUCAAGCAUAGAAUUAAUUUUAUUGAUGAACCAAAAAUUAUAAAAGUGUCUAAACUAAAUAGAUGAAUUAAAUUAAAUCAAAGUACACUAAAAACAUGAGCUUUUAAAUAAAGAAUCAAUUUUACCAAUAAACUAAUAAAACUAUAAAAACACAUAAACUAAUUAAAAUGAAUGAAAUUAAAUCAAAGAAUACUAAAAAUAUGAACUUUCAAACAUGGGAUCAAUUUUUACUAAUGAAUUAAAACUAUAAAAACACCUAAAAAUAAUGAAUAUAAAUUAUUAAAUCAAAGCAAACUAAAAAAAAACUGAAACUUUCAAACAUGGGAUCAAUUUCAUUAAUGAACUAAACUAUAACAAAUAUCUAAACUAAAUAUAAUGAAUCAACUUGAAUUAAAACAUCCUAAAAACGCAAACUUUCAAAUAAAGGGUCAAUUUUAUCAAUAAGCUAAUAAAACUAUAAAAACACAUAAACUAAUUAAAACGAACGAAAUUAAAUCAAAGAAUAUUAAAAAUAUGAACUUUCGAACAUGGGAUCGAUUUUUACUAAUGAAUUAAAACUAUAAAAACACCUAAAAAAUAAUGAAUAUAAAUUAUCAAAUCAAAGCAAACUAAAAACUGAAACUUUCAAACAUGGGAUCGAUUUCGUUAAUGAACUUAACUAUAACAAAUACCUAAACUAAAUAUAAUGAAUCAAAUUAAAUUAAAACAUCCUAAAAACGCAAACUUUCAAAUAAAGGGUCAAUUUUAUCAAUAAGCUAAUGAAACUAUAAAAACACAUAAACUAAUUAAAACGAACGAAAUUAAAUCAAAGAAUAUUAAAAAUAUGAACUUUCAAACAUGGGAUCAAUUUUACUAAUGAAUUAAAACUAUAAAAACACCUAAAUAAUGAAUACAAAUUAUUAAAUCAAAGCAAACUAAAAAAAACCUGAAACUUUCAAACAUGGGAACAAUUCUAUUAAAUGAACUAAACUAUAAAAAAUAUCUAAACUAACUAUAAUGAAUCAAAUUAAAUUAAAACAUCCUAAAAACGCAAACUUUCAAACAUAGAAUCAAUUUUAUCAAUGAAUUAGAAUUAUGAAUAAAAUAAAUUAAUAAACCAAAUCGAAACCUAAAUUGUACCUAAAAAAAGAUUAAUUAAUUAAACUAAGAAAUCAGAAUCAAUAACAAAACUAAACUAAGAUGUGAAUUAAGACAAAACUAAUUAAAUUAAACUCACAAACACAUUUUAACUAUCACAUGGAUUAAAACAAAAUUAGCAUGGACUUAUGAAUUACGAACAAAAAUAAUCAAAACAUAUUUCAAAAACUCACCUGUAUUAACAAAAAAAUUUGCCUUUGAUGCGUUAAGGUGGCUCCCCUCUUCGUGUGGAUCUCUCUGCUCCUCAAAAAAAAUCCUCUCGCCUUUCUCCUUCUCAAGCCAAAAAUCCUCCCCUUAUUUAUAUGGCAGCCCCUCUUUAUAUGGCUGCGUGAGGAUCUCCAAAAUUCCCCUUCGUAUAGCCAGCAUGUAGCGAUCCUCUUCUUAUGGGAAGUGGGGAUUUUUUUAUGGCAGCCUCUCCAUCAUUGAAUAUUCUAUUUCCUUUUUUGAAUGCAUGUGGAUAUGGGAAGUGAUGUAUGCGUGACUUACCUAGCAAUUUCUUCAAGGAUGCAGCCCAUGUCUUGUUGGAGAAUGGUGCGGCCUAUGUGUUUCUCUUAAAGUGGGUUCAGAUUUUUGUUUCUUUUUAUCCAAUUGUCCACACCAUGCUCCAUAAAAAAAUCUGAUGUUCACCACUCAGUUCCCGAACCGCGUCCUCAUCAAUCUGGUGUGCGUUGAUGUUUCAACCUAAGGUCCAUACAUGGUAUUCUCCAUAUGCGGGCAAAGUGUUGGAGAAUUCCAUGGUCACUCUCCAUGGUGGGUGAUCAAUCCCAAAGUGGACUGUACGUCCAUUGAAUUGCAGCUCGUGCAGGUUAUGGACUGGCAGCAGAAUGAAGCCUUCAUCCAUGCGUACUGCCUUGUCUCUCCUUACAUUUGUAAGAUGCAGCCCACUCACUUUGAAUGAGUGGCAUGCAUGGUUCUCUUCAAGAUACCGUGGAGAUCUUAUGGAAAUUGGGAUGUGGACCCCUCAAAAGUUACAGGCGUGGGGGAUGCUUGCGCGUGGACUGGUUGUCUUCAACUCAUGAUGCGUUCCAAACGACCAAAAAAAUGCCCACACAUGCGUACUGGUUCUUCCUGUCGAGAUGGCGGUUAAUUCCCUUGCUUUUUCGUGGAGAAUCCGUGGUGAUCCCAUCCCUGGGUAUGAAAAUCUUGAAGCUUCCAAGGAAUAGGGUCUAAUGUAUGUGGAUAAUUCGUCCCACGAUCCUCUUGUUCCUGCCCAAAAUGGUGCUCCUCAUGCAAAACAAAAUAAGAUAAAAUUAUAAUUAAAGGAAAAGACGAGAAAUUAAUGAAAGUCAUGAAAUUGGUAAUAAAAUGAAAUAUGAUUAAAAGAAAAUGAAAGAGAAAAUCAAAUAUUAGAUUGUACAAUUCUGUCAUUUGAUAAAGGGGCUAUAUGCGUAUUUUAAAUCUAACAAUUCAAACAAUUUUUCAUUAAGUAAGUAAAUAAGUAAAUAAAAAUAAAUAAAAUGAAAUAUAUAAAGACAAUUAAAUACAUGAAUAAGUAAAUAAUAAAAAGUAAAAGUAAAAAUGAAUAGACAAAAUAAAUGUAAUUACCAAAUGCAUGCCAUAAUAAUAAUAAUAUUAAAAAAAAUAAAUAAAAUAAAUAAAUAAAUAAAUAAAUAAAAAGAAAUGUUGAGCCUCAAUGAAAUGUCUAAAUGGACCUGUUCUGAAAAAGGUGUCUAAGUGACCUAAGUGACAUGUGUGUAAAUGAGGAGGUGUCUCGGUGCGAGUCAAGGUGAAUCUAGGUGGGCCUAGGGUGGUGUCUAAUGGGUCAGGUGUAUCUAAAAGUUAUCCUAAAAAAAAUAGCAAUAGCCUAAGUCUAAAUUAGGGUUGCCAAGGGUCACAAUAAAGGGUCAGAUAAUCCCUCGACCGAAAUCUCCGAGGUGACUCAGAAAAAGGUAAGUUGUACGAAUAGUAAUGGGCCACCAAGGAGCAUUAAAAAUGAAUUUAAAGACAUGUGCUAAAGGAACAAAAUUGAGGGUCUACAAUGACACAUUAUAAAUUUGAUUUGGUUGUAAUUUAUGUUGGACAAACGAAGUUGUGUAAAUUUUGUCAUAUCAUGACAGUUGCAUAACUAAACAAUGACACUAUGGGAUAAGUAGGAAGUUGGACUAUUUUUGGAGAUAAUGAUAACAAUAAUUAAGUUGAUUGCGUCAUUAAACAAUGGCACUAUGGGAGAACAUGUCAUGAAGCGCUAUGGAAAAUAUAGGGGAUUAGAAAGAAAUUGCACACAUUAGUUAUGAUGAAAGUGACAAUUGCAGCAUCUCAUGUAAUAUGAAAGUUUUUGAGUUAAACUGAUUGUAAUUGUAUUCGAUUUGUACAAGGAUAAUUAAAACCUUCAUUUCUGAUUGUAAACAUAUGUUCAUUGUUAUAGGAACUAAUAUAAUUGGAAUUAUACAUAGAUUUUAAUUGGUUUAUUAUAGAUUCCAUAAUAGGGUACAUUAGGUGUUUGGACUAUAAUAUAAUAUGUUUUAUUAUUUAUUAUUCGACCCAUGUUUUGUCAUUGCAUUGCAUUUGUAAAUUGAUUUAUUGAAGUUUUAGUUUGUAUUGUAUAUCAGCUUUUGAAGGCCAUUGCAAUGUGAUUGGUAAUUAUUAGAGCAAAAGUAGGUGUUACGAUGGUAGCAUAUUAGGUACUUUGUGCUGAAGUGUAUAACCAAUCGCAAGGAAGGAGGCCUUCAAUUGGAGAAGUGCUUGUUUUUGGUGAUCAAGAUAGGAGAGACAAGGCAAGUUGAAGAAGAAGGUGAAGAUGUAGAACUGAAGUAGAAGGCUUGGCUUGGCUAUUGCUGAGUUCAUUUCCUUCUUUGUCUAGUGAAAUAGUAUUAACUAUUGGGGAGAAUAUGCUUAAUGAAAUCAUAGAUGGUGGGUUCUCAAAUGUCAAUUGUCAAUUGUUUAGCAUCUUCCCAGGAUUUUAAUUUUCCUUCUACUCGACUGGAAAAUCCUAUAACAAGGCCAACUUAAGCAUAUAAACUCAUCCAAUGUCAGAGUUUUCCAUUUUCUAUAACUUUGAUCUUCCUUAUGCUUAAUGCAUGCUUAGAAAGGGUUAUUUGGUUUAUAUAUGGAAAAUGCCAACCUCUUUUGUAAACUAAUGUUUUCAACAUUGCUUACUCAUCUAGAAGGAGACAAGCAAACCAACUCAAUAUUAUAAGUUGGGCACAUCACACAUUGUUUGUUGAUUGUGUUAUCAUAUUCCCAAGCUACCUAGAAAUUCAUUAUCUAUCAAUCCUAUUUCCCAUGGCACAACCUUUGAAGACAAUAAAAGAUUUUUUCAAAAUCAGUUAUCAGUGUCUUAUUCUUGUUUUCAAUGCAUCACACUAUUGAUGAGCAUAAAUAAUGUCUUAAGCACUUCCAUGUUUCUGACAUGUUUCUUCUUUAGCUUAUAUUGUGAAAUUUAUACUCAAUUUUCUCCAACACUAUAACAACCCUAAUUCUUUUUCGUAUAGUAAUAAAGUUCUUCUUUACAUAUGGUUUUUCAUAUUGUAACAACACUAUAACAAUGCUUUGAGGAUUGUAGUUCUCAUGUUGUAAUUAUCCAAUAUAAUAAUUCAAGAUUCAAGAUGCAUUACAUAUAGAAAUUGGAUUGUAUUCGUUCCAAUUAAUACGAUUAAAGUACUCCAAUUUGGUAGGCCAAGAAUUACCAUCCAAUUGUAGUUUCACAUAACAUAGAACUACUUACAUAAAAGGACAUAAAUAGUAUAACUCGAAUCUAAUUGGACAUGUAUUCGGGUAUGCGCAAAAUGUUUUCAUGCUCUGCCAUUGACAAAUCCUGACCAUUGUCUUGUGCAAAUUGGAUGCAAAUGUGUAAUAAUGACUCACAAGCUCGAUGAUGCAUCAUUUGAUUAUUUUCUAUGCGUAUCUCGACUAAUGCAUCUUCAAAUGAAAACAUUUUUUCAAGAUGCAUUUGAACUGAAAUUAAUGGGGGAACCUUAACUCGUAGUUGUUGUAAUUCGAUGACUAAAUCAGUUUAUUCCCGCACCCUAUAAGCCCACUCUCUAUGCAUUAUUCAUAAUUGAUCAUUGAAGCUAGCAUCAUGUGGAACAGUUAAGAUGUUGUUAACUAGGAUCCAAUUCCUUUUUGAAUCCAUCCUCUUAUGAGUGAAUAAAUCGAAUGAUGGCAAAGGAAAUUGGUAUAACAUAGGAGAUCCUUGUUAUUAGGUGAUAUUGUAAAUGUCAUCGAUAGAGGUCUAUAUAUAUAACAAAUGCAGUAAGAAACGUUAAUUUCAUUGAAUCUCCAGUGUAAUGAAGAAAAGAAAAAAAGAAAAAGAGGAUGGGUUUUCACAGUACUCUGUUAGAUGUGACUACACAAACAUAUUUUAAUGAUAAGACAACGAAGUUCUCCAUUUCCCAAUGGCAAUAAAAAAUUUAAUCAUUACAAUUGUAAAAGAAAUUGGUACACAUGAGUAUUAAUUUAAAUGACAACAGAAAGUAUUCUUAUAGGUUACCAUUCUGAAAUUGAGAAGACAACACAAAAGACUUAUCUGAAGUUGACAAGAUUAGACUAAAGUACUUUAAAGGGCUAACAAAUAACUUUUGAGAUUGUACACAAUUGUGAUGGAAAUUGGUGAACAUGAGUGUUAAUUUUAAAUGACAACAAAAAGUACUAUCACAGGUUGCCAUUGAUGCAUGUGCCAUUUUGAAAUUGAGAAGACAACAUAAAAGACUCAGUUGAAGUUGACAAGAUUAGACCAAAGUACUUUGAAUGGCCAACGAAUCACUUUCGAGAUUCAUUGUACGCAAUUUUUAUGGAAAGUGGUGGAUAUGAGUGUUAAUUUUAAAUGAUAACAGAAAGUACUAUCAUAGGUUGCCUUUGAUGCAUGUGUCAUUCUAAAAUUGAAAAGACAACACAAAAGACUCAUCUAAAGAUGACAAUGACCAAUGAAUCACUUUCGAGAAUCAUUGUACACAAUUGUCAUAGAAAAUAGUGAAAAGAUGAGAUGAUAUGUACAUAACAAAGACAUGACUGAUAAGUCAUUUCAACACAUUGACAAUAUAUAAAGCUAACACUAAGGAUAGGGAAAGAAAAGAGAAUAAGAUAUGGGAUAUAGAAUCUUACAAAAUAUGAGCACAUAUAGUGCCAUGUUACCAUAGUGUAAAUAAGGGAUUCUACAUCGAACCUCUUAUGACUAACAAGAAAGUGGAGUGCUUAAUUUUGCAUCAAUUACACCUAUCAUCUUAUAGCUUUUAACUUUGGUAUAAAACUUCUUCAUCAUUCGAUAGUAAUGCACAUUGUCAUUAACUUUCUCGUAUUAGUCACUUACUAUAGCAUCUAUUUAUUUGAAAGUUAGGAAAAUGAAUUUUUAACUGUCUUAAGUUGUUUUUGAAGAGUUUGGGGCAUAUGCACACUUCUUUGGCAAGUUCAAUAGUUGUUGCAGGUGAUGGACAAUAGAAGGGGUAAACACCAUCUUCACUUGGGGAAAUAUUACUGGCUAAAGGAUAUAUUUGAGCUAUCAGGCUAAUAUUGGGCAUUAAGAGAUGAUAAUUUCAUGUACAAACUAAAGCCAUCAGACAAGUAUUUGGAUGUGACCAAUGUGCACCAUGGAAAGUAAGUGGAAACAUCAGGUGCGGGAAUAAACAAAUCUACUCUAACAACUCAUUGUUUUAAGUGUACGUGUACCAUGUAGAAAGUCGUUGUCUAUCCGUCAAUUCACAUCAGUUUAUCUGAAGCACUUAAUAAGAUAAUAGAGGAAAACAACAAGAUGACAAUUUGAAAGAUGGGGUAAUAAUGUUAGAAGAGGCAAGCAACAAAGCACUAGCAAAUGGUAAAAAAAUCAAUGAAGGGGAACAAGCAAAAAUUCUAUCUCAACCACAAUCAAAUUAGAUUUUGAAAUCUCUGAUGAGGAGUAGUAACAUAUAUGAAGGAUGGAACCUAAAUAAAGCCUAUGUAACAUAUGUAAUAUUGUACUCCGAAUUUUAGGAUAUUUGUUGCAACUUUAGUAAGCAAAUGCCUAAUAAUUAAUGAUCAAUUUUGUUGUUAGCGUCCCAUUAUUAGCUGACCACCCCAUCGUAUAACAUUCAAAUUAGUGUGACAUCUUGUUAGUCUUACAAUCAAUUUUAAAUAACAUUCACAUAUUGAAUGUCAUGGCAUAUCAAAUAUAUUCGUUUUGAACACAUUGUAGGUAGAGUAGAAUUUGGUUAGGAAAAAUUAAUAAAUAUUUUUUUGAAUUUACUAAUGAUUCACAUUUUUUCACAUUUUUUGAAUAUGUCAUAAAGAAAUUAAAUAAUAAUAAUAAUAUUUUGCAUGUCAUAGCAAACUGAAUUGAAUAUAUUCAUUCUAAAGAUCUUUUAGAAUAACCUAAUGGGACGUUAUAAUAUAGGUGAAGAACACUUUGGUCAUAGGAUAUUAUUAACUUUUACCAAUUACUGAAAGCGAGGGGUCACAAGAACACUAUUUAUUUGAAAAUUUACUUCACAAUGACACUUUUAUCAAGCAUAUGUAUUUAUAUUUAAAACUUUCAUAUAGGUCUUGUACUUUUCUAUCUGUAUUACAGAUAGGCCGUCAUGUCAAUAUUAUGACUAAGCCCUCCAACCAAUCUUCAAACUAUAUAAAUGGUAUAACCUCAACUUUAACACCAUAUGCUAGUUUAAAGCACCAUGUAAAGAACCUUCAUUCUAAACAUAUAUCAACCAUAUUGUCUAGGUAUGUUUGAAGGCAUAAAUUUUAUAUUCCAUUUCUUCAAUGUUUUAAGCAAAUAUGAAACAAAGGCCUCAUCCAUAGAUUGUUUAUUUGGUUGUAUCAGUAUAAAAAAAUACAUGGCAAACAAAGACAAGAUCUACAUUGUUUUUGUUGGUAGGAGGUCGGGUGUAUACACAACUUGGCCUGAAUGCCAAGUUCAAGUCAUUGGUUAUAAGGGUAACAUUUAUAAAUCGUAUAGAACUCAUCAUGAGGCUAUAUUGGCAUGGGUGAUGUACGACCCUUGAUGGAAAAAACUUGAUGCACCUAUUGAAUCCCCUAAGCCUAUAGAGUGUAACUAGGUUAUUAGUCAACUGGUAGAUGACUAAGUACUAAAGAAGGCUAAAGAUCGGAAACAAAAUUUCCUUGCUCCUUUUGUCCUCGGAUGUGUUGUAACAUUCAUGAUCAUGUUUGUCAUUCAAAAGUUCUUUAGGUAUGCUCAAAUGUGGUGCGACUAAGCUACAUGUUGUACUUGUAUUACGUGUCUUAAAUGCAAUGGUACUCUGGCCUUUCAUCCUUCAUUAUUUAUUUCAGUUUUAAAACAAUACUAAAACAACAUAAAACAAAAUAAGAAGUUACAAAUUUUGGAUGAUGAAAUUUAAGGGGGAAAUGAGUGAGCAAGUUCUUCAAAAUUCUUUAAAAUCCUUCAAGAUGGGCUACCUUGUACACCCUUGUACAAUUAGCACACGUACCUUGUACACUUAGUGUAAAUGCCUUAUACACUUGCAUAUUUACAUACACCUAUAAUGCAAUGUGUGCAUAUGGGUGAGUUAACUAUGUUUCCAUUGUCAUGGCUCAAGAAAAGAGGUAAAAAAAUGAAAUUGAACCCAACCAUGUAUCCUUAAUCAUCAUUUAUGAAUACAAGGUGAUGGAAUGAAUGUGUAUGAGGUCAAAUAAAUGCAUGGGUUGCACAUCAUCAACACAUAUGUGUGAGGAAUGUCUCUCAUCUCACCCUUGGAAAAGGGAAAUGAGUGAGUCAGUUGCUCAAAAUCAUUUGAAAUUCUUUGAGACAGGUACCCUUGUACACCAUUGUACAAUUACCAUAUUUGCCUUAUACACUUAAUGUAAAGGCCUUGUAUAGUGGGAGAAAUUCCAUACACUUACAACACAUGAAUCGGUAUGGGUGGGGGAACCAUGUUCCAAUGUCAUGACUGAACAAAUUUUGAACAAAUUUGAUGCCAAAUUACGGCUCUAUUCAUCAUUAUUGUGGUAAGUAACAUGAUGAACAUGUACAAACUCACAAAAAUGAAUGGGAUGAGUGUGUGAUCAAGUAAUGUGUGUGAUGAAUGUCCCUCAUCAUUAGAAAAUGGAAAUGAGCAAGCAAGUUCUUCAUAUACCUUUCAAAUAGUUAUGGAUAACUACUUUGUAUACCCUUGUACAGUUAGCACACAGACCUUGUACACUUAGUGUAAAUGCCUUGUACACUUGCAUUCACAUACACCUAUAAUGCAAUAUGUGCAUAUGGGUAGGUUAACUAUGUUUCCAUUGUCAUGGCUUAGGAAAAGAGGUAAAAAAAAAAAAAUGAAAUUGAACCCAACCAUGUAUCCCUAAUCAUCAUUUAUGAAUACAAGGUGAUGGAAUGAAGAUGUAUGAGGUCAAAUAAAUGCAUGGGUUGCACGUGAUCAACCAAUAUGUGUGAGAAUUGUCUCUCAUCCUUGGAAAAGGAAAAUGACCGAGUGAGUUCCUCAAAAUCAUUUGAAAUCCUUUAAGACAAGUACCUUUGUACACCUUUGUAUUGUUAGUACAUUUGUCUUGCACACUUUGUGUAAAUGCCUUGUAUAGUGGCAUAAUUUUGACAUAGCUACAAUUAAACGUGUGCAUAUGGGUGGGUUAACCAUGUUCCAAUUUCAUGCCUGAGGAAAAAGAAGGAAAAUUAAACCCAAAUUAUCUUAGUAUUCAUCAUUAGUGUGGUAGGUCAUCCAAUGGACAUCUACAAGGAGAAAAAAAAUUAAAUGGGAUGAGUGCGUGAUCAAGGAAUGUUUGUGAGGAAAGUCCCCCAUCCUUACAAAAGGAAAAUAAACAAGCCAAUUUUUAAAAAAUAUUUCAAAUCCUUCAACAUAGGUACCCUUGUACACCCUUGUGCAGUUACCAUAUUUGCCUUGUACACUUAGUGUAAAUACCUUAUACAAUGCCAAAAAUUUGACAUAGCUACAACUGAACGUUUGCUCAUACACGGGCUAACCAUAUUUGCAAUGUUUUGCUUCAUCGAAUGGGGAAAAACCUAAGUUUAAAUUUGUUUCCCAACUAUUAGUCCACGAUUCUUACAAAAUAAUCAUAUAAGCAAAUCAGUGAAUGAUGCAAAUGAAAAAACCUUCUACUGACUUCCUACAUGCAGAACAUUUGAUAUUGAAAAACAGUUUUCCCUAUUAUUAUUCUCCUACUUAAACAUAAAGGAGUUGCAAUCAUACAAUUAAUGGGGUCCCAAACAUAAAGAAUUUUAACAAAUAUGGAUGUCAUAAUUCAUCCAUAAACCUAAUAAAAACACCCUCAAUCCUCCACAAACCUGGGUUCCAAUUCCAGAAAUUGUACUAACCCGAAAACCACUUCAACGGAUGGAGCAUAUUUUAAUGUUCAAAGGAGGUCAUUGUGAAUAUACCCUACUACCAAUGCUGGAACAACUUUAGAUCUUGAAGGGAAUGCUUGCUUUUGAAAUUCAUUUGACCCAAAGGAAUUGUGAAGGAAUUGCAUGAUCUUCACAUAGUCUUCUUCCCCAGAGUCACCCUCUCUUUCCACAAACCAUAUCCAAAUCCUCUCUCUGAAUUUAUUUUAUUCGACAAUAGACCUAGGUCAUAGCCAACGUACACAUUUUAAUGAGAUCUGACAUGGUAACUUCAAUUGACCAAUUAUGAAACCCAAAUUUUACAAACAUCUUAUAUGGAAUUUUGAAGGGUAUAUUUGUUUCUUGAUACUUCAUAUCCUCUCUCUUAAUUAUGCAACUUAUAUGGCCCAAAGGUUAAUUUUUCAUUACAAAUGACUAUGCAAGUUCUUCAAAAGCAUUUGAAAUCAUUCAAGAUAGGUAGCCUUGUACAUACACUUGUACAUUUAGUACAUUUGCCUUGUACACCAAUGAAUGUGUACGAAGGGAAAUGAGUAAUGUCUGUGAGGAAUGUCCCCCUUAGAAAAGGGACAUGAGCAAGCCAUUUUUUCAAAAGGAUUUGAAAUCCUUCAACAUGGGUACCCUUGUACACCCUUGUACAGUGAACACAUUUGUCAUAUACCCUUAGUAUAAAUGCCUUGUACAGUGGUAAAAAUUUGAUAUAGCUACAACUGAAUGUGUGCAUAUGGGUGGGCUAACCAUGUUCGAGUGUGAUGCCUGAGGGAAAAGGGGGAAAUGAAACCCAAUAUAAGUUCAUAUUCAUCAUUAGUGCAGUAGGUCAUCCAAUGAACAUGUAUGAAGUAAUAAAAUUAAAUAGGAUGAGUGCCUGGUCAAGGAAUGUGCGUGAGGGAAUGUCCCUCAUCCUUACAAAAUGGAAAUGAUUUUAAAAGGAUUUCAAAUCCUUCAACAUAAGUACCUUUGUACACACUUGUACAGUUAGCACAUUUAUCAUACACUUAGCAUAAAUGUCUUGUACAGAGAAAUAAAUUUCAUACAACUACUACUGAAUGUCUGCUCAUGGUUAAUUAUGUUUGCAAUGUUUUGGUUCAUAAAAUAAGGAAAAACUGAACUACUAGUCAUCAUAUUAUUAAUCUUCUACUCAAACAUAAAGGAGUUCCAAUCAUAUAAUUAAUGGGGUUGUGCUUUGGAUCAUAGCAGAAUAAUUUUCACAAAUAGGAAUGUCAUAAUUCAUUGCUAAACCUAAUAAAAACACACUCAAUCCUCCAUCAGCCUAGGUUUGAAUUCCAAAAAAUAUCCUUACCUCAUAAUUCUACUCCAAAAUGGCAUAUACCCUAUUUAGCAUAAUUUCAACUUCACAAAAGGUUGUUGGGCCACUGCCAUCAUCACGAUCAUAGUUGUAGUCACUUUAUAUCUUCACCAGAGUUCUUCCUUUUCUCCGUUUCAUGUGAUGGACCAACCUCACAAUUAUGACAACCAUCUUCUCUACUUUCAAGAUACAUUUGAUCCGAUGGAUAGCUAUUAUGGAGGAAUUGCAUCAUCAUCAGAGAAUUUUCUUCCCUAAAGCUCAUCGUCUCUCUCUGUGAACCAUACCCAUUUCUUUUCUCUAAAUGAUAAACCCAGCAAGCAGAUUCUAAAGUGAAAAUUUUAAGACAAGUGACAUGACAUUUUUUAGGAGAUCUUCUCCAUAUGAUUGACUGUAAGUUUCUUGAAUUGACUUGCAUUGUGCUGCAUUCCUAUGAGCCAAGAUGGAUAUGAUCAAAGCCUCAUUUGUCUUCCACCUUGCAUCCAAAAACACACUAUUAUUAAGAUCAAAAUCUUUUGAAAAAAACCCAACACGAGGUCAAAAUGGUUACCUUUCCCGAAACCCUAUACUGACCUAGUAAACAAAGAUCCAACACAUCAUUAAAGGAACCAACAUGAUCAAAUCAAAAUGUGAGAAAAUAAAUCAGACCCCCGAUCAUUUGGAUAUGGGAAUGAUGAUGAUAAAAUACCUGCAAAGGCUUUUUUGAGUUGCUCACAAUCCUCAACUACUGAAGGAACCGAUUGGGGGACUGUCCGAGCCAACAUUGUGUGAGUAUGUUGUUUACUGAGGGAGAAAAAGGGGUAGAGCGGUUGUGACCCUUAUGGCCUUUAUUUCAGAUUUUUAAGAUAGGUAAUGUGGCAUUUUUAGUUUACCACUAGUGAAACACAUUAAUUUACAAGCAUCCGAGUUGGAAAUUUGAAAGUUAUAUUGGUCUCUUAAUAUUUUAUAUAAUUUUCAUCAAUUAUAUAAGUUAUAUGGAUCAAAACUUAAUUUUUAGGUCCAAUUGAAUUCAAAACACAAUUAUUCAUUUCUUUAAUACAAGACCACAUCUCUAAUCCAAACAAAAGAAAACAAAUUCAAAACAUUUCUUUCCAACCACACAGCUCAGUAAACCCAUAUCACUUAAAGCAAACUUAAGAAAACACUCCUCUUAUAUUUAAGAAUACAACACUACUCAAUAGCCUGUGAUGUUCCCCUUUUUAUUCUAUACCAAACUUCUUUCUCAUUCACAUGACAAGGCCAUGGGACAUGUGUGGUCUUCGAGAGAAGACCCACACAAGAUGUUCCCCUUUUACUCUAUACCAAACCUCUUUCUCAUCCCCAUGACAAAGCCAUGGACCUUGUGUGGGUCUUCGAGAGAAGACGACACACUCUCCUUUUCCUUGCACCUCUUGGUCCAAGCGAUCAACUUGGGGCACUCCGCCUCUAUGCUGAAGUUACCAAAGCUCUCAUAUGCAUAAAACCAGCAAGAGAAGGUCACGAGAGCCACAUCCACAAACCCAAUUUUUUCACCACCGAAGUAAGGCUUCUCUCCAAGCUCGCCUUCCAAAAGCUGAAGGCACUCUAUGAAUUCCUUCUUGGCUGUUUCCUGCUCUUCUCCUUUGGUAGACCAUACCUUCCUUCCAAGUCCAUAGAGCUGUGGGGAAAUAAUGGAGUCAAAGAGAUAAAGAGUUAUUUUUUGUAGCGUUUCAUCAAGUUUCAACUUUCUGUAUAGUUGGGACAAGUUUAUUAAGGACCCUUCAGCAUAGAAAUCUCAUAUACUAGUAACAAAAAUGAAGGGCCGGUGGAAGAAAAAUAUCAGAAUCAGCUGAAAGAAUAUAUCAUUUGCUAAAGUUUUUCCCCUCAAUUUGAGUUGUAGAAAAUGAGAAAAAAGAGAUCAAAGAAACAGAACAUAUAUUAAAACAACCGUUGUACAAAAUGUUGAACAACAGGAUAACAAAAAACCAAACAGUGUUCUUUAAAAUUCUGGUUUAUGUAUCCCCCUUUCUUGGGGGAAAAGGUAUUCUUGAGAUAUGCUUUUUUGGAUGGAACGAACAGACUUCGGAUUCAACAGAACAAAGAAAUGAAAACCCAUAGCAGAAAUGCAAAGUAGAGUCUUGCUGAACAAACAGCAAGGAGAAUCAGUAAAGUUCUAGUUUGGGACCCUAAAGCCCACAAAAUUUAAUAUCAGAAGAGAAUGCGCUAAGAAACCCAGCAUUUUGGACAAAUCCCUCACCAUAAUCAAAAUCUGAGUCAAUCGCCAUGAAUCAAUGGAAAAGAAUGCUUUAAAUCAACAGCAAAGACAUACCUUCUUGUCUACGUAGUCCGCCCAGAACCUGGCCUGAGCUCUCUGGUAUGGGUCACUACGCAAAAGCGGAGAUUUAUCGUGCCAAACCUCAUCAAUAUACUGAACUAUUAUCAGAGAUUCACAAAUGGGCUUUCCAUUGUGGAUCAGAACCGGGAUUUGCUUAUGAACUGGAUUCAUCUCAAGAAGCAGAGGGCUCUUGUUCCUCAGGUCCUCCUCUUUAUAUUCAUACUUGAGGCCCUUCUCUGCCAGGGCAAGUCUGACCCUCAUACCAAACAUGCUAGGCCAGAAAUCCAACAGGAUAAUCUCGUCUCCCAUUGCUACUACUGUGAUUGAUAAGAUUCAAACUCUUUGUAUUGAUGAACAACACAGGGGAAAUUGUUGAGUAUUUAUAGCAAAUUUCAGAGAGUGGGUUAAACCCCUGGGUACUUCUAGCCUUCUAGGAGUUGGUGAUGCUCAAUAAUUCCUUACCUCAGCUUGCAUUUUCCUUUCUAAAUUACAUUCUUAUCUCCGUUUCGUAUCUAUCCAGCAUUUGCAAAUUACGCAAACUUUUGUUGUGGGAUGAUGUCAUUGCUUUCGUCAGCCUUGUCAAUUAAGUACACUGGUCCUCUGCAUAAUUUCCCACCACAAAAAUGAUAUUGCAAGGAAAAAAAAUGAUAUUGUAGGGAAAAGAAAAUACAGCUUGCAUCUUUUUGGAUGGACAAGUCAAUAUUGGUCCCUUCCUAGUUUUUAGAUUCCUGAAAUUAAAUAAAUAUUUUAAACUUUAUGUUUAUUGUAACUUUUUAAAAUUUCGGUGAUGAUUGUGCUUUUAUUUAGAUCUAAAUUUGUUUUUAAAUUUGAAUAAAUUAAAUAUUGCUAAAUAUUUUAAUUUUUUUUAUAUUUUAAUUAUUACUAAAUGUUAUUAAAUAUUAAAUUACUUAUCUUUUACAUUACAAAAAUAUUUAUAAAAUAUAAUAUUUUAUUUCUUAUCAAAUUAAUUUUCAAUUCAACAUAUUUUUAAAUAUUUAUAUUAUAAUUUAUUAGCAUAUUAAAAGUUUUAUAAUAAUUAAUUAUGUAAUUGAUAAGAAAUUGGUAGUCUGAUGACAAGUAUAAUUAGACUUGUUAGAAACUAUUAGAAUUUUUCUAAGUUUGUAUAUCUUUGGAUUUGAAGACUUGUGAUUGAAAUGUGGGUUCCCUUUUGUUAAAUUAAUUCAUUGAUUUUUGUAAUUUUAACUUUGAAGGAGUAUCAAAUUUUAAUUUUAUAUUUUUUAAAUUAUUAAUUCUAAUAGAAAUUUAGAUGAAUGUGAAUUAUGCUUUAGAAUUUUGAUUAAAAAAAUCUUAUUAGAAUUGAUAAUUAGCUUUGUUUUUUUAUAAGGCUGAAUUUUUAAAUUUUAUAUUAAAUAGUUUUCUAAUUUAAUUUUUUUUGUCACUUAUUUUUAUUUUUGAAUGAGUAAUUAAUAAUAAUUUAUGGAAUUGAAUUUGAUUAAGAAUGGGAUUAAUUAUGGGGCAAAAAUAGUGGCAACAUGUGGGGAUUUGGAAUUUUGUAAAUUUAUUUUUUAUUAAUUUCAUUUUCGAGCAAUCAAUUUAUGAGAAAAUUUUUAAUCUAAUUUUUCUUAAAAAAAUUAAAAUUUAAAAUUUAAAAAACAAAUAUAUAUUUGAUUUUUUUGUGAAUGACAAAAUUUUAAUUUAUAAUAAAUUUAUUUCUCACUCAAAUUAUAUAAAAUUAACCUAGUUUAACUAUUUUUUAAAAUGAGUUAUCUUUUUUUUUAUUUUUUAUUUUAUGGAAUUUAGUUUAAAUUUUUGUGAAAAAAUUGUAUUUAAGCAAGUACUCUAAAUUAAUGAUGUGUAAACUUUUACAUUUUCCCCAUAAAAAAUCAAAUAUUAUAUUUAAUCCUAGUCUUUCCCGACUCCUAUAAAUAGGAGACUUAGGUCAAUAAAAUGGAUGCCUCAAAGUUAGUCUUUGUAAAAGAAAACUCUUAUAAGUUUUUAUAUAAGAUUGUAACAUUAAAAGGAUAAACUUAUUACCAAAAAAUAUCUUCUUUCUCACCUCAAAGAUAUGUGAUAAAAUUCUACUUUUAUUUUAUUUUCUAUUUAAUUUAUUUUUUAAUGAAGAAAAUAGAAAAUAUUUUUUAUAGACAAAAAUUAUGAAAAAAUUACAACUAGAAGUUAUAAAAAAAAAAAUGUAAAAUAUGUAUAAUUGUAUAGCCAGAGGUUAUAUGAGAAAUUAUAAAGUUACAAAAAUAUAAAGAAAAGCUUUAAAUGUAAUUUCUAAUUUCUUUUUAAUUAUAAUGUAUAACCGAAAGUUACAAACUUACACAUUUUUGUUAUGUAUAUAAUGAAUAUUUCAUAGUUUGAAGGUAUCAAAUUUACAUAUUUUUGUUAUGAUGCAAAUAAUCCAUAGCCAAAAGCUAUGAAAACUAUCGGUUUGUAAUUUUUAUUAGUUAAUACUACAUGAUGUUGAUACACUUUUUUUACCAAAUUUAUAAUAAUCCUAAAGCGAUAAAAUAUAACAAAAUCUUAAAUCAUUAUAUUUUUAUUAACAAAUAUUAACUUGAUAAAAUAUUGUUAGAUAAUUUUAUUCAUUUAUUUAUAAUUAAUUUUAAUAAAUUGAAAUGUUAUUUGAAUGAAAUUAUUUGGAAUAUAAUUUUUAGAUAAUGUCAAAUCUUACCAAGUUUGAGUUUGUUACAUUCAAUAUUUUGAGCAAAACUAUUUAUUUUGGAUUCUGGAUGCUAAAUUCACCUAAAUGAAAUGAAUCUUGAAAAGACUAUUAAAUAAGGAAAUGAGGCAUCAUCGCAAGAUCGCACUAAAGCUUUAAUAUUCAUUCAUUAUCAUAUUGAUGAAGGAUUAAAAGGUGAAUAUCUUACGAUCAAAGAUCUUUCAUCCUUUGGAAUAAUCUAAUGGAAUGAUAUGGCCACCACAAGAUUAUAAUUCUUCCAAAAGCACGUCAUGAUUGGACGCACUUAAGAUUGCAAAAUUUCGAGUCUGUCAAUGGCCACAACUUGACUUUAUUAAAAAAUUGUUCACAAUUAAAUUUAUAUGGAAAAAAAGUCACUAAAGAAUAUAUGCUUGAAAAGACAUUUACCACUUUUCAUGUCUCGAAUGUACUCCUAUAGAAACAAUCUUAAGAACAUCAUUUCACUAAAUAUUUUGAAUUAUUUUAAUGUCUUCUUAUGAUUAAAUAAAAUAAUGAACUUUUACUGAAAAAUCAUCAAUCUCAUACUAUUAAGUCUAUGUCAUUGCUUGAAGCAAAUGCCACAUCCAUCCAAGCUCCUAGACAUUGACUUGGACAUGGACAUGAACAAGGCCAAGGACACAAUCAUGGCCAUGGUAAAUAUAAUUCUUGGUACCAUGGUGGUUAUAGUCAUUAUUAGAAUAAAAUAAAACAAUUCAAACCAUCAAAAGUUGAAUAAUUUUGAGAGACAACGUAAAAAGGGUAUAUAAUGACAAAGCAAACAUGUUAGUAAGAAUGAAUGCUAUAGAUGUGGUAUGAAAAGACACUAGUCAUGUACUUAUCAUAUUUCCAUAUGUUAAAAAAAAAUAAAAUUGUACAGAGGUUUUAGAAAUGCCCAAUCGGGUAAGGAAAGCGCCAAACAUUCCAACACUUCCAUAUGUUAAUAUUUAGACCCCUAAUAAGGAUGUAUAUAGUCAUGGUUCGCCUUAAAAAAAUCAUAUGUAUGUUUCUUAAGGAUGCAUGUAGGAUUUAGAAAUGACCUAUGAAGAACAAGAAGACCUCAAAUUCAUUAUGAGGCUUUCCAUAAGUUAAUAUUUAGACCCAAAUAAGAAUGAAUAGAAUCAUUGUCCACCUUAAAAAAAAAAAAAAGUAUGUGUGUGUGUGUGUGUGUGUUUUUUUUUUUUUUUUUGUUGAGAAUUUACAUAGUUUUCUUAAGGAUGUAUGUAGGCUUUAAAAAUGACCAACAAGGAAUGGGCAUAUCUCAAAAUUAUUGCAAAGCUUUCAUAAGUUAAUAUUCAAACCUAAAUAAGGUGAAAUAAAGUCACAAUCCACUUUAAAAAAUUUACAUAUUUUGUAUUUUUAAGAAUGUACAUGCUCUCCAUAAAAAUAUAUGUAUUUUUUAUUAAGGAUGUUCUUAGGGUUUAGAAAUGCUUAACAAGGUAGGGAAAGGCCUCCAAUUCAUUCUCAGGCUUCCAUAAGUGAAUACUUAAACCUAAAUAAGGCCAAAUAGGGUAAUAGUUUGCUUGAAAAAAAUGUAUGUAUUUUUCUUUAGAAUAAUAUAUAUAUAUUUGUUAAGAAUGUAUGUAUUUUUGUAAAGAUUUUCCUUAGGGUUCUACCAUAUCGAACAAGGUUUGGGAAGCUCUAAAAUGAAUUUCGUAGUGUACAUAAGUUAAAUCUUAUACCCAAAUUAAUGUGAAUGAGAUCGUGGUUAAUUUGAAAUCAAAUGUACAUAUUUUGUGGGAAAAAAUGGUAAAAGAUUCUUAUUCAAUCAACUAUUACAAUCCUAAUUUAUAUCUUAUUGUAGACCCCCAUGUUGGGGUGGAUUUUAUGUAUUUUUGUUUUGCCAAGUGUCCAAAUUUCAGGGAGCCACGUGGAGCUUGAAGAUUGGCCAUCAGGUAGUGCAUUUGGCCGUUGGGAGAGAGCUGGUUGUAGCCAUCAGAAUGCUACACGUACGGAGAAUAUUCGGUAGGAGCGUGUAUUUUGUUUUGGAGGAUAGCAGGCCGUUAGUGAGGGCAUUGGUGCAGGAGGUUCUCUGGCAAAUAGGAGGUGGGUGCUUUUUGGUGCAGGUGCGUUUUAGACGGAGAGAGAGGGGAGGCAGGGUUAGAGAGAAGAUAUUUUGGAGGAUGUUGCUUUGAGUGAGGAGCUCGGAGGAUAGAAGUUUGCUUGAGAGGAAAGGCAACUGAAAAGGGAAACAGAAAAAAAGAAGAGGAGCGUUAUAAGGUACGUCUGCUAAGCCACAUUUUUUAUUGCCAUUGAAAUCUUUUGGGUUGAGGUUAUUAUGUUAUAAUAUAUCUGCUCUUUGUUCUUCAUGAGAAAUUUGAUCUAGAACGAACUAAUUCUUCUUUUGCUCUCUUUCAUGUGUUUGAGUGAUAUCCUUGAAUCUUGUUUCCAUCUUUUUUUUUUUCACCCACACAUAAGUCCUAUGACUUCAAUAUAAGAUGAGGCUUGGGUCAUUGUUUUCUUGGGUUCAUUUUAUACUCUGUUUUGGUCCUUGCUUCAUUGUUGUUUGCUUUCUAUUCUCGGUGGCCACUCGUACACCCAAGGAGAAGAGUCUUGGCUAGCACGGCUUUUGGUUUUCGUAUGGACACAAUUUGUGAAUUUGGGGAGAUGUUGUUAUAUUGCUCAUAGAAUCAUUGGAAUGUUCUGCUCAGAAUGGGUGAUUGCCAUAUUUAGGGAAGCUACUCCACAGUUCCUCUCCUAUACCCACGCGCAUGUUACUUUGGCCAUGCAUGGCUAUAUUCUCUCUUUGUAUCGAAUAUACAGCUCUCCUCGCUAUUCAUAUUUCGUGCUCAACCCGGUAUCAUCCUUCGACGCUGGUUUCAUGGACUUCAUAAAUAAGUCAUCUGUCACCGACCCCGUAGCCCUAGCUCCGUUCUCCUUCUCUCUCUCCCCGUCGGAUCCAAUCAAGGGAUGCCAUCUCACUGCUUCUCUUUCUAACCACUCCUCGAUCCUCAUCUCCUACUCCACCAGUCCUCAAUCUUCUGCUCUACAAUGGUUGACGUCGCCUUAGACCUUCAAUAAGACGUAUCCAUUUAUGUACACCCAGUGUCAGUCUAUUAAUGCCCGUUCGGUCUUCCCCUGCCAGGAUACACUCGUAGUGAGGAUCAAGUACGCGGCGCGGAUCCAUGCCCCGUACCAUCUGUUUGUGGUGGUGGCAGCGCGCUAUGUGGAAUGGCAGUCACCGUACCCUGGGGAGGGUGGUGGAGGAGUUUGUGAUGAAGCAGGCGAUGCCGCCUUACCUAUUUGCCUUCGCGAUCGGGAGGCUUGGGCAUAGAGAGGUAGGACCAAGGAAAUUUUUGUACGCUGAGGCAAUGACCUCACUAUUGGAUGGAGUAGCACGGGAGUUCGUCGGGACGAAGGCUUAUGUCUGCUUACUGUGGUCGACAGUCAGUGGAGUUAAACUCCAUUACAUUCUUAUUUGAUGGUCACCGACUCCUUGGAGAGCAGACUCCAGAUGAGCUUGAAAUGAAGGAUGGUGAUGAAAUAGAUGCAAUGAUGCACCAAACUAGAGGGGUUACAUGGAUGUAGAUAUAUAAUAUAUGAGAAAAGCAUGGCAAAGAGAGCUAGGGCCUUCUUUGGGUUGCUCUUUAUGUUGUUAUGCCUGAGCUGCCUGCUAAAUCAGUAGCUUGGGUUCUAUAGGGCGGGCUUUCUGUAAGUACUAGCUCCUCAAUGGGUUUCAAGAAAAGCUUGGGUUGUUAUUUUACCAUGUGGAUCACGUAAGCCUACAAAGCCUUUCAAAUUGGGGCUUGCUAUAUAUUUUAGCUUGCAGGAUGCCCAACCACGUACUAUUAUUACACUGUGGAAAGCCCAUAUGGAUGAAGCAAAGUUUGAAGAUCCUGAUCCAGCAGUGAUAAUUCUUGAUAACUCCACCAAGACCCGUAUUAAACUUGCACCUGAGAAAAGAAGCGACAGAUAUGAGCACCCUUCCAGAAUAGCUCCAUCCUUGCUGUAUGGCUUACAUGGCCAUUUUGGGCAUGCAACUUUAGGUUGCGUGUUUUCCUUCAUUUUUUUCCAUUAUUAUUAUUUCCUCAUUUCAGAAUUUUAAGAUAAUUCCCUAUACUCCCAUUUUACAUAUAAUUUCCUGGAUUCUAGUUUUCUUUCUUUAUUUUAUUUUUCCAAACUCCAUUUGUAUCAAAUAAUUUAUUUAUUUAUUUUUCAUCUUUAGGUUUUUUUUUUAGAAUCACUCAAAAUCUCAUUUCCAAUAAAAUAGAGCCACCAUCUUUCUUUCUGGCAAACCAUUUUCACGCCUCCCCUGUUUUUUUUUAAAUAUUUUAAAAUAAGCAAGAAUUUAAUUCUGUAAUUCCGAAUAAUGGAAUUUAUGGAAUUAAUUCAUGCAAAAAUAAACGGGCUUUGGUGGAGGCCCCACAUAAGUGAUUUUAUAAUUGAUUGAUUGAUUGAUUUAAUUACCAUGCAUAAUUGACUUUUUUCUGCUUUAUAACACGGUCGAAAAUAUUCCUUAAUUGUGCACUAACUUCAUUUCUUGAUAGCGCAUUGUGGCUCAUCGCCCAGGUACGUAUCUAUUCUCAUUCUGGUAUUUCUAUAUGCAUGUUUUGAUUCUCACACGUGCAUGAUCACUCUGAGUAUUCAUUGAUUCCCUUAUGAAUUGCCACGAUUGCUUCAUUUUAUUAGUAGAGACCCGACUUUAGGGACUUAGAAGGGUGCUACGGUCUUUAUCGUACCUUCUUGAUAAGUAACUUGACCCUUGAACCCGAUCCGAUUUUUCAUAGACACCUUUUCCAAAAUAAUGAGUCACACUUAGGGUUUUUCUUUCUUAUUUUGUUUACCCUCUAAAAAUAAAACAAAAAUAAGUGGCGACUCCAAGUCAAUUGUUAAUAAAUAAAAUCAAUUUUUUUCAAAAAUUAAAAUCGAGCUCGCCAUCGAGUUGAAAACGUGUGAGCCGAAAUACGGGGUCCACAAAAUGGCGACUCCGUUGGGGACCAUUAGAGGGUCAAGCUUGAACUUAAGAUGAAGCAAACAUGGCAUUUGACGAGUCGAUCAGUGGGUACCUAUUUCUUGAUUUCACAUUGAGAGUUGUUGAUAUCAUUGGAUGUAUGCUUGGUUAUUGUACUCAUUUGGGACAUAGGCAUGUUGAUUGUUUAUCUUGAUUGAAGAUUUCGAUUGUGGCAAUUUUUCCCGUGCUUCAUUGCUAUAUUUGUUUGAGACAUUGACAUACUAGAUUGUUGUCGAUUGAUUAUCUUGCCUUGCAUAGCAUAGUGACUUUGAUUUUGCUAUGUUUGUUCUGAUCACCUCACAUGUAUAGACUCACCAUUGUAUCUCAUUCACUUUGACAUGAUUGAUUCUCUUGGUUGUAUAUUAUCUUGAUUAUCAUGGAGCAUGCUAUCAUUGCUAGAUAUUCUUCUCGAUUAGCUUGUGUGUAGAUUUGGAUGAUAUAUACCUGUUUUGCAUGACUGUCUAUUGCAUGACUUCCUUCAUCCUGAUGUGACUGCAUGAUUUGCGUGUCUAUGUGGGACACACACUUAUCCUUUUAUUUCCGAGUCCCUAGUCUCGGUCAACUUUGUUUUCUGAGGUCUCGUAUUUGAUACGAGACUUGUUGCCUUGUUUGCUCUUCUACUGAGCUAGUGAUUAGGAAUAGGGUCUAGUGAUGGGCUAUAUCUCUGUUUGGGAGCGUUCUGGAGGUGGUCGACAUAUUGAUGCUGAUUGGAGUCCGAAGUUUGAAGACUUGUAUAGCCCAGAGCUAGAUUUUAGGAUAUUUAUGUGGCCAGUGUGUUUUCUUUUAGUUUCAUAGGAUUGUUGGAUGCACCCAUACCAUCACUGUGCACACUAGUCGACCAUUGAGCGUUGAGAGUUGUGAGAGCUUUCACCAUAGGACCCCCCCGAGAUGUCGAGGUAGUGCAUGUGUGGAGGUGAUGACCACUUUGCAUGGAAGUGCCCUGUCACUUCGGAGGUGUGUAGAGGGUUACGUACAGCCGGAGGGUACGAUCGCUUCUGCUAGGGAUAUUUUAAAGUCCACCCGUAUCCAUUUAGAGCCACCUUGACCUCAUAGGUUGAGCCGUAGAUCCUUCGAUUAGGACUCCCUUCCUCACACGUGGGUGCAUCUGAGGGCUUUCAGAGCCUUUGAGGUCAUAGUUUGGAUUCGACAUUCCCUCUUUUUAGUCCCCAGUUGAGUGCUCAGAGAUCGGUUUGAGUUUGAGUAUCGGUUGGGUCACCUUUGUCCUGUCACCUUGGUUUGUGUUUUCACUCAAUGAGUUUGUCGUGCUUUCUCCCUAGGGACUUCGUCUUUCUUUCUUGGCUCGACACACCCUCUCCCUUUGUUGACACUCACUCGAUGCUUUGGGAUAUGUUCAUUGAUCAUCUUUUUAAACUGUACACCUAUCAUGGGCUCAGUAUCUCAUCCUUUGUUUGAUCCUAGAUUCGAUUUUUGACUCGAUGCUUGUAUUUUUAUUACGGAAAUGUGAAAGGCACAUUUUUACAUUCACAUUUUUUUGAGAGAGUUACCUUGAUCACCUUAUUAUUUUUCUCUUAUGGAGCUCGGGUUGAAAGUUGAAUUAAAGAUAUGUAUUUAUAGAUGGAGUAUUGAUCUUGUGAUACUGUGUUUUUCACACCUCUUUCAUCUUGGAUUAUUGAUGGGAAUUCUCUAGUCACAUUUGUAGCCAUCAUGCAGUGGACACCUUUAUGACUCUAGAGUUCUCGUCAUACAUCCAGAUUUCGGAUUGCCACCUCAGGACUAUGUGUUUGCACGUUGUAUUGCUGUCUUUUAGAGUUCUAUCUCGUUUCCUUCAUCCAUUUUGUUUGCAUUUUAGGGAGUCAGUUUAGGAGUCGGUUGAGUCUGGAGUCACAUUCUUAGAGGAGAGUUGGAGGUCGAUUGAUCAGAGCAGAUUCAUAUCCGAGUUCAGACAGUUCAGUUGAGAUGUCGGACGAGCUAGCUUCCACACUUGCUUCCAUUCAGGAGUUCAUAGCCGGAGUCAAUAGACGCUUGGAUCAAAUAGAGAGUUCUCGCCAGGAUCCUCAUCCAGCUGGUAUGGUCACUGAUGAGACGGUUCCUCAUGCAUCUCAGAUAGCACAGACUCGUCUACCUAGGGUUUCACUUGGUACUCCAUUCCAUCUAGCAUAUCAUUAUGAGACCAUUCUGCCACCUAUUGUCAUAGUGGUGUAGACCCUCAAUUUUGUUCCUUUAGCACAUGUCUUUAAAUUCAUUUUUAAUGCUCCUUAGUAACUCCUUGGUGGCCCAUUACUACUCGUACAACUUACCUUUUUCUGAGUCACCUCGGAGACUUUGGUUAAGGGAUUAUCCGCCCCUUUAUUGUGACCCUUGGCAGUUUUGAUUUAGACUUAAGCUUUCCAUUCCUUUUUAGGAUGGUUCUUAAGCAUGUUUAGGUCACUUAGACAAUAUCCCGAUCACUUUAGGACACUUAGGUUCACCUUAGGCCCGUUUAAACACUUCAUUGAGGCUCAACUUUUUUUUUAUAAUCUCUUGAUCAUUAUUGCAUGCAUUUGAUGAUUAUAUUUACUUUGUUUAUUCAUUUGUUUAUUUGUUUAUUUAUUCAUCUAUUUAUUUAGUCAUUUUUUUAAUUUCUAUUACGUUUUUUUUUCUUCUUUUAUUUUUCUUUCUUUUAUUUAUUUACCUACUUGAUAGAGAAUUGUUAGAAUUGUUUAGAUAUUAAAUAUGCAUACGACCCCUUAUUGAAUGAUGGAAUUAUAUAAUAUGGUCUCUCAUUGUUCCCUUUCUCUUCUUUUAAAUCAUAUUUUAUUUUAUUACCAAUCUCAUAAUUUUCAUUAGUUUUUUUUUUAGCUAUUUAUUUAUUUAUUUAUUUUGUUUUGCAUGAGGAGGUGGAAUUACAUAAUCUGGGAUGAGUGGCUCUUGUGAAGAGAGAAAUAUGAAAUUAGUGAGGGCUAUCACGUGAGGAAGGGGCGUUUUCUUGAAUUCAGCACCAAUAAGAGAAGUCCAAUGCUUGUUAAACAUGAAAAGUAUUAUAAAUACAAUAUUGGGGACAACAGGAGCCUGGGGGAAUCUCUCUGAUUGUCACGUUCUUAGAUGCAAGCUGCAUUGCAAUGCCCUAGAUCCUUCCAAGAAAAAGCUAUUUAGACUUCAUGAAAUUUUUAAGAGCUUACCUACUGUAGCAAUCAAGAGACCUAAAAGCAGUGGAGCUUGAUGUGGACCGUUUUAUUAAGGACAUGGAAUCAGUAAUGAGGCGUCCAGUUCAUGAAGAUGUCACAGCUGACGUUGACUCUGAAGGAGGCCCGUCAUCUGACAUGGAUUUUGAUGAAUCUGAAGGUGACAACAAUGUAGCAUAUCCAUAUGAGGAUAAGAGGUGUGCGAAGGCUUGGUGCUACUGCAGUGGACAUGCACCAUGAUGCUCUUGGGAUUGUAGAAGCGUAUUGGGAAUAAAACCAUGGGAUUGACACCGCCAAGGAUGAUACGCAGUCCACGCAUGAGAAGAAGUGGACAUGUAGUCUACCAUUAGCGUACAACACGCAUGAUCAGUUCCGGGGAAUGGAGGGCUCCACAACACGGCCUGUAGCUUCUUUCCUUUUCUUUCUUUAAAAAUGAGCAGUCAUCACAUCGAAGAGAAAGGGGGAGCCAAUAAACUAGUCAUCUUUCAGCACUAUAGAAUUGAGAAAGUAAGAAUCUUCCACCUCAUAUUAAAUAAUUUUCAAAUCCGGAAAGAUGCAGCGUAUAAGGAAAUAUUGUGGCUGAAUAAGAGAUCCUUUGGGAGGACAAAAUAAGAAACCUCGUACACGGAUGGUGGUGCAUUCCAUAUCAGCAGUCAUACUUUCCAUACUGAAGAGGCCAUCCACGCGCAUUAAAAGAGGAAAUAAAAAUUCCCAUAAGGGGAGGCUGCCAUAUAAAUAAAAAAAGGAGAGGGAAGGCACAGGGGACUUUUUCUCGGGAGGGAGGAUUUUUGGCUUGAGAAGGAGAAGUUUGAGAAGAGAUAUUAUUUUUCUGGGAACAAAGAGAGGUCUGAAGGAAGAGGAAGGAGGCAGCCACCACACAUUGACCAUUGAGCACUAGUAGCCGCACCACCAUAGAGGGAUUCUAGAGAAGGUAAAUUAGAAUUUCUAAGGAUUUUAGUUUUAUUUUUGUAUUGGAUUGAAAGUUAGAGUUUUUAUGUAUUAAUUUUGAUUUUUUUUUUUAAUCGGAUGAAAAAGUUAGAAUGUAGUUAGUUUGAUUGUGAUUCAUUGUCUUGGUUUCAAAAGUUAGGUUUUGUUUAGUUUAAUUUUAAUUCAUUAUGUUUAUCUCGAAAAAUUAGAAUUUUUGUUUGAUUCAAUUUUUUAUUCAUUGAACUAGAUUGAAAGGUUAAAAUUUUAUUUAAUCUAUUUUUUUUAUUCCUUGCGUUAUUUUGAAAUGUUUGAAUUUUGUUUAAUCUAGUUUUGAUUUUUUUAUAUUAGAUUGAAAAGUAAAUUUUUGUUUGCUUAGUUUUGAUUCAUUACUUUGGUUUAAAAGGUGAGAAUUUUUUGUUUUAUUUUAAUUUUGAUUCAUUAUAUUACAUUGAAAAAUUAGAAUCUUUGUGUAGUUUGGAUUUGAUUCCUUGCUUAGUUCGAAAAGUUAGAAUUUUGCUUAGAUCGGUUUUAAUAGAUUUAAUUUUAAAAGUCAGUUUUUUUAUGAGUCAGCUUUUUAUUUAGUUCAAGUGUUUUAUAAUUUUUUUAGUCUAUCAUUCUAAUUGAUCCUAUGUAAUAAAGUUUAUGUUUUUAAGUUUAUUUUGAUCAUGUUUUGGUUCAUCUUAUUUAGUUUAGAUAUUUUAGAAUUUUAGCUCAUUAGUCUAUUUGAUCCCAUCUAAUUAAAUUUAUGUUUUUUUAAAAAAAAAUUGUAAAAUCAUUUUUCUGAUUCAUCAUUUUUAGGAUUUAAGUUGAUUAGUGAAAUAUUUGGUUAAUUCUUGGUUGAUCCACUUUUAGUUUGUAUGUUUUCCAAAGUUUUAGAUAACUAAUUUAAUUAACCCUAAGUCGUAUUAUUCAUGUUUUGAGUAUACUAAUCUUCAUUCUUGGUUUAUCAAUAUUUAGUUCAUGCUUUUUUUUCUAAUAGGUUAAUUAGUUUAACUAAUCUUAUGUUAUUUUGCUCACGUUCUAAAAUUGAUGAUUCUAGUUUUUGAUUAGUUAAUAUGUUUUAGAAUUCUAUGUGCUUGUGUUACUAUAUUCACCUUAUUAUAAUUACAUGUUUAGGUGUUUGGUUGAUUUUAAAUUAGUUCUUGAUUGUUUAUCUCAAUUUAUGUGUUUGAUUGAUCCUUGUAAAUUCCCGAUUAAUAUUUCGUUAGUUUUAUUUGAUCUAAAGUCGUUUGGUUUGUUGCUUUGGUGAAUAUUUAUUAAAUUUGAUUUUUAGAGGCCAUUGGAAAAUCAUGAAGAUUGGCCUCUACCAUCACCAUUAUCAUUUUUGUUAAUUACUAAAAAAAUUUUACUUUGAGGUUUCAUUUUUGUUUUGUUUGGUAUUUUAUUUUUUUUCCAAAUUAAUCCCUUUUAUUUUAAAAUAAAAUACUCUUCUCAAAAAAAUCAUUUUAAAAAUCUAUUUCAAAAACUCAUUAGAGUCCUCAGGAUCAAAAUUUCCUUUUUUUUUUUAUUAUUAUUUAAAAAUAAUAUGCAACCAUAUCUUGUUCGGUUUGGCAUCCUUCUCGGUUUUCAACAAAGAUUUUGGUUUUGAACAAAGACACGAAUCAAAGCUUGUGGUCCCACAUAAAUGGGAUAAUUUUGAGCUAAAUUCGUGUAUAUCAAUUGGGGAAUUGGUGAAACCCCUACAUAAGAAAAUCUUUUCAAAAUUUAUUUUUGUUGCCAUAUUUGACACUUGUUGAAAUCACGUCUAUCUAUUUUUUUUAGGAAUUAUAUACAAGAUGUAUGAGAUAAUUGAUGAUUCUGUAUACUGUGAUCACUUUUGCUAUGCUAAUUAGAUAACGAACAUGCUAGGAUUUCUAUAUUUUAUUAUUUAUUAUCUAACCCCUUACAACUUGAGGAAGUACGUUACAAAUUAUCUAUGCUAUCCAGGUACGCUCUCUUCUCAUCUAUUUUUUUCAGAACUCUAUGGACUUGUAUGUCAUUGAUGACCAUAUCCAUAUUUGACGUGAUUCUUGAAUGUCUUGAUAUAUGCCUGAUUUGCUUGAAUAAAACAAAUGUUGUGUGAUGUAUCUCCAAACUAAUCUCUUAUGUUUUAUGAUAGCACUUGGGAAGCCGUCCAGGUAUGCAUUUUUAACUCUCCUUAAUUGUGAUUUGAUCUUGUUUGAUAUGUUAUGUUUUUGGAAUCAUCUAGCCUACUUAGGUAUCCAUGAUCAACCAUUUGAUUGCCACGCUUCCCUUAACUUAGUCAGUAAAGACCUCUUUAGGGCUUAAAGGGGUGCUACCUCCUAGAGGUACCUUCCCGAUAAGUAACCUGAUCCCCGGACUUAGACUCGGGUUUUUCAAAGACACGUUUUUCCAAAACUUAUGGAGUCAUUUUUUUUAGGGUUUUAUUUCUUGUUUUAUUUUCCCUUCAAAAAUAAAAAUAAAAUAAGUGGCGACUCCAACUUUUUUUCAAAAAUCAAUUUUUCACAAAUAAAAAGCGAGUCUCGCCGAUCGAGUGGGGACCCACGUGAAAAAUGUGGGUCCACAAAUUGGCGACUCCGCUGGGGACCUUGAGGAUCAUGCUUGAACACUAGUUGAGGAAAAUGUGGCGUUUAAUUGGUCGAUUAGUGGGUACCUUUUUUUUUUAGGCAAGGUGAUUCGAUUUGUUUGCCUGUUUGGCUUGCUAUCUUAACAUGUUUGAUUGCCUUGAAUGAUCACUUGAUUGCUUGCUCACUUCAGCAUGAUUCACUCUCACAUAUGCUAGAUAGGACUUUGAUUGUUUGAUAUUUAUCUGCUUCGCAUGACUGCUUGUUGCAUGACAACCCUUUCUCUUGCAUGAUCGUAUGAUUGCUUGUCUUCGUUCAUUAUCUCACUUUAGUUCUUAAGUUUUUCGGAUGCACCCACAUCCUUCACUGUGCACUUUAGAUUAUCCUUGAGCGUUGAGAUAUGAGAGAGCCUUCACCAUUAGGAAACCCCCUAGGAAUGCGAGGAAGUGCAUGUGUGGAGGUGAUGACCACCUUGCAUGGAAGCACCCCGUCUCCUUGGAGGCGUGCAGAGGGUUGCGUACCACCGGAGGGUACGAUCGCUUCUGCUAGGGAUCCUUUAACCCACCCAUUUUAUCAUAUAAAGCCACCUCAACCUUGUAGGCUAACCUAGACCCAAUUAAGAAUUCACUCCUACACGUGGGUGCAUCUGUGGACCUUCACAGCUGCCUUGGUCACAAUUGGGUUCAGUUAUCCUCUUCAUGGUCUCCUUUUGGUGUGCUCAGAGAUUGGUACAUGUUUGAGUCUUAGUUGGGCCACCUUUCUGCAUUGUGAUUAGUGUGUUUCCACCUCUUCUGAGCUUCCUUCAUGUCAUUUCUCUUUCCGCGCCUUUGUACCUUAUAGGAAUGUUACUCGCUUCAGUUUGGAUUCGACUUUUUAUAUUAGAGUUGGAGAUAGAUUGGUCAAGGUUUCAAAGCAGUCAGGUAUGGAUCUUCAGCAUGUUAUAGUUGAUCGAAUUAUAGUCACCAUGACUCUAUUCAAGAGACAUUAGUAGGUUUGAGCCAGAGGAUUGAUGGAUAGUGAGAUAGAUAGCAUCCAGUUCAGGAUGAGAUGUCGUAUGAUUCAUUACCAACCACCCCCACCACCCAGUUAUCCAGUGACAUUGUUGAGGGUGACUUCUUACAUAUGAUGAGUUUAGUGGAUUAUGAGUCAAAGAUUAUCAGAUGAGAGUUCUUAUAGAGGGCGUUAGUUUUUCUCAGAUGGGAGAUUUGAUUGACAUGAUUUUCUUCAUGUGAGCAUGAGAUGGACGUAUUGGAUGAUAGUUGGAUGCUUGGCGCAGAUUAGCCAGAGAUAGUUCACUCUCUUGAUAUGCUUGAGAUCUUCAUUAUUGAGAGUUCAGUAGAGAUUCAGUUUAUUUAUGUUGGGGCAUCCCGCUUAUGUUGAUGAUAUGUUUGAGGACGAUAUUAGCCCGGUUUUGGUCAUGGAGAUUCAUCUAUUCCAGGAGACCCUAUGGACUUACUUGGAGUACACCACUUGUCAUUAGAGAGUUGACCCUAGAGAGGAAAUAUGAUUGACAUAUCUGGAUAGAGACCAGUUCUCAAACCCCACCGACAUGGAUCAACUAAAGAAGCAUUACAUUUGAGACCAUGGUUGCAGGAUGGGUGGCCAUCAUUUUGGUCAGCCUUACACCUUAUCACCUUUAUUAAUAUAUUAAACCGUUGCUAACCCGUUGAGCCUCACGUGGUAUGUUAUAGCCUUAUUUCUUUCUUAUAGCCUUGAUUACCAUUUCUACACCCGGGUUGGGACCCUUUGGUGUAUAUGCAUGCUUUGCUAUGAAAGUCUCAUGAGCUUUAGACUUAUAGGCCUAUCUUCUCAUUCUUGUCAUCAUCUCCUUAUCACCCCGUUUGUUCUAUUUUGCUAUCAUCACAUUUCCAUUCUCUUUCUUGCUUUUAUCAUUAUUUGCUUCAUAUUAUCUAUUCUCUUCCUUGGGCUAAUGAUUUUUCACAUCUUAGUGCAAAGAGGGCAGUCAUAUCACUCCAUUCAUCCUAUCAUUUGGCAUUGAUUCGGAGAUUUUAGUUUGAGAGGUUGUCUCAUGGGUUGGGGUUCAUGUAUUCAUCAGUGAUUUGAGAGAGUUUAUUCAUUUCUUGUAUCUUUCCCAUUGGAGUUUGACUUAUUGAUGAUCAGAGCAUGCGCUAAAAAAAAAAAACAAAAAAAAAAAAAAAACAAAAAACAAAAACAAAAAAAAAAAAAGAAAGAAAAAAAAAGAAAAGAAAGAAAAAGCGCAAUGACAUGUUUGUGUAUGGUAUCUUGCUCCAUUGGGCACUUAUAUCACCUUUUGAGGUAUGUUUACUAGGUGUAUUUGUCAUUGUGGGUCCUUGUGAGAUGUUUAUAUGAGUUUUCACUCCUUGAGCCACUCUUGUUAUGCAUUUGGAGUGUUGGGGGUUCAUGUGAGAGUUCUAUGGUAUCCUAUGUUUCUUGGUCAUGGUUGAUAUAUAUUAGGUAUGAGAGAUGAGUAAUCUUUUUACUAGGGUCUCUGGAUCAUUGUCUUACCCACCACUCCAUCAUUGGUGAUAUGACUUUCUCUUAUUGUACUGAUAUGGAUUGAUCAUCAUUCAUUCCCCUUUCUUAUUGCCUUUGUAUCUCCUCAUCCAUUUCCAAAUCUUCGUUCCACUUUUUAUCCAUUUCCUACAUAUUGAUACUCAUUUUUGUUUUGAUACCUUCUUCACAUCAUUCACAUGUUUCAUUGAUGGUUUGACUACUCAUCUUUCUCUCAUUUCGCCAUCGACAUUUCCUUUGGUUACCUUUAGGUCCAUGGCUCAUGAGAUUUUUCUAUGCAUUACAUCUUAUACACGAGGGUAUGGGUUUGAUCAUUGGGUAUUUGAGCCUAGUUUCCCUUCAUUUCUUUCACCCUAUCACCCUGGCCUACGCUACGUCCCAUGUCUUAAGACCACCCUGAGACCAUGAGAUCAGAUGUUAUCUUUGACAGCCUCUACUUAGGUUGGUGUUUGGGAUUUGGUUGAUAUAUAUAGAUGUUGUCAUGUUUCUUCUUCUGGGAGAUGCUUCUUUGGUGCUUGGAGGUGAUUUGGUGAUGAAUGUGGAUGAUUGCUUCAUUUUAUGGAUGAUAUUUGAUGCUAUCCAGAUUUUCAUUCUACUGUGCAUCAAUUAUCUUACUAGGGCAUAUUCCCCUUUCAUUUGGUUGAGACAUGCCCCUAGUGGAGCACUUUCUUUGAGUCUGGGUAUUUUCACCGACCAGAGAUCCCUAGUAAGGUAUGUUGAGACUAUAUCAAUUCUAGUGGAGCAUCGUUGAGCCCCUAGUGGUUCCAUUCCCGGAGUACUUCUGAGAUAGACUAGUGGAUUAUUACUGAGUUGGAGGUAGUUUUCAGUGCAGUGUAUAGAUCAGGCAUACUGGGGCAUAUUUCCCCAUUUUGAGGUUACCAGAUUCCUAUCAGAUUCAGUCAGGGAUUCAUCAGAGACAUGUUUCUGAUUUUGAGAUUACCACAUCCCUCAUUAUCUUGGCUAUUCAUUUGAGAUUAGACUUAGAGUGUCCCCCUCGAGGCAUUGGUCGAUACUUCACUCUGACUUCUUAGUAGAUUAUUGUUGAGUUGAGGAUAGUUGAUUGAUGAUGUUGGAUUCAUCCUUUGGUUGUGCAUCAUAUAUUCACACUGGGGCAUAUUCCCCCCUCCUCCGAGAUUCUUAUCUGUUAUUGUAUACGGUACGAGGAUGGAUGAUCAUUGUUAGUUUGUUUACCUCACGACUUCGACAUUAGAUUAUCCACACUGGGGCAUAUUCCCCUCUCCUUGAUGAGAUUGUGUUUGGGCAGUGGUAUGAGGAUGGAUGAUCAUUGUUUGUUGUUUGCCUCACGACUUUGACAUCAGAUCUUAUACUAGGGCAUAUUUCCCCCAUUUUCUUUGAGUAUCCUUGAGAUUGAGACAAUGGCCAGUUCGGUUUUAGAUUGAGUACUAGCCCAGAGCUUCUGACGAUCGACUGUAUCAGGGCCUCCCUACAUGGAUUUGUUGAGAUAGAGGCGGAUCGCAUCAAGUUUCACCCGAGGAGUGUGGGUGGAUCCUUUAGCCAGAUGUUCAUGAGACAUAUUUGUUUUCGUCAUUGUUACCUUGCAGAUUGGAUUAUCCAGAUGAGCAGCAUUUUACGCACUUUGAGGUUUACUUUUAGAUGAGCCAUGAUUUACACUCUUUGAGAUUUACCUUUUGAGAUUCAUUGACAAAGCAGCCGCACCACCAUAGAGGAAUUCUAGAGAAGGUAAGUUAGAAUUUCUAAGGAUUUUAGUUUUAAUUUUUUAUUGGAUUGAAAGUUAGAGUUUUUAUGUAUUAAUUUUGAUUUUUUUUAAUCGGAUGAAAAAGUUAGAAUGUAGUUAGUUUGAUUUUGAUUCAUUGUCUUGGUUUCAAAAGUUAGGUUUUAUUUAGUUUAAUUUUAAUUCAUUAUGUUUGUCUCGAAAAAUUAGAAUUUUUGUUUGAUUCAAUUUUUUAUUCAUUGAACUAGAUUGAAAGGUUAAAAUUUUAUUUAAUUUAUUUUUUAUUCCUUGCGUUAUUUUUGAAAUGUUUGAAUUUUGUUUAAUCUAGUUUUGAUUUUCUUUUUUAUAUUAGAUUGAAAAGUAAAUUUUUGUUUGCUUAGUUUUGAUUCAUUACUUUGGUUUAAAAGGUGAGAAUUUUUUGUUUUAUUUUAAUUUUGAUUCAUUAUAUUACAUUGAAAAAUUAGAAUCUUUGUGUAGUUUGGAUUUGAUUCCUUGCUUAGUUCGAAAAGUUAGAAUUUUGCUUAGAUCGGUUUUAAUAGAUUUAAUUUUAAAAGUCAGUUUUUUGUAUGAGUCAGCUUUUUAUUUAGUUCAAGUGUUUUAUAAUUCUUAGUCUAUUAUUCUAAUUGAUCCUAUGUAAUAAAGUUUAUGUUUUUAAGUUUAUUUUGAUCAUGUUUUGGUUCAUCUUAUUUAGUUUAGGUAUUUUAGAAUUUUAGCUCAUUAGUCUAUUUGAUCCCAUCUAAUUAAAUUUAUGUUUUUUUAAAAAAAAAUUGUAAAUCAUUUUUCUGAUUCAUCCUUUUUAGGAUUUAAGUUGAUUAGUUUAAGAAAUAUUUGGUUAAUUCUUGGUUGAUCCACUUUUAGUUUGAUGUUUUCCAAAGUUUUAGAUAACUAAUUUAAUUAACCCUAAGUCGUAUUAUUCAUGUUUUGAGUAUACUAAUCUUCAUUCUUGGUUUAUCAAUAUUUAGUUCAUGCUUUUUUUUUAAUAGGUUAAUAAGUUUAACUAAUCUUAUGUUAUUUUGCUCACGUUCUAAAAUUGAUGAUUCUAGUUUUUGAUUAGUUAAUAUGUUUUAGAAUUCUAUGUGCUUGUGUUACUAUAUUCACACUAUUAUAAUUACAUGUUUAGGUUGAUUUUAAAUUAGUUCUUGAUUGUUUAUCUCAAUUUAUGUGUUUGAUUGAUCCUUAUAAAUUCUCGAAUAAUAUUUCGUUAAUUUUAUUUGAUCUAAAGUCGUUUGGUUUGUUGCUUUGGUGAAUAUUUAUUAAAUUUGACUUUUAGAGGCCAUUGGAAAAUCAUGAAGAUUGGCCUCUACCAUCACCAUUAUCAUUUUUGUUAAUUACUAAAAAUUUUUUACUUUGAGGUUUCAUUUUUGUUUUGUUUGAUAUUUUAUUUCUUAUAUUUUAUUUCUUCCCAAAUUAAUCCCUUUUAUUUUAAAAUAAAAUACUUUUAUCAAAAAAUCAUUUAAAAAAAAAAAUAAUCUAUUUCAAAAACUCAUUAGAGUCCUCAGGAUCAAAAUCUCUUUUUUCUUUUUAUUUAAAAAUAAUAUGCAACCAUAUCUUGUUCGGUUUGGCAUCCUUCUCGGUUUUCAACAAAAAUUUUGGUUUUGAACAAAGACACGAAUCAAAGCUUGCGGUCCCACAUAAAUGGGAUAAUUCUGAGCUAAACUCGUGUAUAUCAAUCGGGGAAUUGGUGAAACCCCUACAUUAGAAAAUCUUUUCAAAAAUUAUUUUUGUUGCCAUUUUUGUCACUUGUUGGAAUUAUGCCUAUCUUUUUUUUAGGAAUUGUAUACAAGAUGUGUGUGAUAAUUAAUGUUUUCAUAUACUUUGAUAAUUUUUGUUAUGCUAAUUAGAUAACAAGCAUGCUAGGGUUUCUUUAUUUUAUUAUCUAAUCCCUCAUGUCUUAUGGAAGCGCAUUGUAAGUUAUCUAUCCAGGUACGCCCCCCUAUCACCUACUUUCUAAAUUUUGUAAACAAUCAUGACAAUGUGAAGUAUGCAUAUGUUUGAUAAUCCUUAGGUGUUUGGAGGUAUGCUUGAUUCACUAUGAUUAAAUACAUGUUGUGUGUUAUACUUCUAUACCAACUCUGAUGUUUUAUGAUAGCGCUUGAGAAGCGGUCCGGGUACGCAUCCUAACCUUCCUUUAUUGUGAUUUGAUAUUGUUAACAUGUUAUUUUUUAAAAUCACCAAGCUUACUCAGGUAUCUAUAAUGAAUCUAUUAAUUGCCACAUUUCCCUUAACUUUGUAAGUAGAGACCUCUUUAGGGCUUAGAGGGGUGCUACCUCCUAGAGGUACCUUCCCAAUAAGUAACCUGAUCCCCGGACUUAGAUUCGGGUUUUUCAAAGACACGCUUUUCCAAAAAUUAUGGAGUCAUUUUUUAGGGUUUUAUUUCUUGUUUUAUUUUCCCUUUAAAAAUAAAAAAUAAAAUAAGUGGCGACUCCAACUUUUUUUCAAAAAUCAAAUUUUCACAAAAAAAAAGCGAGUCUCGCCGAUCGAGUGGGGACGCACGUGAAAAAUGCGGGUCCACAAGUGGCACCUCCCAUGAUUGGUCGAGCAGGAGGCCAGGGUUGAGAGGCUUGAGUCCAGGAUGAGACAGAUCAUAUUGCAGGACAGAGGUUUGACUUGGGAUGAUAGGGAUGGUAUACUGGCGGCUAGCUUGCCCGCCAAGUUUCGCAUGCCAGACAUUGAGCGCUAUAGUGGGAUUGGUUGUCCUAAGAUCCAUUUGAGACUAUACAGCACAGUCAUGAGAGCAUAUGGGAUAGAUGAUGCACAGCUUGUGGCCCUCUUUCCCAUGUCACUUAGUGGAGCAGCUCAGAGAUGGUUUGCUUCAGUUGAGUGUUCGAGACUCCUCACCUGGGAGGAUGUGGCUCAUGAGUUCUUGACUCAGUUCGCUUUUAGUGUUGACAUUGAUGUAUCCAUACGAGAGUUAGAGGCCACCAGGAAGAGGCCAGAUGAGUCUAUUUCUUCCUUUGUCACUCGUUGGAAGGAAAAGGUGGUUGGUAUGAUAGAUCAGCCUAAGGAGCAGGAUCAAAUUGAUAUGGUUCUUCGGAACUUAUAGCCGAGGUUCGCAAGACGUCUUGUGGCCAUCCCAUUUCAGGAUCUCAGGAGUCUGGUUCAAGCAGCUUUCAGUGUUGAGGAGGACAUCGCUCAAGGAUUAUGGACAGAUACUACUCCUUUCCCUGAUAGUAAGAGGAAGAAGUCGAUUGGAUCAUUUAGUAGAUCUGGAGAGGUUGACGCUAUUAGCUAUCAGCAUCGGAGGCCUGCACAUCACUCACUUUAUAGGCCUCCUAUAGUUAGAGCUCAUUUCCCUCAUCCGUAGUAUCAGUAUCAGUCGGAUUAUGUUCAGGAGCCUUACAUUGCACAGGCUAGCAUGCAGCCACGACCAUCACAUUCGAGAGCCGUUACUCAACCACCGCCUAGACCAUAUGCACAGAGGCCCGUGAGACAGUUCACUCAUUUGGGCAUGACCUUGACUAGAGCUUUUGAGAAGCUCAGAGAUGGUGGUUUGAUAGUUCCUUUGGCGCCACACCCUUUGCCACAUCCUAUUCCUCCACAUUUUCGCUCCUAUGAUCAUUGCUUGUAUCAUCAGAUUCGGGGACAUGAUACUGAGUGUUGUUCGGCACUCCAUCAUGUGAUACAAGACUUGAUCGAUAUGGGGUUGGUCAACUUGGCUGGGCCAAGUGUGUCCACCAAUCCUCUGCCUACGCAUUCUACACAUGCAGUUCCUCCUCUUCCUAGUCUUCAGUAGAUUGAUUUGGAUGUUGAUGGUACUAUUAGCAUAUGGUAUUUCGGGAUCUUCCAAGUUGAGGACUUGGUUUAGUUGGCAUGGGUACAUCACUGGGUAGUAGUUCGGUUCAGAGCAUUUCUCAUUCUGAUUAUGGUCAUUAUCAGAGUCAUUUCCAUUUUGUUGAGUCCAGUUUUUAGUUCAUCAGAGUUGUUUUUAUUUUUUUGAGUCCAUUUUGGUUUAGAGUCAUUGUUUUUAGUUCAUGUUGAGAGUCCGGUCGUUUGUAGUCCUUUUUCAUUUCACGCAUGAUGUACUUGUUGGUUCAUUUAGUGAUAUGAUAUUUUAUCUGAGUAUGUGGCAUUUUGCUCGUGAGUGUGCUUUACAUAGCUUGUGUUGAUGUGUGUUAUGUUUUCGAUAUGAAACAUCUUUUCACUUAUACAUCAUGAUCACUUUGGCCUGACCUAUCAUGGAGGAUAUUGAGUCUAUUGACCUAGGAUCAGGAGAUUGACCUAGAGAGUUUGAGAUUAUGACCCAUUUCAUCUUCUGAUCAGAGCAGCAUCAUAUCCAUUUUCAUACCCUGACUCUGUGGACUUGAUGACCUAUCCAUUUCGGACUUGACAUGACACCAUCCCCUGAUACCACUAUAUGACCUAGUCAUCCUCAUUCCCCUUAGCAUAUUACAUUACCAUUGCCUACUCUUUCCAUCAUUUCAUUUUAUCUGGCCAGAUAGAGUCCGAGAUGGUUAGACCUGAGGUGAGUUUUGCAUGAUGAUAGAUGGAUCACAAUGAGAGAGUGGUUUGACUGCUUGAUGAUAUUGAUGAGGUAGAGGGGUUGUCUUGGGGCAUCCAGAUUUGAGUUGUUACACAUGACUUCAGAGAGUAGGGAUGAUUAGAGAUGGUGAUUUUAUGAGAUGAUGGUGAGUGGCUUAUGAUGAUGGAGUGAGGUGAUUAUCAGAGGACAUUGAUGGUUAUCACAGAGCAUCAAUGGGAGCUUUCACACAAUUUCAAAGGAGUUGACAUGACUUUGUUGGACAGAUGCCAAUCUUUAGUAUUGGCCAUGUGAGAUCUUGAAAGCAAGAUGUUCGAGGUUGUGGUCAUAGGAUGGGUGGCCAUCAUUUCAUGAGCUCAUUUACCCUAUCACCCUCACAUAUAGACUUACCCGUUGCUAGCCCUUUGAGCAUCACACGAGCACAUAACCUUUUCUUUCAGCACCUCAUUUACCUAUUACACCGGGUUGGGGACCCUAUAGUGCUUGCAUGCUAUGAUUGGAUACGUCAUGAGUUCCAGACCUGACAUACAUAUUUAGGCCUCAUUCAUCACUCUUCAUUAUGAUAUUUUUCCACUUUGACAUCAUUUCAUCACUAUUUUCUGAUACCACAUAUCACUACUUGUGAUAUUCGUUCUCUGUCUUUUCUUUCAUCAUUGUUUACUCGACAUUAUCUUUGUUUCACCUUGAGUGGUGGUCUUUCACAAGUCAUUGCAUGGAGGAUUGUCACAUUCUUCCUCCUUUGUUCGCCUAAUGAGUAGUGGUUCAGAGAUCUUAUUUUUGAGAGGUUGUCUUGUUAGUGAGGAUUCAUGCUACAUUAGUACAUGGGGAGAGUUUAUUCAUUUGGCUAUGUAUUUCAUGGGAGAUCAUUCAUUAUUGAUCAGAGUAUGCGCAAAUAAUAAUAAUAAUAAUAAUAAUAAUAAUAAUAAAUAAAUAAAUAAAUAUAUCAUUCUUCAUUGGGCAUGUGUAUGGACGUGCCAGGUUGCUUCAUUGAGUUCAUGUGUUAGAGAGAGUUCAUAUGAGAGCUUCUUUCCGAGAUUCUAUCUUGUUAUAUUUUGGGUGAGUAUGAGUCGCCCAUUCGAUUUUUGUGAGACAAGCGAGCAACCUUUCUUUAGUAUCUCUGGAUCCUUGCUCUAUCCAUCAUUCCAUCUAUUUCAUAUGUGACUACUUUCCAUGCUUUGAUGCUGGUUGACCACCAUCACUCACUUUUAUAUCUCUUUGUUUUCUUCUACCCUUAUUUUAUCCCUCCAUUUCACUCCACCUCAUAUGAUUUCAUUCUAUUCUCAUCUUGCUUGAUGUUUGACAUACGUUUGGUACACAUACAUCAUAAUUGUUUAUUCGAUGUGUCCAUUCAUUUAUCAUCACUUUUCGUGUGGAGAUCCCUAGGUCCGGGACUCAUGACGUUUUCUACGCAUUGCAUCUCAUGUACGAAGGGUAUGGGGAUUAUAUCAUUGGGAUCUUUGAGCCUAGUUUCCUUUCAUUUCUUUCACCCUAUUACCUUAGCCUACAUUACGUCCCGUGUCUGAAGACCACCCUGAGGCCAUUACUUUACAUUGUGUUUGACAACUUGCACAUGGGCAAUACUCGAGCUUGGUCGGAGAUGAUUUCUCGAAGCAUGAUGGAUGGGGAGUUGAGAUGGCGAUUUACACUGGGGCAUACCCCUCUUACUAGUGAUGGAUUUUCAGUGAUGACGUUAUCUACACUAGGGCAUACCCCGCUCAUCAAUGACAUUUUCUUUUGGGAUGAUACCUUGCACUGUGGCAUAGUCAGUUCGUUUCGUCACUUGGAUUAUGAUGGAUUAGGAGUUGUGGGAUGACCCUAAACUAGGGCAUAGCCAUUUCAGAGAGCGUUUUUAUUGAAGAUACAGUCACUCUACUCGAUACUCUGCAUUGGGACACACUCUACUCAUUGAUGGUUGAUUAAUGAGAAAACGAUUUAUUUUAAGGCGUAGCCCUCUCAUUGGUGAUGGAGUUUUUUUUUUUAUUGGAGCAUAAUCACUUUAGGGGGUUUAUACUGGGGCAUAGCCGCCUCAUUCACAUUCAUAGAGCCCGGGGAUUCUGAUUCAUAUGGAUUAUGUUGGGAUGUUUACGUUUUGGCACCAGGAGUAGAGUUUGAUCGAUUCGUUAACCCGUACUAAGCAUGGUCUUCCUCAGCAGUUCGAAUACACUACUUUACAUUGGGGCAUAGCCGGGACGGAGAGUAUUUUUCAUUGGAGCAUAGUCACCCUAUUGGAUCCUUUACACUGGGGCAUGUCCAUUUUUUGGAAGGAGAUCAGAUUGAUUCUUGACGUUGGAGCAUCUGACGAGUGAUAUGGAGAUCAUUGGAUUAUUUCAUGUUGUCCUCGUUUCAUAUUGGGGCAUAGCCACCUUGUUGGAGGUUUUGACAUCGAGACUCGACUUUCUGUUUGUGAUUGUUGCUUUCGAUGAAUUAUGGAGCUAUUGACGCCUUGGGUCUAGCCUUCUCAGCAUACUUGGAUGAUCUCUGAUACUUACAUACCUUUCAUCUCGUACUCAGACAUUUCACCUGGAUACUCUCAUGCCUUCUAUCAUACCAGAGCUUGAUCAUCACCUUCUUUCAUCCUACACAUCCCACCGUGACACAUGACCUCACAUCUCUCUCGAUUAUGAGGAGAUGUAGAUCAGUCCUCGAUCACCUUGGUUGUGUUUUCAUAUAUCUUUUGGACUUUAGGUUCAACAUCUUCCAUGAGGGCAGAGCUUGACAGAUUGUUGACUUAUUAGUGACGAUGCUUUCAUUUUGAUAGUUGGCAUGUUGGGUGUUGUUUUGCUCUCUCUUCGCAUUUUGAGCACUAGUCAUUAUCUGUUUUAUUCAUCAGCUAUUUUUAUUUAGUCAGCAUGGUAUCACGAUUCAUGGUCCUGUUUGGUAUUACCUAUUUGAGGUUGGACAUUUUCAUUACAUGACAGAUGAACAUAUUUCAGAGCACAGUAGUUUUGGGGCAUUGUGUAUCCCAGUUUGUUCACCAUCACAUACUGGGGCAUACCCCUCUUCCUUAGGAUCAUCGGACCUUCCAUAGGUUUCUUGCACUUUUUGAUCUAGUUGUUGACCCCCGAGAGUUGCAUAUUGGGCAUACCCCCCUUUCUUAGGAUCAUCGGACCUUUCACAGGCUUUAUGAUCUUUGGACCAAGUUGUCGAUCCUCAUGAGUUGUCAUACUGGGGCAUAUCUCCUCCAGCCGAGUUUGCUUGCAUCAUUAUCUGAGUUAUCCUCUAGCUUUAGGCCACUUGAUUAGAUCCUUGUCUUGUUAGUUUUGAGUUUGAGUCGGGACCGCACCUAUAUCGAUCGACCAUUUUCCUAUCUGUUUGAGUUUAGUUUGAGUCGGGACCACACCUAUAUCAAUCGGUCAUUUUCCAUGUCAGUUUACGUUUCGGGGCCGCACCUAUAUUGAUCGGCCAUGUUCCUAUCACUUUUCGUGUUCAGUUUAAGUCGGGACUGCACCUAUAUCGAUCGGUCAUUUUCCAUGUCAGUUUGCGUUUCGGGGUUGUACCUAUAUCGAUCGGCCAUGUUCCUAUCACUUUUCAUGUUCAGUUUGAGUUAGGAUCGCACCUAUAUCGAUCGGUCAUUUUCCAUGUCAGUUUACGUUUCGGGGCCGCACCUAUAUCGAUCGGUCAUGUUCCUAUCAAUUUUUGUGUUCAGUUUGAGUUAGGACCGCACCUAUAUCGAUCGGUCAUUCGUCGUGUCAGUUUGAGUCAGGGUCGUACCUAUAUCUUUUGGCCAUCUUCUUAUCAGUUUGAGUUUUCGAGUCGGGACCAUACCUAUAUCAAUCGGUCAUUCAUCGUGUCAGUUUCAGUUUGAGUUUUCGAGUUGGGACCGCACCUAUAUCGAUCGGUCAUUUGUCGUGUCAGUUUGAGUCGGGGCUGCACCUAUAUCAAUUAGCCAUCUUCCUAUCAGUUUGAGUUUUCGAGUCGGGACCGUACCUGUAUCGAUCGGUCAUUCGUUGCGUCAGUUUCAGUUUGAGUUUUCAAGUCCGGACCGCACCUAUAUCGAUCGGUCAUUCGUCAUGUCAGUUUGAGUUUGAGUUUUCGAGUCAAGACUGCACCUAUAUCGAUCUGUCAUUUUCCAUGUCAGUUUGCGUUUCGGGGCCGCACCUAUAUCGAUCGGCCAUGUUCCUAUCACUUUUCGUGUUCAGUCAGAGUUUGGGAUCACACCUAUAUCAAUCGGUCAUUGUCUUAUCAAUUAGAGUUUGGGGUCGCACCUAUCCUUGUCAUGUUAGUUCAGUCUCUGGGACUGCACCUAUAUCGAUCGGUCAUUUUUCGUGUCAGCUUGAGUCAGGGCCGCACCUAUAUCGAUCGGGCAUGCUCCUAUCACUUUUUAUGUUUAGUUUGAGUCGGGACUGCACUUAUAUCGAUCGGUCAUUUUUCGUGUCAGCUUGAGUCGAGGUCGUACCUAUAUCGAUCUGCCAUGUUCCUAUCACUUUUCGUGUUCAGUUUGAGUCAAGACCGCACCUAUAUCAAUCGGUCAUCAUCUUGUCAGUUCGAGUUCAAUUAGAGUUUUGAGACCGCACCUAUAUCGAUUGGUCAUUGUUUUGUCGGAUUGAGUUGAGUCUUGUUUGAUUUUGAGUCACCAUCAUUCCGUGUUUUUUACGUUCAGAGUCAUUUCUCCUCAGAUGCGUCAUUUAGAGUCACAGUUCUUAGCAUUCAUAUCCACUUGCAUUGUACAUCUUACCUUCAUGGUUUUGCAUUUUUCCUCAGUUUUCCUUACUUCGUUACUAUGUGCUUAUCGUAUAUUCAUCAUAUAGUUCACAUAGGGCAGUCUUCUUUAAGCCUAGCCUUUUCUGUACUUUGGGGUGGUUCGACUUUACUCAUCUUUGUUUUGGUUUUUCGAGUCGCUUUUGGAGGCAUCUUAGAGGAAACCUGAUCCUUAGUACGACUUCAGAGGCUUUUUUUGGGACAUCUUUUCCUUUUAGAAUUAGAGCCUUUGUGUUCUCCUGCUAGCCUGAGUGAGUUUGCGUUUCACUAGUGUCCCUAAGGGGGUCUCCUUGGUUCUUCGGUAGAGUUCACUUCAUUCCACUCACUAUUCACACUUGCUUUUCAUUUCAGUGUUCAUGUUCCUCACACUUGUGAGCUCUACCGAAGAGGGGCAUAUUUGUAGACCCCUAUGUUGGGGUGGAUUUUAUGUAUUUUUGUUUUGCCAUGUGUCCAGAUUUCGGGGAGCCACGUGGAGCUUGAAGACUGGUCAUAAGGUAGUGCAUUUGGCCGUUGGGAGAGAGCUGGUUGUAGCCAUCAGAAUGCAACACAUACGAAGAAUAUUCGGCAGGAGCGUGUAUUCUAUUUUGGAGGAUAGCAGACCAUUAGUGAGGGCAUUGGUGCAGGUGCUUUUUAGACAGAGAGAGAGGGGAGGCAGGGUUAGAGAGAAGAUAUUUUGGAGGAUGUUGCUUUGAGUGAGGAGCCUGGAGGAUAGAAGUUUGCUUGAGAGGAAAGGCAACUGAAAAAGGAAAUAGAAAAAAAAAAAAGAGCGUUCUGAGGUAUGUCUGCUAAGCCACAUUUUUUAUUGCCAUUGAAAUCUUUUGGGUUGAGGUUAUUAUGUUAUAAUAUAUCCGAUCCUUGUUCUUCAUGAGAAAUUUGAUCUAGAAUGAACUAGUUCUUCUUUUGCACUCUUUUAUGUGUUUGAGUGAUAUCCUUGAAUCUUGUUUCCAUCUAUUUUUUUUUCACCCACACAUAAGUCCUAUGACUUCAAUAUAAGAUGAGGUUUGGGUCAUUAUUUUCUUGGGUUCGUUUUAUACUCUGUUUUGGUCCUUGCUUCAUUGUUGUUUGCUCUCUAUUCUCGGUGGCCACUCGUACACCCAAGGAGAAGAGUCUUGACUAGUACUGCUUUUGGUUUUCUUAUAGGCACAAUUUGUGAAUUUGGGGAGAUGUUGUGAUUACUACUCAAAAAGGGCUAUUUGAUAGCUUGUAAUUAACUCUUUUAAACACUUUUGAGUAGUAAUUAUUGCCCUUUAACCCAAUUAACAUAUUAAGGACCUUUGCAAUCACUUCUAAUCACUUUGUGUAAGUUUUGGUGUUUUUGUUAGUAAUUUGAUCACCAAAGCAAUCCAAGAUGGAGGAGAGUUAUUUGGAAUCCAUGGUAAAGCAAUGGAAAGCUCAGGAACAUGAAGAAUCAGAGCUUUGAAGCCUUAAAGUCCUUUGCCAUAACCAAUCCGGAAUGCAAGGAGGAGAAGUAAAGAGAGAAUCUACCUUGAAGCAUUCUUGAUGACAGUAAUUUCAGCCACUUUUGGAGUACUUCCUGAAGUCCAAUUUAUGCAUGCUUUAUGUCGUUUCGAAGAUCGGGAAGUCAACAAUCCAAUGCUUCAAACGGUUUGCAAAUCAGAGUUGAAAUGAAGAAGUUAGAGCCAAUGGAAGCAUAUCACUCCAAGUUGAAGGCCAAUUUCGCAGGGCUGCGAAAUCAGCCUUCGGCUGCGAAAUGAUUUCGCAGCCAUCUUGUUCGUCUGCGAAAUUUCGCAGCCAUUUUGUGCGCCUGCGAAAUUCUCCUGAGUGCUUCCAGAUAUUUGCGACCAACGUUUUUUGAUAUUUUGCUUCAGAUAUUUGUUGUCUAAAUCCCAAUUCUCUCCUUGUAAUCCACCAAUUAGAUGAUUCCUUAGUUGUUAAGCAAGAAUACAGGGGUAAACAACCUGUUAUAUAUUGUUUUGUAAUUUUCAAUUUGAGGACGGUCGGGGAACUUUCCCCAGGAGACCAACUUUUGUAAAGUUUACACUUAGCUAAAUACGAAAUAUCUUUUGCUUUCUUUUUCUCUCUACUACUUUCUAUUUUCUUAGUAGCCAAACAUCCUUGGAGGAUGAAAUCCCCAAGGAUGAGAGGCUAAAACCUUUUAGUUUCUUGAAGUAAUGGAUGCCAUGUGAAGCUCCCGUGUCAGGAUGGAGAUUUCCAAGCCAUGAAUGUAAGUAGCUGAGCGUCAUAAAUGUUUUCAUUCAAAGUAAAGCUUUUAAUCCCUCUGACUUGCUUUGAAUGGCCAAUACUUGAUAACCUUUUGGUCUCAGUGGAUUCUUAUUGUUAGAUCCAUUGACGUUCAUUAGUUAUCUCCUACGAGCCAUUGUAUUGCAAGUCGAGGAGAUGACCUAUAUCAUUAAAAGAGCAUUUAUGAGGUUCAGCUACCCUUUUUGUAAGUUUUGAAGGACUAAAACUCAGUUGUUAAACACAUACCGGUUCAGGAAGUAAGCAUCACCUGAGUUGCUUCCUCAACUCGAGGUGAAAAGUUCCAAAAUCUCCAUUUUUACACCGUGAGUUAAGCAUGGCUAUCCAAAGCUUUGAGAAACUUAUUUUUCUAUCUUUUAACCUAUUUGCAUGUUAGUUUAGUUUACAACACUUUCAUCUUUUUAUGUUUUCAUCUUAACCUAAUUUUUAUUAAGAAAAGUUCACUCCAUCCUCCGAACUUCAUCAGUUAAAGUAAAAACCCUUCCCAGUGUUCGAUCCUAGAGCCACUAUGCUAUAGUAGCUUUGCUACUUUAGUGUAAGGACGUUAGGUAUAAAUUUUGUUGAUACCCUUACAUGCCAAGCUACCAAGAGUCGGGUUGUCAAAUGGCGCCGUUGCCGGGGAAGGUGCUACUUCACUGUGAAUAUAUCAGCCGGAGGUAACUUGUGAGACUUCUCAUGAGUAAGGUGAAUUCUAUCUCAUUUUUUUUUAUUUACUAACUUUUUAUUUUAAUUUUAGAACAUUUUUAACUUAGUUUAGAUAAGUUUCUUUUAGCUUUUAACUUUCAUUUUUAGUUUAUUUUUCAUACUUUGUUUUUCCUUCCACAUGCUCUGUUUUUUUUUUCUUUUUCUUUGUUUUGUUUAUUUGUUCUGUUCCAACUGAAUCCAUGCAUGCCCUAUUGGAUUCGAGACCAAGAGGGAACCCUGGUACAAGUUGAAGAAAAGAGCCUUAGUUGAAUAUCAUUUUUUUUUUAGAAAUGGAAAUUCCAUAUGAAGAUCAAAGCUCUCAUUAUGAUCAUGAGAAGGACAAAUUUGCAUACUUAUCCAUGAGGGAUCAGAUUGAAUUAGGGAAAAGGCAAGUUCAACAAAGCCAAUGAGGUAGUAAGUAUGCUUUGAAUGAAGACAUGAGCAUGAAGGCAAAGCUAGCAUCUAUGGCUAGAAGGAUAGAAGAGUUUGAAUUGAGGUAUGUGCAUACUGAAGCACAACCACAAGCCAUGCCAACUUCAUUUGAGUAUAUAAACCAUCCCAACCUUACAACCCAACCUCAACCUCAACCAUCAAUGAGUACAUCUUCAUUGGAGCAAGCCAUUUUGAAGUUAAGCAAAGUCAUGGAGGACUUUGUAGGUGAGCAACAAAAGAUCAACUCUCAUCUUAAUGAAAAGAUUGAUAAUUUGGAAAGUUCAAUAAAUAUAAGAAUGGAGGGGGUUUAUAAUGAUCUAUCACUAAGGAUAGAAAAAGUUCAAGACUCCAUUGAGAAGCUCACCAAUCUCGACAUAGCAAGGGGUAAAAGGAAGCUUCCUCCUCAACCCCACCAUAACCUUCAAGGAACCAAUCCAAAAAGAUCAAGGAAAGUGUUGAAGAUCGACACUUUGGUGGGGGAUUGCUAUGAAAACUCUAUGGACCAACCUUCCAUUGAAAAUCAUAAGGUUCAAGAUGAUAAAGGGUUACCUGAACCCUUUAAAGCAUCCACUUCUCCAAGGAAGAGAAGAGAAACGAAUUCCCUUGGACCAAAUGGGAAGGAUGCCAAUUUUGUUUGGGAUCCAGGGGGAAUUUAGCAUGAAGUGGGUGUGUGAGUGAGGAUGAGCUAAAUAGUUCAUCUUCUUUUUUGGGGUACAUGCUAUCAGCUUCAAUAGAUGUAGCUCCAUGGUAUGCACACAUUGCCAAUUACUUGGUCACGGGAGAAAUACCAAGUGAAUGGAGCUCUCAGGACAAGAAGAAUUUCUUUGCCAAGGUCCAUGCAUAUUAUUGGGAGGAACCUUUUCUUUUCAAGUAUUGUGCGGACCAAAUUAUAAGGAAAGUGUGUGCCUGAACAAGAGAAGCAUGGGAUCCUAUCUCAUUGCCAUGAGAAUGCAUGUGGAGGCCACUUUGCCUCUCAAAAGACGGCAAUGAGAGUUCUUCAAUCGGGUUUUUGGUGGCCCUCACUUUUUAAGGAUGCCCAUGAGGUAAGUAAAGGAUGUGAUAAGUGCCAAAGACUAAGCAAGCUUUCAAGGAGAAUUUGAACCCCAUCUUGAUAGUGGAUCUUUUUGAUGUUUGGGGCAUAGACUUCAUGGGACCUUUCCCUAUGUCUUUUGGCCACUCCUACAUCUUGGUAGGAGUUGAUUAUGUUUCAAAGUGGGUUGAAGCUAUACCCUGUAGAACCAAUGAUCACAAAGUGGUUCUCAAAUUCCUAAAAGAAAACAUCUUCUCGAGGUUUGGAGUGCCUAAAGCAAUCAUCAGUGAUGGAGGCACUCACUUUUGCAACAAGCUCUUUUGGCCAAGUACGGAGUCAAGCAUAAGGUAGCUACACCUUAUCAUCCUCAGACGAGUGGCCAAGUAGAGCUAGCCAACCGGGAAAUUAAGAACAUCUUGAUGAAGGUGGUGAACACCAAUAGGAAAGAUUGGUCUGUUAAGCUCCUUGAUUCCCUAUGGGCGUAUAGGACGGCUUAUAAGACUAUCCUUGGGAUGUCACCAUACCGUCUUGUUUAUGGCAAAGCUUGCCAUCUUCCCGUUGAGAUUGAGUUCAAGGCAUGGUGGGCCAUUAAAAAGCUCAACAUGGAUUUAACUAAGGCUGGGCUAAAGAGGAGUUUGGAUUUGAACGAGCUUGAGGAAUUGAGAAAUGAUGCCUAUCUCAACUCAAAAAUAGCUAGGGAAAAGCUAAAGAGAUGGCAUGAUCAGUUGGUGACCAAGAAAGAAUUUUUCAAGGGACAAAGAGUCUUGCUAUAUGACUCUAAGCUUCACCUAUUUCCGGGAAAGCUCAAAUCAAGGUGGGUAGGGCCUUUUGUCAUCCACCAAGUACACUCACAUGGAGUAAUUGAGUUACUCAACUCAAAUAGUGCAAAGACCUUCAAGGUCAAUGGCCAUCGUCUCAAGCCAUUCAUUGAGCCAUUCAAGCAAGAGAAUGAGGAAAUCAACCUCAUUGAGCCACAGAAAGCCUAAUCAGAAAAGGGUUAGAUGGGCUUGGUUUCACCAAAGUCCAUAUUUUUGUUUAAGUUUAUUAAUUUGAAAGCUUUAUUAAUUCUUUUGAUUUUAAUUUUGGUCUAAAGUUUUGUUAAUUAUAUGUAACUUCAUCUUUUUGAAUGAUCUUUUGUAGGAGGAAUUGCAAAGAAAAUGAAGGAAGGUCCCAGGGGGCCAAAAGGAGCUUAAAGCUAUGAAAUUUUAGUGGUCUGCGAAAUUUCGCAGCCCAAAAUAGGCCCCUGCGAAAAAGGCCAUCUGCUGCGAAAUCAUUUCGCAGCCCUUACAUGGCCUCUGCGAAAUCAAGGUUUGGCUGCGAAAAUGGCCCUCCGCUGCGGAAUAAAUUUCGCAGCCCAACACCCUCCUCUGCGAAAAUUUUCGCAGCUGCGAAACCACCUCUUGGCACUCGUGUGCCAUUUCGCAGCACAGUAACUCCAUUUCGCAGCUGCGAAAUGGCUGCGAAAUCCCCAAAGCGUGAAAUCUCCAAUUUUCGCAGCCAAAGCCCUAUUUCGCAGGGUGUUUCGCAGCUGUGAAACCACCCUUUGGCACACGAGUGCCAUUUCGCAGCCCCGUACACUCAUUUCGCAGCUUCGAAAUGGUUGCGAAAUCCUCCAUGCCUUAAAAUCCUUCAGCGCACACACCCUGAAGCCGCACCCCUGUUGGACACAUUUCGAAGUACUUCCUGAAGUCCAUUUCAUUCAUACCAUAUCUCGUUUCAAAGCUUGGGAAGUCAGGAGUCCAUAGCUUCAAACGGUGCUCAAUUUGGAGUUGAAACAAAGAAGUUAUGGUCGUUUGAAGACUGUGCAAACAAUGAGCUGAAAUGUUGCAUCUGCACCCCAUUGGACACAUUUUUGAAGCACUUCCUGGAGCUCAAAUUUUUCAUACUAUAUCUUGUUUUAAAGCUUAUGAAGUCAGGAGUCCAGUGCUUCAAACGGUAUGCGAUUUGGAUUUGAAACGAAGAAGUUAUGGCCGUUUGAAGACGAACGCGCAAAGCACCAACGGAAAUUUCGCAGCCAAAGCCCCAUUUCGCAGGUGGUUUCGCAGCUGCGAAACACCCCUUUGGCACACGAGUGCCAUUUCGCAGCCACCCAAUCCCAUUUCGCAGCUGCGAAAUGGGCUGCGAAAAUGGCACCCGACUGCGAAAACUCCAUUUGGCUGCAAAAUGAUUUCGCAGCCCCAUAGCUACCCCCUGCCAAAUCCUCCAUGUGCUGCGAAAAUGGCCUUUUGCUACCAAAUGAUUUUCAAACUUCCAAAUGGCUAUGAAAUGAUCUCCAAGCUUCCAAAUGGCUACGAAAUGAUUUUCAAGCUUCAAAAUGGGCUGCCAAAAUGUUUCUAUUUUUUCCAUGGGCUGCGAAAAUAUUUUUCUUUUUUCCCUUUGGCUGCAAGAUGAUCUCCAAGAUACAAAAUGACCUUCAGGCUAUAAAAAUGACUUGCAAAAUAAAGAGAGGUUUGCAAAAACACUUUGCAAAGCCAAGGGAAGUUGUGAAAAUGCGAAGAGAGCCCCGCAACCAUGCAUCUAAAGAGGAGAACCCUUUCACUGAGAUCACACACAAAGCCUCUCACUCCAUUUCUGACCUCCUUAAACCAUCAGAGCCCAUAGCUCCAGCUGAAGAGACUAUGCCACCUAAGGAGACUACUAGAACAGAGGCCAAAGUCCUGAUCCAACCCAUUCAAGAGGCCACCACAGACGCAUCAGCUCCACAUGACCCUACCACUACUUGAUCAUCUUUUUAUUUUUUGUAUUUACAUAUUAUAUUAGUGUAAAUAAUUUCAUAUUUUGAUGUCUUAUAUUCUGGGAUUGGAUAUAUUACUGAUGAUACAUCAUAUAUAGACAUCAUUUUUGUUUAAACUUAGCAUUUUUCUAUUUCCUCUACUCACUAACUCUUAUGUUUUCUUUGAAACAUGUGGUUUCUCCUAUACGACUCAAACUCCAUGUCACUCAGGAGGUACCACUUCCUCCCUAUUUUUCAAUCGCUUUUGUCACAUUGAGGACAAUGUUCAGCUUGGUUGGGGGGAGAGUUGAGGAAGUAAGUAUUGUUAAUAAUGCUAAGUUAUUUUGGUAAUUUAGUUGCUUUUCGCUUAAUUUUUAAAUUUUUUAAGUUUUUUUUUUCUCUACUCUCCAUGGUUAUUAAGGAAAAAUUCUCAAAAAUGAAAUGGGAGAAAUUGAUUUUUUGUCUUUUUACUUGACUUAGAGUUUGUAUUAUGUUUAUUAAAGUUAAUGAAUUGUUGAAGUUUCUAUUGAAUUCAAGCUUAUGUCUUCCGCUUUAAGCUAUUCACACACUAUGCAUAAUAGGUUCCGAUUAUAAGAUGAAAAACUAUUUUCCUCUUGACUUAGGAAAAUUUUAGACUUGGUACCUUUGACCUUAUUUAAUAGUGUUGGGACACCUUGUAAAAGGCCAAUGAGUCUUUGAAAAAAAAAGAAAAAAAAAAAAAAAGAAAAAUGUUUGCUUGCCUUGAAACCCGAGCAAGGUCUGAGGGGUAUAUGGUGAAAAUCUUUAAAACCUGGUGCCCUAAGCCUUAAUUGGUUGGGAGUCACCGACCUCAAUGCUCGUUACAAGGGUGAAUAGGUGGAGUUUAACAUACUGUAGGUGCUUGGGUAUUAAAAAUAUAUUCUCAAAAGUCCGGGGUAAAAUCCGAGGAGUUAGUGGUUGAAAGAUCCUUAAAGCUUGAUGCCCUAAACCUUAAUUGGUUGGGAGUCAUCGAUGGACCCCCGUUACAUGGACAAUUUAAAAAAUAAUACCUUUAAGCCUUGUACUCCUACAAUGAAAAAAUUGUGAAAAAAGAGGUGCGUUCUUAACCUAUUGGAGGUUGAUCAGUUUGCUAAGCUUUGAAAAAGAACUAGGUUAGGGGGGAGAGAUUAGUUUAACAUACUAUUUUCGGAAACUAAUAAAUAACACUUAGAUUUUUGUGGAAGAGUAAGGUUUGACCCUUUGGGAGUGGAAACUCUUUCAAAAGCUUAAAUUUGCAUAAUGCCUUCUCUUUAUGAAUUGUGAUUGAACAAGUUAUUUGAUAACUCUUGUUGAAGUUUGAGUGUUAUUUCUUUAAUGUUCCAUGUGAGAGUUAGAUCAUCAUGCCACUUGAGAAUUGUUUUUUGAUCAGCAUGAUGUUGUAAAUUAUAGUAAUGUUUAUUUUUAUUUUUCUCUCCUUCAUUGCUAAGGGACUAGCAAUAUGUCGGUUGGGGGGAGUGAUUACUACUCAAAAAGGGCUAUUUGAUAGCUUGUAAUUAACUCUUUUAAACACUUUUGAGUAGUAAUUAUUGCCCUUUAACCCAAUUAACAUAUUAAGGACCUUUGCAAUCACUUCUAAUCACUUUGUGUAAGUUUUGGUGUUUUUGUUAGUAAUUUGAUCACCAAAGCAAUCCAAGAUGGAGGAGAGUUAUUUGGAAUCCAUGGUAAAGCAAUGGAAAGCUCAGGAACAUGAAGAAUCAGAGCUUUGAAGCCUUAAAGUCCUUUGCCAUAACCAAUCCGGAAUGCAAGGAGGAGAAGUAAAGAGAGAAUCUACCUUGAAGCAUUCUUGAUGACAGUAAUUUCAGCCACUUUUGGAGUACUUCCUGAAGUCCAAUUUAUGCAUGCUUUAUGUCGUUUCGAAGAUCGGGAAGUUAACAAUCCAAUGCUUCAAACGGUUUGCAAAUCAGAGUUGAAAUGAAGAAGUUAGAGCCAAUGGAAGCAUAUCACUCCAAGUUGAAGGCCAAUUUCGCAGGGCUGCGAAAUCAGCCUUUGGCUGCGAAAUCAGCCUUCGGCUGCGAAAUGAUUUCGCAGCCAUCUUGUUCGUCUGCGAAAUUUCGCAGCCAUUUUGUGCGCCUGCGAAAUUCUCCUGAGUGCUUCCAGAUAUUUGCGACCAACGUUUUUUGAUAUUUUGCUUCAGAUAUUUGUUGUCUAAAUCCCAAUUCUCUCCUUGUAAUCCACCAAUUAGAUGAUUCCUUAGUUGUUAAGCAAGAAUACAGGGGUAAACAACCUGUUAUAUAUUGUUUUGUAAUUUUCAAUUUGAGGACGGUCGGGGAACUUUCCCCAGGAGACCAACUUUUGUAAAGUUUACACUUAGCUAAAUACGAAAUAUCUUUUGCUUUCUUUUUCUCUCUACUACUUUCUAUUUUCUUAGUAGCCAAACAUCCUUGGAGGAUGAAAUCCCCAAGGAUGAGAGGCUAAAACCUUUUAGUUUCUUGAAGUAAUGGAUGUCAUGUGAAGCUCCCGUGUCAGGAUGGAGAUUUCCAAGCCAUGAAUGUAAGUAGCUGAGCGUCAUAAAUGUUUUCAUUCAAAGUAAAGCUUUUAAUCCCUCUGACUUGCUUUGAAUGGCCAAUACUUGAUAACCUUUUGGUCUCAGUGGAUUCUUAUUGUUAGAUCCAUUGACGUUCAUUAGUUAUCUCCUACGAGCCAUUGUAUUGCAAGUCGAGGAGAUGACCUAUAUCAUUAAAAGAGCAUUUAUGAGGUUCAGCUACCCUUUUUGUAAGUUUUGAAGGACUAAAACUCAGUUGUUAAACACAUACCGGUUCAGGAAGUAAGCAUCACCUGAGUUGCUUCCCCAACUCGAGGUGAAAAGUUCCAAAAUCUCCAUUUUUACACCGUGAGUUAAGCAUGGCUAUCCAAAGCUUUGAGAAACUUAUUUUUCUAUCUUUUAACCUAUUUGCAUGUUAGUUUAGUUUACAACACUUUCAUCUUUUUAUGUUUUCAUCUUAACCUAAUUUUUAUUAAGAAAAGUUCACUCCAUCCUCCGAACUUCAUCAGUUAAAGUAAAAACCCUUCCCAGUGUUCGAUCCUAGAGCCACUAUGCUAUAGUAGCUUUGCUACUUUAGUGUAAGGACGUUAGGUAUAAAUUUUGUUGAUACCCUUACAUGCCAAGCUACCAAGAGUCGGGUUGUCAUGUUGUUAUAUUGCUCAUAAAAUCGCUGGAAAGUUCUGCUUAGAAUGGGUGAUUGCCAUAUUCAAGGAAGCUACUCCACAGCUCCUCUCUUAUACCCACGCGCAUGUUACUUUGGCCAUGCAUGGCUAUAUUCUCUCUCUGUAUCGAAUAUACAGCUCUCCUCGAUGUUUAUAUUUCGUGCUCAACCCAGUAUCAUCAUUUGACACUGGUUUCAUGGACUUCAUAAAUAAGUCAUCUGUCACCGACCCUGUAGCCCUAGCUCCGCUCUCCUUCUCUCUCUCCCCGCCAGAUCUAAUCAAGGGUUGCCAUCUCACUGCUUCUCUUUCUAACCACUCCUCGAUCCUCAUCUCCUACUCCACCAGUCCUUAAUCUUCUACUCUACAAUGGUUGACGCCGCCUCAGACCUUCAAUAAGACGUAUCCAUUUGUGUACACCCAGUGUCAGUCUAUUCACACCCGUUCGGUCUUCCCUUACCAGGAUACACUUGUGGUGAGGAUCAAGUAGGCGGCGCGGAUCCAUGCCCCUCACCAUCUGUCUGCGAUGGUGGCAGCACGCCAUGUGGAACGGCAGUCGCCGUACCCUGGGGAGGGUGGUGGAGGAGUUUGUGAUGAAGCAGGCGAUGCCGCCUUACCUAUUUGCCUUCGCGGUCGGGAGGCUUGGGCAUAAAGAGGUAGGACCGAGGACGAGAUUGUACACUGAGGCAAUGACCUCACUAUUGGAUGGAGCAGCGUGAGAGUUCGCCGGGACGGAGGCUUAUGUCUGCUUACUGUGGUCGACAGUCAGUGGAGUUAAACUUCAUUACAUUCUUAUUUGAUGGUCGCCGACUCCGUGGAAAGCAGACUCCAGAUGAGCUUGAAAUGAUGGAUGGUGAUGAAAUAGAUGCAAUGCUGCACCAAACUGGAGGGGUUACAUGGAUGUAGAUAUAUAAUAUAUGAGAAAAGCAUGGCAAAGAGAGCUAGGGCCUUCUUUGGGCCGCUCUUUCUGUUGUUAUGCCUGAGCCGCCUGUUAAAUCAAUAGCUUGGGUUCUAUGGGCCGGGCUUUCUGUAAGUACUAGCUCCUCAAUGGGUUUCAAGAAAAGCUUAGGUUGUUAUUUUACCAUGUGGAUCACGUAAGCUUACAAAGCCUUUCAAAUUGGGGCUUGCUAUAUAUUCUAGCUUGCAAGAUGCCCAACCACGUACUAUUAUUACACUGUGGAAAGCCCAAAUGGAUGAAGCAAAGUUUGAAGAUCCUGAUCCAGUAGUGAUAAUUCUUGAUAACUCCACCAAGACCCGUAUUAAACUUGCACCUGAGAAAAGAAGCGACAGAUAUGACCACCUUUCUAGAAUAGCUCCAUCCCUACUGCAUGGCUUGCAUGGCCAUUUUGGGUAUGCAACUUUAGGUUGCGUGUUUUCCUUCAUUUUUUUCCAUUAUUAUGAUUUCCUCAUUUCAGAAUUUUAAGACAAUUCCCUAUACUCCCAUUUUACAUAUAAUUUCCCGGAUUCUAGUUUUCUUUUUUUAUUUUAUUUUUCCAAACUCCAUUUUUAUCAAAUAAUUUAUUUAUUUAUUUUUCAUCUUUAGGUUUUUUUUUUUAGAAUCACUCAAAAUCUCAUUUCCAAUAAAAUAGAGCCGCCAUAUUUCUUUUUGGAAAACCAUUUUCACGCCUCCUCUGUUUUUUUUUUAAAAAAAUGUUUUAAAAUAAGCAAGAAUUUAAUACCGUAAUUCCGAAUAAUGGAAUUUAUGGAAUUAAUUCAUGCAAAAAUAAACAGGCUUUGGUGGGGGCCCCACAUAAGUGAUUUUAUAAUUGAUUGAUUGUUUGAUUGAUUUAAUUACCAUGCAUAAUUGACUUUAUUAUGCUCUAUAACAUGCUCGAAAAUAUUCCUUAAUUGUGCACUAACCUCACUUCUUGACAGCGCGUUGUGGCUCGUCGCCCAGGUACGUAUCUAUUCCCAUUCUGGUAUUUCUAUAUGCAUGUUUUGAUUCUCACACGUGCAUGAUCACUCUGAUUAUUCAUUGAUUCCCUCAUCAAUUGCCAUAAUUGCUUCAUUUUAUUAGUAGAGACUCGACUUUAGGGGCUUAGAGGGGUGUUUCGGUCUUUAUCGUACCUUUCCGAUAAGUAACCUAACCCCCGAACCCGAUCCGGUUUUUCACAGACCACCUUUUCCAAAAUAAGGAGUCACACUUAGGGUUUUUCUUUCUUAUUUUGUUUACCCUCUAAAAAUAAAACAAAAAUAAGUGGCGACUCCAAGUCAAUUUCUAAUAAAUAAAAUCAAUUUUUUUCAAAAAUUAAAAUUGAGCUCACCAUCGAGUGGAAAACGCAUGAGCCGAAAUACGGGGUCCACACUUAUAUUUACAAAGAAAUUUAAGGAAAAAAAUAAACUAAUAAUCCCUAUAAAUCAGGACAAUCCUUAUAAAUUAGAUAUUAUUCUUCCUAAUCUAAUUUACAGCUAUGCACACUUUCCUAAUCUAAUUUACAACUAUAGAUUGCAUAAAUAUAUGCAAGAGACCUCAAAUAGGAAAAUUCAAAUUUCUAAUACUCUCCUCAAGUUGGUGAAUAGAUAUUAUCUAUGCUCAACUUGCUAUAAUUGCUUGAAAUGUUGUCCUCACAAAUAGAGUGCAAAUUAACCCACUUUCUAACUUUUCCUUUAUGAAAUGUCUAUCAACCUCAACAUGCUUUGUUCGGUUACCAAAUAAUAAGCAAUGUUUAUGGUUAAUUUGUUAUCGUAAUACAACCUCAUGGUUCCUUCCCAUUUAAUUCAUAGGCCCUCAAGAAUAAUUUAAAGCCAUAAUAACUCACAAAUUCCUUAUGUCAUAACUCUAAACUUUGCCUUUGCACUAGACCUUGCAACAAUGGUUUGUUUUUUACUCUUCCAAGUCACUAAGUUUCCUUCAAGAAAAGUGCAGUAACCUGAUGUUGAUUUCUUGACUACCAUUGAUCCAACAUAGUCGGCAUCCAUAUAGGCUUUAAAGAACAAAUCUGUACAUUUUCUAAAGAGAAUUCCCAUUCCUGAGCUACCUUUAAGAUACCGUAAAAUCCUUUAGAUAGCUUGUAAGUGGAACUCCUUCAGAUUGAGCAUAAACUGGCUUACUAUACUCACAACAUAGGUAAUAUUCAAUCUCGUGUGUGACAAGUAAAUCAAUCAUCCCACUAAUCUUUGAUAAAUACCUUAAUCCACUUCUUUGUCUUCCAUUGCUUCCCUAAGCUUAUGAUUUGCUUCAAUUGGAGUCUCUACCGGUUUACAUCCAAGCUUUCCCAUCUCCUUAAGCAAUUCAAGGAUAUAUUUGUGUUGUUAUACAAAAAUACUUUUUUUUUACCGUGUCACUUCAAUUUCCAAAAAACACUUUAGUUUGCCUAGAUCCUUUAUCUCAAAUUCCUUUACAAGACAUUUUCAAAGUGCCCCUUUUUCUUUUGAAUCAUUCUCGGUCACGAUUAUGUCGUUAACAUAUACUAGUAAUGUUGUAACUCUCUCUUAAUUAUAAUGUUUAAUGAAUAAAGUGUGAUCUCUUUGGCUCUGUUUAAACUCUAGAAAUAACAUAACUUUUAUAAAUCUUCCAAACCAUGCCCUACAAGAUUUUUUUCAAUCCAUACAAUGCCUUUUUCAACCUACACACCUUAUUCUUAUCUAAACUUCCCCAAAAUUAGGAGGAACUUCCGUAUAGAUUUCUUUAUCAAUUUCAUCAUGGAGAAAGGUAUUCGUUAGAUAAAAUUGUUGUAAAUUCCAAUCAAAAUGAGCUACCAGUGAUAAUAAAUUUUUUACCACAUUCAUCUUUGUUACCGAUACAAAAGUUUCUUGAUAGUCCACUCCAUAUGUUUGUGUGUAUCCUCUUGCGACCAACCUUGCUUUAUAUCGUUCAAGGGAUCCAUCAACUUUGUAACUGUAAAUACCCACUUGCAACCCACUACUUUCUUCCUUUUUGGUAACUCCAUAAUUUCACAAGUCUCAUUCUUCUCCAAUGCUUCCAUAUCAACUUUUAUAGUUUGUUUCCAUUUCUCAUUACCAAGUACCUCGAUUAAGGUUUGUGGAAUUGGUAUGGAAUUUAUUUAGGUAAGAAAAGCUUUAUGAGAUGGUGAGAAAUUUUCAAAUAACACAAAACUGGACAAUGGGUGUUGUGUGUAUUUAUCUGUACAUUUCCUAAUGACAAUAGGAAGAUCAAUAUUGUCUACAUCAUCAUAUGAGUCAAGAGGAGCAAUAUAAUUGUGCACCUCAUUUUCGAGAGUUGGUUUGAAUGUUUGGACUUGCAUGGGUAUGGGUCUAAGUUCAAUCACCCUCCUCCUUGAAUAAACUUGUAGUGGUUUUAUGGCAAUAGGUUUUGACUCAUUUUCUUUUGUUCCAACAUCUAAAAUAGGGCGUGUUUAAACUAUUUUUGGGAAUUGUUAUAGCUAUUUAAGGUGUGUUGGAAAUUUCUGGACCUUUUUUAUGACUUUCAAACUCUUUUUGGGAUCCAUUUAAAGGUUCGAAUGGGGAAAAUUCUCAAGCAAGAACAGGUCCUUAUCUUCCAUAGAUAAUGUUUCCCCUGAAGAUAAUGAAUUGAAAAAUAUCCCUCUGUUUCUAUAAAAAUGACAUCCAUGGAAACAAUAAAUAAAUAAAUAAAUAAAAUUAUUUGGAGGAUGGAAACAUAUACCCUUUCUAUGUUAAUGAAUAUCCAACAAAGCCAUACUUUAAUGCUCUUGGAUCCAACUUUCCUCGAUGAUGAGCAUGAAUAUGAACAAACACAGGAUACCCAAACACUUUAGGAAAAAGCUUACUCGAUGUAUUGAACUGAGGAAAGAAUGUUGUAAACAUUUCCAUAGGACUCUUUAAACCUAAAACUUGAGAAGGAACCCUAUUUGUUAAAUGAGCAAUUGUAAGAACGACGUCUCUCCAAUAGGUUUUUAGAAUAAGAGAGCCUUAGUAACAUUUAAUAGUUGACCAUUUUUCCUCUCAGCUACUUCGUUUUGUUGGGGUGAAUUGACACAUGAAAACUCAUGAAUAAUUCUCUCUUUUUGAAAAUAAAAUGAAAGUGUUUGAUUGAAAUAAUCUUUUGCAUUAUCUAAUCUAACUUGUUUUAUUGACACCCCAAAUUGAUUUUUGACCAUAUUAUGGUAAUUUGGAAAAAUAAUGCUCACAUUUGACUUUUGUUUUAAAAGGAAGAUCCAAGUAACAUGGUUACAAUAAUCAAUAAACGAAACAAACCAAUGAGCUCCCGAAAUAAUAGGAACUCAUGGUGGCCUCUAAUAAUCACUAUGAAUUAAAGCAAAAGGAAAUGAUGAUCUUUUGUUACUCAAAGGAAAUAAGACACGAUGAUGUUUUGCAAAUUCAUAAACAUCACAAUGAAAAGUGUCUACAUCAAUAUUCUUAAAAAUCAAAGAGAACAUGACCUUAAGUAUAUUAAAUGAAGGUUGGCCAAGUCAAAAGUGAUAAAACCAAAUUUGCUCUUUAUUUGAAGAAAAUAACUUGAAGAAAAAAAGAGAGAGGUAGUUGAUUCCCAUUGUCAACAUUGCCACUACUUGUAUCAAGGUAGUAGAGUAUGUUCUUUUCUUUAGCAUGCCCAAUCAUCUUCCCCGAAACUCAGUCCUAAAAAACAUAAUGAGUAGGUAAAAAGAUAACACUAUAAUUCAUAUCUUUUGUGAGUUGAUCAUGAAUAGGCACAAGGUUGGUUGAAAGCUUAGGAACAUGUAAGACAUUAUUAAGACUCAAAGAAGGGUUUACAUUGACUACUCCUUGACCUACAACAGAAACUAAAGACCCAUCAACAAUAGUUAUUUUCUUAUUGCUAGGACAUGGAAUAUAUGUGCUAAAUUUAUUUAAUGAAUGUGUCAUAUGGUCUCUUGAAUCAAUGAUCCAAGAGCUUGAAAGGGAUAUACCUGAUGCACUAAAAGCAUGAGAGAAAGGAAACUUACCUAAAUUUGUGAGAGAGCAAACACCCAUAAGUUUUUCCAAUGAACCCAAUUUUUUUUUUCAACUUUUUAAUGUCCUCUUCAUUCAAUUCUAAUCAAUCAUAACACUUCAUCAUCCUUCAUCUACUCGAAUAAUGAAGAAAACCUCAUUAAUGGAUGGAAAGUCUUCUUUUUCUCAAGAUUUAAACUUGAACUUGAUCAAAUUCAACAAUAAGGCCAUCAAGAAACUCAGAAAUCUACUCCCUUUCAACAAACUUUCUUAACAUUGUAGCAUCUUCGCUACAUUUCAUUUGAAGAUUUUGGUAAUAAUCCAUUUCUUUCCAAAGACUUUCAUGAGAUUAUAAUAUUCAAUCACCAAUCUUGUUCCCUACUUAGUCGUUGAAUUUUUUUUUUUGCUUAAUUUCAUAGAUUUGCGUCGCAUCACAUACCUUAGAAUAAGUUUGUCUUACUGUCUUCCAAAUCUCUUUAGCCAUGGUGAGGAACAUACAAGUGCCACUGAUUUCGGGUAACAUGGAAUUCCAUAACCAUGGAAUCCUUUUCCUCCCACUGGUUGAACUUCGGAUCUUCAGGCCCUAUGCUUAUGAUGAUUAGAUGACUUAGUCUGCCUUUCAUUUUCAAAAAGGUUCAUGCUAGUUGAGACCAUUGAAAAUAGUUUCAGCCAUUCAACCGAUACACUAAAUUGAUAUUCUAUAACUCUCCAAUGGUUUGAUGAGGCAAAGUUUCACCAAAAACCACUAUAGGUAUGGUAGAAGUCUCAAAAAUAUCAGACAUGGUGAAAUACUAGAAAUUGCACAUAGAACGAAUGAAAUAUGUAAAAAGAAAUAAACAAAACACAUAAUAAUGAAGGCUGAAAGAAUUAGGCUUGAAAUCUUCAACAGUGAAGGUUGAAAAACUUGAACUAAAAUUAGCAAUUAAGGCUGAUAAAGAAUGUCAAAGUGGCUCUAAUACCAUAUGGGAGAAAAUGGUAAAAGAUUCUUAUUCAAUCAGUUGCUACAAUCCUAAUUCAUAUCUUAUAAAUUAGAGAUUGUUCUUCUUAAUAUAAUUUAUAGUUAUACACACUUUUCUAAUCUAAUUUACAACUAUAUAUUACAUAAAUAUAUACAAGAGACCUCAAAUAGGAAAAUUUAGAAUUCUAACAUAUUUUUCUUAAGGUAUACAUAUUUUUUUAAAGAAUGUACCUAUACUUCUACAUGUGGAACGGAGUUUUGGAAGACAUAAAAUACAUUCUAAGGCAUACAUAAGUCAAAUCUGAGAUCCAAAUUAAGCUGAAUUGUGUCAUGGUUAACCUCAAAUCAAAUGUAUGUAUUUUUUUUAAAGAAUAUAUUUAUUAUUGUAAAGGAUGUACUUUUUCUUAAGAAUAUACCUAUUUUUGUAAGGGAUGUAUUUAGGGUUCUACUAUACCAAAUAGAGUUUGGGAAAGCAUCAUGAGGCAUACAAAAGUUAAAGUUUAGAUCCAAAAUAGGUUGAAUAAGGGAAUGAUUUGACUCAAAUCAAAUGUAAAUACUUUUCUAAACUUUUACUUAUUUUUAUAAAACAUGUACGCAAGGUUAUAUCAUGUUAAAUAGGGAGGAAGACCUCAAAUGCAUUCCAAGACCUACUACAUAAGUGAAAUCCCACACUCGAAUUAGGUCAAAUGAGGAUAAGAAUCUCAAAUGAAAUGAAAUGUACAUAUUUUUAUAUUGGAUGUACUUAUUUUUCUAAAUGUACUUAUUUUUUUUAAAGAUAUAUGUAUUUUUAAAAAUAUAAAAAUUAAUUAAAUCAAUGUUAAAUAAAAUUUUUAUGAAAAAAUAUAUUUUAUUUUAUAUUUUAUGUCUAUAAAAUAGUUAAAGAUUUUAAUCUAAUAAAAAGUUAGAACCAUGAUCAAUUUAAAAUCAUAAGAAAACAUUAAAACGAAUUUUAAUAUGAAAGUUCAAAAAUUAAAAUUAAAAUAAUAUUACCAAAAUAUUUUUAGUUUAUUUGCAAGUUAUAAUAUUUACAUGCCCUAUCAAUGUCUUAUUAAAUUUUUUUAGUACAAAAUGGAAUAGGAGGUGAAUAUUCUUUUAUUUCUUUAAUACAACAAAUACAAACCAAGCAUCACUCAAAAUCUUCUUCCUUUCUCUCGAAUAUGAAGUAAGAUGAAGCUCGUGAACUUGUUCAUAUAAAAAUUUGACAAAGGUGACAUGAAGGCCAAAAAUAGUUGAGGGGUUGUACAAGAGCACAUAGCACUUAAAAAUUCUCAAAAAUUGCUUUUAUAAAGUUUUUGAGCAUAUCUGGUCAUUUCAUUAAAAAAUAAUUUUUUGCUUUUAAAAAUAGAAAAAUUAUUUUUAAAAAUUUAUAAAAUUGUUUGACAAUUGUCAUCUAUUUGUAAUUUUUUAAAAUAAAGUGAAAUAGAAAACAUAUUUUAGAAAACAAGUAGAAAUUAUUUUCUCCAAUUUUUAAAAAAUAUAAAGGAAUUAAAAAAAAACUAGAAAAAGAAAAUAAGAUUGAAGAUGAUAUCAUUCUUCUUUAUCCUUCUCUACAAUCUAAUAUCGAUACUGAAAAAUCUUCAAAUAUAAUAUUUCUUUAAAUUAUAUGUAUUUUUAUGAAUUUCCUUUAAUUUAAUAAAAUUUUCAUUAAUAAAAUGAAUUAUAAAUCAAAUUAUACUUUAUACAUAAAAUUUAUUAAUUUUUGAAAAUAAUUCAAAAAUCAAAAAUCUAUUUAAGUAGUACUAGAAAAUCAUGAAACUCACUAACAUUAGAAAGUCAUAAACCAAAAUUUUUUUGAAUGUCUUGACUAGUUAUCCUUUGCAUAUAAUCACAUUAAUUUUUUUUUCACUUAGUAAAUAAACUCCAAAUCAACUUAAUGUGUUGAAUUUAUUAAUAAGUCUUAGUAAUUUUUAAAAAUAACUUGAAACUCAAAUAGUGAUCCAAUUAGUACCAAAAAUUUAUGGACAAAAAAUAGUGAUCUAAUUAAUACAAAAAAUUUAUGGACAAAAAUUGAUCUUGAAUGACUAUUGUUUCCAAUUUUGUUUCAAUGGACAAAUAAACUCAAAAUGAAACAACACUUAAUGUGUUGAUUUCAUUAAUAAAUUUAGUAAUUUCUAAAAAUAACGUGAAACUCAAAUAAUGAUAUAAUUAAUAUUAGAAAUUUAUGGAUGAAAAUUAGUUUAGAACAACUUUAUUAUUUUUGUUUUACAUGGAAUCAUAUUUUUCUGAUUUUAUUUUACUACACAAAUAAACUCAAAAUUAAACCAAACCUAACAGUUUAGUAAUUUUUUUAAAAUAACUUAAAACUCAAAUAGUGAUUCUCUUUUACAUGGAACUAUAUAUAUUUGUUUUACUAGGUAAAUAUAAUCUAAAUUAAACAAGACUUAAUGCGUUGAAUUCAUAAUGAAUUUAAAAUUUUCUAAAAAUAAUUUGAAACUCAAAUAAUGUAUCCAUUAAAACCGGAAAUUUAUGAAUAAAAACUGGGCUAUAAUGAGUCUUUUUUUUUUUUUUCUACAUAUAAAUUUUUUCACUAGAGAAUUAACUUCAAAUCAAGUGAUAUUUUAUAUUGAAUUUAUUGAUAGGUUUUAUUUAAAAAAAAAAAACUAAGUUGCAACCUAGUAAAUAGAUCUAAUCACUAUGAGAAAUAAUAUACAAAAACUAAUAUAUUAUAAGUCAUAACUUUACUAUUUUUCUUAUAUAUUUCCUCGUUAGCUAAAUAAAUUCUAAAUUAAAUGAGAUGUAAAUAAUAGUUAAAAUUUGUAAUGAAUUUUUUAAUUUUAAGAAUAAUUUGGAAUUUAAAAAACUGUACCAAUUAGUUGCAUAUUAAAUCAAAUUAUUUUAAAAUAAUGUGUUUGUAAUUGAGUAUUAAAUGUGUACAUGUAAUAAAAAUUUUGGCUCAUAUAUAUUAUAAAGAUGUUAAUCUUUUAUUCCUUAUUUAUUUUAAAUAAAGUAUUAUUAUAAAGUAUUAUUUUAAAUUAUUAUUAUUAUUCAUUUUAAUAUAAAAAAAUUAAUUAUGCUUUUACAAAUAUGUUGAUAUCCAUAUGUUUUUAACAUAUAAUAAAAUAUUAUUUUUUUAUUAAAAAAUAUAAUUUUUAUUUUAUUAUAAUAUUAAUUUUCAAGUUUUACUAAAAUCUAUUUAUGUUUUAAUUUCUUUUUAUAAUUACAAACUAAUUUCGUUUUUAAUAAGACCUCAAUUAUAUUAAUUAAAUUUAGAAUAAUUUUACAAAAUCAAAAUAGAAAAAUUAUUUAAAAAAAAAAAAACCCAUUUUAAAAUAACUUGCCAAACACCUUUAUUUUAUAAUGUUUUAAACAUUUACUUUCUAUAUUUAACAUAAAAGCAAUUUUUUAAAACAAACAUUAUGGAACGUGGCUAACUUUUUUUCUCUCUUUUCUUUUUCAUUUUCUUGUUACUUAAAAUGACCGACAAGGAAGAUGAAUUAAAUGAUUGAAGAAUAUCUUUUGCCAAACAUAUAAAUUAAAAAAAGGGUAAUUUAAAAAGCGUGCCCUAACCUAUUCCGUGGCCCAUGAUUUCUUUAUGGAGAACGAGUACGUUAGCAUAAGAGGCAAGAGGCAUGUCUUAUCCAAUUUGUUUUAAUACUUGUUUAUGUGACAUGAACCGACGGAAUACAAGAACACCUCUCUAGUCCANNNNNNNNNNNNNNNNNNNNNNNNNNNNNNNNNNNNNNNNNNNNNNNNNNNNNNNNNNNNNNNNNNNNNNNNNNNNNNNNNNNNNNNNNNNNNNNNNNNNAAAAGANAUAUUUUUUUUUAUAUUUAACUGGUCUUCCUUGUCGAUCAAUUUAAGUCACAAGAAAAUGAAAUAGAAAAAAGAAAAAAAAGUUCAGUCACGUUCCAUAAUGUUUGUUUUUAAAAAUUACUUAUAUGUUAAACAACAAAAAAUAAUUUGUUUAAAAAAAAAAUAUUAUAAAAUAAGGUUGUUUGGUAAGUUAUUUUAAAAUUGGUUUUUAUUUUUUCAAAAAAUAAUUUUUUAUUUUGAUUUUAUAAAAAUAUUCUAAAUUCAAUUAAUAUAAUUGAGGUCUUAUUAAAAAUAAAAAUAGUUUUUAAUUAUAAAUAAAUUAUAAAUAAAUAGUUUUUAGUAAAACAUAAAAAUUAAUAUUAUAAUAAAAUAAAAAAUUAUAUUUUUUUUAUAAAAAAUACUAUUUUAUUAUAUGUUAAAAAAAUAUGGAUAUUAACAUAUUUGUAAAAGGAUAAUUAAUUUUUUUUAUGUUAAAAUGAAUAAUAAUAAUAAUUUAAAAUAAAUAAGGAAUAAAGAUUAACAUCUUUAAUAUACACAUUUAAUACUCAAUUACAAACACAUUAUUUUAAGGGAGAAUUAUAUUUUCAACCCAACAAGGCUUAGUAAUUGAGGGAAGGUACUUCCAUCACCCAUAAUUAAAAAUGAUUCGAGUGAAGUGCAUAAUUGACACUGAUGGUUUUUGCUCUAUUUUGUGACAUAUGUGAUAUAUUUUGUAUUGGUCAUUGUGCACUAACCCCAUUUCAUGAUAGCGCAUUAUUACUUGCUGCUAAGGUAUUAUCUCACUCCCAUUUUGUCUAUUCUCCAUGCAUGCCUUGUUUCCAUUUGUAUGACUAUUCCUUGGUAUCCAUUGGUUUCCUUACCAAUUGUCACACUUGUUUCACUUUGAUUAGUAGAGACCUCAUUAUAGAGCUUAGAGGGGUGCUACGGUUUUUCACUGUACAUUCCCAAUAAGUAACUUGACCCCCGAACCUGACUUUGGUUUUCCACAUAUUGUCUUUUCCAAAUAAGGAGUCGCACUUAAGGUUUUCUUUCUUAUUUUGUUUUCCCUUUAAAAAUAAAACAAAAAUAAGUGGCAACUCUAAGUCUUUUCUAAAAAAUAAUUUUUUUUUUCACAAAUAAAAAGCGAGUUCACCAUCGAGUGGAAACACAUCGUGCAAAAUGUGAGGUCCACAAAAUGGCAACUCCAUUAGUGAAUCAUGAUAAAAUAACAAUAAACCAUCAGCUCAACAUGCAUCUCGCAAGUGAGGACAAUCGUGCGAAUUCAUGAAGAUAUAUAAAUCUCAAUCGAAACGAAAUAUGCCCCGAUGUGGCAUUAGAUGUGUGGUAGGUCGGAAAAUCAGACGACAUCAAAUCAUCCAUCAUCAAAUGUGUAAUUCCAGUCAUCCAUAUCCAUAGCUAAAUUAGAUCCAAACAUAAAAAAGGCGUCUCCUAGAAGAAGAAGCAUGAUGACAUCUAAAUAUCAACCAAAUCUCAAACAUUUGUCUAAGAAGGGGUUGUUGAAGACGACACCUGAUCUCAUGGCCUCAGGGUGGUCUUAAGACACAAGACGUAAUGUAGGCUAAGGUGAUAAGAUAACAGAAAUGAAGGGAAACUAGAUCCAAACACCCAAUGAUCAAAACCCAUGCCCUUAUGUGUAUAAAAUGCAACAUGUAUAGAAAAAUCUCGUGAGCCAUGGACCUGAGGAUGCCUAAUAUGAACAUAAUAACAAUAAUGAGGCAAUCAAGAAAAUCAAACUGAUAAUGAGACUCAUAAGAAUGAUGUAAAGAAAGUAUCAAAUCCUGGAAUAGGUCACUAUAAGAAAAGAACAAUGGGUGAAAUGAAGAGGACAAAUCAGAAGUAAUAACGAGGAUGAUGGCGAAACAAUGAACAUAUGAAAAGGAGUGAUGAUCAACUCAAAUCAAACAUAAAGGGAAGUCACAUCAACAAUGAAUGUAAUGAUGAAAGGGACAAUGACCCAGAGCCUUUAGGAGAAGAUUGCUCAUAUCUCAUUCUAAACAACAAAUGUGACAAAGUGAAAACAAAGAAUGUAGGGUCUUGGAAAGCUCACAUACGAACUCUCACCUACAAACAUACUCGAUAAAGUGACCCUCAGAUAUCGAUAUACAUGCUCAAUGAUGGAGAAUGCUAGGCACAUACACACAUGCACUUAUUAUUGUUAUUGUUGUUGUUGUUAUUAUUAUUAUUAUUAUUAUUAUUAUUAUUACUAUUUUACAUAUAUAAAAAUGUGCAUACUCAUAACGUAAACAAAUAAGCUCUAAAAAUGAGGUAAAAAAAUCGAUAGACAUACUCUCAAAUGCUAAUGUAGCAUAAACUCUCUCUAAAAAGAUGAUUUUCUCAAACUAAGGAUCUUUGAAUCAAUGUUUGUGGGAUAGAUAAUGGAAAUGAUGUGACUAUCUUCCAUGUAAUGAACCAAGAAGGAUCACCACUCAAGGUGGAAAAAAGGUAAAGCAAAAUAAGUAGCAAAUAAAGUAGAGAAAAAAAAUGGAGAACAUAACCAAUGAGAUGUGAUGAUAGAAAAAAUAAUGAAAAGGAUGCACCCAUAGGCCCAAGGCUCAUGAAACUCCUAAGUGAAACAUGCAUACUCUUAAGGGCCCUUAUCUCGGUGUAGAAAUGUAAGCAAGGCAAUAAGAAAGAAAGGCUCUAAUGCAUAUGUGAGGCUUAAUGGGCUAGUGACGGUCUAUAUGUUGAAAAAAACAAACAAGAUAUAUGGCUAACCAAAAUGAUGACCACCCAUCCCACGACCAUGGUCUCAAACAUAGUACAUUUUCAACUAAUCUACGUUGGUCGACUCUGAGAAUUGGUUUCCAUCUAGAUCCAUCAACCAUGCAGCGUCUUUUAGGGUUAACUCCUUAAUGAUAUAAGGAUUGCUCCAACUAGGUCUAAACUUCUCUCUAGGAUUUUUGAUCAAUCCCUUAAUAACCAUCAAGACUAAGGUGGUGUUUGUUUUUUUACUUAAUUCUAAAUAGAAUCUUAAUACUUAAUAGUAUUAAAUAUUAGGUUGUUUGUUUUUGUAGUAUUUUAUUUCUAUUAAGUAUUAAAAAGUAAAAAAAAUCAUUGUGUUAUUUUUUCUAUUUAGAAAAAGCCACAUAUUUUGGCUUUUUCUAUUUAGUAAAAAGUUUAUAAUAAGUCAUGAAAAAGUAAAAAAAUAAACAACCUAAAUUCUAAAACUAAAUGGUUUUCAGCAAAAAGCCAAAAAAACAAACACCACCUAAGUCACCUCUCUAUAAUGGUCUAAGCUUGACCCGCUUCUUGAAAGCACGGGUCAUCUUCCUCUGAUAGGCAUGAACAUGGUCUGCUGCCUUAAGUCUUCUCUCAUUUAGGAGAUUGAGUUGGUUUAAUUGAGCAUGAGCCUAAUCUGCCAAUGAAAUUUAUUAUUCCAAUGCUACCCUCAAUGAACCCAUCUCUAUCUCAAUUGGUAGCACUGCCUCCAUACCAUACACCAAGGAGUAAGGUGUGGCUCCUGUAGAGGUAUGAAAAGAAGUAUGAUAAGCCCAUAAUGCAAAAGGGAGCUUCUCUAACCAAUCCUGAGAAGUCUCAACCAUCCUCCGCAAAAUCCUCUUAAUAUUCUUAUUCACAACCUCUACCACCCCAUUAGUCUACGACCUAUAUGUAGACGACCUAUGAUGUUGGAUACCAUAUCUUUGUAAUAAGGUGUCAACCUCUGCCUUGAAAUGUACUCCUCUAUUUGAAAUCAACUCAUGAGAGAUUCCAUAGCGACAGAUAAUGUGUGAUCUGAUGAAACCCCACAUGAUGUCAAUCUUGCAUAUGAGGCAACCUCCACCCAUUUGGUGAAGUAAUCAAUGGCAGCCAAGAUGAACUCAUGACCACUGGAAGACUUUGGUAAAAUCUUGCCAAUAAUGUCUAUACCCUAUACUAAAAAUGACGAUGGUGAAGUUAGUGCAUGUAAAUAUGAAAGUGCACUUGAAUGAGGUCCCCAUGCAUCUGACACUUUGGACAUAUUUGAACAAACUGGUAAUAAUUUGUCUUCAUGGUCAACCAAAAAUAGCUAGUCCUCAUGAUCUUACGGGCUAACAUAUGCCCUCCCAUAUGUGGUCCACAGACUCCCACAUGAACCUCUCUCAUCACUCGAUUGAUAGAGGCGUAGUUUAAGCAUAAUAGUAACAUCCAUUAGCGGAUCGUAUGUACAGUGUCUCCCCACAAAUCACAAAUCGGGUAGCUAAUUGUCUCAAUGCUCUCUUAUCCUUGGUCGUAGAGACCUCAGGAUAUGUGUCAAAUCUCAUAAACUGGUAUAUGUCAUGAUACCAAGGCAAGCCAUCAUCUAACUUUGCCUCGUCAAUCAUAGGUCCAAGUAGCUAAGGCAAACGACGUUAAAGUAGAUCUCAACUUGAUUAGUAAAAGGCAAACGACGAUAUCAGCAGGAAUAUCAAUCAUGGACGUUAAAGUAGCUAAGGCAUCAAUAAAUUGGUUCUGCACUCUAAGCAGAUGUGUAUACCUCAAAUCAUCAAAUCUUCCAACCAGUAGCUCCAAGUAUCCAUGGUAAGGCCUAAGUUUCACAUCUCUAGUCUUUCAAUCACUCUGAAUCUGUCUCAAUACUAGAUUGGAGUCACCAAAUACCUUCAUCCAUCUAAUCCUAAGCUCAAUGAAAUUUAAUUCAUGUAUAUUCAAAACCAAAAUUCAUUUUAAAUUUUCUUUUUCAAACUAUGCGUACCGAAUAAAAUUGGUUGCAUGAAUUUUUAGAAAAUUGAAUUUUCAUAACCUAAGAAUGUCCAAGACGAAUUUGGAAAAUUGAGAAUUAAUUUUUAGAAAGGUAGAUUGAUAAGAAUUUUGAAAUCACUAACAAACACAAAUAAUCACAUAAAGUCGCACAACCAAAAGAUAAUUCUUAAGGAGACAAAGUGGUGUGUGCCGAGGGUGAGUGAAGCAUGUUGACUUGUGUGUGAUGACAGUGAAAGUGUGGCUGAUGUUAAAGCUAUGCAUGCCUUUCUUUAUUAGUUUAGCUAGCGUAUGUUCUCCAAAAUUCAACUAGCGAUGUUGGUCUUCACAAGCUUAUGCAAAUUCUCAAAAUUCAGCAAUUUGAUGUGUGCUUGGGCUAGCAAUCUAGUGGUUUCAAAAUCUAAUGGUGUGAUCAUGUGCUUUUUUAUUUUCUCCUCACACCCAUGCACUAUCAACUUACCUCUCUACCAUUAACAAUCGUACACAAUCAGUUUGCCUUCCCAAAGUUCUAACGACUUCCCUUUAAAAUUUAUGAUAAUUAUUUUAUUCCCAUCAAAAUUCAAUUAUGUCCACUAACUGCUACCUCUCUAAUACCUUCUCAUAUUCUUCCCUUCAAGCCAAAACCCUGCACUAAAUCUAUGUGACUCUCUAGAACCUUCUAUCAAUUUUAUUUAUUUAUUUACAAACUGUGCACCAAACAAUCUUCAUUCUAGAAAAAACCAGCGCUCACACCAAUCCCCACCAUGUCCACAAUCAACUCAGGCAUUCCCUAUGGUGUGUGUUUGGAGCCCUUUUCAAAGGUACAAAAUUGUUUCUCUUUUAUGGCAGCAUGCCAGCGUGAAUAGAGAUGCCCUCUAACAAUCAACAAGAGAAUAGUUCCUAAGCCUUCCCGUCAAGAUUUUUCUCAAUCCACAUAAACGGUAAUUGUCUGCACUAAUUUCUAAAUACUUAGCCCCUCUGAUUAUGGGUUGAUGAACACCCAUUUGAACAUAACGACCACUUUCCCUACCUCAUGUACAAUUUUGCAGUUCCCUUUCUCUAUAAAUACUAGAUUUGGACUAGAUGUGACACUUGGCAGGCCCAAGGGCAUGGACCAGAAGCAAAGGAAAGCAACAAAAAAUAGGGCACAUAAGGGUAAAACAAAAUGAACUAACAAAAGCCACAUUUCAUACGUAAUCAACAAAUCAAGAAUAGGUAAUACAAACUGAGAGAAGUAAUAUGAUUUUAUGCAUGAAGUUGUUGCAUGUUGAAAAUCUUAUAGUGAACAGUGUUUCUUCUCCACUAUAGCCCCUAUAAUUAGGGCACAAUUUGCAAGGGGAAACUCAACCAACAUUAGAGCACUUGCAAUAAAUGAGGAAUAUGGAGUUGAAAGAGUGGAGAAUCACCUGAUUUGUCGCUCGAUGGUGGAAUUUGUAAGAGAAGAAAGGAGUUUCAGUGCUUAUUCUCUAUUAUAAGAGUCACAAAAUGGAGAUUCAAAAAUGAUUUCCAGUUUUUUAUACUCAAGAUCUCACAUUAGGGCUUGGAAACGCACUGUGCGACAAGAUUUCCAAUGUCAAGAGCCUCAUCUGGAGUCAUUGAUCGAUAUUGAUUGUAGUUAACUUGGCUCCAAGGGUUUGUCGGGGUUUUGCAAAAAUGGAGGAAAUGUUUGGCGUACUAUGAAGUCGUGGGUGAGAAUGGGAAAUAUGUGAGCCAUAUAUAAAAGUGUUAUUUUGAUGUCACUUUUAUAGAGUGCCAAGGUAAAAAUAAAUAAUAAAGACACUUAUAAAAAACCUGGUGCUAUAGGAAGCAUCGUUAUCCUUCAGCAUAAAGCGCCAUGGUCUAACAUUUUCCUUUUAAGCGUCAACUUCGACCACUUAUUUACUCAAUUGCCCCUCUAAAAGCCAAGUAAUGAGAUUUUUUUGAAAGCGCCAAGGAAUCAAGCGCCAUAAAUUGUGUUUUUUGUAGUAGUGUGGAGGUCUUCCUAUACCCUAUUUAACAUAAUAUAACCUUGCGUACAUGCUUUAGAAAAAUAAGUAAAAGUUUAGAAAAGUAUUUACAUUUGAUUUGAGUUGAAUCAUUCCCUUAUUUGACCUAUUUUGGGUCUAAACUUUAACUUAUGUAAGCCUCAUGAUGCUUUCCGAAACCUUAUUUAGCAUGGUAGAACCCUAGAUACAUCAUUUACAAAAAUAAGUACAUUCUUAAGAAAAAGUACAUCAUUUACAAUAAUAAGUAUAUUCUUAAAAUAUAUAUAUAUAUAUAUACAUACAUACAUUCAUAAGGAAAAUACAUACAUUUGAUUUGAGGUUAACCAUGACCUAAUUCAACCUAAUUUGGAUCUAAGAUUUGACUUAUGAUGCCUUAGAAUGUAUUUUAUGCCUUCCAAAACUCCGUUCGACAUACAUUCUUUAGAAAAAUGUGUAUACCUUAAGAAAAUUAUGUUAGAAAUAUGAAUUUUCCGAUUUGAGGUCUCUUAUAUAUAUUCAUGUAAUAUAUAGUUGUAAAUUAGAUUAGAAAAGUGUGUAUAAUUGUAAAUUAUAUUAGGAAGAACAAUCUUUGAUUUAUAAGGAUUUACUUGAUUUAUAAGGAUUAUUAAUUUUCUUUUCCUUUAAAUUUCUUUGUAAAUAUAAGAUAUAAAUUAAGAUUGUAACAAUUGAUUGAAUAAGAAUCUUUUACCAUUUUCUCUCACAUGGUAUUAGAGCCACUUUGACAUCCUUCAUCAGCCUUCAUUGCUGAUCUUAGUUCAAGUUUUUUAGCCUUCAUUGUUGAAUAUUUCAAGCCUAAUUCUUUCAACCUUUAUUGUGUGUUUUGUUUAUUUCUUUUUACAUAUUUCAUUCGUUCUACCUGCAUUUCUGGGAUUUCACCAUGUCUAAGAUGUAUGAUAUUUCUUUUAAAACUAAUUUCAUAAUUUAAAUUAAUGAUUUUAAAAAAUUAAAAUGUUAUAAAAAUGAUUUUUAUUUAUUUUUAAUUCCAUUUAAAUAUGAUUUUUUAAUCUCUACUAUUAUAUUUAUAAGGGCAAAAUAGUAAAAAUAUAUAUUUCAUUUAGUUUACUUGUAAUGAACAAUUCAAACAUGAUUAAUUUUAAUUUUAUUUCCUAUGUGUUAAUUUAGGUAGGGAAGGUCUUAAUGGCAUAGUUUGUUUGUUUUUUUUUUUAAAUACCGAUAAUCGUCCUAAUGGCAAGUUCAAGUUGUUUAAAAAUCGUACAAAACAUAUUAGGAGCCUUGUACACCCUGUACACUUAACACAUUUCCUUUAUAAAUUAGUGUAAUACCCUUGUACAGUAAUGCAAAUUCCAUAUCCCUUCUAAGUUAUGUGUCCAUAUAGGUGUGUUAACCAUAUUUUCAAUGGUUUGGUUGAGAAAAUGAUGGAUGACUUAGGGUCAAAUUUUUUUUCCCAAACAUCAUUAUUGGGGAAAACAUUGGAAUUCCAUGUGGGAGUUAAAUAAAGUACAUGACAUAGGUAUACAAUCCUUCGGUGACAAGGAAAAUAAAGGAGUGACUCAAAAUUGAUUGAAAUCUUUCAUAAAGGGUAGUCUUGUACACCCUGUACACUUAGUAUAUUUCCCUUCUAUAGUUAAUGUAACACCCUUGUACAAUGACACAAAUUCCAUAUCUCUCAUAAGUUAUGUGUCAACGUAGGUGUGUUAACCAUGUUUCCAAUGGUUUGAUUGAGAAAAUGUUGGAUGACUUAGGGUCAAAUUUUUUUCCCUAAACAUCAUUACUGGGGAAAGUAUUGAAAUUUCCAUGUGAAAGUUAAAUAAAGUGUAUGACAUGAGUGUACAAUUUGUGGGUGAUAAGGAAAAUAAAAGGAGUGGUUCAGAAUCUUUUACAAAGGGUAGCCUUGUACACGUGUACACUUAGUGUAAUACCCUUGUACAGUUCAUGUAAUACCGUUGUACAGUAGCACAAGUUUCAUAUCCUUCCUCCUAAGUUACACAUAGGUGUGUUAGCCAUGUUUCCAAUGGUUUGGUUGAGAGAAUAGUGGAUGGCUUAGGGUCAAAAUCUUUAUCCCAAACAUCAUUACUGGGGAAAGUAUUAGAAUUUCCAUGUGGGAGUUAAAUAAGGUGCAUGACAUGGGUGUACAAUCUGUAAAUGAUAAAGAAAAUAAAUGAGUGGUUCACAAUCGAUUAAAAUCUUUCACAAAGGGUAGCCUUAUGCACCCCUUAUACAGUUAGUGAAUGCCCUUAUAUAGUGACGCAAAUUCCAUAUCCCUAUAGUGAAUGUGUGCUUAUAGGUGAAUUAAAAAUGACUUUAGUAGUUUGGUUAAGAAAAUGACAGAAAACUUAAAUUCAACUUUUUGUGUGAAUAUAUUAUAUUAUUGUGAAAAAAAAAUACACAAUUGGCCGAUUCCUUUGUUUAAUUGUGAACAAAUUAUAUUUUUAUUUUAUUAUUAAAAUAACUAAUAGAAAAAUAAAAUAAAAAAGAAUAAUUAAUAAAUGAAAUUUAAUUCUUUUUAUUAUUUUCAUAUAAAAAUAGUACUAAACAAGGUUUUCAAUUUUCAUUUUUAAAAAUAGUUUUUGUUUUUUUUUAAUUAAAUGUAUUUUCAAAAAGAGACAAUAUAGAAAAUAAAAAUUUUAAAAAUAUUUUAAAACCAAACUCAAACAUAAUCUAUAUAAUUUUUAACUACUUGUUUUCAUCUAAAAUGAGUAAAUAUAUCAUUCAACCCUUUUAUAUAAGAAAAAAUCAAUCUCUACUAUACUAUGUAUUGAUAUAAUCCACUACUAAAAUUAGGUUAUAUGAAAACAUUUUAAUUAGAUAUUUAAAAUAAAAAAUCUUCAUCCAUCAUCUUUCUUUCUUUUUCUUUUUCUUUUUCUUAUUUUGAUAAAUUUUCAAUUAAUUCAAAUUAUUAAAAAAAAAUCCUUAGUAAACAAAUUUGCAACAUUUCAUAUAACUUAUUACCAAAAGUCAUCUUCAAAAAGUUAUUAAAAUAAGGAAGGAAGAAGAUUAAAAGAAAAUUUAAACUUUUUAUUUUAUAGUAGUAAAAAAUAAAUUUUAAAAUACUUUUUAGUAAAAAGGGAAAGAAAAUAGUGAAUAUUUUUAUUUUAAAUAGUAUUUUAAUCAUUAAAUUAUUUACUUCUAAAAUGUAAAAGAUAAUUUUUUUAUUUAUUUAAAUUAACAUUUUUUGAGAAAGUAUUUUCCAAAAUAGUUUUUGAAUCAUUAAUAUAAUUUUUGUUUAUUUAUAAUUUUAAAAUAGAAAAUAAUGUUGAUUUUUCAAUUAUUUAUAAAAGAGUUUUAAAAAAAAAUGGUUAAAUAAAAAUGAAUUUGUUAAUAGUGGCAUAUGGAGAGUUGUGAAAUGAAGACAAAAAUGAGUUAAAAGGAUAUUUUUGUCAAUUACUAUUUCAUAUCCUUGAAAUCAAUUAUGGGUGUUAGGAAUACCUUACAUCAAUCAUCAAAUGCCGGCACAAUUCUCCCCUAGAUCUAUAUUGACCAUAGAUUUUGUAUGCUAAUACUAAAUAAAAUUAAAAUAUAUUUAUCACAUAAUUUUUAUGUUUAUGUUAUAUUUUGUUUUAAAUUUUUGUUAGAAGAAAUCCUAUUAUGACAACAAUAACAGAUGAGAAAAAAACCAAACAUAAUACAUAUACUUCACUCUCAAAUGUGGGAGACAUGUCACUUUGUUGUUCCAAAAUUUCCACUAUCAUAAAAAAUAAAAAUAAAAUAAAAAAAGUGUGAUCUCACCUUUUACAUGUCUCCUUUAUCAUAAAAUCAGAAUAAUUGAAUGUGGUUUUGGCUUCACCAUGGUUCUAGAUUUUUUGCUUGAUUAAAAUUUUUAAUUUUCUGUUUACAUCAAAAUAAAAUAGAAAUAUAUUUUUCAUAAUAAAAUUGUAUUAAAUAUUUUAUAUUAAUUUUCUUUUAGUUUUAAAAUAUUAUUACGGCUCUCUGCUCUUAAAAAAUAAAAGACAAAAGAUUUAGUUUCAAUUUGGUAACUAUUUUCAAAAAUAAUUUUUUUUUUUUAAAAAAAAAAGAAAAACCAAGAAAACAUGUUUGACAACUAAAAAAAAUAUGAAACAAUUUUUUUUUUUAUCUUAAAAACAAAAAUAUGGUAUUUUUUGAAAACUUCUUUUAGUCGUUUUCACUUGGUUUUUUAGGGCUAUUUUUUUUAAAAAUAAGUAUACAAAUAUGGAGAAUGAUUAAAAAUAAAACACUACAUAUAAAAUUUAUUGUUAAAAUGUAUUUAAAAACAUAGAAAACAAGUUAAAAAUAUUUCAGGUUUCAAAACAAGCUUUUGGUCUACAAAAUAUCAAAGACCAAAUUUCAAAAACUAUUCCGAAAAACUAUUUUUUAAAAACGCUUCCUAAACAAAGCAUUAAUAACUCACUUUUGCUUCACCAAAAUUUGAAAAAAAAAAUUAAAAUUUUAUAUUUCAUUAAUUUUAGUUUGAAAAAUAAAUAAUUGAUUUAUUAUUAAGGAAAAAGGUUUACUAGUAAGAUUAAAUGUUUAUAAAAUGUCAACCAUUAUAAGAUAAUGAAAUUAAUUUUAAAAAAAUAUACAUCUAAUAUGUAAUUCUAAUUUGUAGAAAAGAUUUUUUAAUCAAUCCCCUCUCUAAUAUUAAUUUAAAUUUUUUUAAAUUGUGUAAAAUUAUUGUUAUAAAUAAAUUUUUCUUUAACGUAAGGAUAAGGCCACCAAGUGUUUGUUUUUAUUUAUUUAUUUAUUUUAUGAUUUUUUUUCUUUUUAAAUUAAUGGCAAUUUUUUUUUUUUUUUUUUGAGGUGUUAUACUUUUUUGGGGUGAGUAGUAUGAGAAAAUAAGGUUGAUCUUAAUUAGGAAAACAUCUAAGAUGGGGGGAGCGGGGUUGAAUUGAGUUUUUAAAAAAUCUUUUUUAAACACAACAAAUUCAAGAAAAAGAAGCACAAAUAUAAAGAGAUAAAGUUAGAGGAAGCAAACAUAGAUUUUAUAGUGGUUCGACACUCCUUACUUAUGUCCACUCCCCUCAAGCUCCUAACUGAGUGAGAGUUCCACUAUCCUUGAAGCUUCAACCAAGCUUCCAACGUCUUUACACUUGGAUUCCGAUUCCAAUGGCUCUUACACAAUCCUUCAAGUAUUCACUAAUUUGAAGCUUUCUAUUCACAUGAUCUCACUUAAAAAUAAUGAAGGAAACUCUUAACCUAACUUAAUAAAGGCUCAAAUACAACCGAAAUGCUAGGAAGAAUGACAAGAGUGCACUAAAGAGUAUGCAAGUAAGGAUUUAAUGCAUCAAGGAGAGAAUGAGAGCUUUUAAGAGAAAAACAUGUAGUUAAACAAUUGAAUUCAGGUGUUCUCAUGUUCAUAAAUGAAGUAAAACUCUCAAUUUAUAAGUUCUAACCUCGGGAGCCAAAAUUGCCAAAAAGUUAGCCUUGACUGGUUAAGUUAGAGGUCAACUGGUUGACUAGUCAUUGGGCAAUAAAUGUAUGGUAGGUGACCGUCAAGCCUCAACCAGACCUUAACUAGACCUCAACUAGGAAAACCUGCCAUCGAUCGGGAAUGCAUAGCUAUUGGAAGAGAGAUAAUACUUUUUGCAUCCCUCAAUCGGUCUUCAACUAGGAAGGCUUAAUUGAUCGACUAGUACCCUAACCAGUUGAGCCGGUUGGAUAGUCCCAUGAUUGAUUUACCUAUUUUGGUCUGAAAACCUAUUUUUUUUAUAUUCCUUUUAUUUUUAACACUUAGGCAAAGUCUUUAAGAGUAUUAAUAGAUUAAAUUUAAAACAAUUUGCAUAAGGUUUGUAUAAGAAAACUUAGGUUUUAAUGGAAAUUUAAUUUUAAUUAAUAAACCAAGUUUUUUAAAAAUGCAUAAAAAGAUAUGAAAAUCCUAAGUGUAUGCAUUCAUUUAUCUUACAUAUGUUUCUUAAGAUUAGAAAGCCUUCUAUAUGUUUCAAUCUUGUAUCCAUUGGAUCCUUUGAUAAGUUUCUUGGAUAUCCUUUUGAAUUUCCAAACUAAAACUUGAAAUUCUUUUAAUUUAAAAUAAUUAACAACUUAACCAUGGUUUGUUAUCAUUAAAACAUGAUUAGGAGAACCUUUGGGCUAACAUAGUAUGUUAAUGAGCCUAUUUAUUUUUCAAAUUUUUUAUAUGAUUAUUUAAUGAGAUUAUUGUUCAAUUACUAUGGAUGCAAUUUAGGGAAGACAAAGACCCUAAUUAUUUUAUUUAUUUUUAUUGUUUGCAACCUUAAUGAAUUAUUUUGAGUUAUGUUAUUUAAAUUUUUGGAUUAAUUUUAUAUAAUAUAUUAUUGUGACAUUAUAAUAUAAAAAUAAGUAAUAUAAUUAUUUUGUUACCUUCAAUUCUAUUACUAUAGCUAUUUGAUAGACAAUAUUAAUUUAGUAAUGUUAUUUUAAUAGUUUAAACCAUAGGAAAUAUAAUCUAAGCUUAAAAUAUUAAUAUUUAUGUUUUUUAAAUGAUAUAUAAUGUACUUAUUUUUCUAAGGAAUGUAUUUAUUUUUAAGCUAAGAUGUACUUAUUUUCAAAUAGGAUGCACUUAUUUUUUCCAAUGACGUACCUAGUAUCAAAGCAUGAUAGAUGAGAUGUGUGAACAUCAUAAAUGCAUGCCUAGACCUAUAAAAAUGGAUGAUCUUGUCCAAUAUCUUGUUCGAUAUGCUUUGAUAAAAGGUACAUCGUUGGCAAAAAUAAAUAUAUCCUAUUUGAAAAUAAGUACAUCUUGUUUAAAAAUAGGUACACCAUAUGUAUAUCAUGCAUGUGACUCAUUUGCUCUAAUUUGGACAUGAUCUUCCAUUUUUGUAGGCCUAGGCAUGCAUUUAUUGACAUAAGCUAUAUUGGAAAAGGGCUUUCACUUUUAUGGGCCUUGGAAUACAUUUGAAGCUUUCAGACAUCCCAUUUUGCAUCCUAGAACCCUAGGUACAUCAAUUGGAAAAAUAGAUACAUGGCAUUGAAAAAUAAGCACAUCUUCACAAAAAAUAAGUACAUCUCAUUUAAACUAUAUACCUAACGCAUUUGUCCUAUUUUGGACAUGAGCUUUUACUUUUAUAGGCCUCAAGAUGUAUUUAAGGUCUUCCCAUAUCCCAUUUUGUAUCCUAGAACCUUAGGUACAUCCCUUGGAAAAAUAGGUACAUUGUGUUAAAAAAAUAUGUACAUCUUCUGAAAAAUAAGUACUUUGCAUUUAAAUUGUAUAACUGACUUAUUUGGCCAAUUCUAAGUAUGAGUUUCACUUUUAUAGGUCUUGAGAUGCAUUUGAGGCCUUCACACAUCCCAUUUCACAUCGUAGAACUUUGGGUAUAUCCUUAGGAAAAAUAAAUACAUCAUAUAGCAAAAUAGUACAUUCCCUUAAAAAAUAAGUACAUAUUAUUUUCAUUGUAUGGGUGACUUGUUUGGCUUAUUCCUAUCAUACACUUUCACUUUUAUAGGUCUCAGAAUGCUUUUGAGGCCUUCACACAUCUCAUUUCUCAUUCUAGAACCUUGGGUACAUCCCUUGAAAAAAUAGGUUCAUCUUGUUGAAAAAUGAGUACAUCAUCUUAAAGCAUAAGCACAUCAAAUUUACAUUGUAUAACUGAUUUAUUCUACUUCUUAUACACAUUCAUUAUUUAUUUGAGUUAUAGGUUCAAGUGACUAAUCCUGGAACAAGCAUAAAGCAUAAUCAAGUUGCUUAACUUUACUUAUGUAGUACUAGUUAAGCACGACACAUUAUGGUAUAUCAUUCAUGAAUAUGAAUAGGUAUAAGACUCAUCAUUCAUUCUAUAGGAAAAAGGGUACAUUUUAUUAACACUAUGUACGCAAGUCAUUUGAUAGUAAUUAAGACAACAUGUAUGUUCUUUGUCCUAUCACGCAUUAAAAAAAAAUUAGUUUAGUUUUUAAGAUCAAUUUCAUUAUUAUUUGGUUUCGAUGUUAUGUAGCUAUUUUUUUCCUAUGGAUGUACAAAAGGUUCUAUGAUAUACUAAUUUUUCCGUGUCCAAAAUAGGCCAAAUGAAUAACUUAAUGUAAUGUAAAUGCAAUGUACUUAUUUUUUAAGUGAAUGUACUUAUUUUUUAACACGAUGUACUUAAUUUUCCAAUGGAUGUAACUAUGGGUUCUAGGAUGUGGAACAAGAUAUGGGAAUACCUCAAAUGCAUCUCGAGGCCUGUAAAAGUGCAAGCUCAUGUCCAAAAUAGACUAAAUGAGUCACCUAUACAAUUUAAAUAUUUAAGAGGGCGUAAUUAAUUUUCAACACAACGUACCUAUUUUUCCAAGGGAUGUACCUAGGUUCUAGGAUGCUUAAUGAGAUAUGGGAAGACCUUAAAUGCAUCUUGAGGCCUAUAAAAAUAAAAGCCCAUGUCCAAAAUAAGGAGAAUGUCACCUUUACAAUGUAAAUGCAAUGUACUUAUUUUUUAAGUGGAUUCACUCAUUUUUCAACACGAUGUACUUAUUUUUCCAAGGAAUAAACUUAUUUGCAACACAAUGUACUUAUUGUCUAUGUAGGACGCCCAGAACUUGACCUGAGCUCUCUGGUAUGGGUUACUAGGCAAUAAGGAUGGCAACGGGGCGGGUUUUUUAGGGUACCCGUCCCGCCUCGCCCCUAAUGGAAUGGGGUUUAAAUUUAAUAAACAGGUUUAGGACGAGUAUGAGAUUUUUUUUAAAAUUCGUGGCAGGUUCGGGUAUUGCCCAAUCCCGCCUCGUCCCACCCCGUUUACAUAUAAAAUUAAUUUUAAAAUUAAAUUUAAUUUAAAAUUUUAUUUUACUAUUUUUAAUAUAUAAAUAAUAAUAGAAAAUUUUAAUAAAAUAAGUUAUUAAAAAUAUAAUAAUUUUAUUAUUUAUAAAUUAUAUUUAUUUUAAUGUAAUUAAAAAAAAAAAAAAAGCUAAACGGGGCAGGGCGGGUUGGGUUUGGGAAUUUCCCAUACCCGCCCCGCCCCGCCCCGCACCGUUUAAUUUUUUAAAUGGGACGAGGAUGGGAGGGACCCGUCCCGAACCCGCCCCGUUGCCAUUCCUACUAGGCAACAACGGAGAUUUAUCGUUCCAAAGCUCAUCAAUAUACUGAACUAUUAUCAUAGACUCACAAAUGGGCUUUCGAUUGUGGAUCAGAAUUGGGAUUUUCUUAUGAGCUGGGUUCAUCUCAAGAAGCAGAGGGCUCUUGUUCCUCGGGUCCUCCUCUCUAUAUUCAACUGUGACCCUAAUACCAAACAUGAUAGGCCAGAAAUCCGAGAAGAUAAUCUCGUCUGCCAUUGCUACUACUGAUAAGAUUCAAACUCAAGCAUUGAUGAACAACACAAGGGAAAUUGUUGAGUAUUUACAGCAAAUUUCAGGGAGUGGGUUAAACCCUUGGAAACUUCUAGGAGGUGGUGAUGCUCAUUAAUCCCUUAUCUAAGUUUUCAUUUUCCUUUCUAAACUAUAUUCUUAUCUCCGUAUCUCUCCAAAAUUCCUAUAUUUUCAGUUUAUUUAUUUAUCAGCCAAGUAUUUUUAAUUAAAUAUAAUGCUUUCAAAAUUUUUAAAAAAUUAGAAAAUUAUACUUCAAUCAUUUGUACAAAAAUAAUUUAAUUUUAAAAUUAUUAUCAUAUUUGAUAAUUUUAAUUUUACAACUUACCUUUAAAUCCAAAAAUAUUAUCAGAUAGAAAGAAAUUUAGUGUUUAUUUUUGUAAUAUCUGCAUUCAAAAAAAUAUCAGCAGAUUUAUUUAUUUUUUAAAAUUUAUUAAACUUUAAUUUUAUUCCAUAGGAAAAUUCUAUAGAUUUUUAAAAAAUAAUAUUUCUAAAAAAAUAUAAAUAUAAAUAUAAAUAAAUUACAUUUUAGUUGUUCAAUAAAGAAUGCAAUCGUGGGUUGACACUCAAUGUGAAGAAAAUAUGAAUAAAUAAGAAAAAAUAAAAUAAAAUAAUAAAUAGAGUUUAUGAUAAAAUGAAAAAUUUUUCUCAAUAAGAGUGAAAAAAAAUGACAAUGUUUGCUUUGGUAUGAUUGGUAGACAACGAUAGAAGUAAAAUAAAUAAAUAAAUUAUGAAGUGUACCAUGGAGGAAAAAAAAUUAAUUAGGGUAGUUGGGAAAAAAAAAUAUAUGUUGAUGUAUUACUAUAAAUUAGGGAUAAUAUAUUAAAAAGAAAAGAAUAAAUUAAUAGGAUAUGAUGUAAAAUUCUUGUUACGUUAGAAUAGGUUUUUAUUAGUGAGAUUUAUCUUAUUUGUUUAGGCAAAUUAUAACUUUAAUUAUAAAGAAAUUUUAUUUUGUGAAAAAUAUUAUUUCUAUUAUGUAUUAUGAUAUCUCACCUUAUAAGUUAAGAGGGGUUGCGUUAUUAACUUUCAUUGCCUAGUUGUAUGAAGAUUGGACAAUCUAGUUAAUUGGGGCAAUUAUUGAAUUUGUUGUACCCUUUGAUUGGCUAGUCUCUUUUAACUUGAAGGGUCAUAUGUUUCCAAGGGUCCCAUUAGUUUCGAGAAAAUUUAUUCAUGUUUAAUAUGUUGAGCUAAAGUUCACUAUCUUUGCCUUUUAAAACCCCUUUCAAAUAUCCUAGAUGUAGAGAUAAUAAUACAUUAGGGCCAAGGGUUCUUAUUAGUUUUUUUUUUUAAGAUAUAUAUAUAUAUAUAUAUAUAUAUAUAUAUAUAUAUAUAUAUAUAUAUAUAACCUUAAAGUCUUUGUUUAGACAUGUUGAUUUAGAUUAUAUGUUAUGUUUUAAUUUUCAACUUGACUUGAACUAAAUUAGUAUUUCAUAGUUAUGUGAAUCAUUAAACUUCUAUAUUAGAAAGAUAGCUUUAGCUCUAUGAUUUCACUCUAAAAGGAGUAUUUAUGACUUUUGUUCACUUUGACCAUUUAGUCAUUUUUCUAAAUAGUAAUUCAUUCAUACUAAUAUGUUCAUGUAUUAUUGUAAAUCAAGGAUAAUGUAUUAAAAAGAAAACAAUAAAUUAAUAGGAUAUGAUGUAAAAUUCUUGUUACAUUUGAAUAGGUUUUUAUCAGUGAGAUUUAUCUUAUUCGUUUAGGUGAAUUAUAACUUUAAUUAUAAAGAAAUUUUAUAUUGUGAAAAAUAUUAUUUCUAUUAUGUAUUAUGAUAUCUCACCUUAUUUAAGAGGGGUUGCGUUAUUAACUUUCAUUGCCUAGUUGUAUGAAGAUUGGACAAUCUAGUUAAUUGGGGCAAUUAUUGAAUUUAUUGUACCCUUUGAUUGGCUAGUCUCUUUUAACUUGAAGGGUCAUAUGUUUCUAAGGGUCCCAUUAGUUUGGAGAAAAUUUGUUCAUGUUUAUUAUGUUGAGUUAAAGUUCACUAUCUUUGCCUUUUGAAACCCCUUUCAGAUACCCUAGAUGUAGAUAAUAAUACAUUAGGGCUAAGGGUUCUUAUUAGUUUAGUGUUUUUUUUAAGAUAUAUAUAUAUAUAUAUAUACACCUUAAAGUCUUUGUUUAGACAUGUUGAUUUAGAUUAUAUGUUAUGUUUUAAUUUUCAACUUGACUUGAACUAAAUUAGUAUUUCAUAGUUAUGUGAAUCAUUAAACUUCUAUAUUAGAAAGAUAGCUUUAGCUCUAUGAUUUCACUCUAAAAGGAGUAUUUAUGACUUUUGUUCACUUUGACCGUUUAGUCAUUUUUCUAAAUAGUAAUUCAUUCAUACUAAUAUGUUCAUGUAUUAUUGUAAAUCAAGGAUAAUGUAUUAAAAAGAAAACAAUAAAUUAAUAGGAUAUGAUGUAAAAUUCUUGUUACAUUUGAAUAGGUUUUUAUCAGUGAGAUUUAUCUUAUUCGUUUAGGUGAAUUAUAACUUUAAUUAUAAAGAAAUUUUAUAUUGUGAAAAAUAUUAUUUCUAUUAUGUAUUAUGAUAUCUCACCUUAUUUAAGAGGGGUUGCGUUAUUAACUUUCAUUGCCUAGUUGUAUGAAGAUUGGACAAUCUAGUUAAUUGGGGCAAUUAUUGAAUUUAUUGUACCCUUUGAUUGGCUAGUCUCUUUUAACUUGAAGGGUCAUAUGUUUCUAAGGGUCCCAUUAGUUUGGAGAAAAUUUGUUCAUGUUUAUUAUGUUGAGUUAAAGUUCACUAUCUUUGCCUUUUGAAACCCCUUUCAGAUACCCUAGAUGUAGAUAAUAAUACAUUAGGGCUAAGGGUUCUUAUUAGUUUAGUGUUUUUUUUAAGAUAUAUAUAUAUAUAUAUAUAUACACCUUAAAGUCUUUGUUUAGACAUGUUGAUUUAGAUUAUAUGUUAUGUUUUAAUUUUCAACUUGACUUGAACUAAAUUAGUAUUUCAUAGUUAUGUGAAUCAUUAAACUUCUAUCUUAAAAAGAUAGCUUUAGCUCUAUGAUUUCACUCUAAAAGGAGUAUUUAUGACUUUUGUUCACUUUGACCGUUUAGUCAUUUUUCUAAAUAGUAUUUCAUUCAUACUAAUAUGUUCAUGUAUUACUGUAAAUAAGGGAUAAUGUAUUAAAAAGAAAGAAUAAAUUAAUAGGAUAUGAUGUAAAAUUCUUGUUCCAUUAGAAUAGGUUUUUGUCAGUGAGAUUUAUCUUAUUCGUUUAGGUGAAUUAUAACUUUAAUUAUAAAGAAAUUUUAUAUUGUGAAAAAUAUUAUUUCUAUUAUGUACUAUGAUAUCUCACCUUAUUUAAGAGGGGUUGCGUUAUUCACUUUCAUUACCUAGUUGUAUGAAGACUGGGCAAUCUAGUUAAUGGGGCAAUUAUUGAAUUUAUUGUACCCUUUGAUUGGCUAGUCUCUUUUAACUUGAAGGGUCAUAUGUUUCUAAGGGUCCCAUCAGUGUGGAGAAAAUUUGUUCAUGUUUAUUAUGUUGAGCUAAAGUUUACUAUCUUUGCCUUUUAAAACCCCUUUUAGAUACCCUAGAUGUAGAUAAUAAUACAUUAGGGCUAAGGGUUCUUAUUAGUUUAGUUUUUUUUUUAAUAUAUAUAUAUAUAUAUUAUACCUUAAAGUCUUUGUUUAGACAUGUUGAUUUGGAUUAUAUGUUAUGUUUUAAUUUUCAACUUGACUUGAACUAAAUUAGUAUUUCAUAGUUAUGUGAAUCAUUAAACUUCUAUAUUAGAAAGAUAGCUUUAGCUCUAUGAUUUCACUCUAAAAGGAGUAUUUAUGACUUUUGUUCACUUUGACUAUUUAGUCAUUUUGCAUGUUUUACCUUUCUAUUAGAUUUUCAAAAUUAACAAGGUCACCCUCGACCUCAAGGUAAUUUGGGUGUUACAAAGAUGUAUAAACACUCUCCUAAUAAAUUAAACCAUGUAAUUCACAAAGCUAGAAAUUAUAUCAAAUUAUUUAAGAUAUUAAUGGUAAAAAAAAAAAAAAAAUCAUAGCUAAAAAUGGAUCAAUCCUACAUAAAGCUUAAUCAAUCUUAAAAGAUGGUACUAAAAAUACCUAGUAAGAAAGGGCCACCCAAGACUCCCAAAUCUUCUUUUAAAAAAAUGAUAACCAUUAGUUUGGAAAAACCUAACUGAUUCAAUUUCAUCCAUCCAUUAUCCUAACUACAUACUUAAUCUUUAAAUGUUUUUAACACAUUGAUUUUCAUCAGGCAUGUUAUUUAAGGAAGGAUUUGGAAAACCCAAAUUGGGAAUACAUUUAGGAAUUUUUUAACCAAAAUUAUCAACCUAAUUGAAACUCAUUGGAUAAGUCUCAAAUUCUUAUAUUUUAUAUAAAAGUUUGAUUUCCAUUUUUAAAAACAGAAAAUAACAAGUGUAUCCAAAUGAGCACUUAAGAAUUUAUUUUUUCUUUAUAAAAUAAAUCAAUCAUAAAAAUUAUUCUAGAAAUAAUUUUGAGAAGCAUGAAAACAAUCCAAAAUGUAUUCUAUCUAUGGUACAUGAUUAAAGAGAUUUCACAUUGGCAUAAUAAGAAAAAAUUGAACCUAUAUUAGGAAAUGUAAACUUACAACUACAUGAAGAAUCAUUCUUAACGCGUAAAAAUAAGGGAAAGAUUUGCCACGUCCUUGACUAAUUCACAAUGUUUUCAGAACCAGAUCGGUCAUUAAAUCAGAAAAGUUACUGGUUCACAGUUCAUUGGUCGGAUUGGCGGUCAAACUGGUGAUGUCAUAAAUACAUAUUUUAUAUAUUAUUAAAAUUUUUAAAAAUUAAUAAAUUCUAUCUAAAUUUUGAUAGCAUCUACUCUGUUUGUUAAGUUUUUUCACAAAGUUUUUUACCUGUAAAAGUCGUUAAUCAUCAUAUAUCAUAUCUAUAACACAAUAUAAGAUGUUAUACAUUCAUAAUGUCAAUCAACCCAAUUUUUAUCAAAUAGUCAAAGCAUUGCUACCCUUCAUCCAAAUAUGAGCAAUAAACCAACAAUGACCAAAUUAUUAAAGAGUUGUUAACAUAUUAUCCAUAAUAGAUAAUACAAAUGUCAACCACAACACUUAAAUAGUUACUCAAAAUAUAACAUGUCAAUGUUUGAGUAUACAAAGCACAUAAUAAAAAAAAAUUCUUUUUAAACACAAUAAAAUUAAGCUUAAGAAGCACACAAACAAAGAGAUAAGGUUAUACAAAGCACACUCAAAUUUAUAGUGGUUCAACACUUCCUUGCCUACAUCCACUCUCCGCAAGCUCCUAACCAAGUGAGGGUUCCACUUAUACUUGAAGCUUCAACCAAGCUUCCAAUCACUUUUUACACUGGGAUUUAGGCUCCAAUGGGCUCUUACACAACAUCUUCAAGUCGCUACUCACUUUAAGGUUUUAACACUCUAUUAACAAGUUUGAAUCUCUCAACCUAGCUCAACAAUGGCUCAAAUAGGUUAGGAUGAAUCACAAAGGUGCACUAAAGAAUAUGCAAAUGGAUAUUUAAUGCAUCAAUAAAAGAAUAAGAGCUUUUAUGGCAAGAAAAAAUAGGUAAACAGAUAAAUAAAGGUGUUCUCUUGUUCAUAAAUGAAGUGGAGCUUUCAAUUUAUAGCUUUCUAACCUCGGGAGCCAAAAAGUCAAAAAGCAACCUCGAUCGGUCGAGUUGGGGAUCGACCGAUUCACUAGCCAUUGGAGCAUUAAAUGCUUAGUAGGUGACUGUUACCCUUGACCGGACCUCGAUCGGGAAAAUAUAUCCCUCGAUCAUGAAAAAAGGGCUACUGGAAGAGAAAGAAGGUUUUUUACAUCUCUUGACCGAGAUGGAGUAACCGGUCGACCGGUUCACUAUUUUUUACCCACAAAAACCUAUCUUUUUCUAGUCUUUUUGCUUCUAGCACUUAGGCAAGGUCUUUAGGUACAAUAAUAUGCCAAUUUAGAAAUGUUUUGCUUAAGGUUCAUUUGAUAGAACUCAAAUUUUGAUGGAAAUGUGACUUUAAUGCAUAAACUGAGUUUUCAAAGAUGCAUGAAAUGAUAUGAAAAUCCUAAGUACACCCAUGCAUUCAUCUUACAUAGUUUCCUAUGAUUAAAAAGUCUUUCAAAAGUCUUGAUCUUGCAUCCAUUAGGUCCUUUAAUGAAUUUCCAAAUUAACACCUGGAAUUCUUUAUAGUUCAAACUAAUUAGUAACUUAACCAUGGUUUGUUAUCAUCAAAACACAAUUAGAAGAGCCCUUAGGCUAACAAUCUCCCAUUUUUUUAUGAUGACAAACCUUGGUUAUCUAGGAGAAGAAUAAUCUCCCCCUCAAACCAAUCAUGGAUCAACAAUCAAUAUUUAAGAACUUAAAAUCAAGAUGAUCAAGACAUAUUAGAGAGAAAGAGCUUAAAACCAAGAUGAUCAAGACAUAUUAGAGAGAAUUUGCAACAAGAAACAAUGUAAGUCAUCAAAUAUAUAGGCAUAUCAUAUAUCAUAAGUCAAAUGUAUCAUUGUCCAAUAUGUACGAUCUAAAAAAAAUGUAUGUGUGAGUCUCCUAUAUCUAGUUUCCUAGAUCUUAAAAUAUCUCUCCCUUUUGGAAACAUCAAAAAGGAAAAAAUGGGGGUCUCUAACGAAUCAAGGCAAAUGAGGUGGAGAUGGAAACACAAAACGCAGAUAAAUCAUCAUCUCUUCAUGCUAACUCUCCAAGCGAUCAUCAAUAUGAUCAAUCCUCUACUGGAGAUACUCAAACUGCGAAAUGAAAACAACCUAAUACUGAUCCAUACGAUCCUUUAUGGAGUAAAAACGUGUAUCACUAACCACAACAAGCUCCUCCAUGUGAGUGCCAAGAGAGCUGAUCUGAGCAGAUAAAUCCAUCCAUGGAGCAUGGUUAGGAACGAGAGGUGCUUGAGGAGGUGGUAUCUCAGUAUGGGUAGGCUCAAUGAAUGCAAGUCUAAAGUAGGAAGGUUUAGUGUAUGACAGUUGAGUAGAUGGACCCUCUAUAAAAGUCGGCUCAGUCAUCAUCGGCUCAAAGAAGGUAGUCUCAAACUGAACACCUCCGGUCAAUGAGGGAGUCUCUGUUUGGAGUGGGGCAAUGUUAAGCUUGGGUCUUCUCUACUGAUAGCCACUCUAAGGAUCUACUCCACCCUCCAUCUCUUGAAUCUCUUCCUUCUCUUCAACUUUAGGAUGUGCUUGUCACUAUCCCCGGGCCUGUGUUAGUGCUCUCUCUGCUUUUCUCACCCAAGAACCAUCUAGGGCCUUCUUAAAUUUCAUCAUCCCCAUGGACCGAUCAUCAUAUGUAUCAUAUGCACUAGGGGCCUCAAAAUCUGUCUCUUUACUCAGGUCAACGCCGACAUCCUUUAAUACUCUGGUAAGAAAACGGUCGUAGGGGAGUGCACGAAUUGUGCUCUCGCAACAUGCAAUCAUGUGCAUCAUCAUCAAAUAUCCCAAAUGGAUCCGUCUCCUAGUUAGAAUGGAAUUUAUAAGAAAUGCCUCAUAAUAAGAGACCUCAUCUCGGUGUCUACCCCAUGGUAAAAGAAUAGAGCAUGACAUAUGUUAAUGACUAUCAAGUUGUGAAUUGAGGAUUUGCCCAUCUUGUGGGCGUCUAGAAGUCCACAAAUCCUCUAAAUGGCCUCUUUAGGCUCAAAUCUCGGCAUAGUGGGCCAUGUCUUAGACUCAUAUACUAUGAGUCCAAUUGGAGCAAUAUCAAAGAUACGACAGAUUUCCUUUAGGUCUAGACGAAUCUCAACUCCUCUAACAGUAGAUGUGAUCAGGCAACCCAUGCCAUAAGUCACCCUCGAGUAAAAUGCUCGCACCAAUUUCAAAAAAAUCGGCUCAAAAAUAGUAAUAACCGACGACCAGCCCAUCCUCGUGAAUAAUCCCUCAAAUCCAAAGUGUUGAAGCUAGGGAAAGUUGAUGUUUCUCCUGGGAACUACUCAUCUCUGAGCAAAAUGCUACUUGUACCAUUGGUAGUCCUCCAUGGUAUUGAACAAGCCGAUGCCAAACAGUGCUUUUUGGCGUGCCUCUAGCUGAGACGACUCAACUAGGUACUUGCCUUGUGCCCUGGAGGCUACGAGCUCUCGUUUAGGGGCCAUAGAAGAAGGGAACAAAGCAAGAUGAAGAGAAAGAAUUGGUAGAGGCUCACACUUGAAACGCUGAUGAACGAAAAUGGAAAUGGAUCGGUGUUGGAGUUGAUUGUGAUGCACUGAAGGAAGAGAAAAUGACCCAAAAUGGAAACCUUAGCCUUCAAAGUCUUCAAAACUCUUCGAAAAUCAGGUCAAUAAGUCCGAAAGGCACUGAAAUUAGUCUCUAAAAGCCAAAACCAAAAAAACCCUGAAGAAUGGAGGAGAACAAUGCAUAAAAAAAAGUGCGGAAGCCUCUUAAAAUUCCCAGCCCUGAUGAACCGAUCGAUCGACUGAGGAUCAGUUAACCGUCUAGUCAACGCAGUUAAUGAUUUUGACUUUCCAAUUUUUGCACACUUUUUCAUUUUGUGAUCUCCCUACCCUUUUCAAUUAAAUUCCUCAAUUUUUGAUGCCUAAUGCCAAGGGAAUUUUGAUAAUGGUCAAAAAUUGACCAUUAUCUAAGUAUAUGUCUAUAUGAUGUAUAUGACAUGAAAUUUAUGCAAUCAUAAGGUAUAUCAUCAAGAAUUCAUUAAGCAAAAAUUUGAUCAUAAUGAAAUCACCCCUAGUUGUCUUCUAAUAUCAACAAUUUUUUCUUCACUUAGAGGUUUUAUAAAGAUAUUGACAAGUUGAUCUUUAGUGCUUACAAAUUCAAGUGUUAUGUCAUCUUUUUGUGCAUGAUCUCUAAGAAAGUGAUGUCUAAUCUCUAUAUGCUUAGUCCUAGAGUGUUGCACGAGAUUUUUUUAUAUACUUAUGGAACUAGUAUUAUCACAUUUAAUAGGUACAUGCUCAAAAAAUAAAUCAAAAUCUCUAAGUGUUUGUUUGAUCCACAUGAUUUGUGCAUAACAUAAACCGGCUGCUAUGUAUUCAGUUUCUACCAUUGACAAAGCAACUGAAUUUUGUUUCUUACUAUGCCAAGAAAUAAGUGAGUGUCCUAAUAAAUGACAAUUGCCACUAGUGUUUUUUCUUUAACCUUACAACUGGCAAAAUCAGCAUCCGAAAAACCAAUUAGUUCAAAGUUAUCACUCUUAGGAUACCAUAACCCUAUGUCCAUUGUCCUUUUCAAAUAUUUGAGAAUUCUUUUUACGACACUUAAGUGAGAUUCUUUGGGACAAGAUUGAAAUCUAUCACACAAGCAUACACUAUAUAUAAUAUCAGGUCUACUAGCGAUCAAGUAUAGCAAAGAACCUAUCAUGCCUUUAUACAUAGUAGAGUCAAUGGAUUUACCUUUCUCAUCCUUAUCAAGCUUGAUGGAUGAGCUCAUUAGAGUCUUCACUGUUUUAGCUUCCUCCAUGUUGAAUUUUUUGAGAAGAUCUCUUAUAUACUUUGCUUGAUUGAUGAAGGUUCCUUCAUUUAGUUGCUUGAUUUGAAGUCUAAGGAAGAAGUUGAGUUCUCCCAUCAUGCUCAUUUCAAACUCACUAUGCAUGCACUUAUCAAAUUCUUCACAAAGAGAGACAUUAGUAGGACCAAAAAUGAUAUCAUCAACAUAUAUUUGAACUAAAAGCAUAUCAUUUUCUUUGGAUUUUAUGAAAAUAGUUGUGUCAAUUUUUUCCAUUUUAAAACCAUUUUCCAAAAAAAAAUAAAAAUUGUUCAAUCUUUCAUACCAUGCUCUUAGUGAUUUUUUCAAACCAUAAAGUGUAUUUCUAAGUUUAAAAACAUGGUUAGGAAAGUUGAAACUUUGAAAUUCGGUUGGUUGUUCAACAUACACUUCUUCAUUUAUAAAACCAUUAAAAAAAAAACACUUUUCACAUCCAUUUGAUAUAAAAUAAAGUCUUUAAAACAUGCAAAGGCAAGUAGCAUCCUAAUGGAUUCCAACCUAGCUAUGGGGGCAAAGGUUUCUUUAUAAUCUAUCACUUUUUCUUGAUUAAAACAGUGGGCUACCAACCUUGCUUUGUUUCUAACAAUUAUGUCAUUUUCAUCAAUUUUAUUUUUAAAGACCUAUCUAGUUCCAAUAACACUUUGAUUUGAAGGUCUUGGUACUAAUUCCCAUACUUCACUUCUUUCAAAUUGAUUUAACUCUUCUUGAUUAGCAGUCAUCCAAUUUUUAUAAUUUAAAGUAUCAUUUAUAAUUUUAAGCUCAAUUUGAGAGAUAAAAGCUAGAUUAUUGCAAAUGUUUCUAAGAAAUGAUCUAGUUGUUACUCCACUAGAUGGAGGUUUCAGUUGCAAGUUGAUAUUUAAAUGUUAUAAUAAUAAUAAUAAUAAUAGGAUCUUGGGUUUUUUUUGGCUAAAAGUGAUAUUAAAAUAAUGAAAGAACCUAGAGAGAGAUUGGGUUCUACUAAGGUUUUGGGCCUUGGUGUAAAAGGCUAUUGGGCCUUUUGGGCUUAAUGCAUAAACAAUGGCCCAUUUUGAAUACUAAGGGUUGGGUUUCUAAUGAAGCCCACUAAAGUUUGGGUUUAAAUAUGGAUUGACCGGUAAUGGCCUAGAAAUAAAAUUUGUUGGGCCAUGGGGCUCAAUGUGGGCAUGUGGACCAAUUUAGGCCCUUUUUGGCCUGAUUUGAAUUUGAAUUUGAAUUUUAUUGGGCAUGGAAUUGAUUGUGUUUUAUUUGGAUUUAGGCACUCAUUCAUAAUUUGAAACCUUUAAAUUAUUUUUAAAAUUAUCAUGUAAAUUUUAUACAUGCAAAAUAAAUAAUUAUAUAUUGUUUUAUAUGUUUGUAGCCUAAAUUAAAGUUGUAGCUUUUAAUGCAUGCAAUUAUUGCCUAAAUUUGUGUUAGAUAUAUUAAAAUUAUAUCAUAUGGUUUUAAUGUCUAAUGAAACCAUAUGAUUUUAAAUAAUUAAGGAAUAGCCACAGCAUCCUUAAUUAUAUAAAAUUAUAUAUUAGGUAAAUAAGGAUCACAUUAUGGACAUUAAUUGUAAUUAAUUAUAUAAAUAUGAUGGAUUUUACCCCACAAGGUUUUCAUUAUGUUUAUAUAAUUAAUUAGGAUAAAAUAUUAAAAUUAAUUUUUCCUAAUUUACCCACAGGAGUUAGGAAGAAUUAAUUUAAUAGGUUUAUCAUAAAGAUUAUAGAUAGAAAAUAUCAAACUAUAUUCAUAAUAAAUUUCAUAAUUCAAUAAAAUAGUUUGAUAAAGUCUAUCAUAAAGAUAAUGAAUCUAAUUGAAUUAAAGAUUUAGCCCACAUGCAAUUUUUAAUAAAAUUAGAUUCAAUUUUAAGCAUGUUCUACAUUGGUAAAGCAUGAAUUUAUAUUAAAGCCUCAAUUUUUUUUUUUAAGCUUGUAAUCUUUUUGUGCAGCUUUACCUAGCAUAUCUGAUAUUCGUUGUGAAGUUCCCGAACUUAGGGGAGAUAACUUUAAGAUAUGGAAGGAGAUAAUUCUUCUUCAAUUAGGGUGCAUGGACAUAGACUAUGCCAUAAGGAAAGAUGAACCACAUAAGAUCACUGAUACCAGCAUACCUAAAGAAAUACUAUUAUACGAACGCUGGGAGAAAUCUAACCGCCUCAGCGUGAUGUACAUUAAGACAAAAAUUAGUGCUAGUAUAUGUGGUUCGAUCAAGCAACAUGAGAAUGUCCGCGAAUUGCUCAAGGCUUUUGACGAGCAAUUCAUCACUUCAGAUAAAGCCUUGGCAAGCACCUUGAUUAUGAAGUUCACAUCCCUGAAGCUCACCGGUAUAAGAGGUGUAUGCAAACACAUUAUGGAGAUAAAGGACAUAGUGGCUCAAUUGAAGAAGCUCGAGGUAGAAAUGUCUGAAUCCUUCUUGGUGCACUUUAUCCUUAACACUCUUCUGCCUCAGUAUGGACCUUUCAAAAUCUCUUAUAACACACAUAAGGAUAAGUGGUCUAUCAAUGAAUUGAUGACCAUGUGUGUUCAAGAGGAAGGAAGGUUAUUGAUGGAACAAGGAGAAAGUGCCAUGUUGGUGACGCAAAGGAAAUGAAAGAAAGAAAAAUCUCAAGCCAGUCAGGAAGGGAAGCAACAAAUUCCUCCCAAAUCUGACAUUAAGAAAGACGAAAAGUGUUUUUUCUGUAAAAAGAAAGGACACGUGAAGAAGAAAUGUCUGAAAUUUUAGAAAUGGCUUGAGAAGAAAGGUAACCCUACCUCAUUUGUUUGUUAUGAAUCUAAUAUGGUUAAUGUAAAUGUCAACACAUGGUGGAUUGAUUCUGAAUCUACAAUCCACAUUUCAAAUUCCUUGCAGGGUAUGCAAAACCUAAGAAAGCCAGUGACAAGUGAGCAAUUCAUCUUAUUUGGAAACAAGAUGGGCUCACAUGUGGAAGCAAUAGGGACAUGUUAUUUAAAUUUAAAUGGUGGUUUUGUUUUGGAAUUGCAAAAGACCUUUUAUGUACCAAGUUUCUCACGAAACUUGAUUUCAGUUUCUAGAUUUGUACCGUUUGGAUAUUCCUUUCAUUUUUCAGAAACAUCUUUCAGUUUGAUUUAUAAAUCUGAUUGUGUUGGGAAUGGUAUUUUGUCUUAUGGUCUUUAUUGCAUAUUCUUACAAAAUGAUACCACUCAUAAUUCAUUACAUGUCCAAACUGGCAUUAAAAGAUGUGUUGUUAAUGAGGAUUCCUCUACAUUGUGGCACCGAAGAUUAGGUCAUAUCUCCAUGGAUAGAAUCAAAAGGUUGGUGAAUGAUAGGGUACUUAGUACUCUAGAUUUUACUGACUUUGAGACUUGUGUGGACUGCAUUAAGGGAAAGCAAACCAACAAGUCAAAGAGAGGUGCUACUAGGAGUUUUGCCAUAUUAGAGAUCAUACAUACUGAUAUAUGUAGUCUUGACAUGGACUCUCAUGGUAAAAAAUACUUCAUCUCUUUCAUAGAUGAUUUCUCAUGAUACAUGUAUCUCUACAUACUUCAUAACAAAAAUGAAGCUUUAGAAGCCUUUAAAUUUUUCAAGGUAGAAGUAGAGAAACAAUGUGGUAAACAAAUUAAGAUCGUGAGAUCAGAUAGAGAUGGAGAAUAUUAUGGUAGAUACUUGGAAGAUGGACAAUCACCUGAGCCAUUUGUGAAGUUUCUUCAAGAACAUGGGAUUGUUGCCCAAUACACCAUGCCUGGUUCUCCAGACCAAAAUGGUGUAGCAGAAAGAAGAAACCAAACUUUAUUGGACAUGGUGAGGAGUAUGCUUAGCAGCUCAAAACUUCCUAAAUUCUUGUUGACUAAAGCACUUAAGAUAGCAGUGUAUAUAUUAAACCGAGUUCCAACCAAGGUUGUCCCAAAGACACCAUUUGAGUUAUUGAAAGGUUGGAAACCGAGUUUGCGACAUAUGCGCAUUUGGGGAUGCUCGUCUGAAGUGAGAAUUUAUAAUCCACAAGAGAAGAAACUGGACCCAAGGACUAUUAGUGGGUAUUUCAUUGGAUAUGCUAAAAAGUCUAAGUAGUACAAAUUUUACAGUCCAUCUCACAACACUAGGAUUGUGGAAUCGAGAAAUGCUAAAUUUCUUGAAUAUGACUUGGUCAGUGGGAGCGAUCAAUUCAAAAACAUAGUUUCUGAUAUUGAUCAUACAGAGUCUCAACCUUCCACUUCAAGUGAUAGAUUGUUUAUUAUUCAUAACACUCUUCAAGUACAAACGGGUGAAGAACGAACAAUCGCUGAAGUUCAACCAGUCAUUGAAGUUCCACAAGCUAUUGACAACAUUCCAGUAGAUCAAGUUGAUCAGGAGUUGCCUGACACUUCUGAACAACAAGUUGAACCUCAUACUUCCUUAGAAAAUAUUGGUGCAACCUUAAGAAGGUCUACUCGAACUAAAAGGUCAACAAUUCCUAAUUAUUAUGUAGUGUAUCUACAAGAAUGUGACUACAAUAUAGGAACCGAAAAUGAUCCCGAAUCUUUUUCACAAGCCAUGAGUUGUAAAGAAUCAGAAUUGUGGUACAAUGCCAUGAAGGAUGAGAUGAGUUCCAUGAAGUGCAACGAUGUUUGGGACCUUGUUGAGUUGCCUAAUGGUGCAAAAACCAUUGGUUGUAAAUGGGUUUUUAAGACAAAGAAAGACUCAUUAGGCAACUUUGAGAGAUACAAGGCCAAAAUUGUUGCAAAGGGGUUCACUCAGAAAGAAGGAAUCAAUUACAUGAAAACCUUUUCUCUUGUAUCUAAGAAAGAUUCCUUGCACAUUAUAUUGGCAUUAGUAGCCCACUUUGAUUUAGAAUUGCAACAAAUGGAUGUGAAAACAAAAUUUCUUAAUGGAGAGCUAAAGGAGGAGGUUUACAUGAAACAACCUGAAGGAUUCCCCUCUAGUGAUGGUGAGCAAUUGGUUUGGAAGCUUAAGAAAUCCAUAUACGGUUUAAAACAAGCAUCCCACCAAUGGUAUUUAAAAUUCCAUAACAUAAUUUCUUCAUUUGGUUUUGUAGAAAAUGUUAUGGAUCAAUGUAUAUACCUUAAGGUCAGUGGGAGUAAAGUUUGUUUUCUUGUUUUAUACGUGGAUGACAUCUUACUUGCAACCAAUGAUAAGGGUUUACUUCAUGAGUUGAAACAAUUCCUCUCUAAAAAUUUCGACAUGAAGAAUAUGGGUGAGGCAUCUUAUGUCAUUGGCAUUAAGAUCCAUAGAGACAGAUUUCAAGGUAUCUUAGGUUUGUCUCAAGAAACCUAUAUCAAUAAAGUUUUAGAGAUAUUUCGGAUGAAGAAUUAUUCACCUAGUGUUUCCCAUAUAGUGAAGGGUGAUAGGUUUAAUCUGGACCAAUGCCCGAAAAACGAUCUUGAGAGGGAACAAAUGAAGAACAUUCCAUAUGCUUCUGCAAUCGGAAGUCUGAUGUAUGCUCAGGUCCGCACAAGGCCUGACAUUGCAUUUGCUGUUGGAAUAUUAGGACGAUAUCAGAGUAACCCAAGUAUGGACCACUGGAAAGCUACAAAGAAAGUGAUGAGAUAUCUUCAAGGAACCAAAGAUUACAAGCUUAUGUACAGAUGGAGAAGCAAUUUAGAGGUUGUUGGCUACUCAGAUUCAGACUUUGCUGGCUGUGUUGAUUCACGUAAAUCAACAUCUGGAUACAUUUUUAUAUUGGUUGGUGGAGCUAUAUCUUGGAGGAGCGUUAAGCAGACCAUGACUGCUACUUCUACUAUGGAAGUUGAGUUCAUAUCUUGUUUUGAGGCUACUUCACAUGGUGUAUGGCUUAAGAGUUUCAUUUCCAGGCUUAGAGUUAUGGAUUCAAUAUAUAGGCCAUUGAGUAUACAUUGCGACAAUUCAACUGCAGUCUUUAUGGUGAAGAACAAUAAAAGUGGAAGUCGAAGCAAACACAUCAACAUUAAGUAUCUAGCCAUAAGAGAAUGUGUUAAAGAAAAUAAACCGGUUAUUGAGCACUUUAGCACUGAAUUGAUGAUCGCUGAUCCUUUGACUAAGGGCAUGCCGCCGUUGAAAUUCAAGGAUCAUGUAGUGAACAUGGGACUUAGUUCCCUUAUGUAGUUUCAAUUGUACAAACUCUUAUUAUGAUGUUUUCUCAUAUUGAUGUGCACUUUUAUUUAAUUUUGAGAAAAUUCAACUUCAUUGGACCAAGAAUGAACAUAGGGUUUAUUCAUUAAGUAAUAUUGCCACAUAAAGUAUAAUGUUAAGAAAUGAGUACACUGUAAUACAUGGAAGGUAACACUCAUUAAAUAGAGGACUUAUCACCAUGAUUCAUGUAUUUGUUACUUAAUGGGAUAAUUGAUGGAUUAAGAUAGGACAUUAGGUUAAAGGUGUGGACCAAGUGGGAGAAUGUUAGCUGAAUACACAUUUACCACUUGCUGAAUACACGUUCACCAUGUCGUCCAACACUUCAGAUGUGGUCUAGCACUUUGACCACGUCCUCCACCAUUACUCUUCCGUUGCGAUUAAGGAGCACAUUCCAGCAACUGCUCAACAUGGUGGCAAGAGCAAUGUGGUAUGAUGGAAGCCACGGUUAUAAAGAUUUUAAAAAUGGUCCCGAACUCGUCUGCUGUAAUUAUCUUCAGAAACACCAUCUAAAAAGGAGAUUAGAGUUUGGAAAUCUGGGUUUUUCAAAACCGAUUAUAGUAACACAUACAAUGACUAGAGGUAAGUAGACCAUUCUUAGUCUUUUAAGUUUUUAUUCAUGCUACAAAUUCAUUGGAAUCAUAUAUAUAUAUAUAUAUAUAGCAUGUAAACAACUUACAAUAACUGUGAAAAGGAACCCUUCAAUCUAGGGAUUUUAAAUGAAACAAAAAAUAAAUUUUAUAAAAUAUAACUUUACUAACUAGAGUACAAUUAUCUCGUGUACUUGCGAUGUUCUUUAAGUGACAUCUUUUAUAUUUUAUUGUUUGCCUAUCCAUAAAAAAACCAAUAAGCCUAGAGUAGAAUUUAUAAAUAUUUUCAAGAAUAGAAUAGAGGAAUUGUAAGAAUUGAUGGCCAAGUGACUAUUUGGUUCUCUUUCAACUGAUCAUUGAUAUAUGGAGAAUGAAGUGAACAUUAACUACAAGAUUAAAGCAUGAUAGAUGUUGUGGGAAAGUAGUUUUAGGUUGUUAGGUUAACAUUAAAGGGCAAUUUACCUAGAUACAGGCCUUGUACUAUUGGUGUCUACCCACAUAAAAUAAGCAUGCUAAAAUAGAGAUGUUAAGAUAGAUAAAUGGCUAGAAAAUGAAUAUGUUAGUUGAAACCUAGACGCAGGCAUCUAUUCAGGACAAGAGGGAAGAAGACCAUAUGACCCUAAAUUUAGAAAGGAGAUGAUCCUCAAUCUAGUUUGAUGGAUAAAUAGGAUUUGUGUAGCAGAACAAUUAUAAUUGGUAGAUAAACACUUUUUGUAGUUCAGUGCCUAGCUUUUCAACUGUUGACUUGUUUCCUAGGUCAGCUUUGUACAUUUGAUAGAAAUUUGGUUCGUAUUUUUCAUGAUGGAUAACUUGUAACUUUUAAUUACUCAUUCCAUUCAAAGUCAAUUGAUCUAAUAAUAGGUAAUAACACAAACAUAUUUGGUUACUUUUUGUGUAUUUUGUGUUUUUUUCUGUUAUAUUGACAAUUGCAAUGACAUGGGCUAAAGUGCAAUGGGUGCCUUAUCUGACCCUAAGAGAUGCUCACCUUAGCAUGACUUAGUGUUGGUCAAUUUUGAAUGUUUUUUUUUUCUCAUAAAGACAAGCAUGAAAAAAAAUAUAAAACAUUCUCUAAAAUCAUAAUAAUGCAUUGAAAAAAAAAACGAAAAUAACAAAUACAUAAGACACAGUAGUUGUUGAAACAUUUAACCUAGGAAUUAGAAUAUCACUUCUACUACAACUUUUAACUACCAUGCCAUAAAUCCUAGCUUCCUCAAUAACAUAUAUGAUCUUAUGCUCCAUAAUCUUCAUAAAACCAAUUCAUGUUCCUAUGAAUGAAGUACGUACCCUACUAGGUCUUUAACCUUACAUUGAUGAACUAAUUUGAGGUUCCACACUUUGUUCAUAGCAUCAUAUGCACCUAUGCUCAUGCACAUAUGACUCAGAACUACUAAUAGAAUAAAAAACUUACUAUCAUUAAAUCAAACUUAACGUUGAUUCAGAGACUUGAUUAAGAAAACCAAGUCCAAUCAAUACACUUGACAUUGUUCAAGUAAACCCUUUUAUUUAUUGAAGUUAAAUCAUGAUCUGAAAACAACUUUUGAAUAAGCACUUUUUCUUUGUGAAUGAAGAUAAGAGUUUUGAUUUUUAGUUCUUGUAAUGCAUAGGAGUUUGAUUGUUCAUAUAUUUUCAAUUUAUUCUUACAAAAAUUUAAAAAUUGACUUGGUAUGGGACUUGUAGUGAUGUUGUGUACAUUUUAUUUGAUGAGUACUUUUUCUGAUGUGGAAAUCAAACCCUGAGCCAAAGGUUUGGAAUAAUAAGGAAAAUAGUAGUAUAUAAUUUCCUUUUUCAUUAGAACUUUAUUUUCAUAUUCACAUGAAAAUCUCUAAAAGUUAUUUGAAGUUUGUUUCAGUUUGUAUUAUUUUGUUUAUUUUACUAAAGAAAUGCCAAUUUUGCUAGUGAAAUUUGUUAUGUGCUAUGCAGUUACAAAUUGGUGUUGAUGAGUAAUAUAAGCUAUCUAUUCUUUCACAUGAGACACAGGUUUAUGCUCAUAUUGAGGUAAGUGUGAGCCAAUGUUGAUUGAAUCUAACCCCAUGACCUUGGUUUACAAGUCUGAAGGGUAACAUGGUUAAUAAUAUUUUUUUAAAAAGAAUAUUGACACAUUGUAUUUCUUGGUGCCAUCAUAGAAUUCCAUUUAGAUACUCACUGUAUUCAAGCGCAUGAAUAGUUUUAAUUUAUGUCAAGAGGAGAACAAUUCAUAACCACUUAUAAAAGGCAAAUAGCAACUAAGCUUGUUUAUCUUGGAAUAAAAAAUGAGGGCCACUAGUGAGUAUCACCAAUAAAACAGAGUACUGAUGAAUACUACUAUCCAAAAAUUAUGUAAGGAUGGUGCAUAAUUUUGAUAUAUUCCAUCCCCAGAAUUUGGUUCAAUUGUCGAAAAAAUCCAUUAGUAUAAAAAAAGAAAAGCCAAGGACCCAAAAUUCACAAGUCACCUAUGUAUCUUAGAAUAAAAAACACUAUAAUAAAUAAGAACUAUUUCCAUUAUGAGAUAGGUUGCAACAAAUAUUAAUAGCACCCAAAAUUGACUUCGUAAAACGUAGGUUAACAGGAAAAAAAAUCUCUCUCCUCAUACCAAUGAGGAUUAAACAAAAUAUAGGAUUAAGCAAAUCUAGGGUGAGAUUUAGCGAGCCCACUAAUCUCAAAUAUCCAACUAUGAUUUGCAUGGAAGGCAAUGGUGGUAAGGAUCGAUGAGGGAACGAUAGACAGUGAACUGAUAUCGGGAGAGAGAUUAGGUCAAUGUAUUUGGGUUGAAAUCAAAUGGUCGGUAGAGAUGAAAUCAAGAGAAAAGAAAAUCGGAGAACCUACUAACCUCAAAUAGCCAACUACGGUCGACACGGAGGGCAAUGCCAAUAGGGAUUGAUGAUGGAACGAUAGAUGGUGAACUGAAAUUAGGAGAGAGAUUAUGACAAUGUAUUUGAGUUGAAAUCAAAUGGUUGGGAGAGAUAAAAUUGAAAGAAAAGGAAAGAAACACAAAUAUGAAAUAGAAGCGAGGGAGGAAAUUGAGAGGGAGAGAGGAAAACAACCAUUGUCUAGGGUUGAAAUGUUGAAGAAAGAGAAAAUUACGGUAAGAAUUCAAACUUGGAUUUUUAAAAUUUUUUUUAAUAGUCAGCAAAGGCUAUUUCUAGAAAUAUUAAAAAUUCAUAUCAUUCUUCUCAAUUUUGACACUUUCUUUGGGUCUUGGCCUUAAAUGGUUCACUUAUAUGAACCAAAGCUUAAUUUUUGGGCCCAGCUGGGUCCAAAACACAAUUAUCCCUUAAAGAAAUGAAAGUCUUUAACUAUCUUUCCUUCUUGUCAUGUCACAUAAACAACUAUUAAAACAAGUUUUAUCUAUAUAUAUAUGGGAUAAAAUAAUCUUGAAAGCAUGUGCUUCAAUUCUAAAAUCAUCAAACUUUUAAUAGUGUCCCUUAACCCUUUCAAAAGUUUCUUCUAACCUUUCUCUCAUCUUCACGUCAAUUACCACAUUUAAAUAAUUUUUUUUUUGACAUGAUAAGCCUAAGAGACUAUUCUUGUUGUUGUUUUAUUUUGUUUUUUUGUUUUUUCUUUUUAAAUAAAACUUUAAUAUAUGAUAAACAACCAUAUCACAUGUUUUUUUUGUUUUGUUUUUUUUUUUACUCCAUGAUAUCUCCAUAUUUUUGUUUGUUUUUUUUUUUUUAAUGUGUAGCUUCAUGAAAUUUUUCUUAUUUAAUUUUUUUUCACUAUUCCUUUCUUUAUAUUUAUUGAUUUUAAUUAUUUAUGGAUGUUUUAAUCACAAAAUAAUAAUAUACAAUAAAUAAUUAAUAAGAACAAAUUUAAGAUUAAAAUAAUUACAUAACAAACAAAUUUUGACACAUAGGACACAAGAUAUUUUAUAUUCCUCUUAAAUAAAAUAUUUAUUUAUUUUAUAAAUCUGAUUACAUUGUCAUAUUUUUUUAAUUAUUUAUAUUUUUAAAUUUUUUGAAACUUUCAUAUGAAAAUCAAAGUUAAUGAUCACGGUUUUAGUUUUCUUAUGCUUGUAACUUGAGCACAACUUUAACUUUCAUCUUCGUUAAAAUGUUUAGUAUUUUUAAUUAUGUAAGAUAAAAACUUCAUUGUGGUUCUAAACUUUUGUUUUGUUUAAAUUUUUAAUUUUUUAUUUAUAUAAAAUAAAAAAUAAAUAUAUUUUCUUAUAAAAGUUGUAUUCAAUAAAUAUAAAUAAUAAAAUAAUAUGACAAUACAAUAAGAUUUGUAAAUUAAAUAUAUAUGUUAUUUAGCAGGAAUAUAAAAAAUCUUAUGUCUUAAAUUUCUAAAUUUGUUCAUUAUGAAUUUAUUUUUGUAUUAAAUUUGUUUUCAUUAAUUAUUUAUUAUAUAUUUUCAUUUUAUGUUUAAAAUAUCCAUAAAUAAUCGAAAUUAAUAAAUGUAAAAGAUGAAAUAGUGAAAAAAUAGAAAUAAAAAAUUCAAAAUCAUGUGGCAUGAUUGGUUGCCAUGUGUCAAUUUUUCUUUCUAAAAGGAAAUAAUGAUAAGCUCUUUGACUUGUCAUGUCAAAACAAAAGAAAACAACAAAUUUUUUUUAUAGUUGGCAGAAAAUGAGGAGAUGAGGGUUAUAGGGUAAUUUUAUUUUUUUUCUAUUUUUUUUUAUGAUUUCACUAUUGAAAUACAUAUUUCUACGAUUAAUUUUUCUAAAAUAUAUGUACUUUAAAAUUUAAAAUUUAAACCUCUCAAAUAUUUUAUCUUUUUUAUAUGGUGCAUUAUUACAUGUUGUUUAAUGGAUUGAAUGUGUUAGAACAUGGUUUUUAAUUCACUUUUAUAACAAUUUUUUUAUAAUUAAUACACUUGGAAAAAGGUAUUCUUAAAUGAUUUAAUUUGUCUUCCUUUCUAGUAGCCAAUUUAACGAGAUAAAAAAGCAAAGGCUUUUCAAAAGCAAAUUUGAAGAACUUGGUCAAGUGCUAUGUGCAGUUGUAGGGCCCUCCCAAUGGCCUUCCCAUUUGGCCUUCAUGUUUUAUCAUUUUGUUCGGGCAAUAAGCUAACGAGCUUUGUCUUGCAAGAUAUUUUGAGACUUUGAUAUAUUGUUUUGUUCAUAUUGAUUGUAUUAAGGAGGUAAAAGAGUUUUUAACCACUAUUCCAUUUUGCACUAAAAAAUUUGAUAAAGACAUGAAAAUUGACUUUGUGUGUCAAUUAUUGUCAUGAUGCAUAUGAGAAAAUAAUGUGUCACUUAACUCUUUUGAGUAAAGUCUUGCCUUUAAGUAUUGAGAAAUAUUUGAUAAAUCAUAGGCAUUCUUUCUUUAUUGUUCAUUAAUAUGUGGAGUAGGUUGGCCUUUGAAUUAGUCAAGGACGUGGCAUGUCUUUUGCCUUAAAUUUACCCCAAUUUAUUUGACUCAAAACUAAAGUAGCAUUAAGAAUGAUACUUCAAGUGGUUGUAAAUUUACAUUUCCUAAAAUAGGUUCAAAUUUUGAUAAUUAUGCCAAUGUGAAAUCUCUUUAAUCAUGUGCCAUAGAUAGAAUACGUGUUGGAUUUUUUUUCAUGUUUCUCAAAAUUGGGAGAGCUCUAUAAACUUAGCCUCAUACUUCACCACUAACAUAUCACCUUGUUCCAAUUAUGAAAUCUUAAUCUCCUUCUAGCAUCAUAAAUUCUCAUGAAAAUACUUUUUGUUGAAUUCUUCCUCAAACUGGUCCCAUAAAGUUGGAUCCUGACCUCAUAUAAGUCUUUUCUCCAUUCUCCACCAAUGUUCUACCUCACCACUACCAUGAAAGAGGCAAAGGUCACCUUUUAAGUUUCUGAGUAACCUAAAACAUCAAAAUGCUUCUCAAUAUCCAAAAUCCAUGCCUCACCUUCUGAAGGAUUUGGCUCCUUAUUAAAGGAAGGAGGGCCCAUCUUCUUGAAUUACUCAAAUGAAUCCUCAAUGGAAGAAAAUGACCGACACUAUGUAUGUAUCUCAAUAGAUUGAGUCUGAGUCUUAGUAGCAUGAGUUUGGUGCUCAACCAAUCUAACCCAAGUACCUAAAUGUUGAGCUACCCCAUCAGUAGGCAAAAGAGGUGCCUCUAAGCCUUCAUUUGCCUUGGGUAUAGCAUUCUCAUUUCUAAUGGUCUUAAAAGGUACAAUCUCCCUUGAUGUAGGGCUACCAUGGGAGAUAUAACCUAGUCAUUGCAUGGUUUGAACCAAUUAGUAAUAUAAAUAAUACAUAAAAGAUUAAAACAAGAGUAGCAGGUUCUGAAACCUCACAAGAUCUAACUUAAACCUCAACCUAACUAAGAAGUCUAUAGGACCUUAUCUUGUUGCUUUGAUACCACUUUGUAACAUCCCUAACCUUGAGACCAAGGGCAACCUUGUCAAUUUUACACAUUCAUGCAAAAAUAACGAAAUAGUCAAAGUGAACAAAAGUUAUAGAUACUCUUAUUAGAGUGAAAUCAUAGAGAUAAACCUAUCUUGCCAAGAUGGAAGUUUAAUGAUUCACAUAAUUACAAAAUGUUCAUUCAAUUCAAGUCAAGCUAAAAAUUAAAAGACAACAUAUAAUUCAAAUCAACAUGUCUAAACAAAGGCUUUAAGGCUAAACAAAAAUACUAAACUAAUAAGAACCCUUCCUAGCCCAAACUCACUCAUUGCCAUCUACAAAUUGAAAAGGGUUCAAAAGCAAAGAUAGUAAGCUUUAGCUUAGCAAGGAAUAUAGUAACAAUUUUUUUUUUCUUUUUAUACAAAUAAAAGUAACGUAAUACAUAACAAAACUUUCAAACAUAAAGAACCUGAACAAUUUUUUACCAAACUAGGGUAACCCUUAGAAACAUGUCUUUCAGUUCAAAAGGCACUAGACAAUCAAAUGGUACAAUUAGGUCAUUGAUUACCCUAUUGACUAGAUUUUCCAAUUCUCAUACAAUUGGGCAAUAAGGGUCAACAACAACAGAAAUAAUGGUUUUCACAAUAUAAAAUUUCUUGGAAUGGUAUAAUAUUUUCAUGCCCUUUCAAAAAAAUAGUAUUGAAAAAUAUAUUUAAGGGUGAUAAUUUCUUAGCUAAUGCAAAUGUAAAAUUUGAAUUGAGAAAUAAAGUCGAUUAAACUUCAAAUUCACCUAAACAAAUAAAAUAAAUAUCAUUAAUAUAAACCUAAAUAAAUAUUUCUUACUUAACGAGAAUUUAUCACGUGCUAUUAAUUUAUUCUUUACUUUUGUAUACAUUAUCCUCAAUUUACAUUUCCAACUACCCUAAUUAAUUUUUUAUCUAUUUAUUUUACUUCUAUCAUUGUCCGUCAAUCACCUCAAAACAAACACACACACACAUAUAUAUAUAUAUUUCACUUUUACAUAAUAAAACUUUUUCAUUCUAUCAUAAAUUCUAUUUAUCUACUUUUUAAAUUUUCCUUUAGUCAUAAAUAUUUUCUGUUGAUAUAUUAGGAAUGCUUUCCUUAUAUCAUUUAGUGUUGAGAUAUUAGGAAUGUUUAGAUAUUAGGAAAGUUGAGAUAUUAGGAAUUUUGAGAUAUUAGGAAAGUUGAGAUAUUAGGAUAUUAGUUGUUAUUUUCUUAUAUCAUUCUUUCCUUGUAUCAUUCUUUCCCAUUCUUAAAAUGGUGAUUACCCUCUAUAUAUACUCUGUACAUGAAUGAAUGAAAGAAUGAAUGAAAAAACUACCAUUUAUCAAUUUGAAGAUGGUAUCAGAGCCAUGGAACUGAAAUCCUGGAUAUUUUGUCGCUAUGGUAGUCUGACAGUGAUCAACCAUCCUAAGACAAGCCCUAAUAUUGAUAAGUCAACCUUCAAAUGCACUCACUGCAAUAAGACUGGUCCCACCAAUCUGGAUAUCCCACAAUUUCAAAGCAACGACUCUUGGUAUGACCAAGAAAGCAAUGAGGAACCGAGGGUUUGAACCAUGGACCUUUAGAUCAUGUUUAGGCUAUCAACACUUUGUUAUUAAUGAUAAUAAUCGUGAUCAACGGAAGAAUGAUUCCAAGAAAACCUCGACUACAACUGUUGCCGAAAUAAAAACAGAGGCUAAUGUUGCUGAGAAAGCCUCUACAUUGGUAGCCGCUAUUGAUCAUGGUGGUAAGUUUUUAAAUACUUUUACACCUAUUAUUAAUAGUGCAUGGAUAAUUGAUUCUGGUGCUACAGAUCAUAUGACUUUUGAUUCUAGACAGGUUUCACCCCUUAGACCUUCCUUACAAAAAAUUGUUUCCACAGCCAAUGGUAACACAACCCCAGUCAUUGGGGAAGGAUCCUUAACUCUUACUGAUACUUUGAAUUUGGAUUCUGUUUUAGUUGUUCUAUCUUUAGAUUACAAUCUUUUGUCAGUUUCUCAAAUCACUGCAGCCUUAUCUUGUAUUGUCAUUUUUUGGCCUGAAUUUUGUGUGAUUAAGGACAUCCUAACAAGACAGAUGAUUGGUUGUGGUAUUAAGCGGGGAAAACUCUAUUACUUCGACUUGCAGUCAAAGGAUUCAAAUAAGUUGCAACAAGCCUUGAUGGCAGAUGGAUCUGAGGGGGAGAAGAAAAAGUCUGAAAUUUGGUUGUGGCAUCGACGUCUGGGACAUGCUUCCUUUGGUUAUUUAAAAAAAUUGUUUCCUAGUUUGUUUGCAAAGAGUGAUAUUUCUGGUUUUCGUUGUGAUAUUUGUGAAUUGGCUAAAAGCCAUCGUGCUUUAUUUUUGUUAAUUUUGAAUAAAAGUCUGUUUCCUUGUAUGAUUAUACAUUCUGAUGUUUGGGGCCCAUCCAAAGUCCCAACUUUGAGUGGCUCAUGUUGGUUUGUUACUUCUAUUGAUGAUUGUACCAGAAUGACAUGGUUAUGCUUGAUGAAGACCAAAAAUGAAGUGAACUUGUUGUUUAAAAAUUUUCAUAAAAUGAUUGAAACUCAGUACAAUGCAAAGGUUCGGGUUCUGCAUAGUGAUAAUGGUGGAGAAUAUCAAAGUUUUGAUCUUCAAAAGUAUUUGGAAGGACAUGGCAUCAUUCAUCAGACUACUUGUUCCAAUACACCCAAGCAAAAUGGAGUCACUGAACGAAAAAAUCGGCACUUGUUAAAGGUUGUUCGUGCUUUCUUGAUAGCAGCAAAAACACCGAUAUCUUAUUGGGGAGAAGCAAUCACAUCUGCCGCAUACUUGAUCAAUCGGGUACCUUCUAGCUCAAUUAACUUUCAAACACCUCUUCAAGCUCUUACUAAUGUCGUAGUUACCCCAACCGUCCUAAAUCUACCUCCUCGUGUUUUUGGUUGCGUGGCAUUUGUGCAUCUACACAAGCACCAACGCACCAAGUUAACUUCCCAUGCAUUGCAAUGUGUGUUUGUUGGAUAUGCAUUGCACAAAAAGGGAUAUCGAUGUCACUGUCCUCCAACUCGACAAAUGUAUAUUACAAUGGAUGUGGUGUUUCAUGAAGAUUCGAUGUAUUUUUCAUCUGAGUCUGAACUUCAAGGGGAGUACUAUAAGGAAAUUCAGACUCUCGAUUAUGAUUAUCAUAUCUCUCAGGAAGAUGAAUCUGGACAAUCUGAACUAGUGAACCAAGAAGCGGGUGAGUUGGAUAUGAGUGGUCAACAAUUUGGGUCCGAAGAUGUCUUCACUGAAAUACCAAAUCAUUCGUCGUCUGUUGAGGGUGUUCUUAAUUUGGAACCUAAUCCAUUCAUGAAACGGUUACCACACCGUCAUAAUAGAGGUAUUCCUAAACCCACAUAUGAACCUGAAUUGUCUACCAAAGUCAAAUAUCCCAUGAGCAACUAUGUGUCUAACCAUCAUUUGUCUGAAUCAAAUAAGUCAUUUGUAAAUCAAUUAUCUACUGUAGCUAUUUCUAACGGUGUGCAGAAAACCUUAGCUGAUCCAAGGUGGAAAGCAGCCAUGAAUGAAGAGAUGAAAUCAUUGCAGAAGAAUGAAACAUGGGAACUCGUAAAAUGUCCACCAGGAAAGAAGCCAGUUGGGUGUCGUUGGAUCUAUACUGUGAAGUACAAGGCAAAUGGUAGUAUUGAAUGAUUUAAAGCAAGAUUGGUAGCAAAAGGGUACACUCAAAAUUAUGGAAUUGACUACAUAAAGACAUUUGCACCUGUAGCUAAGAUCAACAUAGUUCGAGUAUUACUGUCUUUAGUUGCAAACCUAGAUUGGCCAUUACAACAAUUCGAUGUGAAAAAUGUCUUUCUGCUUGGCAAGUUAUCUGAAGAAGUAUAUAUGGAUCUUCCAUCAGGAUGCAUGAUGUCAGAAAAGCAAUGUCAGAAGGUGUGCAAAUUGAAGAAGUCAUUGUAUGGGUUGAAGCAAUCCCCGAGAGCAUGGUUUGGAAGGUUCACAAAGUCAAUGAGAGCUUUUGGCUAUCGUCAAAGUAAUUUAGAUCACACUUUGUUCUUGAAAAAGCAACAUGAUAAGAUUAUGACACUCAUCGUAUAUGUGGAUGACAUGGUAGUUACAGGAAAUGAUCCUGAAGAAAGAAAAGCUCUACAAAAUUAUCUAUCUAGGGAAUUCGAAAUGAAAUAUCUAGGUCAUCUGAAAUACUUUCUUGGGAUUGAAGUUUCUCGAUCAAGUGAAAGAAUUUUUCUGUCUCAAAGAAAGUAUGCCUUAAAUCUUUUACAGGAGACUGGAAUGUCGGGAUGUCAACCUGUUAAUACACCAAUAGAAGAAGGUCUGAAAUUGUGUGUUGAGCCUAAUCAAGUAUCAACCAAUAAGGGAAGAUACCAGAGACUUGUGGGGAGAUUAAUGUACUUAGCUCAUAUAAGACCAGAUCUUGCUUAUGCAUUGAGUGUAGUGAGUCAAUACAUGCAUAAUCCUGGAGAGCAACAUAUGAAUGCAGUCAUGCGUAUUUUGAGGUAUUUGAAAAAUGCUCCUAGGAAGGGAAUUUUGUUCACUAAAAAUGUUGAUCAUCAGAGUAUAGAAGUAUAUACUGAUGCUGAUUGGGUCGGUGCAGUGGAUGAUAGGCGAUCUACAUCUAGUUACUUUACCUUUGUAGGUGGUAAUCUUGUGACAUGGAAAAGUAAGAAGCAGAAUGUCGUCGCUCGUUCAAGUGUAGAAGCGGAAUUUAGAGGUAUGGCUCUAGGACUUUGUGAGGCAUUAUGGCUAAGACUCCUCUUGUAGGAUUUAGGUUACCUAUCUAGGCAACCAAUCCGAUUGUUUUGUGACAAUAAAGCCGCAUGUGACAUUGCUCAUAAUCCAGUACAACAUGAUCGUACAAAGCAUGUCAAGGUGGAUAGAUUCUUCAUUAAGGAAAAGUUGGAUGAUAAGAUUGUGGAAUUGUCUAAGAUUCGAUCAGAAGAUCAAUUGACCGAUACCUCACCAAAGCUGUCUCAAGUCAAGUGUUCUCAAAAUUUUUAAACAAGUUGGGCAUGUGUGACAUCUAUGCACCAACUUGAGGGGGAAUGUUGAGAUAUUAGGAAUGCUUUCCUUAUAUCAUUUAGUGUUGAGAUAUUAGGAAUGUUUAGAUAUUAGGAAAGUUGAGAUAUUAGGAUAUUAGUUGUUAUUUCCUUAUAUAAUUCUUUCCUUGUAUCAUUCUUUCCCAUUCUUAGAAUGGUGAUUACCCUCUAUAUAUACUCUGUACAUGAACGAAUGAAAGAAUGAAUGAAAAAACUACCAUUUAUCAAUUUGAAGAUUUUCUGCACAUUGAGUAUCCAUUCUCCACUGCAUUCUUUUACGGAACAAUUAAAAUGUGUUUUUUUAGUUUAUAUUUAUAUUUUUCCACUAAACCUCACUUCUUAAAUCUGUAGAAUUUUCUUAUGGACAAAUACUCACAUCUAUUUCAGAAUUUUAUUGUAUAUCAAUUUCUCUUAAAUAAUAAUAAAAACUCUCACCUACAAUAUUUUUGUAUUAGUUUAAGGUUAAAUCAAAGACCACAUUUAUCUUAUUACCAUUAAUUUGUUAAUUUAACUUCCUGAUCUUAUACAAAUCAUUAAUAAUAAUUUGUUUUACACAUCUACUCUAGAAAAUAGAAAUCCUGAAAUACUUACCUUAUAUUUUACUUUUUAGAGAGUAAAAACAAUCAAAAUUUCUUUUUAUGGUGAAAUCUUAACUUUUAUCUUGCCUUUUUCUCUUUGGUUCUCCUUGUUUUUGUAGUGACUCUAGAGAUUUGUUUUUUAUUUUUUAUUUUUUUAACCUAAAACUUCUCAAUUUUUUUUUUUUAUUAUUUUAAACCAUGAAAGUUAAAUUUCAUGGUUUGUAAUGCCCUUGGCUUAUGUUAGGGGUAUUACAAUCUAUUCUUGCAUGCCAUUUGGCUUGGUUGUGAAGAAAAAUUGAUAUAGUGAAAGAAGAGAGAGAAUUAUUCUUAGGAAAUCAUUUUAAAUUAUUAAAAAUGCAUAUUCAUCUUGUUUGGUGUAGUUCAUCGUUGAGAUUCAUUCACAUAUUUUUAAAAGAUAAAGACCUUUAAAAACUAUUUUAAAAAAUAGAUGUAUUAAAAAAAUUUAUAUUUUAAAAGCAAUUUUCAAGAAUGUAAGGUAAGUUCUUCACUUUUAUAUAACAAUUCUUAUAUUUUUUUGUAUAAGUUACAAUUCUUUUUUAUUUUUAAAAAUAGAAAGCAGAAAAUAUAUCCAAACAAGUACUAAAUAAUUUAAUUUCUCUUUUAUGAUAGCGAUUUUAAGAACCAUAGUUUUUCAAAAUCAAGUUUUGAAGAAUUCAGGUCAACACCAAACAAUUCAUGUUUGGCUUUGAUCAUGUCAUCUUUUGUGAACUUAUUUGAAAGACUUAAGAUUAUAGGCUCACGAGCUUGGUCUUAUUUCAUGGAUGAUUUUCAUUUUCAAGUUAACUCAUCCAUAACUUUCUUUUUGGGUUUGAGGCAAUCUCAAGAAAAAUAUAAUUUUUUUCCUCUAAAAUUCAUUUCCUAUUUUGCUUUAUGUUUAUUUUCUAUGAACUUAAGUCCUAUUUUGAAUAUUUUCUCUAAGUACAAAUUUUAACUUUUAUAUAGAACUUGAAGUCUAAUAAUGAUUUCCCAUCAACUUGUAUUCACAUGUUAAUAAAUUAAAAUCUAUUCAAACAUGAGAGAUAAAUAUCUCUCUCUCUCUCUCUCUCUCUCUCUAUAUAUAUAUAUAUAUAUAUAUAUAUAUAUAUAUUAAGAGCCUGUUUGGUAAUUUUAAAAAAAGAAAACAAUUUCGAAAAAUAGUUUUUGAGAAUAGUUUUUUAAAAUUGUUUUUUGAUUUUUGUAGAACAAAAAUCUGUUUGAAAACCUAAAAUGUUUGAACCAUUUUUUAACAUUUUUAAAUAUGUUUUAAAAUUAAUUUUUAGAUCUAAUGUUUUAUUUUAAUUAUUGUACAUGUUUGUAUAAUUAUUUAUUAAAACAGUCCUUAAAAAACAAGCGAAGAUAACAAAAAAAAUAACAAAAAGAUGUUUUUUAAAAACAUCGUAUCUUCUAUUCAUAAGAAUAGAAAACAGAAAACAGCUUUGAUUGUCAAACAUAGUAUUUGUAUUUUUUUUUAAGAAAUUUUCUUCCCAAAAACAGUUCCUAAAUAAGCCCUUAGUUUUCUAUAUAGAAAAACAAUGAUGAUUAUCUAUUAGAAACAUAAAAAUUUGAGAAAAUACACUGUGAUUGUGGUUAACUUUUUAGGAUCAUAACCAAUUAAAAGGGAAGGUUUUUAAUAUCCUCCUUAUGCUAGAAAAUCCAUUUAAGGUAAUUUAUUUUCUUAUUUAAUAAUGAAAUAUAAAUAAGUCAAUAAUUAGGUCAGCAGAUUUUCAAUGGAUAUGCAUUCAUAGAAAACAAAAUUUCCUUCCUUUUCUUUUCUCAUUCUUUGAAUUUAAAGCAAUUUUCUUUUCUUGUUUAUCAAAAAAUUAUCUAUUUAAUUAAGAAUAGCAUAAUUUAGGAAUAUGAAUUAAUUUGGUAACAAUCUUCUAUGGAAGCACAAUUAGUUCCUUUGAGGUAAUUUGAAAAUAGUAGAGUAGAAUUUAUAUAAACAUUACCUAUUUAGGUUACAAAUUUUCUUAACCGUAUGUAUUACCUAUAAAAACACAUGGUUUCCUUUUUAGUUAUUUCUUAUUUUAUAUCUAUUUAAAUUUUAAGAAUCUUAGAAAUUAACAAAAUAUAAGGUCCUCUCUCUUUUGAAAUUUUUUUGCACUCAAAGAAAACAUAAAUCAAACCCAUAUUUAUUGAGCUAAAAAUGACUUAUGGUAUAAAAGAAAUAUGAAAAAAAAUAUUAAUAUUAACUAAUAUGUAUUUCAAAUAAAAAUUAUCUCAUAAGAGUCUAUUUGACAAUAAUUUUAGAAAACGUUUUUAACAUUUUUAAGACAAUCAUUUUUUUUUUCAUUUUUAAGGUGAAGUACUGAACCAAAAAUUCUUUCUUCAUCAUCAAUCGAAUUCGCAACCUAGGAUUUUGUUUUAUCAUCAAUCCAAUCACCAUUUACGAUUUUUCUUUUUCUUAUCAAUAAAUAGAUCUCUUUAUUUGUAUGACUUAGACAUCAUGAAUUUCUCGAAAAAGUGAUUGGAUUGAUAGGAUUGGUAUGAUACUUAAGAAAUCGAUGAUAUCGAUGAGAUUGAUAUUCAAAUAUUUCUUCUUAAAAUGUAUUGAUUUGAUAUUCAAUAACAUGUUGAAAAUUUUUAUCAUUCAUCAUUUAAGUAUUAAAAAAGUUAAAAACGUUUUCUUAAAAUUAUUGCCAAACAGUCUCUAAGUUUAUCAUAUAAAAUUUUAAUUAUAUAUAUAUAUAUAUAUAUAUUUGCUAAUGAAAACAAAAAAAAUAAAAAUCGAACAAGGUUUUACAAAUUCCAGUUUGUAAAACAACGUUUAAAACAAAACAAAAAGUGGAGACCAAAGCUAUUUUAGAAAAUAAAAAUAGAAAAUGUCUCUCAAACCAAACGCAGCCUUAGGUUUUCUCUAUAUAAAUAUUAAGAAUUCUCCUUCCCUUUUUCAGUUGAUUCUGAUCGGAGUAGUAACAAUGGCAGACGAGAUUAUUUUGCUGGACUUCUGGCCGAGCAUGUUUGGUAUGAAGGUCAGAAUUGCACUAGCAGAGAAGGGUCUCAAAUAUGAAUACAGAGAUGAGGACUUGUUCAACAAGGGCCCUCUACUUCUAGAGAUGAACCCAAUUCAUAAGAAAAUCCCAGUGCUGAUCCAUAAUGGUAAACCCAUUUGUGAGUCUCAGAUAAUAGUUCAGUAUAUUGAUGAGGUUUGGAAGGAUAAAUCUCCAUUAUUGCCCUCGGAUCCAUACCAUAGAGCUCAAGCCAGGUUCUGGGCUGACUACAUAGACAAGAAGGUAUGUCUAUGCUGAUUGCCUCACAUUUUGAUUGUGGUCAGAUAUGUUGUUAUAAUUUUACUAUACAGACAAAUCAUGAUUUUUUAAAUUUUUUUUUCACAUAAUCUGAUAAUAACUGUGAGAUUUUUCUGUGUAACGGAAUCUGAAAAUUUUAUCAAACUAGAUAAGUUCGAUAGAAAUGCAGCAGAAAGGGGCAUUCUUCUGCCCAUAAUCUCCUUAUGAGUAAGUUUAAGGUGCCCCAUAAUAAUUGUUCAACUGCUCCAAUGCUCUUUUGUUGGGGGUUGGACCACAGUAGGUAUGGGAAAAGAAGUGAGGGGGAGAAAAUUGGAAAGGAUGGAAAAUGUUACCAAGGACAAUAAGAUAAAAAAGAGGUACGUUUUGUUUUAUGAAAAUUUGAGAGAAAGAAGGGAAAAAAAAAAAGAGAGAAAAGAAAAAGGAAAGCAAUGAGUAUUUACUUGAUUGCAUAUGAAUAAAAAGGAAAAAAAGUUAAAUUAUUAAGGACAGUAUUUUCUUCAAAUUUUUCAAUUAUUUUUUAGAGAAAAAUUGUACAGACUAAACUUCUAACCAAUAUUUUCAGAAUUGGAUUAGUAAUUGAAUUAGAAGAAUUAUCAGUUUAUGUAGUUGAACCGACAUAUGACAUCAUAAAUAUAUUCUUAUAAAUUAUUAAAAUAAAAAUAAUUAUACAUAUUUUUAAAAAAUAUAUAAAUAAAUUAAAAAUUAAUAAUAUUUCUUUUUUAUCUUAUGCAUACAUAUAAAUGUAUUUUGAAUGAAAUAUGUAUAAUAUUUAAAUAUAAAUAUAUUAAAAAUAAAAAAAUUUAUUUAAUUUUAACUAAUUUUAUCAUUUUUAAAAAUAUUAUAUUAUUUUUAUUUAAUAUUUUUUUUUUUAGCAAAUAGUAAAAUUCUUGCAUUUGUUAUAUAAAGCAACAAAUUGGAUGUAGCUUAAUGGUGUUUCAAUUCAUUCAAUGAUUUGAGGUCGAAAGUUCAAAAUUUUGAGGUGAAAAUAUUAAAAAUUUAAAUGGAAAUUGUUUAAUGGUUGGAUAGGUAGUUCUAGUCCAGUUGUUAACACACUUCUAACCCCACCCCUCUCUCUCUCUCUCUCUCUCUCCUUUUUUUUAAUUGUUUUUUACCCUUUCCUAUGUUAUUCAAGUCUAUUAUCUAUAAUCUAAUAUUUAUUGUCUAUUAUUUAUUAUUUAUUACAAGUCUAAAAGUACGACCUCCUGCUAAAACUUUUCUACCCAAACAUGUCUUUUCAAUUUCUGUUGGUUUUCCUAAUUUUUCUUCAGAAAAACCUAUAAAAAAAUUAAUUCUCUUUCAUACAUACAUGGGAGACCCAAAGUGAAACCCUUCUUCAUAAACCUCUAUAAAAAAUUUAAUUCCCUUCUAAAUAAAAUUGCUUAAUAUAUUAAAGAAACAACCCAUUAGAAACAAUUCUAUAUAUUUUACAUCAUCUCUUUCAUAUCCCACGAUCAUUCCAAAUUAUACAUUGCCCUUUAGAUGCCUCACCAUUCUUCCUGUGGACAAUCUUAACUCUCCCUUCUACAUGCAAGAUAAUAUCCAAAGUAGAAACAAUGCUAGUAGACUUAACACAGAGAAUGACAACCAAGUCUAAAUAGUGAAAACAAGUUCUUUUUUUCCCUUAUCCCUUUCCUUGUGCCCCUUAUUUUGGUUAAUAAUAAUAUGGAUGAAAAGUAAGAGAGAGAUGUCAAUUGCUUAUUAUAAUCUAUUAUUUAUUAGGCUAAAAUAGAUUUGGUUUCUUGGUUGAUUGAUAGUAGAAAAUAUCACUCGAGAAACCCUCACAUCCUUAAAGAUUGCACUUCUUGGGUUUGUUUCUGAUUUUCCUUAUUAAUUUAUUUAUCCAUUAACUUUCUUCUUUUGUAAUUCUAAAUCCCGUCUUUUUAAUGAUUGCCAAGAGGAGGAGAAAAAAUAACCAUCUUAAUAUGAGGUUUUUGGUUUGGGUUUGCUUUAUUACUUAUUUAUCUUCUUAAGAAAGCUUUUCUAAUUCAAAAUUUGCUUGUGCCCUCUAUUUUGGUUACUAAAGAAAAAUAAAUAAAAGAAAGAAAAUGACAUUUUUAGUCUCUUGCUUAGUAAGGUUUUCAGUCCACAAUGAGUGAAGCAAUAUCUUUGGCUUGCUUGUUCAAUAUCUUUUGUUUUGUUAUCUAGACAUUUUGCUUAAGUGAAAAUCGAUGUCUUUGAUGUCAAUGCUUUUAAAUUGCUUUACUCACUUUUUUGCAUCUAGGAAAGAGUUUUUUAGAUUCGAAAAUUUGAAUUUUUGAACUUUAUUUUUUUAGCAUCUAAAUGGGGUAUUUAACAAAGACUUUGAUUCCUAGCAUUUUCUUUUGCUUUGGAAUUUUUAUCUCAUAUGUCCACAUUUUUUUUGCCUAACACCUCUAGUAUGAAAUAGAGAAAAAAAUUAUAAAAAUUAUAAGGAUAGGUUCUAAUUCUUUUUUAACCCAUACUUUUUAUUGGUAGUCAAAAAAAAAAAAAUAUUUUCUUGUGUUAAUGUCACUAGGAAAAGGCAAGGAAAAAUCCUUUAAAAAAUGAAAAAAAAAAAAAAAAAAAACAGAUGGAAGUUUGAGAAAAAUAAAUUUUUAUAAUAAUUUCAUUUUUCCUUAAAUUUUUUAUGGAUGGUAAAUUUCAAAGAAAAUAAAAUUUAUAAUAUAUAUAUAUAUAUAUAUAUAUAGAUAGAUAGAUAGAUAUAGUAAAGAUAGGAGGAUUUAAAGAUUUUAAACAAUGUUUCAAGUGUUUGUUGUAUAUAAAAGGAAGCAAUUUUCUUAAUAGGAUUCUUUUAAACCAAAAAAAAAAAAAAAAAUUAUAGACACAUGCAUUUUAUAUAUAAUAUAGAGUAUAGAUAGAGAAUUUUCCUUUUGAAAUUAUACUUAAAAAAUGCUUAUAUUAGAAGUCAAAAUAUGGUUAGUGAAGGUCAGAGAUAGAGAAGUGCAAGAACAAAUAGCGUUUUUAAUAGGAGAUUUAAGAUUAUAGAAACUAAGAAAAAGAGUUCAGGUAACUUUAAGUUGUUAUCAUCACUAUGUUUGGCAGAUUUUUCUCAUAGAAUAACUAUGUUUUUGCAUAUAUUUUCCAUGCAUUUACUCUACCCUUAUUGAUUUAUUUUUUAUUCGAAUUUAGUGAAAUUAAUUUUCAUACUGUUUAUUCUUUUCUUUUUUUUUUAAUAUAUAUAUAUAUAUAUAUAUACACAUAUAUUUGUUUCUUAGCAACUAAAUAAAUUAUUCAUGAACAUAUGAUUAUGAUAUGAAUAUUUUCUCUUGUUUGAGCACUAAUACUAAGUUUGAUGAUCAAACUUGUUCAAUUGGAUAAUUCCUUUAAGAUAUUAGAUCUUGUUGCUUUCAUGCCAUUACUUCAUUUUUCUUCUUUUUACCUUAUUUACUUUUUGUGCUGUAGUGAGCUAAGUUAUGAAAAGAUGGUGAAAAAAAAAUGACCAUUAAAUGAUAUUUUUGCAAAAUAAUGGUUUUUUUUUUUUUUUAACUCUAAAAUUUUGUUAGCUAUGGAGACAUUUGCAUAUGGUGAAGUAUUGGAACCCAUAAUUCACAUGCACCAUCCACGUGCAUCACACGUGAAACCGUUCUAACAUAACAAAAAUCAAUUUUUACCUAUUUUUACUUUCCUCAAUACUUUCAAAUUAAGGAUCAAGGAUUAGACAUAACAAAAAUGUUCAAAUGUAAAUUUAUGGUUUUUCAUGAUCCUUAAAUUUGAUUCAUUUUUACAUGUAGAAUGAAUAAUGAAUAAAUAUGCAUGUACGUGUUUUAAAAUAAUUAUGAAAAAUUACAUAAGAGAUUUUUUUUUUUAUAAAUUGUUUCACACACAUAUAUAUAUUUUUAAUUAUAAUAGUGUAUAGGCUAAUAAACAAAUAAAAUAUUUAUAUCAUACUUUUAAGAUAAUACUUAAUUUCAAAUAUAUAUGAGAUACUUUUUAUUUAUUUUAAUUUUUCUUUCAUAUUUAUAAUAUUUGCAUUCCUUUUAUAUCAUGGGUCCUAAAAGAUAUUUUUUUUUUAAUUUAUUCCAUUUUUUGUUUUAAACAUUUUAGAAGUUUUCACUUUUCUUAAAAAAAAUUGAAAAUAUCGAAUUCGUAUUUUCAAUUUUUCUAUCAUCUAAACAUGUUUUUAGCCUUGAUUUCUCUUUUCAUUGAAAAAUGAAAAGAGAGAAUAGUCUAAACAAACAAUGCCUAGGAUUCCUAUCAUCCAAUUUGUUUUUUACCUAAUUGCAAGAUUCAAAUUGAGUGGUCAAUUUUUUAUCAUUAAGGAAAGAAAGCAAACUCAGGGUACUAAUUUACAAAUGAAAAGAGAAAAGAGUCUAAACAAACAAUACCUAGGAUUCCUAUCAUCCAAUUUGUUUUUUUACCUGAUUGCAAGAUUCAAAUUGAGUGGUCAAUUUGUUAUCAUUAAGGAAAGAAAGCAAACCCAAGGUACUAAUUUACAAAUGAAAAGAGAAAAGAGUCUAAACAAACAAUGCCCCGGAUUCCUAUCAUCCAAUUUGUUUUUUACCUGAUUGCAAGAUUCAAAUUAAGUGGUCAAUUUUUUAUCAUUAAGGAAAGAAAGCAAACUCAGGGUAUUAAUUUACAAUGUUACUAAGAGUAUGUUUGAUAGUGUUUUUCUCAAAGUAUUUUUAGUAAAAGUAUUUUAUCUAAACGUGUUUUAAAAAAAUUAUCUUCCAAGUGUUUCUCCAAAAACCAUAUUACAAAUGAUUCUACAAUAUUAUAAGUGACUUUUCAAAAUUUUAAAAGUGUUUCGUAAAAUUUGUCAAAUAUCUAUUUUUUUUAUAAAAAAAAAUUAGAAAUAUUUUUUUUUCUUUCUAAAAUCAUUGUCAAAUAGGCUCUAAAACCCACUAUUGAUGUAUAGCAUUACCCAUUCCCUAGAAAAUGUUUUUUUAUAUCAAAAUGGGAAGAAUUAACAAUCAGGACGUACUUGGAAUCCAUUCAUCUUUUAUAAAAUCAUAGUGUUUGUUUAUGAUAAAAUAAUUAACCUCCAUGAGACUAUAUAUGAAAUGCAGCUACACCUUCUUGGGAAAAGGUUAUGGAGAACCAAAGGAGAAGAGCAGGAGGCAAACAAGAAGGAGUACAUUGAAUGCCUUAAGCUAUUGGAAGGAGAGCUAGGAGAUAAGCCAUAUUUUGGUGGUGAAAAUUUUGGUUUUGUGGAUGUGAAUCUUAUGCCAUAUUUUAGUUGGCUUUAUGUAUUUGAGAUCGCUGCUAACUUCAGUAUAGAAGCUGAGUGCCCAAAGUUGAUUACAUGGGCUAAAAGGUGCAUGGAAAAGGAGAGUGUGUCCACUUCUCUUCCUGAUCGUCAGAAGCUUUAUGACUUCUUUUUACAAUUGAAGAAGUGGCAUGGUAUAGAGUAGAACAGUGAAAGCUAGCAUAUAAAAUGUUGGGGAGAACACUUAGGUUCAAUUCACUUGUGUGAAGUUGGAGUUUGUUUUAUUAAUAAGGAAGUGCUUUCUAAGUGUGAUUUAGAAAGAGAUGCAAAACAUUGGUAAAUCCUUUCUUCAUGUGUACUCAUCAAUAUUUACAUUGUUUUAUUAUUAUAUUAUUAUUAUUAUUAUUUGAGAUUUUUUUUCUCUAGAAACAUUAUAAAGUAAGAAUUUGAAAAAAAGAAAAGAGUUUAUUCUAGUAAUAAUAAGUUAAAAAUAAAUUCAUAUUCUUGAUAAUAAAUAAAUCAAUAAUAAAUUUGUAUUUAUUAUAUUAUAUUAAUAAUUGUUUAAUAUAAUAGAGAAUAAAAUUUGUUGUAAGAGUUUUUUAGAUAUAAAAUGUUUUGUAAUACGGUUGUAAUUUGAUAUAUAAUAUAAAAAUAAAUAAAUAAUGAUUUUAUAUUAAAUAAAUUAAUCAUAAUUAAAAUAAUUAUAUAUUAUUAAAUUUAUUAUUUAAUAAACAAUCCUGUUACUUUUCAAAUUAGUAAUUAUGAUUAAAUAGGAUUUGUUUGACAAUAUUUCUUCUUAAAAUUCUAAGAAAUAAAAAAAAAUAUUAAUCAUAUUUAAAUAGGAUUUUUUACACUAUUUUCUAAACUUUUAGGGAACUAAAAUUGUUAGAAAAAUUAGGCUAAUCCAACUUAUGGUAAUCACCCUAGAGGGGGGGUGAAUAGGGUGAUGGUCUCUUUUUGCAAAUUUAAACUAUGUGAAUGUAAGAGACAAAUAUAUGCAAGUAUAUAAUAAAACAAUAUAAAGACAAUUGCAUAUAAAGUAAAAGAGUAGAGAAGAGAGAAUGAAAACACAAGAUUUUAUAGUGGUUCGACGCAACCCGACCUACAUCCACUCUUCUCUAGUUUCAAUCCCAAGCUUGAGGUUCCAUUAGUUCAAGGCUUCCAAACCAAGCCUUCAAGCAAUACAAUUGGAUUAUGGUUCCAAUUCACCCUUUUGGACUUUUGGCUCCAAGCACCCUUUACAAUCCUCAAGAGAUACCCUACUCUUGAACAACCUCGAUCUCAAGUGAUAUCCCACACUUGAGAAUCUUACUCUCAAAGAUAUACAAAUAAUUGAUCUCACAAAAUCCUAGUACAAAAAAUUCAAGCUCAAAUGAUACAAGAAAACUAGGAUUGAAUGGUGCACUAAUUAUAUGCAAGUUUUAGAACAAUGGUGCCUCAAAACACUCUUCCAAGGCUCAAAUAUAUUCAAGAAAGGUUUGGGAAGUGUUAGCCCAAGGGUUCUCCUAAUUAGGUUUUGAUGAUAACAAACCAUGGUUAAGUUACUAAUUGGUUUGAAUUGUAAAGAAUCUAGGUAUUAAUUUGGAAAUUCAUCAAAGGAGCUAAUGGAUACAAGAUUGAGACAUUUGGAAGACUUUUAAUCAUAGGAAACAAAUGUAAUAUGAAUGCAUGGGUGCACUUAGGUUUUACAUUUCAUUUCAUGCAUUUUUGAAAGCUCGGUUUAUUCUUUAAAGUUACAAUUUCAUUAAAACCCGAGUUUGGUCAAAUGUACCUUAGGCAAAACGUUUCAAAAUUGGCAUAUUAAUUUACCUAAAAACCUUGCAUAAGUGUUAAAAAAUAAAGGAACUGAAAAAUAUAGGUUUUUGGGGCCAAAAGAUUGAAUCAGUCGAGGCACUAGCCAACUGGCUCAAUCGGCCAAGGAACCAGUUGACCGAUUGCCCUUGUACGGUCGAGAUCCAGUCGAGGAGUUUAAAAACACUCUCUUUCAUCCAAUAACUUUCUCCUUCCCGGUCUGAUCGAGGUUCGGUUGAAGCAACGAUAACCUGCUAAAGUAUUAAAUGCUCUAACGGCUAAUGAACUGAUCGACCCCCAAAUCAACCGGUUGAGGCUACUUUUUGUUUUUCUUGGCUCCCGAGGUUAGAAACCUAUAAAUUUAUAGCUCCACUUCAUUUAUGAUAUAGAGAACACUUGCAACCAAUUGUAUACCCACUUGUUCUUGCCUUAAAAGCUCUCAUUUCUUUCUUCGUGCAUUAAAUCUUCACUUACAUAUCUUUUAAUGCACCCUUGUGAGUCAUCCUAGCUUUGAUUUGUAUUUGAGCCAUUAUUGAGCUAGGUUGAGAGAAGAUCAUUCUUGUAAAUUGAGUAUUAGAGCCUUCAAGUGAGUUGAAUCUUGAAGGGAUUGUGUAAGAGCCUAUUAGAACCGGAAUCCAAGUGUAAAGAAGAUUAGAAGCUUGGUUGAAGCUUCAAGUUAGUGGAACCCUCACUCGAUUAGGAGAUUAAAGAGAGUGGACGUAGGCAAGGAAGUGUCAAACCAUUAUAAAAUCCGAGUUUGAUUUCUCUAACUCUAUUUCUUUAAUUUUUGCUUCUAUUGUGCUGGAAUUUGUUGUGUUGAAAAAGAUUUUGAAAAACCCAAUUCUCCCCCUUUUUAGGUGUUUUUAUCAUUUAAGUUUAACCCUUAUUUUCUCAAUUGGUAUCAGAGCAAGGCCUCUUGUUUAAGACUUAAUCGUCUAAGAGGAAAUGGGUAUUCCAUCAAGCUCAUCUCACACUGAAAUUUUUGCAAAACAUAGAGCUCCAUUUUUACGGGAACCAACUAUCCCUAUUGGAAAACUAAAAUGACUUGGUAUUUACAAUCAACCGAUUUAGAUGUAUGGAACGUCAUUGAAGAUGGCCCAACUUUUCCUACAAAACUAGUUGAUGGAGUCAUGGUUCCAAAACCCAAGCAAGAAUGGAAUGAGCUUGAUAUAAGAAAUUUCAAUUAAAUGCUAAGGCCAUUUUCACAUUGUAAUAUGCUAUGGAUAGAAAUGAAUAUAAUAGAACAUGUCAGUGCAAAUUGGCUAAAGAAAUUUGGAGAUUGCUUGAAAUAACUCAUGAAGGAACAAAUCAAGUGAAAGAGUCAAAAAAUAAUUUACUUGUUCAUAGCUAUGAAUUGUUUUUUUAUGAAAGAAAGUGAGACUAUUGUUGAGAUAAUCACUAGGUUCACCGACAUUGUCAAUGGUUUUGAAGCAUUGGGAAAGACCUACAAGGAAUCCGAAAAGGUGAUGAAGAUAUUGAGGUCACUCCCAUCAAAGUGACAUACAAAGGUCACCGCAAUUCAAGAAGCAAAAGACUUAACCAAGCUACCUAUGGAGAAGCUCAUAGGGUCAUUAAUGACAUAUGAGAUCAAUUUGGAAAAGAAGCUACAAGAAGGUGAAGACAAAAAGAAAAAGAGCAUAACUCUCAAAGCUACAACUAAGGAAGAAGAAGAUGUUGAAGAAGAAAAACCAAGUGAAGAAGAUGAUGAUUUAGCCCUCAUCAUAAGAAAGCUCAACAAAUACAUGAGGAGUGAAAGGUUUAGAGGAAGAAGGUUCACCUCUAGAAGAGAUCUUUCUAAAAAGGAAUCUUCAUUUCAUGGUGACAAGGAGAAAUGAGAAGAGAAAAAAGAUUUGGUGUGUUUCAAAUGCAAAAAACCGAGACACAUUAAAUAUGAUUGUCCUCUUUACAAAAGUGAAGCCAAGAGGAGAAUGAAGAAUGCAAUGAAGGCCACUUGGAGUGAAAGUGAAGAAUCAUCUGAAGAAGAAAAGGAGAAAAAAAAGUGGCAAGCAUAUGCUUCAUGGCAAUAGAUGAACUUGAUGAAGUAAACUCUAACUUUAGUAAUGAAAAUAUGCAUAAUGUUUUUGAAGAAUUGUAUGAGGAUUUUGAAAAACUUAGUUUGAAAAUUAAUUCUGUUAAAAAGAAAAUUCAAGAACUUGAAAAAGAACUUGAAGAAGUGAAAGAAAAAUUUUCAAUUGUUGAAAUUUCUAAAACUCAUCUUGAAAAGGAAAAAUGAGAUUUUGAGAAAGAAAAAUGAAUGGUUGACCUCCUCUCUCUUAAUAUUUUCUUGUGGACAAAAAUCUUUUGAAAUGAUUCUAGCUAGCCAAAAAUGUGUUUUUGACAAACAAGAGCUAAGAUUCAAAUCUUCAAAAAAAUCAAAAGUAUUUUAAAAACUAUUUUGUAAAAGAAUCUACAAGUACAAGUCCUUCCAUUACUUGCAACUUUUGUGGAAGAGGAGGGCAUAUUAGUAGUACAUGUCCUUUAAGAAAUGGUUCUCAAAAGAAUUCAAAUGCAAAAGCUAAAAAGGUUUGGAUUGAAAAAUCCAAGGUCACUAACCCUCAAGGACCCAAAAAGAUAUGGGUACCUCAAUCAACUUGAGUUUUAUUUUGUAGAGUUCAAAGAAGGAUAAGUGGUUCUUGGAUAGUGGAUGCUCAAGACACAUGAUUGGAGAUGAAUCUAAGUUUUCUUUCCUUACAAAGAGAAAUGGAGGAUAUGUUACCUUUGGAGAUAGUGCAAAAGGAAGAAUCAUUGGUCAAGGCAACAUUAGUAAUGGCACAUCCUCUCUUAUUGAAAGUGUUUUAUUAGUGGAUGGUUUAAAACAUAACCUUUUAAGCAUUAGUCAACUUUGUGACAAAGGUUUUAAAGUGAUUUUUGAAGCAUCUCAUUGCAUCAUCAAGGACAUUCAAAAUGAUAAAACCAUCUUCAUGGGCCAUAGAUGUGAUAAUGUUUAUGCUAUAAAUAUUUCAAAAUAUGAUGGCCAUGAUAGAUGCUUUUCAAGCAUGCAUGAUCAAAGUUGGUUGUGGCAUUGGAGGUUGGGACAUGCUCACAUGGACCUCAUUUCCCAACUCAACAAAGAUGAAGUUGUUAGAGGCCUUCCCAAAAUUAAUUUUCAAAAAGACAAAGUUUGUGAAGCUUUUCAAGUGGGAAAGCAAAUCAAAAACUCUUUCAAAAACAAAAACUUCAUUUCCACAUCUAGGCCACUUGAGCUGCUGCAUAUGGAUUUAUUUGGUCUCUCUAGGACACCAAGUCUUGGAGGAAAGUCUUAUGCAUAUGUUAUUGUGGAUGACUUCUCUAGAUACACAUGGGUCUUGUUUUUAUGUCAAAAGAAUGAAGCCUUUUAUGAGUUUUCAAAGUUUUGCAAUAAGGUUCAAAAUGAAAAAGGUUUUACAAUUACUUAUAUAAGAAGUGAUCAUGGGAGAGAAUUUGAAAAUAUUGAUUUUGAGGAAUACUGCAAUGAGCAUGGUAUCAACCACAAUUUUUCGGCUCCUAGAACUCCUCAACAAAAUGGGGUAUUUGAAAGGAAAAAUAUAACUCUUCAAGAAAUGGCUAGAACCAUGCUAAAUGAAAACAAUUUACCAAAAUAUUUUUGUGCCGAAGCAGUUAACACUUCUUGUUAUGUUUUAAAUAGAAUAUUAUUGAGGCCCAUUCUUAAGAAAACUCUCUAUGAGUUUUGGAAAAACAAGAAACCCAACAUUAGCUAUUUCAAAGUCUUUGGGUGCAAAUGUUUUAUAUUAAACACCAAAGACAAUCUUGGAAAAUUUGAUGCAAAAUCGGAUGUUGGAAUUUUCUUUGGUUACUCAACAUCAAGUAAAGCUUUUAGAGUUUUUAACAAAAGAACCAUGGUUGUAGAGGAGUCCAUCCAUGUUAUUUUUUUUUAUGAAUCUAACAAUUCUCUCCAAGAAAGAGAGAGUUUUGAUGAUGAUUUAGGUUUGGAGACCUCCAUGGGAAAAUUGAAAAUUGAAGAUAGAAGGCAACAAGAAGAAAUUGGAGAGGAUCACAAGAAAGAAGAAUCACCAUUGGCACUACCCUGUCCUCAACAAGUGCAAGGUGAAUCAAGCAAAGACCUUCCUAAAGAUUGAAAGUUUGUUAUCAACCACCCACAAGAUCAAAUUAUAGGUAGUCCAUCUAGUGGGGUAAGAACUAGAACAUUUCUUAGAAAUAUUUGCAAUAAUCUUGCUUUUACCUCUCAAAUUGAGCCUAAAAUUAUAAAUGAUGCUUUAGUUGAUGAAAAUUGGAUGAUUGCUAUGCAAGAAGAGUUAAAUCAAUUUGAAAGAAGUGAAGUAUGAGAAUUAGUACUUAGACCUUCAAAUCAAAGUGUUAUUGGAACUAGAUGGGUAUUUAGAAAUAAGAUAGAUGAAAAUGCCAUAAUUGUUAGAAAUAAAGCAAGACUGGUAGCCCAAGGUUUUAAUCAAGAAGAAGGGAUAGAUUAUGAAGAAACCUUUGCCCCCGUAGCAAGGUUGGAAGCCAUUAGGAUGCUGCUUGCCUUUGCAUGUUUUAAAGAUUUUUUUUUAAUGGCUUUAUAAAUGAAGAAGUAUAUGUUGAACAACCUCUUGUUUUUCAAAGUUUUAACUUUCCUAACCAUGUUUUUAAACUUAAAAAGACACUUUAUGGUUUAAAACAAGCACCUAGAGCAUGGUAUGAAAGAUUGAGUAAAUUUCUUUUGAAAAAGGGUUUUAAAAUGGGAAAAAUUGACACAACUCUUUUCAUAAAGACCAAAGAAAAGGAUAUGCUCUUAGUUCAAAUAUAUGUUGAUGAUAUCAUUUUUGGUGCUACUAAUGUUUCUCUUUGUGAAGAAUUUUCUAAGUGCAUGCAUAGUGAGUUUGAAAUGAGCAUGAUGGGAAAACUCAACUUCUUCCUUGGACUUCAAAUCAAGCAACUAAAGGAAGGAACCUUCAUCAAUCAAGCAAAGUAUAUAAGAGAUCUUCUCAAAAGGUUCAACAUGGAAGAAACCAAAAUAAUGAAGACUCCAAUGAGCUCAUCCAUCAAGCUUGAUAAGGAUGAGAAAGGUAAAUCCAUUGACUCAACUAUGUAUAGAGGCAUGAUAGGUUCUUUGCUAUAUUUGACUGCUAGUAGACCCGACAUUGUGUAUAGGGUAUGCUUGUGUGCUAGAUUUCAAUCUUGCCCUAAACAAUCUCACUUAAGUGUCGUAAAAUGAAUUCUUAGAUAUUUGAAAGGGACAAUGGACAUAGGCUUAUGGUAUCCUAAGAGUGAUAACUUUGAAUUAAUUGGAUUCUCGGAUGCCGAUUUUGCCAGUUAUAAGGUUGAAAGAAAAAUCACUAGUGGCACUUGUCAUUUCCUAGGACACUCUCUUGUUUCAUGGCAUAGUAAGAAGCAAAAUUUGGUAGCUUUGUCAACGGCGGAAGCUGAAUACAUAGCAAUCGGUUUAUAUUGUGCACAAAUUAUUUGGAUGAAACAAACACUUAGUGAUUUUGAUUUAUCUUUUGAGCAUGUUCCUAUUAAGUGUGACAAUACUAGUGCCAUAAAUAUUUCAAAAAAUCUCGUAGAACACUCUAGGACUAAGCAUAUAGAGAUUGGACAUCAUUUUCUUAGAGACCAUGUACAAAAGUGUGACGUAACACUUGAAUUUGUAAGCACAAAAGAUCAACUUGCCGAUAUAUUUACAAAACCUCUAAGUGAAGAACAAUUUGUUGAUAUUAGAACACAACUAGGGGUGAUUUCUUUAUGAUCUAAUGAUUACUUAAUGAAUUCUUGAUGAACAUACCUUCUAAUUGCAUGAAUUUCAUGUCAUAUGCAUCAUAUAGACAGAUACUUAGAUAAAUGGUCAAAUUUUGACCAAAAAAAAAUUCUCUUGGCAUUGGGCAUAAAAAAUUGGAGAUUUCAACUGAAAAGGGCAGAGGGGGGAUUAGAAAACAAGAAAAUGCACAAAAUGUGAAAAGUCAAACUCGUUGACCAUGUUCGUCGGGGCUAGGAAUUUAAAGAGACUCCCGCGCUUCGUUUUCUCCAUUGUUCUCCUCCAUUUCUUUAGGGUUUUUCACAUUUCUGCUUCCAGAGACUAGUUUGAGCAAGAUUUGGACUGAUUGAAUGCUUUGGAUUGGAUCUUUAGGAUAAUUUAAGGCUAGGGUUUCAGCUUUGGAGUGCAUUCUCUUCUUUCCACACAUCAUAGUCAACUUCUUCUCUUUUUUCUUGCACCUAGGGUUUUGGUUGUACUCGUUUCUCUCUUGGUUGUGCUUGUUUCUCUCUCUACCAAUUCCUUCUUCAGUUUUUUGCUUCUUCUCAUGGCUCCUAGGAGAGAGUUGACUGCCUUUAGGGCAUAGGGCAAGCGCCCAUUUGAGCCGUCUCAACCUGCUCAGACAAAGGCUCACCGAAAGGCAAGGUUUUACACUGCCCUAUUGAGCAAUGUGGAGGAUUAUCAGAGGUACAAGCAAAUGUUUGCUCAGAGGAAAGUAGUUCCAGGGAAAAGUAUCAAUUUAUCCCAACUCCAACAUUUCGAGUUUAAAGGAUUUUUCAGCCGGAUGGGGUGGCUACCUAUAGUGACUGUUUUAGAGCCGAUUUUUCUGACAUUGGUGAGAGCGUUCUAUUCGAGGAUGACAUAUGGACUUGGUGGCCCGAUUAUUUCCACUGUUAGAGGAGUUGAGAUUCAGCUGGACCCGGAGAGCAUCUACCACAUUUUAGAUAUUGCUCUAAUUGGAAUUAGGAUGUAUGAGUCUAAGGUUUGGCCCACUGUGCCGGGUUUCAAGCCUAGAGUGACCAUUUAGAGCAUGUACCAAUUUGUAGACGCCCAGGGGAUGGGCAAAGCAUUGGCCCAUAGCUUGACCAUGAGCAACAGAGUACUACACCACAUGAUCUACUCCAUCCUACUACUACAAGGCGAACACCGAGAUGAGGUCUCCUACCUUGAGGUAUUCCUCGUGGACUCCAUUCUAACAGGGAGACGGAUUCACAUGGGGUAUUCAAUAAUGAUGCAUGUGAUCUCAUGCUGUAAGAGUAUGACCCACGUACUCCCCUACGGUUGUUUCCUCACUAGAGUGUUCAAGGAUGUCAGGGUCAAUUUGAGCAGAGAGAUGGAUUUUGAGGCCCCAGCACUUACGAUACAUAUGAUGAGUAGUCUUUGGGGCGGAUGAAAUUUGAGAAGGCCCCCGAUGGUUCCUGGAUUAGGAGAGCAAAAAGACUACCAGCCUAGGCCCGGGGACAGGGAUAGGUGCUUCCUGGAGUAGAGGAGGAGACCGAGAUACGAGAAAUAGAGGGUAUAGUAGACCCUCAAAGAGACUUUUAGCAGAGAGAGCCUAAGCUUGACAUUUCUCCACUGCAGUCUGAGGGUGUUCAAUUUGAGGCCACAUUUCCUGAGUCGAUGAUGUCUGAGUCGACUUAAACAGCGGGACCAUCUUCUCAGCCAUCAUUCACUGAGCCUCCUCACACAGAAACACCACCUCAUCAGGCACCUCACGCUCCUGAUCAUUCGCCUUGGAUGGAUCUAUCUGCUCAUGUUAGCUCUCUUGGCACUCGUAUAGAGGAGCUUGUGGUAGUCAUUGAUAAUCGAUUCUACUCCUUGGAAGAUCACAUGGAUCAAUAUUAGACUGGCUUCAUCUCACAUUUUGAGAGUCUCGAGGCUUGCAUGGAUCAGCAGCAAGUUGCGGUUGAGCUUCUCCAGUAGAGGAUUGAGAGUCGCCAGGAGAGUCAACAUGAGAAGAUGAUGGCUUACCUACACUUUGUGUUUCCACCUCCACCUUCUCAGCCUUGAUUUCAUAGAGAUCCCCAGUCGUUUCUUUUUUAUGUUGCCAAAAAUGGGAGAUAUUUAGAUCUAGGAGACUCACAUGCAUAUCAUUGUCAUAUCAUUUGUUUGGAUUGGCUUAUAUGUUUAUGUUUGAUGUGCAUUUGACUUUACUAUAUAUAUGAUAUGCUAUAUGUUUUAUGAAUCACACCGUUUCCUACUGAAAAUUAGCAUGUCUUGAUUAUCUUUGUUUUAUCAUCAUAAAUUUUGAUUGAUUGAUCCAUGAUUGGUUUGAGGGGGAGAUUUUUUUUCUCCUAGAUAACCAAGGUUUGUCAUCAUAAAAAAGAGGGAGAUUGUUAGCCCAAGGGUUCUCCUAAUUAGGUUUUGAUGAUAACAAACCAUGGUUAAAUUAUUAAUUGGUUUGAAUUGUAAAUAAUCUCAGGUAUUAAUUUGGAAAUUCGUUAAAGGAUCUAAUGGAUAGAUCGAGACAUUUGGAAGACUUUUAGUCAUAGGAAACAAAUGUCAGAUGAAUGCAUGGGUACACUUAGGGUUUACAUAUCAUUUCAUGCAUCUUUGAAAACUCGGUUUAUUCUUUAAAGUUACAAUUUCAUUAAAACCCGAGUUUUAUCAAGUGUACCUUGGGUAAAACGUUUCAAAAUUGGCAUAUGAAUUUACCUAAAGACCUUGCCUAGGUGUUAAAAAAGAAAAUAACUAAAAAAAGAUAGGUUUUCAAGGCCAAAAGACUGAACUGGUCGAGGCACUGGCCAACCGGCUCAACCAGCCAAGGAACUGGUCGACCAGUUGCCCUUGCCCGGUCAAGAUCCAAUCGAGGAGUGUUAAAAACACACUCUCUCAUCUAGUAAAUUUCUCCUUCCCAAUCAAAACAAUGGUAACAUGCUAAAGCAUUAUAUGCUCCAACAGCUAGUGAACCGAUCGACCCCCAUCUCAAUCGGUUGAGGCUGUUUUUUGUUUUUCUUGGCUCCCGAGGUUAGAAACCUAUAAAUUGAGAGCUCCACUUCAUUUAUGAUAUAGAGAACACUCACAAUCAAUUGUCCACCCAUUUGUUCUUGCCUUAAAAGCUCUUAUUUCUUUCUUGGUGCAUUCAAUCUUCACUUACAUAUCUUUUAGUGCACCCUUGUGAGUCAUCCUAGCUUUGAUUUAUAUUUGAGCCAUUAUUGAGCUAGGUUGAGAGAAGAUCAUUCUUGUAAAUUGAGUGUUAGAGCCUUUAAGUGAGUUGAAUCUUGAAGAGAUUGCGUAAGAGUCUAUUAGAUUAGAAGCUUGGUUGAAGCUUCAAGUUAGUGGAACUCUCACUUAGUUAGGAGAUCGAGGAGAGUGGACGUAGGCAAGAAAGUGUUGAACCACUAUAAAAUGUGAGUUUGAUUUCUCUAACUCUAUCUCUUUAAUUUUUGCUUUUAUUGUGCUAGAAUUUGUUGUGUUGAAAAAGAUUUUGAAAAACCCAAUUCACCCCAUCUUGGGUGUUUUUCUCAUUUAAGUUUAGCCCUUAUUUUCUCAGGAAGGUUUAGCUUUUCAACAAUGAAAAUUUAGAGUCUUUUUAUAGAGGAAAAAAAUCAAACUAGCCAUUGAGAGUUCGACCGAUCGAGUUGGGGGUUAACCGGUUGACUAGCCAUUAGCAUUUAAUGCUUGAUAGGUGACCGUUAGACCUCAACCGGACCUUGAUCGGACCUUGAUCGGACCUCGAUCGGUUGAGGUGUGGGUUGACCAAUUUUUCAUUUGGUUGAACAACCAUUCUGGAAGAGAGAGAAGGUUUUUUGCACCCCUUGAACGGUUGAGCUAGUGGUCGACCGGUUAUUGUUCACACCAUUGACCAAUUGAACUAGGAGUCAACCUGUUCCUAGAGAGCUGGUGGUCAAUCAAUUCCUUAUCCGAUUCAACCGGUUGAGUCGUUUUUGGCUCAACAACCAACUUUUUCAACUUAAAACCUUUUAAACAAGUUUGAAAAACAUUUGACACAAGAUUUUAGUUGAAAACAUGAAAUCAUCCAAUUUUAAAAUAUUUUUUUAAAAAAAAACUCUUGGAUGAUUUUGGUGCAUAAGUAAAUAAUGUAAUGCAUGAAAAUCCCAAUGCACCAACAACCUUACAAAGAGAUCUUAUGAAGCUUGGGUCAUGAAAAACACUUCUCUUUGAGGUGGUCUUCUUCUUCAUGAUUUCUCCUUGGCUUGAUUUGUCUUUGUGAUUGCCAUUUUGGAAAUCGUCUUGCCUAGUCACACUUGAAAUAUAAUCAUUAGUUCUAAACCAUGUUUUGUUAUUAUCAAAACCGAGAUUAACCAAACCUUGGUUUCACAAAAAUAAUAAUCCUAUGAGGUGUUUGUUUGUAGAGAGAAAAAAAAUCCCAAAUAAUAAUAAUAAUAAUAAUAAUAAUAAUAAUAUAGUAAUAAUAAUAAUAAUAAUAAAAUAUCUAAAAGAUAGGGAAAUAUCUGUAUGGAGAGUCUAAUUGUCAAUUGAUUUGAAUAACAUGAUAAGUUAAAGGGGCAUUUUUGGGAAUGAUUGGAUAACUCAUUAAAAAAUGCAUAUAUUUCAAAUUAAUUUUAAAUAGAUAAAAAUAAUACUAAGUUUAAAAAUUUUGGAUUCUUUUUUCAUAUAUUUUCAUAUUAGUGAAUCAAAUCCCACUUUUCCCAAUUAUUAAUGUUAAUGAAAUGUCAUUUAACUUCUUUUGUCAAAUCUUAUCAUUAAGCAUGACAAACUAUUUGAUAAGCAAGACAUGCUAUGUAUAUUUAUGGUUAGUGGUGCUCUUUAGUUUGCCUCUUGGCUUGAUGUUAAGUGCUUGACUUUACGGUACCAUUAAUUGGAUGAAAAAUUUAGUGUACAAAUCUAAAAUAAAACUUAUUAGAUGCAAAAUGUAAUAUCUUAACAUUUCAUGGAGAUUGUGAGAUUGAAAAUUUUAUAGCAAAAGUAGUGUUUGUAAAGUCAAAAAGUCAAUUUUAUUGAAGAUAAUUUGUUAGAAAGAUAAGUUUUACCUAUUAUUAUAAUGAAUAUUUUUUGUUUUGAAGAAUUAAUUAUAUUGGUAAAAAUAUAGGUAUAUAAUUUAGUAUUAUUAGUAGUUAAAUUUUGUUAAGAUAUAGGAAAUUUAAUUUAGGGAAUAAAAAAAAUGCAAAGUUUGAAACACAAAUAAAUAUAAUAAUAAUAAUAAUAAUAAUAAUAAUAAUAAUAAUUUAUUUUUUGAAAAACAAACAAAAGAAAGGGAAAGAGAAAUAGUGAAAAGGUCAAAACCAUUUGAGAAAAAAAAAGGAAAAAAAAAGAGACAAAGAAGUUCAUGUUUAGUAGAGAGGUGAGACAAAAAAAGAAAAAAGAAAAAAAAAUUAAAAGGGAGAGUUCCAUACCAUGGAUCUUUGGAAGACCGUAUCAUAGAACAUGACCUAUUUUGUAUGAAAUUUUAGGAGGACGUUCUAUUUAUGUAGGAAACAUUGAUAUAAAGUCUAAUUUUAAAGUUAAUGGUUGGAUUCUUGAUUUUUGAUAGGGUGGUAUAUCCUUAAAAAAUUUAUUUAAUAUAUUUUAGAAGAAAAAAAAAUCAUCGUUAUUGAUGUUGUGGAAUAGAUCUACUUAUAUAAUUGUGAUGCCUACAUGUGAUUUGGUAUAUGAGUGUUGUUUAAAUUUUGUUUUCUUAGUAAUUUUAUGAAUUUUUUAUUGAUGUUAAUGAAAUAAUGGUAGAAGAAAAUGAAAAAUCAUUAGUUGAUAAUUUAAUUCAUAAUUAAUAAUUUCAAUAUAUAUGUAUGUAUGUAUUUAUGUAUAAUAAUGAGAAAUAGAAAAGGAUGAUGCAAAAAAGGCUUGGGAAAAGUAUUAAUAAAGAAUAAGGAGCAAGAUCUUUAAUGUAAAAGACAUAAAAAUUAACCUCGGAAAGACUCUGAAUGGAAAGUGUAUUUGGGUACAAACACAUAUCUUUAAGUGAAAUCAAGAGAAAAAUAGUGCAUUUUAUGAUUGAGUGUAUCCAUCUUCAUUUGCAUUUUCUAUUAAUUAUCAAGAUAUAUGUAUGUUAUAUAUUUGGAUUAAUGUUUAAAUGUCCAUUUUUAUUUUAACAUUUGAUUAUUACUUUUUAACAAUUUUGGCUAUAUUUGGUUGGCUAGAUAUGAUAGAAUAUGAUAUGUAUAUCUUAAGAUAUCAUACUCUAUUAGAUAGGAAAUGCAUAUAUUAGAAUAUGAUUUCUAAUGGGAUAUGAUAUAUUUGGAUAUUAUAUUCAAUAGACAUACUAUCCUAAGAUAGCAUAUCGAAUGGAAUAUGUUACAUUAUAUUAUGUUCAUAUUUAAUUUGUGAAAACAAAUAAAAAAUGGAAUAUAUGUUAUUUUUCAAUGUUUAAAAUAAGAAUUAUAUCGCAUUACAAUAUUUUUCUAUUUAAAAAAGUGAAAUUCCUCUUAUGUUUAACAAUAUUCAUGAUGAAAAUAUUUAAACUUUAUAAUUUUUUUUAUUAUGUUAUUCAAUAUAUAAAAAUAAUAUAUAUAGUACACAUUAAUAUUAUUUUAUCAUUCUUUUUUAGUUUUUUGACCAAAAUUUAAUUUAUAAUUAAAAAAAUUAAUUUGGAAGAUGAAUAUAUGAAAAAAAAAAUUGAUAAAAAAAAAAAAUGCAUGGGAUAUCGAUAUCCUAUAUGUUAGUAUAGGAUUAACAUAUACCAUGUGGAAGAGAUAUAAAAAAGAGGGUGGAUGAUAUAUCCCACCAUUUAUCUUAUCCCAUGUUUGGUUGAUGAUGUGAUAGGAUAAGUUAUGGGAUAGGAUAUAAUAUCCAUAUCUUAUCCUAUCAUGAUAUAUCCAAGCAACCAAACAUGACCUUUAGGUAUUAGACACCCUACUAAGCAACAUGGAAAUAUUCAUCCCUUUCUCUUUAAUAUUUUUUUUUUUUAAGAUACAAAUAUUAUUUAUAAGGACCCAUAGGUGAAUAUACCAAGGAGGGUUUUAGAAUAUCCUAGGAGAUUCAAGAGUUACUUAAAAAUAUUAGUGCUCACUUGUGUUAAACUUUUGGACAUGUAUUCAUUUGGUAAAUUUGGGUAAAUGUAAUAUAAUUACACUUUGGUUGGUUGUAAAUGAACUAUAGGAACAUUUUAUUUAGAAAUGAUUGUAGAGACUUGGACGAUUAUCUUAAGUUGGAAAUCAAUACCAUUUAUAAGCUAGUGAAACCUAAUGGUAGGAAAAAUUUAUUUAAUUGAAUUUUUAGUUUAGCGAAUUUUAUUGAAAAUUAAAUUAGGAUUUAUUCUAAGAUAAAAAAGAAAUUUUGGGUGUACAGGUUGACUGUUAAUUUGAGUAAGAGUAACCAUAAGGGUCAAACCUUUAACCUAGGGUUAGGGUCAAGUUCCAAGUCACUUAGAAUUUGGGUUAUAACAAUGUGGUAUCAAAGCCAAGGUUGCAAUAGUACAUUGGGGGUACUAUUUAUGUGUAUUAUUCUAUUUAUGGAUUUAUUUAUUUAUUAUGGACUUGUAUUUGAUGACCUUUUUGUGGUAGUGUUUGUUGAUGGAAGUAACAUGUGAUACCAUAAUGACUAUGAUGGUUAUGGCUAUAUGAAAAUUGUCAUAGAUAUUAAAAUUGUUAGAUUAUUUUAUGUGAAUCUGUUUUUGCUCACCUUGAAGUGUGAUUGGAUUAGGUCUUAUCAUAUAUUUGAAAAUGGUAGGAAAUACACAAAUCAUAACAAAGAGAGAUGAAAUGGAUUUAGUUAGAGCAGAAUUAAGAGAAGUAAUAAGGGAACUACAAGAAACUACUCAACUACUAAGAGGUUAGAGUUAGGAAAUUAGGGGUAUCUAGACCUAAGUAGAUUUUAAUCAUUCUUAGAGGAGAGUUCACCUAACUACGACAAUUAUGAGUCAAAUGGAGGCUAUGAAGAGAUUCAUGGUGAUGCAACCCCUAUAAUUUACUAGGGAACCAAAUGCUAUGGUGGCAAAAAAUUUGUUAAGGAGCAUAAAAAGAAUAUUAGAGAGUUUAGACAUUCCUAAAGAGAGAAUAAUGAGUUUGGUGAAGUAUAUGUUGAUGAAAAAAGUAGACCUUUGGUGGGAGACAAUAAAGAGAAUAUAUAACAAAUAAGUGAUGAUUUGGAGCAAUUUGAGAGGAUCUUUUUAAAUAAAUAUUUUUUGGAAGUGGCUAAGCAUGCCGAGAAUGAAUUUUGAGCAUCUCAUCUAGGGGACCAUGAUAGUGUUGGAGUAUGGGUCUUGUUUUUCUAGAUUGUCCAGAUUUUCUUUUGACAUGACUAGUGAGGAAACAAAGAAUGAAAAGAUCUUCCAAUAGGGAUUAAGGCCUGCUAUAAAAAAAAAAAAAUGGUGGUUCUAUUAGCUGUAAGGUACUUUAAGUUAGUCAAAAGAGUCUUGAUGGUUGAAUAAGAUAUAGAUGAGAUCAACAAAAUUCGAGACUAGAGGGGAGAUAGGAAGGAAAAGCAAAAAAUAGGGGAAAAAAAAUCCUAGAAGAGGCCUUAGAAUCAAUAGCAAAGGCAAUAAUACCAAUAGUAUGAUGGACGUCUAUCAUUUUAUGUUAGGAGUGAAUAAGUUGUUUAAAGGGUAGUAACCAUUUAUGGAGGGUUUGCUCAUUGAGAGGUGCAUCUUAGACCCAAUUUCAACCCUUAACAAAAAUGAACCUUACUUUUUCAACUUCCUUAAGUUCAAUUGCCUUACUGCCUAUCAUCCUAGUUACUGUCAUCAAUGUAGGGAACCAAAACAUCUACUACAAGUAGUCAAGCUAGAUCAUUUCAAGGGUCAAGUGUUAAAGGAAAAAAAAGACAAGAAUAAAUUAGAGUUUUUGCACUAACCCUAACAAAAUUGGAAAACGAGGUCAUUUUGGUGGAAAGUAUGAUUUUAAUCCAUAGAACUUGGAUGCAUGUUUUGUUUGAUGCGGGUACAAGACUUUUUUUUAUCUCUGUGUCUUAUGCAUAAGCAUUAGGGUUGAAAGGGUAGAAAACUUAUUAUACAUUAAGUCUCCUAUUGACAUGAAUUCUAGAGUUGACACAAAUGUAAAGGGUGUGUAAUCACCUUAGCGAUUGGAGUGCUUCAGGUUGAUUUGAGGGUUCUAGACAUGACUAUAUAUGUUGUUAUCUUAGGUAUGGAUUGGCUAGGAGUUUAUAUAGAGGUCUUAUUGAUUAUCAUCAUUGUAAGAUAAUAUUUCGUUUGCUAGAUAGAUUCAAGAUUUGUUUUGCAGGAAGUAUUAAUUUACCAUUUACACUGUCCAAUCCAUAUUAUCAAUAUGUGUUAAGGAAAGGAUCAAUAAGUUUUCUACCAUGUCUCCAUAGUAGGAAAAAUACCUAAAAGAACAUUAAAGAAAUUCCAACGAUGUGGAAGUUUCAUGAGAUAAUUCUAAAUGAACUGUCAAGUUCACCAAUGCAUAGAGUUUGAUUUUUGUAUCAACGUAUAUCCAAGAACAGAUCUUAUUUCAAUGGCACCCUUAACUCCUCUUAAGUUGAAGGAAUUGAAAACUUAGCUAGAGAAAUUGUUGAAUAAAACCCUUAUUCGACUAACUACAUCACCAUGGGGAUGUAGGGAAAUAUGGAUUAUCCAUUCUUUGGCCUUAGAUUAGCUAGGUGUAUGAAAAACAUUCUUUAAGUUUAUAGAUCUAUGCCCGCUCAACGGAAAACAUAGGUAUCAAAACAACCUUGAUAUAGAAGAAAAAUGUAUUACCUUAAAUGUAGAUAUUCCCAUAUCAAUUCUUAUAAGAGUAGAAAGCUCUAGAUCCACAUAAGAUCUCGUAAACUCAUCUUCUACUCGAUGCCUUUUUCUAAAUCUUGACAUAAAGGGAUGGAAAACUCUAAGAGGGUUGUGACUAGUGUUCUCUCUCUCUUUCUCUCUCUCUCAAAUGUACAAAAGAAAGAGUGAAUGGUAACAUCAAGUUCUAACCCCCAAAAGGUGGGUAUUUAUAAGCUUCUAGUGGGCUUAAGUGUCUUAAGCCCAAAUGUUUUCAAAAUUGGCUCGUUUGUUGUCUUAUUUUUUAUGUCCCAAAUGUUUUAGUAAAUCUAGACUUUUUGGCUUGUUAAAAAAUAUUUUGAAACUUGGAUUGUGUUUCAGACUUCUCAAAUAUAUCAAAGAAUUUUUGUUUUUUUGAAUAAGUCAUCUCCAAGUUUAUUAAAUAAAUUGGUUUUACAAAUCAAUCAUAGUUCUUUGGUUUUUAAUUAAUUUUGAUGUAUUUUUCUCUAUUCCAGACUUUUUAAAUAAGCUUGUAAGCUUUGCUUUUAUUCAAAGAUCAUUUGUCAAGCUUAUGAAUUAAUUCCAUCUUCUCAUGCUUUCUAUUUUGACCUAAGUCUAGAGUUGUGAAUUGUUUUUUAGAGUCUAGGUUAAUUGGUGCAUGUUUGGGCCCCUUGGAAUUUUGUAAUGUAUUCUAGGCAUCUUGAGCAUGUUGUAGAAUUUUUGUUUUGAUUUUUAUCUCACUUUCAUGUUUAUUGAAUAAUUCAAUCUUUGCAUGACUUGUUGUCCUAACCUGCUUUUGUGCAUGAAAGCUUGUGAACUAAUUACCUACUUGUAAGGAACACAUGACUUGGAUUUUUCAUGCACGAGAGAGAAUUUUUUAGUAGAAAGUUCAUGUGUUUCAAGAUCUUCUUCAUUGACUAUAUUUGAUGUGGGAACAUCUAAAUCAAAGGUAAAGUUUUCAAAACUGUUGGAUUAAUUUAUUGUUUUAAUGUAUAUAUGCUUCUGUUGCUAUUAGAUCUAGCAUCUUAGUAUGAUAGAUGCAAGCACCCUUGCGAUCCAAAGCUAGAUUGGAAUAGAUUUUUUUUUCCUUUUUUUUUCUAAAUAUCCCAACAAAUUCCUCUGAUAGGGGUCAUGUCGCACUACUCAAUAGACUACUAUUAUUGUAGUAUCCAACUAAUAUAUACACCAAUGGAGAAUGACUAGUAGACCACCGUCAAUAUGUCAAACACUCUCUAGUUAUUAGGUACAAGCUAAUCAAUGUCAUGAGGGCUAAUUCUAAAGUCUCUUGUGAAGCCGUAUAGUUGGGAAACUACAAUCAAAGUUCUAUAAAACAAUACCCAGUACAAGGCCUUUGGGAGACUUCCUUGUUUGAGGUGGAGUCAACAAAUAUAGUGUGGUAUGAUCGAUAUUAAUCGUGUUCUUAGUGAAAUUUCUUUUAAUUAAUUUAAUAAGAAACUCUAUUUUAAACUAUUUCUCUCUAAAGCUCAACAUAUAGUAAGCUAAACUUGGGAGAAAUCCCUAGUGCAUUGGCUUUUCUAAUGGCAGCUUUAUUUUUAAUAUUUUAUGCUUUUGGCUAAUAAUUGUUACUAUCUUUUUUAUCUUAGUACUGGUGCAAAGUCACUGUGUACAAGGGGUCCUAACAUAAAUUCACAAUCAUCUGAGUAAGAAAAGACAUAGGAGCAUUCCUAGGCACACCACACUCUACUUCAAGAAAUUUGAAUAUUUGGGGAAGAUUGAUAGUAACUCUAAUACAUAUAAAUCAACAUUACUAAAGAUUAAGAGUUUGUUUAGUAGUAAUUUUAGGAAGUGUCUCUAACAUUUUUAACAUUUAAAAAAUUUUAUCUUUCAAGUAUUAGAAAGACUAGAAACAUUUCCUAAAAUCAUUGUCAAACACACUCUAAAAAUGUAUUUUAACAAUGUUUUUAUUUGAAGUGUUUUUAGUAAAAAUAAAUAAAUCUCUAAAAGCGUUUUUAAGAAAAUCACCUAUUAAUUGUUUUUCUAUAAAACAUUAUAAGUGAUUUUCCUAUACUAUAAGUAACUUUCCAAUACUAUAAGUAACUUUUCAGAUUUUUAAAAGUAUUUUUAAAAUUUUUUCAAACAUCUAAUUUUUUUUUCUAAAACACUUUCUAUCUUAAAAGCGCUUCCUAAAACCCACUAUAAGAAAAAAGAUAUAUGGUGACAUUUAUAAUGAGUCACUAUAAACAUAGGGUGUCACUACAACAUAGCGUCACCUUAUCCACUGACACCAUAGAGAGUACCAAUUGGUGACGUAUUUGGAAGCGACACCAAAGCAGAUAAAUGGUGACACAUUCAGAAGUGACACCAUAUAUUUUUAGUGAUAUUUAAUUUGAUAUAGAGUUGUGUGAGAUAUAUAAGGUGUCAUAUUAAAUGCAUCACCUUUGAGUUAUAGUGUGAUGUUAAAUGCAUCACCUUUGAGCUAUGGUGUCGCAUCAUUGUAAAUGAUUAUAGAAAAUAUGGUUGUUUUUUGGUUAAUUAGCUUGUAGAUUUUUGUGAUGCUUAUUAAUAAAUAAGAUCAACUUGUGUAUAUUUUGUCCAUAAAUAUAAUAAUCAUAUCACAUUUAACUUAUAUUUUCGUAAUGCUUAUGGAUUAACCUGUAAUACAUUACAUCAUUUAGUAAUAUUUGUAUGUCAAAUGUUCACAAGAUGAUAGUACAUCAAACCCACAGAAACCAAAAAGAAAAGUGAAUACACAUUAAAAUAUGAUUUGGAAAUGUUAAGCAUUCCAACAUUCAUGUAUACCGGCAUUUCAUAUGCAUAAAACCGGCUAACCAUAAAAUGACACAAGAGUUGCAUCCAAAAACUCAAAAUUCUCAACACCAAAUAAAGUAACGUUUAUGUCCUAUAAUGUAUGGCAUAAGAGUCACAUCUAAAAAUCCAAAAUCUUGUUGCCUCUUUUUCCUUUCUUUUUAUUCUUCAUAAUGUCCUCCCAAGAGUGUAUACUCGCAUUUCAUUGUUUAAUGAGUUUUAGAGUUCUUAUUGAAAAUAAAAAUUAAUCGAUGUUAUAAAAAAUAAACAAAUCUAAGUACUAAUGUUUUCUUUUUUACUUUUUCCCAUUUUGAUAUAAAAAUAGUCCGUAAAUAAUAAGUAAUGUUAUACAAUACCAAUGGAAAAUUCAUAUAACAACUAAGGGACUCACCAUGCAUGAUCAUGAUAAUGAUCAACAUGAUUCAUGAUUAGUUAUAACACCAAAGUAGUUCAUUCUCCUCUAAUUUCAUCAAAUUCUAAUUGAGAAUAUGUUUUUUUUAUAAUCAAAAUGAAAUCAAAUGAGAAUAACAUUGAUAUCACAAUAAUUGGAAGUAUGAAACUAUGUACAAUUCAUUAAAUAAGUAAAACCUUUAAUACAAUAAUUGUAGAAUCAACAAGUAUCACUAUCAAACGGACUCUAAAUAACACUUUAAUACACUAGUAGAUCAAAUCAACAUUUUUAGCUAGAUCUAGUGUAUCCUUUAUGAAAUGUGAGGCAUUUUUCUAGAAAAAGUUCUCACAAGGAUUUGUUUUUACUUAUUACAAAAAGAUAACAUACUCUCAACAAUGAAGCGCAUUGGACAUAUCCAAUAUAUGGCUACUCCUAAGCAAUGAUUAGACAAAGUUGAGGCUAUUCUCAAACUCAUCUAUCUAUAUGACUUUUCCUUUAUAUAAAGAAUUUAGCUUUUAUCUAAAUUCCGAAGUUCAAAUGACAUUUUGUAUUUAUUUUUAUUCAAAUUUUAAAUAAAUUCAAAUUCAUUUAGACUUCAAUUAAAAUAAAAUAAAAAAAGUAACCUAAUGUAACCAUAAGUUAGAUCGAUAUUUUGCUAUAGAACAUUCUGAAUAAAUUUUUAAACAUUUCUCCAAAAAUUUAGUAUUAAUAAAAAUCAAGGAAAUUACAAAAUUAUUUUUAUGUACACUAGAGAUAAGGAGAGUUUAUGGCCAAUGAUAUAUGUGGCUAGAAAAACAAUAUAGGAUGGUAGACCAUUCGACCUUAGAACAUUCAAAGUUGAAGAGACUUUGUGAAUUAUUAGAUAUGGUAUAGUAGAUCAUUCUUCAUCCCUUGAACUCCUUUGUAUCUUAGCACAGAACCAGAAAUGGCAGAUGAAAUAGUUUUGCUAGAUUUCUAGUUAGCGUGUUUGGUAUGAGGGUCAAAAUUGCAUUAGUAGAGAAGGGUAUCAAGUAUGAAAAUAGAUAAGAGGACUUGAGAAACAAGAGCCCUCUCCUUCUUGAAAUGAACCCAGUUCAUAAGAAAAUCCUAGUCUUGAUCCAUAAUGGCAAACCCAUUUGUGAAUCAUUGAUAAUAGUUCAGUAUAUUGAUGAAGUUUGGAAUGAUAAGUCUCCAUUGUUGCCCACUAAUCCUUACCAGAAAGAUCAAGCCAGGUUCCGGGCUGAUUACAUUGACAAGACGGUAUGUCUCUUCUGCUAUUCAUUCAAAAUUAUAUGUAUCAGCCAGUUUAAGCUCAUUUUUGGACAAUGAAUUCUUGCUUAAUCUGAAAAUUAAUGUUAUUUUGCUGCUUACUUUUCAUGUCUUUUUAAUUAGUGGUGUUCCAUAAUGUUGAUCUAUAUUAUGUGGGAUUUCUUUGUGGUUGUCAUAUCUCUAAGGGUUUGCCUUUUUGUUGUAAUACGUGGCUCAUAUUUAAGCGAAAGACAUAUGGAGAAAGGGUAGUACGAUUCAGGGGUAUUUUUGGAAUUUUAUUCCUAAGGGUUAGUAUAAAUACCCUUUUAUGUAACCCUAAUUUGGUACAUAGUGAAAGUCAUUUUCCUUGUUCCUGUGGACGUAGGCAAUUUUCCAUACCACAUUAAAUCUACAUGUUCUUUUUUUCUCAUUUUUCCUAAUUUUUUCACCAUAAAUUGUUGCACGAAUUCCAACAAUUGGUAUUAGAGCGCCAGGUUCAAUUUCUGGGAUUUCUUCUAUGAAGUUCGAUGUGGUCAAGUUCGAUGGAUCUAGGAAUUUCGGCCUAUGACAGAGGAGGGUUAAUGAUCUAUUAGUGCAACAAGGUAUGGUGAAGGCGUUUUACGGAAAACAACCAAAAAGAAUGAAUGAUGUGGAUUGGAAGGAUAUGGAAGCGAAGGUUGCGACAAGGAUCAAGCUUUGUUUGGCUGAUGACGUGAUGUACCAUGUCAUGGAUGAAGAAUCACCGACGACAAUCUGGUUGAAAUUGGAAAAUCAGUAUAUGUCUAAGUCAUUGACGAACAAGUUGUAUCUUAAGUAGAAACUGUAUGGUCUUAAGAUGGCAGAGGGCUCAGAUCUAAGCUAGUAUGUCAACGUAUUCAAUCAUAUCAUUAGUGAUUUGAAGCAAAUUGAUGUGAAGUUUGAAGAGGAAGACAAGGCAUUGAUGUUAUUGAAUUCCCUUCUUGUUUCUUCUACGUAUGAAAAUCUGGUUACAACUAUGGUGUGAGGUAAAUAAACUCUUGAUUUGGAGGAGAUCACGAGCAUUCUUUUAGUAUUUAAUCAGAGGAAGAAAGCCAAUGAUUAGAGUUCUCAGGGUAAAGGGCUUGUGGCAAAGAAAAAUCAAGAAUGUGGGAGAAACAAGUUUCGGAGUGAAUCGAGUAAUAAUAAAUCUCAAUCUAAAUCCAAGAAGAGAAAGGACAUACAAUGUUAUAAGUGCGGAAAAAAGGGGCACAUGAAACGAGAUUGUCCAGAGAAAAAGAAAGGGGGCUCAGUAUUGGAAAAUAAAGAGAGUUCAUCAAAGUCUAUGAAUGUAGUGGCAGAAAAAGACUCAAAAAGUGGUAAUGGUGACAUGCUGUCGGUUUCAUCCAGUUCAAAUCAUCUUACAGAUUCGUGGAUCUUGGAUUCAGCAUGCUCUUAUUAUAUGACACCCAAAAAAGAUUGGUUUAACACAUACAGGUCGGUAAAUUAUGGUUCUGUUCUGAUGGGUAAUGACGCUUCAUGUAAAGUUGCUGUAAUAGGGAAUAUCAUAAUUAAAAUGUUUGAUGGUGUUGUUAAAACGUUGUGUGAUGUUAGACAUGUACCUGAUUUAAGGAAGAAUCUGAUUUCUUUGGGGACUUUAGACUAUAACGAGUUUAGUUACAAAUCUACAAGUGGAGUAAUGAAAGUGAGCAAAGGUGCUAUGAUAGUGAUGAAAGGUCAGAAACUAGUAGGAAAUAUUUAUAAACUGUUAGGUACCAUAAUUGUAAGUGGAGUUGCAAUCGCAGAGUCUGCGUCAGACAAUAUAGUUUUAUGGCAUAUGCGGUUAGGGCAUAUGGGUGAGCGUGGGAUGAUGGAGCUUCAUAAGAGAAAUCUGUUGAAGGGUAUCAAAACAUGUAAACUUGAUUUAUGCAAGUAUUGUGUUUUUGAGAAAUAAAAUAAAGUGUAGUUCAAGACAGCCACACACAAGACAGAGGGGUUUCUUGACUAUGUUCAUACAAACAUUUGGGGACAAGUAAGGGUAGCAUCAUUGGGAGGAAAUAUGUAUUUUGUGAGUUUUACUGACGAUUACUCACGAAAGGUUUGGGUGUACUUCAUGCGACACAAGUCAAAAACAUUUGCCAAGUUUAAGGUGUGGAAAGCUGAAGUAGAAAACCAAACAUGGAGAAAGAUAAAAUGCCUUAAGUUAGAUAAUGGUAUAGAGUAUACAGAUUCAAAGUUCACGGAAUUGUGUGAGCAACAUGAGAUUAAGAGACACUUCACAGUACGCAAGACACCACAACAAAAUGGUAUAGCAGAAAGAAUGAACAGAACGAUAGUUGAAAGAGCUCGAUGUCUCAAAUUGAAUGCAGGCCUUGAAAAGAAAUUUUGGGCAGAAAUAGUGAACAUGGCAUGUUACUUGAUCAAUAGGUCACCUAGAGCAGCAUUAGAUAGGAAAGUAGCAGAUGAGGUAUGGACAAGCAGUCUAGUAGAUUGUUCUGGUUUGAGAGUAUUUGGGUGCCCAACCUAUGUGCACAUUCCUAAUGAGGAGAGAUCAAAGUUUGAUGCGAAGUCUAGACAGUGUAUCUUUCUGGGGUAUCAGAAAUGGGUGAAAGGCUUCAAGCUCUGGGAUCCAAAGGCAAAUAAGGUGGUGAUUAGUAGAGAUGUAGUUUUUGAUGAGAAACCCAUGUUACAGUGUACUCAGAAAUGCAAGAAACAGGAACCAGAAAAUUGCAGCAGUAAUGAGCAGCUGAUACAUGUGGAAUUUGAGACUCAUGAUAUAGAGGAUCGAGCUUAGAAUACAGGGAAGUCUAGUUUAGAAGAUCAACAGCAUCAUAGUAUAGACAUAGACAAACACAGAUGUACUAUUAAGCCACCUACUAGGUAUGGUUUUGAAGAUUUAGUUUCUUAUACAUUGAUUACUAGUAGUGGGGAUCCUACUACCUUUCAAGAGACAAUACACAACCAAAAGAAAAGUAAAUGGAUGAGUGCUAUGGUGGAGGAGAUUCAGUCUUUGCAUGAGAACCAGACAUGGGAUUCGGUGGAGCUUCUAGAGGGUAAGAGAGCAAUAGGAUGUAAAUGGGUGUACAAGAAGAAAUAAGCAAUUUAAGAAAAAGAGGGUGAAAAGUUCAAGGCUAGUUUAGUAGCAAAGGGUUACUCACAAAGGAAAGGGAUUAACUAUGAUGAGAUCUUCUCUCCCUUGGUCAGACACACAUCCAUCAGGACAAUGUUGGGUUUGGUAGCACAUUUUGACAUGCAAUUGGAGAAAAUGGAUGUAAAGACAACUUUUCUUCAUGGUGAUUUGGAGGAGUUGGUCUAUAUGGUAUAGCCAGAAGGGUUUAUUCAACCUGGACAAGAACACUUGGUCUGUAAAUUGAGGAAAUCACUUUAUGGGUUAAAUUAGUCCCCAAGGCAAUGGUACAAGCGAUUUGACUCCUACAUGAUCAGGAUUGGCUACAAAAGAUGUGAGUAUGAUUGUUGUUUUUCUAUAAAGAGCUUAGAUGAUGAUUAAUCGUUUAUUUUUCUAUUACUCUAUGUGGAUGACAUGUUAAUUGCUGCAAAGAGUUUGGUUGAGGUCAAUAAGUUAAAGUCUUUGUUGAGUAAGGAGUUUGACAUGAAGGAUUUAGGUGCAGCCAAGAAGAUCCUUGGAAUGGAGAUUCACAGGGAUAAAGCUUCAGGGAGAUUAUGGUUAUCUCAGCAUAGCUAUGUCAAGAGAAUGUUAGAGAGGUUCAAAAUGGAUAAUGCAAAACCAAUAAGUACACCUUUGGCAAAUCAUUUUAGGUUGUCUACUAGUCAAUGCCCAAAGACAGAUGAUGAAGUGAAUGACAUGUCAAAGGUUCCAUAUGCAAGUGCAGUGGGAUGGUUGAUGUAUGCUAUGGUUUGUACAAGACCGGAUUAGGCACAUGUUGUUAGUGUGGUGAGCAAGUUUCUAUCAAAUCUGGGAAGACUGCAUUGGGAUGCAGUCAAGUGGAUUUUUAGAUACAUAAGGGGUACUACAGACUAUGGCAUCACGUUCAGCAAACAAUAGAGUGAUCCUUCAAUUAAGAGAUAGGUUGAUACAGACAGUGCAGGAGACUUGGAUGACAGGAGGUCUACCACAGGUUAUGUAUUCACCCUUGGUGGGGGACCUAUUUGUUGGAAGUCUAUGAUACAGUCUUUAGUUGCACUAUCUACUACUAAGUCAAAAUAUAUGGCAAUAACUGAGGCUACAAAGGAAUCAUUAUGGCUUACAAGUUUGGUUAAGGAGUUAGGUAUUCUACAAGGUGGAGUUCAAUUAUAUUGUGAUAGUCAGAGUGCCAUUUAUUUAGCAAAGAACCAAGUGUAUCAUGCAAGGACCAAACACAUAGAUGUGAGGUUUCACAAGAUUAGGGAAUUGGUUUCUUUUGGUGAAUUGUUACUUGAGAAGGUUCACACCUCUGAGAAUGCAGCAGACAUGUUGACAAAGCCUGUUACCACAUAAAAGUUCAAGCAUUACUUGAACUUGAUUAAUGUCUCCAGAUGCUAGAUAGGAGAUACCCUAACCUAUUGUCCCAGAUGGAGUUAUAAGCUAUGUUUUUUGUCUCCUAAGGGAGGGGAGGGGGGAGGGAGUUAAUAUUCGUCAAGGUGGAGAUUAUUGUAGUAUGUGGCUCAUAUUUGAGCAAAAGACAUAUGGAGAAAAAGGGGUAAAUGCAGGAGCGAAGUGGAGUGACGACAUUUGCCAUUCAAGCUUGUAUUUCUAUUGUUGUGGGUGAACGAUAGGUUGGGGAGGGUGCGGGAGCAACACCCCCGAUGGUACGAUUCAGGGGUAUUUUUGGAAUUUCAUUCUUAAGGGUUAAUAUAAAUACCCUUUUAUGUAACCCUAAUUUGAUACAUAGUGAAAGUCCUCUUCUUUGUUCCCGUGGACGUAGAUAAUUUGUCAAACCACUUUAAAUCUGUGUAUUCUUUCUUUCUCGUUUUCCCUAAUUUUUCACCAUAAAUCGUUGCACGGAUUCCAACACUUCCUUUUUUGCCUCUCCUUAUCUCCAGAGACAUAGAAUUCAUUAACAAACAAAUUUUUUCUAGCUAAAAUAUUUACCGGACUUGAAGAAUUUGGUAAUUUUAUUAUUUGACAAUAGAAUUUGGCAUUUAUGGAAAUAUUGAUAGAAGUAGACUCAUAUCAUUAUUUUAUAAAUUACCUUUAUUGUUGCAAUUCCAUGUUCUGUCACUCCGUGUUCUCUUUUAUUCUUUUCCUUGAUAAGACUGACCGUGAAAUGUAGAUAUACAAUCUUGGGAGCAAGUUGAUACGGUCAAAAAAAGAAAAUCUGGAGAUACCCAAGAAGGAAUUCAUAGAAUGCCUUAAGCUGCUGGAAGGAGAGCUUGCAGACAAAUCCUACUUCGGUGGUGUAAAGUUGGGAUUAGUGGACAUUGCUCUGGUGCCAUUUUGUAGCAGUUUUUACGCAUACGAGACCUUUGCCAACUUCAGCAUAGAGGAAGAGUGUCCCAAACUGAACUUAUGGGCUAAGAGGUGCAUGGAAAAGGAGAGUGUGUCCUCUUCUCUCCCUCACCAGCAGAAGGUCUAUGACUUUAUUUUGCAGGUGAGAAGACAGUUUGGACUGGAGUAGAGAAAAGUAUAAUAUCAAAGGAAAGUUGUUGUAUGAGUAAGCACGAAUAUUGAGGACCAUAUAAUCUUAUCCUUCUUGAUGAAAAAUGCAUCCACCCCUGGGCCAUAUCAAUAAUUCAUCCUACUUUUCAAACAAUGAUUCCUGUCGAUUGUCUUUACAUUCAAUGAAGGAGUGCAUGGGUAUCUGAAACCUUUCUUUGUAUGCAACUUGAUACUGUCCUUGUUGUAGGAAGGUGAAUGACUUGUGGGACAUGUGGGAGGCCAAGUCGCGGCUAAACAUGAACAUGAAAUGUGGACUAGGUGUUUUAUUUGAUAGUGAUUGUAGGGAGUUAUUUUAGCUUAAAAAAAUGUUUCUCAAAAAAAUUAGAUGUUUGACCAAUUAAAUUUUAAAAAUAUUUUUAAAAUUUUUAAAAAUUAUUUAAAAUAUUAAAAAAUCACUUAUAAUGUUUUUAAAAAAAAAUACUUUAUGAAUGAUUCUCUUAACAACACUUUUAGAACAAACGAUUUUACUAAAAACACUUUUAAUAGAGACACUAUCAAAUACACUUUAAAAAAUAAUUACGAAUUAAAUAUAUUUUAUAAAAAAAAUUAAUUACAUAUAUAUAUAUAAAAUAAAAUUUGAAGUGAUGUUUUUCCAAUAAAAUUUAAUUAUAAUUAUUUUAUUGUUAAUUUUUUGGUUUUAACAUUUUGUUCAAAGUAGGCUCUUAUUAUGUUCGGCCAAACAAAAAGGAAAACAUCACCCUUUAUUUAUCAGAGCCAGGUUUCGAUCCUGGGACCUGUGGGUUAUGGGCCCACCACGCUUCCGCUGCGCCACUCUGAUUUAUUUGAGAGGUUACUGAAACAAAAUAUAUUUGAUUAUAUUUUCCGUCGUUGAAUGUUUUGUUCAUAUCUGGACGCUGGUUUCUCUCUACACACUAAUCCCUUCAGUAAAAUUGAAAAUUUUGCCACUCUGUUUGGAUUAACAAUAGAGGGCUCCGUUAUUGGCAUCUCCUACUCGUCUCUCUUAGAGUAGGGGACGCGGAUUAAUACUAUUUAGGUUGAUCUAAGGUAGCCUUAGGUGCUUCUUCCAUUUGCUCUAUGGGAUCGAAAAUGUGACGGCAUCAUCAAGUGUAUAAUUGGCUUUUGUAUCAACCAACUUAUUUUCUAUAGAUAAAAUAACCUUCGAGUUAGUUGUCUUUUGGGGCUUUCGAUAUAGUGGAGUGAUAAAAAAAGUGAGUCCGCCAUAAAUGGUAGGAUCAGAGGGACGGUAAUCAAUAAUAAUGGAGGUUGUGCUGAGGAGAGUGACACAUCCAUAUCAUAAUCCAUGUCAAGAGUGGUGCAAAUGUAUGAUCGGAGGGACACUAAUCAAUAAUGAUGGGGGUCGUGCUGAGGAGGGCAACACGCUCAUAUCACAAUCCACAUAAGGAGUGGUGCAAAUAUAUGGUCGGAGGAGCCUCAUAGUUUCUGAGGAUCUUACUUGUCAAUGACCUUUUAAAGAUUAUAUCAUAUAGCAAUGGAUCACUUACCAUUGAAAAAUGCACCAUCAAUGUUACCUAGGGAGAGGGUAGUUGUUUGAAUAAAAAAUUCAAAGAUGAAAAUGUUAGAAUGAGAUUAUAUGUAUAAUUUUCAAUAUAUUACUAUUAUCUCAUCAUUUUAAUCAAAGUAUUUCCUAAUCUUUCCAGCCAUAGGGACUUGCCAAACCAUGGGUUUGACCUAACUCCUAGUUUGCCAUGCAUUAAGAGUGAAUCAAUCUACCAUGGAGGACAUGGAUCGUGGGCUAGCAAAGCUUGUUAUGGUGUGCAGUGCUGACAAAGGUUGAGCACUGGUGGACUACAAGCACACGCAUAUUAAGUUAGUUGGCCUUAUUGGACCAGUUUCUCCCCUAUGAUCUAAACGUGUCCAUUCAUUCCUCCAUGGUAUGGCCUUUAUCCUCUUGGAGCUUAAAAAUCCCAGUUAAUUAGGGCCCGUUUGGCCAUGUUCUCGGAUGCUUAUUUUUAAAAACUAUUUUUAAAUUAAAUGGCAAAAAAUAUAUUUUUUUAAUAUUUUUUGAAAAUAAGAAUGUUUGACAAUUAUUUUUAAAAAUAAAAAGUAGAAAACCUAUUUGGAUAAGUUGUUUUUAAAAGUAAUUUUUGUACUUUGAUUUCCUAAAAACAUUAUAAAUUCAAUUUAUAUAAUAUUAAUUAAAGUCAAUUCAAAUCUUAUUAAAAAUAAAAAUAAUUUUUUUAUAAAUAAUUUUUUUUAAAAAAAAUAGUUUUUAGUAAAAUAUGAAUAAUGAUAUUAUAAUAAAAUUAUAAAUUAUAUUUUUUUUUUAAAAUAUAUAUUCGAUUUUAGAAUAUGUUAGAAGAUAUUAAUAUCUUUGUAAAUUUUUUAUUAAAAAUAAAUAAUGAAAAAAAUUUAACCUUUUGACAUAUAAAUGUACCAACUCUUUCAUUAUAUGCACACAUUUAGUACUCAAUUACAAACAUAAUAUUUUAGAACAUUUUGAUUUAAUUUACCAUUAAUUAGAUUAGUUUUUUGAAUUCCAAAUUAUUCUUAAAAAUUAAAAGAUUCAUUAAAGAAUUUAAAUUAUUAAUUAUAUCUUAUUUAAUUUAUAAUCUAUUUACCUAGUGAGAAAUUUAAAAAUAUAGUUGCAUGUAGAAACGAUAAAGUCAUGACUCAAAACAUAUUAGAUUUGAUCUAUUUUCUUUUCGUAAUUAGAUCUAUUUUUUAAUUUCCAAUUAUUUAAAAAAAAUUAAAGCCCAUUAAUAAAUUCAAUAUAAAGUGUCGCAUAAUUUGAAGUUCAUUUUUUGGAUGAGAAAUUUAAAAAAAUAUAUAUAAUUAUGUGUAAAAAAUAAAUAAUAGCCAUAAUGAAGCAAUUUUAAUCCAUAAAUUUAUGGUAUUAAUUGAUUCACUAUUUAAGUUUUAUUACUAGACUUGUUAAUGAAUCCAAUGCAUUGAGUCUUGUUUAAUUUUGGGUUCAUUUACCUAAAGAAAAAAAAAAUAAUGAUUCUAUGUAGAAAAUAAAAAACAAAGUCGUUUUGGAUCAAUUUUUAUCUAUAAAUUUUUUAUAUUAAUUGGAUCAUUAUUUCAGUUUUAAGUUAUUUUUAAAAAUUAUUAUAUUCAUUAAUAAAUCCAACACAUUAAGUCUUGCUUAAUUUGGAGUUUAUUUACUUAGUGAAAAAAUUUGUAAAAAUGUAUUAUAUGUAAAGAAGAAAAUAACCAAGUCAUUUAAAACAAAUUUUAAUCUAUAACUUUCUAAUAUUAUUGAGUUCGACUUUUAAAUUCUCUUCAAAUUAAUUUUUAAAAUUAAUGAACUUUAUGCAUGAAGUAUAGUUUGAUUUUGAAUUAUUUGUUUAAUGAAAAUUUUUAGAGAAAUUAAAAAAAAAUAGAAAACUACAUGUAAUUUAAAGAAAUAAUAUAUUUGAAGAUUUUUUAUAUUGGCAUUAAAUCAUAGUGAGAGAAAAAAAAAUGAUAUAAUGCUCAAUUUUAUUUAUUUUUUAUGUUUUUUUUUUAAAUCUUCAUGUUUUUCCUUUGUUUUAAAAAACAAAUAAAAACAACUUCUACUUAUUUUCUAAAAAUUGUUUUCUAUUUCACUUUGUUUUUUAAAAUUGGAAACAUAGAACUACAGUCAAAUAGUGUUAUGAAUUUUUAAAAAUAAUUUUCUAUUUUUAAAAAGGAAAAACUGUUUUUUAAUCACAUGACCAAACAAGGUUUUAUUCUCUUUACCUUUUUCACAAUUUUCUUUUUUUACAUAUAUUUUUCUUUCUCUCAUCCUCUUGGGAGCAUGGUCUCUUGAAGAUUUAUACUUUAUACUAUUCAUUGUAAAUCAUAAAAGAAAACUUCUAAUAUCAUAAACAUGCUUACUUGAAUUUAAUUAAAAUAGAACAAUAGGAGUAUUCUUUUUAAAAAAAAAAUAAAAAUAAGAUUGAAAAUGCUAAGAAUUGUCUUCUAAAUAAUACCAUGAUUUUGAAAGAAAGGUUGAUUUUUAUAUCAAAAUAAAGAAAAUUGAUUAAAUUUUUUAACAUAUUUAUAUUUGCUAUGUUAUUUAAUGAUUAUUUUACCCUAAUCAAAGUUGAUGUUCAAUCAAGUUCAUAAUGAUAUUUUUAACAAUGAAAUCAAUUGCCUUUUUAAAGUGAAAAUUUUCUUAAUUACUCCUUUCAUUUUCUUAUUUGCUCUAUUCGAUUUCCAAGAAAUAAAGUAAAGAAGUUUUCAAAUCACAACAAUCCAUGACCUCAAUCUUUCUCUUAACCGGAUAAUUUAUUGUCCCAAUGGCACCAAUUGUAGUUGUGAUCCCGUCUUUGUCAUCAACCUAAAAGGGUUUUCUUUUCUUCCCUUUUCUAGAAACACUUGUACUAGUCAAUCUCUUCUUUGUUUUAUUUGGUUGUUGAGAAAAUGAGAAGAAGAUUGAGAAUGAAAUUUGAUUUUUGUGAUUGUUGUUGCCUUGGUGUUCAAAGUUUUGAAACUUAAGUCAAAUGAUUGUUCUUUACUUUGUUUGGUUGUUGAGAAAAGGAAAAGAAGAUUGGAAAUGAAAUUUGAGUUUUGUGCUUAUUGUUUUAAUCUUUAAAGUUUUAAAACUUGAGCUAAAUAGUUGUGCUCGUGUAGAUUUUUAUUGUAUGGAUUAUGAUUGAAUCAUGGUUAACAUAUUAGUGCACACAUCUAAGAACACGGAUAUGGAAUUUAAACAAUUAUAGACAAUAAUUGUACUAACUAUACAAGGUUAAUGAACUAACUUUAUAAGGAGUGUACAAGGCAACUUAUUUGAAGGAAUUGAAGUAUUUCUUGUCAACUUCCCUACUUCUUUCCCUCACCUAAAGGUUAUUCCCUUCUAAGAAAUACAUUGACACAUUACAUACCCAUCUCAUGCAUGUUUGUCAAUCCAUACAUUGAAGUUUCAAAUCCCUACUCUCAUUAAAUGUACAAGGUUUCAUCUUUGGAAGCAAUCGGUCUAUGGUUACUUUUGACCAAACCACUUGAAACACGGUUAACACACUUGUGCACGCAUCCAAGAAUAUAUCAACUUUUCUGGGGUUUUUCAGUAUAUUAUUUACAUGGAGAGAACACAAAAUAAAUAAGAAAAUUGCAAUCCUAUUUUUGUCUAUACAAAUAUCUCAGCAAAGAUCAUGCCAUACUUGUAUGGCAUGAUUCUAUAUUUACGUCUACAACUAUAUCCUUCCUAAGUUGGUUUCUAACAGCUCACGCUAACACUCUCCCUCAAGUUGAUGCAUACAAAUCUCUGAUGCACAACUUGUUGAGUGAGUUGUGGAGCUCUUUGCUUGAUACCACAUUUGCGAGUAUGUCUGCUAAUUGGUCUUCAGACUUCACAAAUGGAAAUCAAAUUAUUUUUGCUUUUAAGUUUUCCUUGAUAAAAUGUCGAUCCACUUCCACAUGUUUUGUACGGCCAUGUUGGACUGGGUCUUGAGAUAGUGCAAUAGCAGCUUUGUUGUCACAAAAAAGAUCCAUUUCUGAGGCAGAGGCAAAACCUAGUUCAGUAAGUAGUCUCUUGAUCCAGAGUAGUUCACACACCCCUUUUGUCAUUCCACGAAAUUCUGUUUUAGCGCUAGAAAGUGCUACCACCUUUUGCUUCUUGCUUCUCCAUGUAACAAGAUUCCCACCUACAAACAUAAAAUAACCUAAAGUAAAUCUUCUGUCUAAGAUAUUUCUAGCCCAAUCUGCAUCUGUAUAGACAUUAAUUCUUAAAUGACCAUUCUUUGAAAACAGAAGUCCUUUCCCAAGUGAGGACUUCAAGUAUCUUAGUAUCCUAAUUACCGCAUCCAUGUGGUCUUCACUAGGGUUAUGCAUGAAUUGGCUAACUGCGCUUACAACAUAUGCAAUGUCUGGACAAGUAUGUGAGAGGUAUAUGAGUUUGCCAACUAACCUUUGGUACUUCCCUUUAUCCAUUGGUGCUUGAUCUGAGUAUUUUCUAAGUCUAUGGUUUUGGACAAUUGGAGUAUCCAUCGGUUUGCAUUCCAACAUUCCUACCUCAGUUAAUAUAUCCAACACAUACUUCCUUUGGGAAAGAAAUAUUCCUUGUUUGGACCUGGCAACUUCAAUUCCCAUAAAAUACUUGAGUCCUCCCAAGUUCUUCAUCUCAAAUUCUGUGGCUAACUCCUUUUAUAGUCUAGUUAUUUCUUCUUCAUCAUUUCCUAUGAUAAUCAUUUCAUCCGCAUAGACUAUCAACACAGUUACCUUUCCCACUUUGUGUUUUAUGAAUAGUGUAUGGUUCGAGUUGCUUUGCUUGAAUCUGUAUUUCCUCAUUGAUAAACUGAACCGCCUAAACCACACUUGAGGUGAUUGUUUCAAUCCAUAUAGUGCUCAUUGUAGUUUGCACACAACCUUGGUUUCAAUAGAUGUCGUAUAUCCCGAAGGAAGUUCCAUGUACACUUCUUCUUCAAGAUCUCCGUGUAGAAAGGCAUUUUUACAUCAAAUUGAUGUAAUGGCCAGCCAAGGUUGGCUGCGAGAGAUAACAAUACCCUUACAAUGCUCAGUUUUGCAACUGGUGAAAAAGUUUCUUGGUAGCCUACCCCGUAUGUUUGUGUGUAACCUUUUGACACCAGUCUUGCUUUGUAUCUUUCAACCGUACCAUCUGCCUUGUGUUUGAUAGAAAAUACCCAUUUCCAUCCUACUGCUUUCUUCCCUUCAGGUAAUGGAACUAUGGUCCAUGUGUUGUUAUUUAGUAGUGUCUCCACUUCCUCUUUUAUUGCUUGAGUCCAUUGCGGUUCAGACAAGGCUUCUUGAACUCCAACUAGAAUUUGACUUGAGGAAAGUACAUAGAAAAAUGCUCUAAGGGGUUCGGAUAAUCUCUUGGUAGACACAUAGUUGGCAAUUGGAUACUUUGAUUUUCGCUUUUCAAUACCAGGAGAAUAUCUAGUCUGUGGCUUGCCACAAUUUUCCUUAAAAGGCAAUGUAUAUCCAGUAGAAGUAUUCAAGUCACUUAUAUUGGAAGGCAUGUCAAGAAUUCUUACCUCACGGAUAUUUUCAGGAGAUGGGUCUGCAUGUACUAAGGAAGGAGGAGGGGGAGGGGGGAACUUAGUUCAGUUGCUGAAGGCAUAUAAUUUUCUGAAGUUGUAUUUUGCUCUAUGGGUCCAUCUAGUCUUGUGGGAUCAAUCAACACUAGGCUUGGUACUUCAUCCACCAUAGUUUCACUAUUUGGCUAGUCAAAGUGCAACCAUUUCUGCUCUUCAUCUCGUGUCUCCCCCUGAAGAUAAGAAGUGGGGGUUGGGAAAAAAGGUUUAGACUUUAGGAAGGUGACAUCCAUAGUUACAUAGGUGCGUCAGGUAGAGGGAUCAUAGCACCGAUAACCCUUCUGAUGCACAACAUAGCCUAGGAAGAGACAACGACAAGCACACUGAUCUAGUUUGGUUCUUUGAUUUUUGUGAAGAUGUACAUAAGUUACACACCCAAAUACUUUAGGAGGAAACAUUAGGGUUGUAGGUAAAGAGAGGUGUGAUGCCAGAACUUGGAGCGGAGUCUUAAAAUUUAAGACUUUUGAGGGUAGUCUAUUGAGUAGAUGAACGACAAUGGAUACUGCAUCAGACCAGUAUUGGGGUGGCACAUGCAUUUCAUGUAGUAAAGCUCAUGCAGUUUCAAGAAUAUGGUGGUGCUUCCGCUCAGCUAUGAUAUUUUGCUGAGGGGUAUGAGGACACAAUGUCUCAUGAACAAGUCCAUGAUGUUCGAAAUAAGUACGGAAGCGCUAAUUAACAUAUUCACCACCAUUAUCGGAGCGGAGAACUCAGAGCUUAGAAGAAAACUAAGUUUGGAUCAUCGCAUGGAAUGAUUGAAACACAUGUAAUACUUCAUCUUUAUGUUUCAUCAAGUAAAGCCAGGUCAUACGGGUACAUUCGUCAACAAAUAUACAAACCAACAAACACCAGAACCAAUCGAGAUAUGGGAAAGACCCCACACAUUAGAGUGAACUAAAGCAAAGGGAAAAGUGCUUUUAUUCAUACUUAGUGGAUAGGAAGUCCGAUGAAUUUUGGCUAUAAUGCAGGUAUUACAUUUAAGGUCAGAAAACCUUGUAUUAGAAAAAAGAUCAAGUCGUAGAUGCUUCAGAUAAUCAAAAUUUGGAUGCCCCAAAUGUCGAUGCCAAAGUUAGAUUUUUUGUUCUCUCACAUCACUUUGUAUUUGGUGAACAUGACCUGUGCUAACAUAUUUCAUGUAGUAUAGACCCCCCCCUCCCUCCCUUUUUAGUACCACGCCCAAUUAUCUCCUUGGUGAGAAUAUCCUGAAGAAUACAAAAUGUAGGAUACAUUAGGACAACACAAUUUAGUUCUAUUGUAACUUGAUUAAUAGAUAGUAAUUUAUGUGAGAGCGAUGUAACAAGUAAUGUAUUCAAUAAUUGGAAUGAAGGAGACAAAUACACAGAUCCGACCCCUAUGAUAGGAGAAACAACCCCAUCAGCAUUGGCAACACUAGUGCGUCACGGGGAAGAUGUUGUAGUAAAGUCGAUAGCUGCAAAAUUCAUAUGGUCUGUGGCUCCAGAGUUAAGAAGCCAUGUACCACAAUCAACAUCAUAGAAGGUAACUAAAUUAGAACCACAGUUACCUAUAUCAGAGACGGGUCCUGCAUCCUGAGAAGACUCAGCCUAAGGAAUCAAGGAAAGGUGAGGUUCGAUUGACAUUAUAGCCACUUUGCCCUUGUUUGCAUCCGCACCAACUGAGUCCUUCUUUUUCUUUGCCUGCAACUUAUACCACCAAUCGGGAUAACCAUUUUUUUGAAACAAUUCUCACUUGUGUGGCAUGGGAGCAUUUCAUUCCAUCAGGAAUAGUUCAUGACUUAGAGGUUGUAGUGCAUUUCCCAUGGUUGGGGGCUACAACAGAGUUUGUGUUGGCUAAACUCAGUUUCAGCCCUUUGGUAGUCAGAACCACACCUGAGGUAUUGUCGGGAUCACUAGUGCUCAUGACUGCUUAUCGAAGAGCCUCUCUGUGAACAUGAGCAUAAGCUUGCUCGAUUAAGGGAAAUAGGCGCAUUUGAAGCACAUUGCUGCGGAUGUUGUCAAUGCGAUCAUCAAGACCAUCAAGGAAAGUGUAAACAUGAUCUUCUUGGAGUAGGUUGUUGUAGUGGUAGAUGUCAGUGGUGCAUUCCAUCAGAUUCGAAUGACAGAAAUCAAUUUCCCGCCAUAGUCCUUGUAGUUUAGUGUAGAACUUCUCAAGGGAUCCACUACCUUAUCAUAGACAAGUCACACAUCGCUGGAGUUCAUAGACUUGAGAAGUAUCGUUGCCAUCGAAAUAAGUUGUAGCAAUGGCAUCCCAGACCAAUUUUGCUGUGGGAAAUCAGAUGAAAUUGUCCAUGAGUGUUGGAUCCAUAGAGUUUAUCAACCAUUAUUUGACAAUGGAAUUAUCAGUACGCCAUUUUCGAAAUGAUGGAUUUGCCUAUGGCAGUGGUGGACAAUUGUCGUUGAUAUAACCUAGUUUAUCUUUGUCGGAGAUGUACAUCUCGACAACCUGGGCCAAAGGGUGUGGUUGGAACCUUCCAACUUGAUACCAAUUCGAGCAGUUGAGUUUUCGGUGGUUGAAUUCAAGACUUAGACUUUGGAUAAGGCUUCAGUCAUUUGGCUGGUAAGGGUGGUGAUGAUGGAGUAGGUAUGUGAUGGAGGAUCACCAGAAUUAGUGAUAAUGUCGAUGUCUAUCAUAGAUGAAGGGCAUGGAUCAAACAGACAAAACUAGAGUUUUUCCGAUGAAGAGAGCCAAAGAUCGAAUUCCAUGAUCUAAUACCAUAUCAGCUUUUCUGGGUUUUUUCAGUAUAUUAUUUACAUGGAGAAAAUACAAAAUAAAUAAGAAAAUUAUAGUCCUAUUUUUGUCUAUACAAAUAUCUUGGCAAAGAUCAUGCCAUACUUGUAUGGCAUGAUUCUAUAUUUAUGUCUACAGUUGUAUCCUUCCUAAGGUAGUUUCUAAUAGCUCGCGCCAACAAAAUAUAGAUGUAGAAUUUGAACAACUAUAUAAUACAAUUGUACUAAUUAUUCAAAGUUAAUGAACUAACUAUAUAUAUAAGGGGUGUGCAAGACAAUUCAUAUGAAAGAAUUUGAGUAUUUCUUAUCAACUUCCCUACUUCUUUCCCUCACCUAGGGGUUCUUCACUUCUAAGAAACACAUUAACACAUCACAUACUCAUCCUAUACACGUCUGUACACCAAUACAUUGGGAUUUUGAAUCUCUAUCCGGACUAAAUAUAUGGGUUUCCUCUUUGGAAGCAACCGGGCUAUGAAUUUCUUUUACCAAACCAGUGGAACAUAUGAUUAAUAUACUUAUGUAGAUGUCCAUGAAUUAUGAAUUCCUUUUAUCAAACCAGUGGAACAUAUGAUUAACAUGCUUGUGCACAUUUACAUGAAUUUGGAGAUGGAUUUUGGACAACAAUAUAAGACAGUUCCACAACUUACAAGGCCAAUGAACUAGUUGUACAAGAGUUGUACAAAACCAACCAUUGUGAAGGAAUUUGAGUGUUUUUUUACAACUUGUUGGCUUCUUUCCUUCACCAAAACACUUGAAACAUUUUUACAAAUGACAAUAAAAUAAAAAAAGCAAGUAUCAAAUUUUGUUUUCAAAUUAAAAAAAAAAUUCUAAUUAACAUAAAAAUAGAUUGUUAUUUUUUGAAAGAUAAAAUUAAAAAUAGAAAUAUAAUAUAUAUAUAUAUAUAUAUAUAUAUAUAUAUAUAUAUAUAUAUAUAUAUAUAUAUUUAUCUUUCACUUGAUUUGUAAAUAUUUUAAAAAUAAAUAGGAAAAUAAAAUAUUUUAAUUAAAUUUUAAGAUAAAAUUUGAAAACAUGAAAUAAUAAUUAAUUUUACAUAAAAUAUAAAAACUUUUAGAGGCUUAUAUUAAAAGAGUAAUGGUUUUAAAAAUUAAAAUUUUGAGGUAUUAAAAACUUUUACCAUCUCAAAUUUUAAAAAAUUUAAAUUUAAUUUUUAAGGAUAUAAAAUAAGCAUAUAUUUUUUAUAUAAGAAAUUUUAUUUCUUAAGUUAUAAAAAUUAUUAUUAAUUUCUAUUUUUAAAAACAAAAAAACAAGAAAUAUAUUCAAAAGAAACAUUUAUUCAAAAAUUUUAAAAUGCAUAGUAGUAAAAAAAAAAUUUAAUUUUAAGCUAAUAACAAAUAUUUCGAGAUUUUAGGGGUUUUGAGUUUUAAAAUUAUAAACCACAUUUGGGAUUUUGACAUAUUUUGGUCUUCUUCCCAUUAAAUAAUUGCCACUUCAUCUAUCUCCAUGUAUAAUUUUUUUAAAACUCUAUUAAGGGUAUUUUGGGCAUUUUUGGUUCACAAAUUAUGGAUAUACCCUUAAGGGCAUUUUAAAAACUUGCUCUAUCCCUUCAUAGCAAUUGUGCAAAAUUUUGUGGAUAUUUGACAUGUCUUUAGGAUUACCUAAGGAAACAUGUUUACUCAAACCCUUGUGAUAUCAUGAUAUCAAUAUUGAAUAUAUCUAUUGCCAUUAGGCUCCAUCAAUAGUGACCUAAUCUAUGGGAAAUAUACGACCACUUUAAGAUCUCACUCAUAGGUCAAAACCACUAAAAACUUUGGCAUAAACUCAGUAUCUUCUCAAGGUUGAGAACCCAUAUAAUAUGAUAGUUUGGUGAUAUCAUGACUACUUGAUAAUCAAUAUCAUAACUACCUGAUUGUAAAUAUCACGAUUCACCAUAGAUUUUGUUCAAUAUAUAACCGUACACACUAGUGAAUAGGAAAAUCAUCUGAAUGGUCAAGACCAGUCAUCCCUACAAUGAAUUAAGAGAUAGUACACUACAACCUCAAUUGCUUAAGUCCAUGAACUAACUAUGAACUAACUAUCUACUUGCAAGGAACUCAUGAUUUGGAUUUUCCGUGUAACUGUUAAAGCACCAAAGUCAUGUACAAUGCAAAAGAUAUCAAGUUAAAAUGCUUUAAAAGGGUAAUGCAUGACUAAGAUAGAUUAAUUGAGAACUAGAAUCUUAUUAAUAAAUAAUAAAUCCAUUAUUAUUGCAUCAUAUUAUAUUUUAAAGGUUCUAUCCUAAUAAGGUGUAUUUAAAUCAAACCUCAUAGGUCUAAGUAAAAUUAACAUUUAGUAAAUUUUAUAAAUGACUAUAAGAUGAUACACAAUUAUCAAACUCGAAUGGAUAGAAAAUAAUAGGACUUCUUAUUAUCAUAUUAAAAGUCUUUUCACUUAGCAUGAAUGUUUCUAAGUGUUAUAUUUCCUUUGGUAUAGUUUUGAUUUUGGUUGGAGAUAUAUGAAAAUUACUAGUGGAUAUUGGAUCAACUAUUUAUUACUUUUAUAGUUGGAGGGAAUAUAUAUAUAUAUAACAUUAGGUCACAUAUAAAUUAAAUUAAAAUUCUAAAUGAUAUGAAUUCAAAAGAAGAAUUAAUUAUAAAUGCCGGUACAUUUAUAAAGGGAAAUUUAAUAAUAUAUUUUUUUCCUUUGGAUGAAAUUAAAAAAAAAAAAAGAUAUAAUUAUUAUUAACAUCCUUAUUUGAUCUACAUUACUUAUUGGAAAGGUCCUAUGAAAUAUGUUAGCCCAAGGGUUCUCCUAAUCAGGUUUUGAUGAUAACAACCUAUGGUUAAGUUACUAAUUAAUUUGAAUUGUAAAGAAUCUCAGGUAUUAAUUUGGAAAUUCAUCAAAUGAUCUAAUGGAUACAAGAUCAAGAUGUUUGGAAGACCUUUAAUCAUAGAAAACAAAUAUAAGAUGAAUGCAUGAGUGCACUUAGGUUUUACAUAUCAUUUCAUGCAUAUUUGGAAAACCCGGUUGAUUCCUUAAAGUUAAAGUUUCAUUAAAACCCGAGUUUUAUCAAGUGUACCUUAGGCAAAAUGUUUCAAAAUUGGCAUAUUAAAUUACCUAAAGGCCUUGCCUAAGUGUUAGAAGAGAAAAGAAUAGAAAAAGAUAGGUUUUCAGAGCCAAAAAGUUGAACUAGUCAAGGCACUGGGCCAACCAGCUCAACCGGCCAAGGUACCGAUCAACCGGUUCCCUUUGCCCGAUCGAGGUCCAGUCGAGGAGUGCUAAAAAAAUUCUCUCUCAUCCAAUAGCCUUCUCUUCUCGGUCAAGGUAUCCUCCUUCCUGAUCGACCUCCGAUUGAGGUUCAGUCGAGGUCCAGUUGAAGCAACGGCAACCUGCCAAAGCUUUAAAUGCUCCAACGGCUAGUGAACCGGUCGACCCCCAACUCGACCGGUUGAGGCUGCUUUUUGUUUUUCUUAGCUCCCAAGGUUAGCAACCUAUAAAUUGAGAGUUCCACUUCAUUUAUGACAAGAGAACACUUACAUUUAUUUGUCUACCCACUUGUUCUUGCCUUAAAAGCUUUCAUUUCUUUCUUGGUGCAUUAAAUCUUCACUUGCAUAUCAUUUAGUGCACCUUUGUGAUUCAUCCUAGCUUUGAUUUGUAUUUGAGCUAUCAUUGAGCUAGGUUGAGGGAUUCAUUCUAGUAAAAUUGAGUGUUAAAGCCUUCAAAUUAGUUGAAUCUUGAAGAGAUUGUGUAAGAGCCCAAUGGAGCCGGAAUUCAAGUGUAAAGGAGAUUAGAAGCUUAGUUGAAACUUCAAGUAAGUGGAACCCUCACUUGGUUAGGAGCUUGAGGAGAGUGGGCGUAGGCAAGGAAGUGUCAAACUAUUAUAAAAUCUGAGUUUGAUUUCUCUAACUCUAUCUCUUUAUAUUUGCUUCUAUUGUGCUUGAAUUUGUUGUGUUGAAAAAGAUUUUGAAAAACCCAAUUCACCCCCUCUUGGGUGUUUUUCUCAUUUAAGAUUAGUCUUUACUUUCUCACAAUACCUCCUCAUCUUAAUUUAUCAAAACGAAGUUGAUUGUUGUUGAAAUGUUAAAAGUUUAUGACACAACAUUAUUGCAUCAUAUUAUCUAUAGGAAUUCACUUUAUCAGUUAAGAAAAGUGAAUUUAUAAAAUUACAAAAGUUGUAGAGUUAGAAUGAAAAAUUGUAAUUAUUAACUCACUAUUUUAAAAUAUGCUUACAAACGGAUGAAAGAGUGUGAUUUUGAAUCAUCUCUGAAUAUCUCUUCUAUGUCUUUCGCUUUUCUCAAAUUUUGGAGAAUCUAACAAAGGCUAGAAGGGCAAGUUUAUAAACUUUUGAAGAGUUUUGCGGUAGUGAAAUCAAAUGAGUCGAAAAGAAAUAUCUUCUUUAGUUAUUGAAUUAAUGUAUUAACACACUGUAAAAAUCAAUGGACAAAUCCUUCCUUGUCAAGGGUUUCUCUUUGGUUAUUCAACAUUUGGGAGGCAUUGCCUUCAAACUCUAAGUGGAGAAAUACAGUUCAAGAGCAUAGUGACUACCUCAUGAAUGUAGAUAUACCAUUAUUGGUGUCAUCUAUAGUUAUAAGCGUUUUUUACUUGAUUCAAGGGUCAAACAUAGUUGAUCAUUAUUUUAGAACUUAGAAAAAGUUUGUGUCGAAGUCAUAAUUAUUUGCUUUGGUUUCUGGUUUAUAUUUGGAAAUCCUGGUUAAGCAUAUUGAAUCCCAAAUUAUAUGUAUGAAGGAGGAAAUGAAAGAGGACAAGUUAUUAAUUGGUUCCCUAAAGUAUUUUCUGUGAGUCCUCUUGCUUAGAACAAGUUAUGAUGGAAGGUGUGGUUUCGCCAAGUCUAAAGUUUCAUCCACAAAUAUUAGCACUAUAAAGUGGCAUCCCCUACUUCUUGACCGGCAUCAACCCAAGAUUAUUCCCAAGGAUGUCUGACUUUGGUCACUCUUUGUGGGCUCUGGUCGACACCAUCCCAUCCUCUUCAAGGAAAGUUGUAUCAAUAUUAUUAUUAUUUUUAAGUUGGCAAUCAUGGUAACAGGCUUGAACAGGUUGACUACUUCGCCAGAAAAUAAAUGAAGGAAUUGCAAGCAAGGAAACCAGAUAACUGGGCAAGAGAGCGCUUUUCCUUCACUCCAGUGGAAGUGCGGAUUACAUUUCAUAUGCUGAAUUAAGGGGUUCAAAUAUUAAAGAAAACCACAAAGUUUCAACACAUGGUACGUACAUUAGUUUUUAUUAGGCCUCGCAGCCUGAUUUCUCACUUGAAAUUUAAGAAAAACAUGAACCCAGAAAGGGGAUCGAUUCUAUUUAUUUAAUUUGUCUCCGAUUAGUACACAGAUAAAAGUUAUUGCCAACACUGAAAUAAGGUUGGAGCUUGAAAACUUUUCAUCCCAGAGACCAGACAUAAAACACUACGUGGUUCACAAGUAAGAAGAGAGCAGUACUAGUCUAAGCACCGACAUCAGUCCUCAGAUUCAUUUAUUCAACUCUGCCGCUGACCCAUGACUAGGAAACAGUUCAUGGGGUUUUUUUAUUUAUCUCACUUCUACAUGACUAAAUACUAGCUAGCUUGCAGGCUGAUUACUAGUUGUUCAACAAGAAAGACCUCUCUAUCUGUGUGGAGAGGUACAAUGAAGCUGAGCCAUGAAUGGAUGAAACAAGCUUCUCAUCCACAUUACACUCUUUUUCUUCCUCCAUGAUCGUGUCCAAAAUUUUUGUUAAUUGGCGCUUGGUUACAGAGAUGAAUCGUGGGGGAGCAACCUCCAUAGUGAACCUUGUAUUCUGUGACUUCGCCAUUUCAUGCAUCGGGCAAUAAAAUGGUGAUAGGAUUCCACCAAAUACAGAACUAGAAAGUGCCUGAAACUGAACCCCAGAAUAAAGAAUGAGUAGGAAAGAAAAAGUAAGGGAAGCAGGCAUAGAGGACUCAAGGAUAAGAGGGAAAAACAAAUGGAAGAAGUAGAGAAAAGAGAGGAGUGAUGAUUUGUGUUGGUGGACGCUCAUUCCAGUGAAUUUAUAAGGCUGAAGUUGUGGUAGUAGGCAUUUUUGGGAAGGGAACAUAGCUAUCAUGUGGUCCAUAGGCAUGUGGGUUGAAUACGAUCAGACUUUAAGGCCCUUUUAACAUGCUUGGCUCAAGAACUGCUGGCUAUGAGGUUAAUUGCGUGUCCCACCUUUCCGCGGAAACACGAUUUCUAGAGGGGACCAAACCAUGGAGGUGACUCUCCAUGGUACUGCAUUGUCACUCCACUUCCACUUUUUCUUGUGAUUAAUGCUGAAAGGAUAAGUCAUGCAUGAAUAAAAAAUCCAUGUGCAAAUACUGCUACAAACUUUCUUUUCUCCAUCCGGUCAUUCAAGAGGUAUUUGCCAUUGAAAUCGACCAAAACUUUGUGAUGAGUUAACAGUCACGACUGCCCCUGUUGGUGAACCAAAAAACAAAAGCGUUUUGGUCUCUUUGAGGUGUGAUCCUUUAUUUCUCUUUUCAUAAGCCCCAAAUUCUGAUUUAUGAAGUAGCGUUUAUACUUCAGGGGCCAUGAAGCCAUGGAAAAAGUAUAGAUAUAAAUUACUGUUUUGUGCCGAUAAUCAAUAGUUAUGGGGGAUAAUUCUAUGAUCGAAACAUGAGUUGGGAGGUUUCAACUCAGUGGGCUUACCAGGGUGAGCCAUUUUCCAAACCAUGCGAAAUAAUCCGAUAAAGCUUACUCAUCAAGUUGAUCAGAAUGCGAGGGAAAAGAAACCAAGAUUUUUUUGUAAGAUUUGCUACCUGUAAGAUGAUCAAGCAUUUCCUUUGUGUUGCUUCCAAAGAUUUAAACAAGCUCACUAGCAUGAAGAUUAAUUUAAAUCAGUACAUAUAUAGGGAUAAGGAUUGUUAUCACAAUAUUAUUAAACUCAUGAUCUUGAAAUAUCAAUUGCUUAAGAGUGCUUUUGAUAGUAUUUCUACUCGAAGUGUUUUUAGUUAAAGUGUUUUCUCUUAAAAAUGUUUUUAGAUAAUCACCUAUCAAGUGUUUCUCUAUAAAACAUUACAAGUGAUUUUCUAACAUUAUAAAUAAUUUUUCAGAUUUUUAAAAAUAUUUUUUAAUUUUGGUCAAAUACCUUCCUUUUUUGUGUGUUUUCAAAAAUAUUUUUUAAACUAAAAAUACUUUCUAAAAUCAAUGUUAAACGAAUUCUAAAUCCCUCAAUAGAAUGAAAGUAGGAUAUAUAUAUAUAUAUAUACUCAGUUUUCAAAUUAAGAGUUUUUCAAAACAUUUUUGUUGGGGGGUGGAAAAUCUAAAAUUUUGAAUUUUGAGUUCAAACAACCAUUUUUUCUAAAAGUUUAAAUUCUUAGGAUUUGAGUCCGAAAUACACCUCAACAUUUCUCUUAUGGAUAAUCUCAUUUGGACUUUAUAAAUUGGAAAAAUAAAGCGAUUUAUCUUUUUUUGGAUUUAAUAAAUUAAGAAAAUCUUACCAAGGAGGUUCUGAUGUCAUGUUAAACAAUUUAACUAACAAUGUAUAACAUGUACUCUGACAUUUUCAAUACUGAUAAAAAUAGUAAUUAAGUUUCAUAAAUUCACACCCAAUUUCACUCUGAUACCGAAAUGGUAGUGGUGGGAAAUCAAUGGAGAAAUUUGAAGAUAAUGUUAGGAAUUUACAUGAAUCCAACAGUAGCUUCGAGCUCAAAAGGAUUACGACAAGUGUGAAUAAGAGUUCCUUAACCAGGAAAAUGUACUACCUCCACAACUUAAAUAUUUGUGAUUAAGGACAAGAGAAGCAAGAGAAUAAUCAUAGUGUUUGGCAUUGAAUCCCUGGUCAAGAACCUGCUUUCUAAUUCUCUUAACAAAUUUUUGGUCAUAAUGCUUGGCAUGCAUAUCCAUAUGGUCUAUUUCUAUUAUUUCUUGCAAAAAAAUGAUGGUAGUACUACCUUUUGGCAGCAAUUAAUGUCAGCAAAAGCUUGUGGUCUAGCUUCCGGUUGACAGAUGAGUAUCGGUAACAGGACCAUUAAUGAUACUUCACUGUAACUUGGGUCAGCACCAUUUUUUUUGUGUCUCAUCACAUAUCCAAAUCUUAUGUGUCAUUUCAUAUAUUUUUCGAAAAUGUCAUUAUAGCCUUACUCUAACAAAAUUUCUAUCUUACAUUUUUAGUUUAAUCAUGGCUUAGUGCUAGAAAAUGGCACAUUGUGAAUCACGAGUGAAGCUGUACAGUGGAAGAAAUGCAAAGUACUUUCUUCCACAAAUGAUGUUGCUAUAUCUUGGAAUAACGCCAUACUCCAAAUAUUCUUUGCUUGACCUUAUCUGCCUCAUAAAUUUAUUGAUGUAAAUGCUCAUGCCGUAUCUAUUAUGUGCUUCUCCGGGCAGAAAUAAGUAAACCCAAUAAAUAACUAUUCUAAUAUUUUCCACCUUUCUUUUGCCUUUUUUUUUUUUUUUUUUUGGGAAUAAUUAAAAAAAAAUUAUUUUUCACUUUAAUUUUAUUUCUAUGGAUCUAUUCCCAAAAUUCAAUACCUAAUUUUCAUUUUAAAAUGGAGGUGAUAUAAGUUUUUUUCCUUUGAAAUAAGAGGAAGGUGAUAAAUAGAACAUGUAAGGAUAUAAUGGUAUACGUGGAUGGAUAUCGAUUGUGAGAUUUCUCGCAUUAUCUUGUGGUUGGAAAUCAUUCUUGAACCAACACGGCAAGAUACAUAAUCAAGAGUAGGGGACCAGUACACCAGUUCAGUGAUCAGCUGUAAUUUUCCUUUCAAAGAGUUAAAUUGUAUCUUUUUCUAUCCAAACUGGCUUAAAACAGACAGAAGAGACCUUUAGUUAGGUGUCUUUCUCUCGCAAAGACAAAUAGCUUUCAAACAAGAAAGGGCUAUCCUCUUCUUUUCUUUAUAUAUUAUUUAUUUAUUUAUUUAUGGAUAUAUGUGGUUGGAACCGAGAUUAAAAUAUUUGAAUGAAAUUGUAAAAAUAUUAGACUCUACUAGGGAAGCGUUUUCAUAAAUAGUUUUGAAAAACAUUAUUUUAUGAUGUUUUAUAAAAUAAAAGGUUGUUGCAAAACCUAAAAUAUUUUUAACCUAUUUUUUAUAUUUUUAAAUAUGUUUUUAAAAUAACUUUUAUAUAUAGUGUCUUAUUUUUAAUUAUUCUUUAUAGUUAUAUAAUUAUUUUUUAAAAUAGUUCCAAAAAACAAGUGAAAACAACUGAAAAAAACUAAAAGAUGUUAUUUGAAAACAUCAUGUUUUUUUGUUUUUAAGAAUGGAAAAUGAUUUUUUGUUUUCAAAUUGUCAAAUUUAUUUUCCUAUUUUUUUGUUUUGGAGAACAAAAAUCUAUUUUAAAAAAUAGUUACCAAAUAAGGCCUUAGUGGUUAGAAUUUGCAAAAAAAUAUUAAAUAGAAAUUGAGAAAAAUAUUAUUAGAACAUAAAUUGAUCAAAGCUAAUAAAAAUAUUAUAAAAAACUUUUUUUAAAAUGAUAAAACAAGUAAUAACAUAUAUAAUGAGAUUGAUUUAUUAAAGAAAAUAAUACUUGUAUCAUAAAAUUUGUAACAUUUGUAAUAAUGUUGUAAACCUUCUAUUUUGUCCACAUGAUUUUGAUCAUGUUUGGUGCCUAUAACUUCAUUCCUUGCAUAAAUGUGCACAUUGGAUCCUCUUUAGUUUCUUUGUUCUCCACACUCCUUAGUAGUCCACUUAUUACUCGGCUUUGGCAUUGGCUUUCGAGAUACUUUUGGAAACCUUUUGGAGGGAAUUUUGGAUCUAUGGAGUGACUUGAGCAACAUCCUUCUUUUUUUUUUUUCUUUUUUUUCUUUUUUUUGUGUGUUAGGAGUUCCCUAAGCUCAAUUUAGGAGUGUUUUUAUGAGCCUUAACAUUAGGUUAUUGCAUUUUAGUAGCUUAGGCUUGGUUUAAGGGGGUUUUAAAGAGAAUUGGGCUUUAGAGGAGAUGAGGACAAGUGUCCAAAUCUCCACCACUCCUUACUUUAUAAAAGGGGUUCUUAUGUUAGGAUUAAGCUCCUAAAAGUAAGACGUGAUGUAACAAAGUCAGACUUCACUGUCCCUAGGCUAUCCCUUUUAUGCAUUAACAUUGAUUUGAGCAUUCAACUCAUUUUUCUUAUAUUGUACAUGACUUAGGUGCAUUAGUAGUUGCAUAAAGGAUAGAAGUCAUGGGUUCCUUGUAAGUAGAUAAGUUGUCUACAUUUAGUUCAUGGAUUUGGGCUAUCCAAUAGAGGUUGUAGUGCAACACCUCUUAAUUAGAUGUAUGAUUUGUCUUGGUCAUCAAAAUGAGUUUCUCAUGGUGAGUGCACCAGUGUAUGUAAUAUACACUAGAUAAGACCUACGAUAAAUCAUGAUGUAAGACGAUCAAUUAUUAUGAUUCACCAAACUACUAUACUACAUGGACUCUCAACCUUAAGAGAAUAUUUUUUGUCCCUUCUUGAAAUAAGAGAAAAUGUGAUAAAUAAAACAUGUGAGGUUAUAAUUAUAUAUGUGGAUAAAUAUCGAUUGUUAGAUUUCUUAUAUUGUCAUUUGGAUGGAAAUCGUUCUUGAACCAACACAACAAGAUACAUAAUCAAGAGUAGAGGACCAACACCAGUUUAGUGAUUAGCUGUAAUUUUCCAUUCAAAGUGUUAAAUUGUAUCCUUUCUAUCCAAACUAAACUAAAACAAAUAGAAGAGAUCUUUGGUUAGGCGUCUUUCUCUCACAAAAGACAAAUAGCUUUCAACCUCUUUUUUAUUUAUAUAUUAUUUAUUUAUUUAUUCAUGGAUAUAUAUGGUUAGAACCAAGAUUAAAAUAUUUGAAAUUACAAAAAUAUUAAGCUCUAUUGGGGAAGUGUUUUCAAAAACAGUUUUGAAAAACAAUUUUUGAAAACCAUUUAUGUUAUUUUAUAAAAAUAAAAGUCUAUUUAAGAACUUAAAACAUUUUUGACUUAUUUUCUAUGUUUUUAAAAAUAACUUUUAUAUAAAGUGUUUUAUUUUUAAUUAUUCUUCAUAGUUGUAUAAUUAUUUUUUAAAACAGAUCCUCAAAAACAAGUGGAAACAAUUGAAAAAAACUAAAAGAUGUUCUCUAAAAGAACUUUGUUUAAUGUUUUUAAGAAUGGAAAAUGAUUUUUUGUUUUUGGAUUGCCAAAUGUAUUUUUCAUUUUUUUUUGUUUUGUUUUUUUUUUGUUUUUUUUGUUUUUUUUUUUUUUUUUUUUGUUUUUAGAGAACAAAAAACUAUUUUAAAAAACAAUUAUCAAAUAAGGUCUUAGUGGUUGGAAUUUGUAGAAAUAUUGAAUAGAAAUGGAGAAAAAUAUUAUUAGAACAUAAAUUGAUCAAAACUAAUAAAAAUAUUGUAAAAAACUUUUUUUUAAAAUAAUAAAACAAGUAAUAAUAUGCAUAAUGAGAUUGUUUUAUUGAAGAAAAUAAUACAUGUAUGAUAAAAUUUGUAACAUUUGGUAACAAUGUCAUGAACCUUCAAUUUUGUCCCUAUAACAUAUAAUUUUGAUCAUAUUUAGUACCUAUAACUUCAUUCCUUGCAUAAAUGUGUGCAUAAGAUCCUCUUUAGCUUUUUUGUUCUUUGUGGUCCUUAGUGGUCCACCUAUUACUUGACUUUGGCAUUGACUUUUGAUCCAAUUUUGGAGACCUUUUGGAGGGAUUUUUUAUCUAUCGUGUGACUUAAGAGUCACCCUAGAUUUUUUUUUUUUUUUUUAUUAAGGUCCUUAAGCUUAGUUUAGGAGUGUUUUUAUGAGCCUUAACAUUAGGUUAUUGCAUUUUAGCAGUUUUGUCUUGGUUCAAGGGGGUUUUUAAAGAGAAUUGGGCUUUAAAGGAGAUGAGGACAACUGUCCAAAUCUGCACCACUCCUUGCCUUAUAAAAGGGGUUCUUAUAUUGGAAUUAAGCCCUUGAAAGCAAGAUGUGAUGUAACAAAGUCAGAGUUCAUUAUCCCUAGACUAUUCUUUUUAUGUAUUGAACAUUCAACCCAUAUAUCUUACAUUGAAUAUGACUUGGGUACAUUAGGAGUUAUGUAGAGGAUAUAAGUCAUGGGUUCCUUGUAAUUAGAUAAGUUGUUUACAUUUAAUUCAUGGAUUUUGGCAAUCCAAUUGAGGUUGUAGUGCACCACCUCUUAAUUGGAGGAAUGACUUGUCUUGGCCGCCAGGAUGAGUUUCUCAUGGUGAGUGCACUAGUGUAAUUAAUGCACACUAGAUAGGACCCAUAGUAAAUCAUGACGUAAGACUAUCAAUUGUCAUAAUUCACCAAGCUACUAUACUACAUAGACUUUCAACCUUGAGAUGAUAUUUUUUCUCCAUUCUUGAAAUAAGAGAAAAGGUGAUAAAUGGAACAUGUGACGUUGUAAUUAUAUAUGUGGAUAAAUAUCGAUGGUUAGAUUUCUUGUAUUAUCAUGUGGAUGGGAAUCAUUCUUGAACCAACAUGAUAAGAUACAUAAUCAAGAGUAGGGGACCAACACUAGUUCAAUGAUCAAUUGUAAUUUUCCAUUCAAAUUGUUAAAUUGUGUCUUUUUCUAUCCAAACUCAACUAAAACAGACAGAAGAGAUCCAAGAAAAAGACAAAUAACUUUCAAAUAAGAAAGGGGUGACCUUUUCUUUUAUUUAUAUAUUAUUUAUUUAAUUAUGGAUAUAUACAUGUGUGUGUGUGUGUGGUUGGAAUCCCAAGAUUAAAAUAUUUGAAACUAUAAAAAUAUUAGGCUCUAUUGGGGAAGUAUUUUCAAAAGCAGUUCUGAAAAAUAAUCUUUAAAAACUAUUCCAUGAUGUUCUAUAAAAUAUAAGUCUAUUUGAGAAUUUAAAAUACUUUAAACAUAUUUUCUAUGUUUUUAAAUAUAUUUUAAAAAUAGCUUUUUAUAUAGUGUUUUAUUUUUAAUUAUUCUUCAUAGUUGUGUAAUUGUCUUUUAAAACAAUCCUAAAAAAAUGAGUUAAAAUUUUGAAAAAACUAAAAUUUAUUCUAUGAAAACACUUUGUUUUUUGUUUUUAAGAACAGAAAAUGAUUUUGGAUUGCUAAAUAUGUUUUCCUUUUUUUUUCUUUUUUUUUCUUUUUUUUGAGAACAAAAUACUAUUUUAAAAAUAAUUACCAAAUAAGGCCUUAGUGGUUGGAAUUUGCAGAAAUAUUGAAUAUAAAUUAAUCAAAGCUACUAGUUGUAACAACUUGCACUCAACUGUGUAUAUAUUGUCCACUUAGACCUAAAUGAGCUUUAACGACUUUAAAAUGUGCAAAGUUAAGAGGAGCUAUACUUAUAUAGCACUAGGAACUCUCCCCCUUUCCUCCUCCCAUCCAUUCAAUGUGGGAUAUCAUAAUCAUCCCCUCAUACAGACAUAACAUCAUCAUUAUGUCCCACAAGAUUGUAGGGCCAAACAGAUAGACACAUCGGGUUAGGGAUCAACUCUAAUACCAUUUGUUGGCAUCUUAGAUCUAAGCAAUUGAAGUAAUACCAAUUUUAUAAAAAAAAAUUGAUCUUUAAGGUUAAAAUGCAAACCUUUAGAUUUAGAUGUUCCCAAACCUUGAAUCCAAGUAUUGAAGAAUCAAAUCGAUGUAGUCAAAAAUCUCGUAGACUCAAGAUUUUUCGCUCAAUGGCUCUUCCUUGAUCUUGACACACUUCCGAUGUGGGGGAAGAGGAGAUAGGGGGUGAUGACUCUCUUUCUCUCUAGAGAUGGAAAACAACUCUAUGGAAAAACUAUGGAAACCCUAACCACUAAGGGGGUAUUUAUAAGGUUUCUCGGUGAACUUAAGUUAAGCCCACUAAGGGCUUGAAUAACUUAAUCUAACUCAAAAUGGGUUCUAAUUAAUUAAUUAACUCAAUAAGACCUACUAAUUAAUCAAUUAGCCCAAUCUAAAGGCCUUGUAUCACUUAACCCUAUGCAACCUUACGUAAUUACCAAAACGCUUUUAUGCACAAAAGUGAACCUAAAGCCAACCCAACCCUCAUAAAUCGUGCCACAAGGUAUAUGAACUUGAGUAGGGACCAUAAGGACCCAUAAGACAAUACUAGCUCCCUCAAAAUCCAAUUAUAAAGUUGAUUCAAUAUCCCACUAUAGAUAAUCAGUUGCAAUCUAGUAACUUAUGUAAACAACAACAAGACACUAAGUGCUUAGAUCCAUGACCUACUAUUCAUUGCUUUUAGUCUCCUUAUGAACUAGUGCCCUAGUCUAAUAAGGUAAAAGUUAUCAAUCUUUCAAAACUACCUCUACUAUCCUUGAAUUAAAAAUCCUCCUAUUGUGUGUUCAACUUACAUGUCUUAGCUCUCAAAGAGCCUGUGUCAAGUUCCACUUAAAGAACUACUAUGACCAUAGGUUACAUGAACACACCUCCUUAGGAUCACCCAAUAUGACACUUUGUCUCAAUCUCAUGAGAUAUUAAGGUGCUUCUAUUGAGAAUACCUAUUUUUAUCAGCUUCCAUCAACAAUAACUCAAUCCAUAGGGAAUAUAUGAUCAACUUACAAUUUCACCCAUAGGUCAAAUCAAUUACUAACUUAGCACAAACUCAAUAUUCUCUCAAGGUUGAGAGACAACAUAAUAAAGUAGUUUGGUGAAGUCAUGACUACUUGAUAUCCUUAUGUCAUGACUUAUUGUAAGCCCUAUCCAAUGUGUAACCAUAUACACUAGUGCACUCACCAUGAGAAACUCAUCCUGACGGCCAAGACAAGUCAUCCCUCCAAUUAAGUGGUAGUGCACUACCACCUUCACUACUACAAAAAAAAAAAAAAAAAAAAAAAAAAAAAAAACAAGUUUAUAGUCAUAGCCAAAUCCCACUAUUAAACUUAGGAGAAAACAUGACUAUAAUAUUUAAGUGUGAACAAAGUCCACUGUGACAAAGUGUGACCAUUGAGAGUGCAGAUAAAUCAUAUAGUUGCAGUCACGUGUAAAAGUGCAACUGAAGGUAUGAAAUUAUAAUCAUGGCCAUGUUUAUUUCUAGACUAAAGGUAAUAUAUAGUCGUGACUACUAGUGUCUGUGAGUGUAUGGUACUAUUUAAAAUUAUGGUGCUAUAAACAGGAGCUGUUAUUUUAUACUAGUGUAUAGCUUGAUGUGGAUGUGACUUCUCCUUGCCCACUAUUGUAGGUUGAGUCUUUAAUAAUUUUUAUUAAAAUUCCCAUUCAUUGCAGAGAUCCUACUACCUUCAACUUUAUACUUUUAAAAUUCUUAUGCAAUAAUGAUAGCACGUUUUAAUAUUAUAUAUAUAUAUAUAUAUAUAUAUAUAUAUAUAUAUAUAUACUGAUAGAAGUUAUCACAAAAUUGCAUAUUUCAUAUAUAAAAUUACAUAUAUAAAAACUCAGUUGAAGCAACAAAAUUUCAGAUAUAACUACAAAUAUCCAAAUUACAUUUUCUCCUUGCAAGUAGAAAAGUUCAUCAUCCUACUUUAAAACAAAGAACUUUAACUUUAAAAAAAAUAAAAAAAUUAUUUCCUCUAAUACAAAGUUUUGCUGCCAACUAAAAUUGUGGAUAAAAAUGCUUAAUUCAUAGAUAUGCUGCUAAAGUCUUUGAAUAUUUCCAAAUAUCAAUGAUAAUCACCUUUCCUGCAACAUCCGAACUCUGAAAUUACUUUAAAUAUCAAGACACUCAAAUGAAACAAACUGCACCAAAUUCAUAUAUAUAUAUAUAUAUAUAAAUAAAAUGGGCAAAAGAAUCAUAUAAAAGUAGGACUGAAAUUGAAAAUAAUAAUAAGAUUUUAUACUAUUGAAGAAUAGAACAAAUAAAAAUAAAAAUGUUUCCCAAUAGUAUGAGAUGUACACCUUGGUUCCAUCAACAUAGUGAGGCAUCACUCCAAUCUUUGCGUAGUCUUCCUUAUCAUACUUUGGUUAAUCUACAUAUGAACAUGGCUACCCCAUAAAUUAGGAAAACUUUCAUGAAUUUUAGCUGUUGGGGAGUUUUCGAAAAUUUACAUGUUAAACUCCCUAGAUUAGUCUACUUAUGCCUACUGUAAGGGGAUAAUCCAUAAUUACGUUGUACCUCAUAGCUAUUAAAAGAGAAAGAAUGACCUUAAGGAAAUAGGAGGAAGAAAAGAAAGGGAAAAAAAAAAAAAGGCCUUUAUAUACUAGAUGUUUGCCCAUUCUCCUUUGGAAAUUGAACCUACAGAAGCAAUUCCUAGAUAAUAAUAUUUUUAUAGUUCAACAAAGAUGGUAACAAAGACGACAAACUUACCUCUACGUAACCACUAUCUCGUGGACGAAAGUAGCUCUAUUGAACUUGAGAUCUACCUUAUGAGAUAGUUUAUUUCAAUCCACUAAGACCAAUUGAAUUAAGUCCAUUAAUAUUAGCAUAUCAACUAUUAGUGAUAUAUUGGCUCUUGUUGAAAACUUGGACUAGUACCGACAUUAUAUAUUGAAUCAAAUAUAGUAUAUGCGAGAGACAACUCCAGCCACUACAAAAGGAUUCUUUCCAUCUAUCUCGAUGAUAACUAGUUCCCCAGUUCUUGGAGCUUUAUGCAUCUCUAGAAAUGAGUGAAUUAUAUAAAAUGCAAAAAAAUAUAAAAAUAAAUUAAACUUAAUCAUGGACAUGAUAUUUUCUUUAUAAGAGAUAAAAUAAAAGGACCUUUAGAUGGCUAGUGAAAGGUCGGUUCCAAGCUCCAUUGAGAUCCCACUCCUUCAAGGUCUUCAGAGUAAAUAUGCACUACAAGAAAUUUGACUUUUUGUGAAGGAAUAGAGCCAACCACCGUAACAAAUAUAAGCAAUAAUGGAUUAAAAAAAUAUACACACAAUGGUCCUCUUAUUCGUGUAGUUUAGGUUAUUAUUGUGACCCUGCACAUACAAGUUUUAUGUCGUUUAAAUUUUCUAAAAAUCAAACCUAACCUAAAACAUACUGAAAAUUUCACUAAACAUAAAAUUAUGAAAAACAAUCUCAUAAAUUAACAUUGACUUCAAAUUUUAGGAACAAUACGAGACUUUUAUUGCCAAUUCGCAAAAUAUUUCUAUCUCAUAUAUGGUUGAAUGAGCUUCCUAAAUAAAUGACAAUGAGAAGUUUGAUGCUCAAGCCAAGCCUCCGUGCCGACCAAUGCUACUCAGUGGACAUGACAUUGACCACUGACUCAAUUGCUCCACAACUACACACGAGAGCAGUGCAAGAGUAAGGUGAGAAUACCCUACUCAUCUAAGCCUAUUAUGAUUAAAAAAUAAAUAAAAUUAAAAGUAAAUUAAAUAAAAUUCAGAAAAAGAAAAUAAGAAAGCAUUCUGGGUUUAAUAAAUGGAAAUUAAUUUGGGCACUUAGAGAUUGAAAUCACUUGGAUUAUCAUUGAAAUUACUAGAGAUAGACAUGCAGCCAAAGCUAGCAAGAUGCCUACUGCUUCAUGAGUUGAGGACUAUUGGGAUGUUGGCAUGGCAUUGCCAUGAUGGUGUAGUGUGGACUUGGAUUUUUCACAUGCAUCCCCACUCAACGGUGAGACUUAUUUUCUUAAUGAAAAACUUAUUUUUAUAAAAUUGGAAUCACCACUCGACGGUGAGCAAAACAUUUCAAACAAUCACAAAGCAAAUCUUCAUACAUUAUCAAAAAUUAGUUUGAGGUUAAGAGAAACAUUGACUAUCACAUAUGACAUAUAAAUAACUCAUUAUUAAACUCAAACUAAUGUACAAGAGAACAAAAAUAUCAAAAUUAGGGACUAAGAUAAGACAUAUAGCGAAAUGGGCAAAACGGUAGCAUUCACAAAAAAAAAAAAGUCCUAAAUAAAUAUCUAGAAGUAUUAUUUCAACACGGAAAAAAUCAUACAACAUGCUUAUUAUGUUUACAUUAAAAAAACACAAGCUAAAACCAAGUCAAGAUAUGUAAAACGAUACCAUAUUAAAUAACAAGAUAAGCACUAUACAAGAAAUUUAUAAUACAAUCAAAACAUGAAGGUUUUAAAAACAAAUCCUAAAAAAAAAAAAAAUCUAAAAUGUGAAUUUAAUAACAAAAACUUUCAAGGAACAUCUCCUACAUGUCUAGUUUAUCAUCUUAGUGGCCAAACAAUUUAUUGAAGCCUCAAUUAAUUUCAAUUUAUAAAAAUAUCUCAAAAGGUUUAGAAUUGGACAGAAUUCAAUAACAUGCAUAAGUCGAUUUUUUAACCAACCUACAAGUUCUAUAAAAUCAUACAAAACAUCAUGCGACAUAUUCAGAAUGUCUAAUUUAAAAAUAAUAAUAAUAAUAACAAUAAUAAAAGUAAUGGCAAGGCUAGAAGGCAUGUGGUUCAAUUUUUAAAAUAAACAAACUAUCCCUCUAUCAAAUUGGGACAAUGCAGUAGGUGCAAGAAAGGAAAAUUAUAUCUUUUAAUUGAGAAAACAUUUUUCAAUAUUUUAUGUGUUUAAAUUCAACUUUCAAGAAGUCUAGAAUGAAGGAAAAAUAUCAAAAUAAAUUUACAAAGUCACCAAGUAAUUUAAAAACAUAGAAAAAGUUUGAGUGUCCAAAAUUGGGUAAAAACUGAACACACUAAAAAAUGAAUUCAUAACUUCCAUUUGGAAAAAGCUUUAACUCAAACAAGAUUCUAAAAUCAAGUUCAGAGAGUCUAACAUAUCAUACAAUCAUGGGAAAAUUUUUAGGAACAUCUUAAGUUAGUUAAAUCAAAAUUUUAUUUCAGAUGCACUACAAAUACAACAAGCUAAUAAUAAAAGGUUUUUUUUGAAAAAUAAUUGUAUGUAGGAGUCUCACCAAAUCCCCUUUUGAUAUGCACAAACUUAGCCUAUGUAUUCCUAAGCUAGCAUGAGUAUUGAUAAUCUCACCAAAGCCAAGAAUUAUCGCAUCUAUUUAGGACCACAAGCUUGGAUUCAUAUUCCACUCAACAUCAUAUUUUUAUUGAAAACAAAAUGAUGCAAAUUGAAUGAGAUAUAGUUGCAUAUUUUUGAAAAAAAAGAUAUUUUGACCCCAAGGGUCCUAAAUGGAUUUUUUAAAUGGAUUUUCAAUGGGAAUCUUUUGAGAAAAAACUUUCUUUUUAGAAGAGAAAAGUUGCAUUUUAAACCAUAAAAGACGAGGAUAAAAAAAAAACCAAGUAAAUCAAGAGAAACUAAAAUCACAAAGGGAAAUUUUUUUACAAUUAACUAAACUGAUGUGGUGAGAGUGGAGGUCAAUCUUCAUUAUUUUUUAGGAUCUCUGAAAAUCAAGUUUGAUCAACAAAGCAACAAAAUAGUAAUUUUUAAUUCAAACAAACUAAUAUGAUAUCAACCAAUAAUUAACAACUAGGAUUCUAUAAGUACAUAGACUAAGAUAAUAUCAAUUAAGAAUUAACAUUAAUGAUUUUAAAACACAAGCUAAUAAUGUGAGAUUGAUCAAAUUAAUAAACUAAAAUUCUAAGAAAUACCUAAACUAAUGCAGGAUCAAUAAAAAAACUAAAGCAAUAAAUUUUAAAACAUGAGCAAAAUAAUACUAUAUCAAUUAAACUAAUUAACUGAAAAUUAUGAAAAGCACAUAAACUAAAGAAGAUAACUCAAAAUCCAAAGUUAACAAACUAAAGGCAUGAAUAUGGUAACUUGUGAUAAACUAAACUAAUCAACUAGAAUUCUAAUAGACAUAACUUAUUAUUUUUCAUCCCAUAUUUCGUGUCAAAUAUCAUAAACUAAAAUAAGAUGAAUCAAAACUAAAGUCAACUAUUUUAAAGCAUGAACGAAAUAAUAUGGGAUCAAUUCAACUCACUCACUAAGAUUCUAAAAAAGAAAAAAAAAAACUAAAAUAUGAUGAGUCAAGAAUGAAAACUAACGAUUUUAAAACAUAAGCAAAGUAACAUAGGAUCAAUAAAUUAAUUAACUAGAGUUCUAAAAAAACAUGUGAACUAAAAUAGGAUCAAUCCAAAAAUGAAAACAAACCUAAAACAUGGAUAUAAUAACAUGAGAUCAUUUAAACUACAUACCUAAAAUUCUGAAAAACACAUUAACUAAAAUAUGAUCAGUGAAGAAUUAAAAUUAACAACCAACUUGAAACCUAAACAAAGUAACAUGGGAUCAAUUAGAUCAAUUGAAUACAAUUAUGGAAACUAUAAACUAAAAUAAGAUGAGUCAUGAAUUUAAAUUAACAAACUUAGAAACGUGAAGAUAAUAACAUGAGAUCAACUAAAUCAAUUAACUAAAAUUCCAAAACACACAAAAAAAAUAUCGAUGAAUCACGAAUUAAAAAUAAUAGACUCAAAGCAUGAAAUUAAUAACAUGGAAUCAAUUAAAUUAAUAAACUAAAAUCCUAAAACAACUAAACUAAAUAAGUUGAAUCAAAACUAAGAUUUAUAAUUUUAAAACUAAAAUAUCAUAACAUGGAAUCAAUCAAAUUAAUUAAUGAAAAUUAUAAAAACUUUUCAAACUAUCUAAAAUGAAUCAAACUUGAUUAAAACAAUUUUAAAAAAACAAUUAAUCUAGUGAACUAAAAUUUAAAAAAAAAAAAUCUAAACUAAUUAAAAUGAAUUAAAAUAAAUUAAAUCACAAGUUUCAAAAUAAAAACUUCAUCGCAUAGAAGCCAAUUUACUAAGAUUAUAAGGAGCACUUUGUUAGUACAUUGGGUCUUUUUUGUAUAUUGGCAAUUUUGUUCCUUUUAAUUUUGGUCAUAAAAGUCCUUUUACAUAGUGACUUGGUCUCCAUUGAAGAUCAAGGUUGUUGGUCGUCCAAUUAGGAAGUUACAAGUACAUCUAAAAAGGUUUGUCUUGUGACAAGUUAGGCUCCUAUGAGAAAUAGAGAUAAUUGAUUUUGUUUUUGAACUUGAAAUAUUUUAAAUUAAUGUUUUGAAAAACGGCAGGACCUCUCAAGCGGCCUAAAGCGCUCAAGCAAUGAAGACCACUCAAGUGAUCCUUCAGUUGGCUCAAGCAAUCAUGCUGAAUUUGCUGAAAUUUUUUCAUGCAAAUUUGAUUUAGAACUAUUUCAAAACCGAAAUUAGUUGUUUGCCUAUAAAUACCUCAUUAUAACCCCUUUGAGGGUAAGAGAUUUUAUUUUCUUUAGAGAGGAUUUCUUUGGAAAAAAAAAGCCUAACGAGCCACAACAUUCAUGAUCUCUCAUUCAAGGAUUCAAUCUUUGAAUCUUGGGUUGAAGACCUUCAUUCCUUCAGCAAGGCUAAAGUGUAUUCACUAAAGCAAUCAAAGGUUGUUGCGUCGUGUAUCAAGUUAUAGGUAUUGGAGAGUAAGUCUUUAAGAUAAAGCAGUUAGAUAAAUCUAUAUAACUUGAUCUCAUAUAGUGGAUUUAGAUUAACGGUUUUAGAUCUCGUGGUUCUUUAUCUCCAUAGUUAAUGUGGGGGUUUUCCGCAUAAAAAUCCGUAUGCUUCAUUGCUUAUAUUCUUGAUUAUCUUGUUUGUAUUACCUAUCUUUAAUUGAAUUGAUAAUCUCUAACUACUAGUAGGGAAGAAGUUGAUAAUGCAUAUAAAUCUUUAUUUAAAUUUUUAUAUACACCCCAUCCACCUCUCUUCAGGUGUUACCGUACCAGACUUCGAGGCUUUUUCACACUCAAACUAAAUGAAGGGGAUCAAAACAAAUGAAAAUGUGAACUAUAACACAAAGGAUCGGUUAAACUAAUGAUUUAAACUAAACUAAAACAAAAAAAAAAAUUUUAAAAUUCACCUUCCAGAAUGCCUACGUGAAAAUCAAAGCGAUGAUUGUCCUGGAAGCAAACUGUGAAUGCUCCACUCAACGUGCGCGAACUAUCUGUCUUUGAGAACCUUUUGUCGUGGCUUAAUGAACCUGAAUUGCAACCUGUAUAUAAAGUGAACGUGGUUGUGGACUGUUUGCAAAGAUCCCCCAAAGUGGCCUGUUGUCGGUGCGUGUCUUCUUGGAGAAUAACCACCAACUGUGUGUGCUGUGAAUUUUCAACUUAUGGUACCACCCUUCCCUUCAGAAUGCGUGCCUUUCCUUCAAAGCGACCUGGUGUUUUUUCAUCCCCUUGCUAAAUGGCAGCCCCUUUCCGUGGAACCGGGUGCAUGGAGAGAACAAAAAGUGCCAUGGGGAUUCUAUCCAUUGAAAAAAAUCUGCAGCCCUUUCCCAGUCUCAAAGUCGCAACCCCUUUUCUUUUCCAAACUGAUGUCCUCCUCUUUCAAAAGAAAGAAUCCCUUUUCUUUUUAGAAAGUGGCCCCCAUCAUCCUAUGCGUGUUGUCAGUUUCUUUUUUAAAAGAAAUCUAUGCAUCACUUUCCUCAUCUAUCACAAGGCAGCCUGCACUUUUUUGAGUAAAGAAACCUUUAUGUGCGCUGUAUGAAUAUCUCUUUUCCUUUUGCAUAGACUGUGCAUCUUGCAGAAGAUCGAUGGGUGUGUGUUGUCCACAUGCAGGCUGCAAGCUGCGGGCUGUAUCUCUUCAACCCAAAAGGGAUUUCCAAAGUGUCUUGAUUUCCAUCCAAUUAUGGGGGAAGAUGUGUACGCCAAGGGAUCUUCUCCAAUGUGAGCAUUCAAAUCUCAUACAAAUUUAAAAUAAAGUUUAAAAUCAGUAAAAGCCCUGAAAUUUUAAAUUAAAACAAAUUAAAGGUUAAUCAUAUCCAUAUUCGUUCAAGCAUCAAUUCAAGCAAUUAAAAGUCAUAACAUUAGUCUCACAUAAAUUUUCUAAAAUAAAUAUAUAAGUAAAUGAAACAAACAAAAAUAUAAGAAAUUAAACACAUGCAAUCAAAAUUCAAAUAUUAAUCUUAAUGCAAUACAGAAUAAGAAAAUCGACAUGUUGAACUCACACAACUAAAGAUCUGUACUCACCCCAUGCAUUAAAAUCCGAAAUCAAGUCAAGAACUCAUCUAAACCUAAAACUUAGCAAUGAAACUCAAGAAAACAAAGCUAAGUGAACUAGGCCUAGUGAAGUGUAAGUGAUCCUAUAAAAGAUAAGCAGGUGUCCUAAGUGGAAAAUAUCUAAGUGACCUAUCCUAGAAAGGUGCUUAAGCGAAACCUAAACUAAGCUUGAAGAGUGGUCAAGGUUAGUGUGAGGGUCUAAAUGAGCCCUAAACAAAAGGUCCCUAAGGGUGGCUUAGAAAAAUUAGGUCAUAUGACUAUCACUGGGCUACCAAAUGAUGACUAUAAGUCAAAAGAGAAGCAUAGGAAAGUACCUAAUAUCACAUGUGCUAAGAGGAUAAAAUGAAGGAUCUACACAUAGCAAGUUAAUAUUUGUGGACCAUAGGUUGAGCUCCAACCCUUUAUAAAAUGAAAUAAUCAUUGCCCUGCUUAUGCUUAAUGUUGUGCCCAAUACUUUGGCUUGUCCAGGUUUUCUUCCAACGCCUAACUUUUAAAGGAAAAAAAUAUUAGAAGGUAGGAGGUACAAAAAUUACUUCAAGAUAAGGACUAGGAUAAAUGUAAUACCACGAAUGAUGUUAGUCAUUGCUACUACAAAAAUUGUAGAUGUGAAAGUGAAGCUCCCAGCAUACAAAUUAUGGCCCAAUGCUCCUAUGAAAUGAAAACUCUUGAUAAAAUAUAAACGAAUGGCCUAAGCAAGAUGAAAAAGGAAAAAAUUGUUGUGUAAUAACUAAAUAAAAAAAAGAAAAAAAAACACUAUAUGUUUAGUGCUUAUGAGAUAUAAGAAAAGAAAAAUAAAUACUCUUAUGUGAAAGCAAUAUUUUUAGAACUUAAUAUAUCAUUGAGUCAUAAAAGGUUUACAAAAAGGGAAAAGAAUUGUAAAAUUUAUUGAAGAGCACUUUGUUCUCUAUUUCCAUAAAAUGGGGAAAUGAAAAGCAUAUAUUUGGGGUUGCGGAUAGAUUGCACAUUAACCUAAUUCCAACUCACCAAGGAUAACAAAAGAAGAAAAAAAACUUCUCUAACUAAUUUAUUUAUUUUAUUUAUUUAUUUACAAAAAGGACCUCAACUUUAAUACUUCCCCUCAGGAUGGAGUGUGUAUAUUAUGAACACUCAUCUUGUUAAGUAAAAGAGAGAACUGAGUUAGAAACAGGGGCUUUAUCAACAAGUCUACUAUUUGGUGUCGUGAAACAACGUGCAUAGUCUUCAAUGUUCCUUUUUGAAUUUUCUCUCAUAUCAAAUGGCAAUCGAUCUUGAUGUGCUUGGUUCUUUCAUGAAAAACUUGAUUAACUGCAAUGUGUAGGGCAGCUUCAUUGUCACAAAACAAUAUUGCAACUCCAUCAUGAUUUACACCAAGAUCCUUGAGAAGAGAAAACAACCACACUAUCUCACAAGUUGCAUUUUCCAUUGAACAAUACUCAGCUUCAACUGAAGAUCUCGACAUUGUGUGUUGUUUCUUAGAUUUCCAAGAAACCAAUGAGUCUCCAAGAAACACAAUAACCACUUAUUAAUUUUCUAUUGUCAAGACAAGUACCCCAAUCAGCAUCUACAAAAGCCUUUAGCUGCAAUGAAGUUGAAGCAAGAUAAGAAAGACCUUGGCCAACUGCGUUCUUUAUAUAUUACAAAACAUGAACAAUAGAUUUUAAAUGCAAUACCCCCAGUUUAGCCAAAAAUUGGCUCAAGCAAUUCAUUGCAUAACAUAGGUCUGGUCGAGUGAUUGUCAAGUACAAUAACUUUCCAAUUAUACACCUAUAUUACAAAGGAUCAUCAAGAAGUUCUCCAUCAUCUUGAACAAGUUUAACAUUUACAUCCCUAUGAGUUUUGCGAGUCUUACACCUAAGAUGCCCUGUUUCUAACAGGAGUUGUAAAGCAUAUUGGCGUUGGCAAAUAGAAAUUCCUUUAGAAGAUCUUGUCAUCUCAAUGCCAAGAAAAUAUUUCAAAUUCCCUAAAUCUUUCAAAUUGAAUUGGCUAUUCAAAUAUAUUUUCAAAUUUUUUACCUGCUCAAGACUAUUACUUCCCAUAAUGAUGUCAUCAACAUACAAUAAAAGUGCAAUGAAGCUUUGUCCUUCAGCCUUAGUAAGAGUGAUCUACAUGAGAUUAUUUGAAACUAAUUUCAAGGAAAGCUGUAGAAAAUUUUGAAAACCACUAGCAGGAGGCUUGCUUUAACCCAUAGAUAGAUUUAUGCAAUCUACACACAAUGUUUUCAGGUAGAGAAAUCUCCCCCUCACAGCUAUAUCCUGGUGAAAGUUCCAUAUACACUUCCUCUUGCAAAUCACCAUGCAAGAAAACAUUAUUUACAUCUAGCUGUGUCAAACUCUAGCCAUAAACAAUAGACAAAGAGAGGAGAACCUUAAAUGUUACUAACUUUGCAACAAGAGAAAAAGUGUCCAAGUAGUCAAUACCUUCCUAUUGUGUAUACCCUUGGGCCACUAAGUGCGCUUUGUAACGCUUUAAACUACCAUCUGACCGAUACUUAAUAUGAUACACCCAUUUGCAGCCAACAGGGCACUUACCAGCUAGAAGAGUAGUCAAUGUCCAUGUCCCAUUGCUUUCAAGAGCUUUCAGAUCUACUAUCAUAGCUUCAUUCCAUUUAGGAACCUUAGCAACUUGUGAAUAAGUGGUUGGUUCAAAAUGAGAAAAAAUGGAACAAACAAAGGCUUUAUGGUUAGAGGAAAGAAGAUCAUAACUAAGAACAUGGGAAAGUGGAUGAGCUAUGGGAACAUUAUUAUGGGAUACAGAGUAGCAACGAAAAUCCUUCAGGUAGGAAGGAAGUUUAAUGACUCGAGAAGGUCAAGAAGAUUCAAGAUUUUGUGAAGAUAGAGCAAUCAUAGUAGUGGUGGAAUUAUCAUUUAGACCAACGAAAUAAGAAAGAGGAAUGACUUUUGGUAUAUGACAUGGUAACACUCGAUCAGGAAAAAAAACAAAAAAUGUUAGAAGAUUCGAUAGCUUGUGGAAUAGCUGUGAAGGGAAAGAAAGUCUCAUGAAACACAACAUCUUGUGAUAUGAAAACAAUAUUGGUACUAAGUUUUAGCAGUUUGUAUCCCUUAUACCCAAGUGGAUACCCAAGAAAAACAACAAGUAAAGCUCUUGGAGAAAAUUUUGUUUUAUGAUGCUUAAGAGAAGAGGCAUAACACAAGCAACCAAAGACCUUUAAGUGACUAUAUGAUGGUUUCUUAUUCCACAGGACUUCAAAAAGGGUUUUGUUAGAAAGAAUUGGAGAUGGUAAUCGAUUAAUUAAGUAUGCAACAGUUAAGACACAAUCCCCUCAAUAUCCUAAAGGUACAUUUGAUUGAAAAUGCCAAGUUCUCGCAAUGUUUAACAAAUGUUGGUGCUUGCAUUCUUCCACAGAGUUUUGUAGUGGUGUGUCCACACAAGAAUGAAAAGAAUUAAUGCCUUUGGAAUGAAAAAAAAAAAUCUAUAAAGGCUAAUUCAGGGGAAUUAUUAGUUCUCACAAAUUUAAUUUUAGCACCAAAUUGUGUGUUUAUGAGAGUGUAAAAAUCAGGAAAGAUGGUCAGGACAUCGGAUUUUUGUUUCAAUAAAUAGAUCCAAGUAAAACAAGUCUUAUCAUCCAUAAUCGUAAAAAAAAUAACGAUGCCUUUCUAUAGUUUGUGGGGUAAAAGGAUCCCAUAUAUCACAAUGCACAAGAUUGAAAGGUUGAUUAGACAAAGAAUUUGAUGAAACAAAUGCUAAACGCUUUUGUUUAGCAAGGGAACAAACAUCGCAAAGCAAAGAAUCACUAAAGAAUUGUGAAAAUUUAAUUCAUUCUUCAAAAUUUAAAGUUUUACAUCAGAUGGAUGACCCAAAUGAAAGUUCCAUAAUUCCUUUCGAGUCAAUAUGAAUUAUUACAAACACUAGAGAAACAAGAAAUAGUUGAGAGCAAAUUGUUUGGAUUCAAAAUGUAGAGGUUGCCAACACUGAUUACUACUCAAAAAGUGUUAUUUCAUAGCUUGUAAUUAACUCUUUUAAACACUCUUGAGUAGUAAUUAUUACCUUUUAACUCAAUAGACAUGUUAAGGACCCUUGCAAUAGUUUCUAAUCAAAUUGUGUUAAGUUUUGGUGUUUUGAUAGCUUUUUUAUCACCAAAGCAAUCCAAGAAUGAGGGAGAGCUAUAUAUAGUUCAUGGCAAAGCUUUUGGAAGCUCAAAUUCAUGAAGAACCAAGCUUGGGAGCUCCAUAUCCCUUUUCCAAAGUCGUUCAAAGUAUGCAAGGAAAGAACAACGGAGAGAGGAAAAACAGAGUGAAGAAAACAGAGGACAGCAACUGCAGUCUUAUUUCACACUUUUGGAGCACUUUCCGAAGUCCAUUUUCUACAUGCUAUAUACCAUUUCAAAGCUCAGGAAGUCAAGAAUCCAACGCUUCAAAUGGUACGCAAUUCGAAGUUGAAAUGAAGGAGUUACAGCCAUUGCAAGCCGAUCACUCCAAGCUGAAGAAAGAAUUUUGCACAGCGCUGCGAAAUCACCCUUUUGUUGCAAAAUGAUUUCGCAGCCUUUUUGUACAGUGCUGUGGAUUUCCCCUUGAAGUAUCCCGUCACGUUGGAAGCUGAGCACCGCAAUCUCAAAGACUACUUCGCAGCAAUGCGAAAUCAGCCGUUUGCUGCGAAGUGAUUUCGCAGCCCUUUUUGUGCAUCUGCGAAAUUUCGCAGACCUCGUUUGCACCUGCGAAAUGGUCCUUAGUGCUUCCCGAUAGUUGCGACCGACACUUUUGGAUAUUUUUCUUCAGAUAUUUUUGUAUAAAUUUCCAUUCUUCUCCUUGUAAUCCACCAACCAUAAGAUUUCUUAGUUAAGAAGGUUGGAAAAACGUCUCUAUAUAUAUUCCCUUGCAUCCACUGUAAUAGAUAUAGGGCAUCAUGUAAUCCAACGGAAUAUAGAUAGAUAUAUAAAUAUAUAGAAUAUACAGAGCCUUGCUCUGUUUUUUCCUUCUCUUUCAUUUUCAUUUUCUUGCUAACCAAACUCUGAGGAUUUUUUCUCAGAGGAUGAGAGGCUAGGCUUUUCGUCUCUUGGAGUGAGGAAAUCCGGGUAAGUUUCCAAAUGCAUAAAUUGGAAGUUUUGUUGUUUUAAUUUUUAAUGAAGAGAAAGUGUGACCCGUUAAUGGUUUUUAUAUUUUUAGUUAACUUAAAACGCCUUUAAAUCACCUCGGCCAACACUUGGUAAGGCAAGUGAUCUCCGUCCAUGGAGAUUCACUAGUUUAUCUCUUGCGAGCCUUUGGGAGGUGGUUUGAAGGUAGGAUUUUCUAGAAUAGCCAACACUUGGUAAGCUUUUGGACUCCAAGGAGACAUCCAUUAGUUAUCUCUUGCGAGCUUUUGACGGGUAAUCCAAGGUUAAAGAUCACCUUGAAUGGCAAGUGCUAGGUGAGAGGUAGGAGUCAUUGCAAGGUGCAUGAGUGAGAGGGAUUUAGUGUUUGAACCCAUUAAUGGGAAGCAUCUGUACAACACCGGUUGGAGAAGGAACUAUAUGUUAAUUCUCUAAUGCGAGGAAAAGAAACAAGUGAUCGGAACUCUCCUUUUUGUAUGAGGAACCUGAGCCUAGUGAUCUGAACUCCAAGAAACACUUUUCUUUGUAAGUAAAAUCAGUUACUAUUUUUGGUUAGUUUAAAUCUAAACCUUUUUCAUUCAAACAUCUUUAUGUUUUCUUUUAAAGCUAACCUUGAAAUGAAAAGGCACCAAUUCAGCUUUGAAUUAAUAUCAUUUGCAAAGUGAAAACUCAUCCCAGUGAACGAUCCUAGAGCCACUAUGCUAUAGUAGCUUUGUCUUUGCUACCCUAGUUUAUGGUGUAAUAGGUUAUAAAUUUUGUUGAUUACUCCCUCAAUCAAGGAGCACCAGCUGGACACGAAUCAGCUGAGACACCAAUUGGGCACGAAUCAAAUGGCGCCGUUGCCGGGGAUGGUGCCACUUUAUAGUGAUAUCACCUUUUCAGAGUACUUGUGAUCUUCAUCACAAGUUUGGUGACUUUUCUUUUCCUUUCACUAACUCUUUUUAUUUCUUUAUUGUUCAUAUUUUAGUAUAUCUUUUAUUUAGUUUUUAGUUUACCUUAAUUUUUUUCCUUUAUUUGAAUUAUUUUUCUUUUGUUUUCUUUUGUUUUCUCUGUUUUUAAUUCACAAAUUGCUAGUUGUGCAUGCCAUGUUGAAUACGAGAUAGCAGAGGAAGCCAUGAACUUCAUGAGUUAUGUGGCUGAAGUUUCAAGAGGAUGGGAUGAACCAAAUGCUAGAGAUAUGGGAAAAAUGACGUCUCAACCUAAUGCUAAGGGUGAUAUGUAUAUUUUAAAUGACGACAUAGACAUGAGGACAAAGUUUGCAGCUAUGGAAAGGAGAUUGGAAAAGCUAGAAAUGACGAAUAUGCAACCAGUGCAAGCCAUCUCUCAGACACCAUUACAACCUAUGCCUUGUUCCAUUUGUCGAUCAUAUGAGCACUUGGUGGAUGAGUGUCCUACCAUUCCAGCCGAGAGGGAAAUGUUUGGUGAUUGCAAUACCUAUAAUUCCAAUUAGAGGGACCAUCCAAAUUUCUCUUGGAAACCACAGCCGCCUCAGUACAAGCAACAUGUUCAAGCACUUCCGCAAGCCUCAAGCCUUGAACAAGCUAUGGUGAAUCUUAGCAAGGUCGUGGAAGACUUUGUUGGAGCUCAGAAAUCCAUCAAUGCUCAGCUCAGUCAAAGUAUUGACAGUGUAGAGAGUUCAUUGAUUAAAAGGAUGGAUGAAGUGCAAAAUGAUCUAUCUCAGAAGAUAGAUAAUCUCCAAGAUUCAAUCUCAAGGUUUGCCAACCUCAACACAGUGCAAGAGAAAGAAAACUCUCCUUCUCAACCUUAUCAAAAUUCCAUGAGUAUCCAUGAAAUGGAGGCUAAGGAGGGAGAAUCUUCACAAAAGAGGGAAGUCAAAGAAGUGAUCACUUUGAGGAGUGGUAAAGAGGUUGAUCUGCCUACAUGCAAGCUAGAACAUUUGGUAGAGAGUGAAACAGAGAAAGAAAAGAGGGAGGAAAUCAAAGGAAAGAAAAAGGGGAAAAUCAUAGAGAAAUAUGACUAUGAUCUUAUUAUAGAUGGAGAACCACAGAGGAUAGUCAUCAAGGAAGAAAUGAUGAAACACAUGCAUCCACCUUUUCUCUAAGCUUUGUAUGGGAAAAUCAUACAAACCAAGUCUCAAGUGAAGGAUGCAAACUUCAUAUGGGAUCCGGGCAAGCUAAAUCAGGAGCAAUUUUUUGAUGGACUUAGUUUUUUUAAAGAUUAGCUAGUCCAUAUCUUUUUGUUUUGUUUUUUACUUGUUUUAAUUUUGAUUUCAAUGCUUUAAUUCUAAUUUGUUUUGAUGUAAUAUAGGUUUUUGGAUGAUCUCAGGUAGGAGGAAUUGCAAAGAAAUUGAAAGGAAGUCUUUCAGAGCAAAAACGAGUCAAAAACAGGGUAAAAAUAGGGGAAAAACAGGGGUCUGCGAGAUUUCGCAGCCUCUACGAAAUCAACACUUUGCUGCGAAACCAUUUCGCAGCCUUAGGCCCCUCUUUGUGAAAAUUUUCGCAGCUGCGAAACCAAUUUUGGCACACGAGUGCCACUUCGCAGCACAAGAGCCCCCAUUUCGCAGCUGCGAAACGGCUGCGAAGCUCCAAAACGUGAAAAAUCCCAAUUUCGUAGCCAAAGCUCCAUUUGGCAGGGUAUUUCGCAGCUGCGAAACCAACUUUUGGCACACGAGUGCCAUUUCACAGCACAGUGAAUCUCAUUUAGCAGUUGAGAAAUCCAAAAAAAAAAAAUAGAGCCUUUGCUCUGAGAAAAAAAAAAUUUCGCAGCCAAAGCCCCAUUUCACAGGGUGUUUUGCAGCUGCGAAACCAACUUUUGGCACACGAGUGCCAUUUCGCAGCAUAGUGACCCUCAUUUCGUAGCUGCGAAAUGCCAAAGCGUAAAAACUCCCAAUUUUCGCAACCAAAGCCCUAUUCCGCAGGGAGUUUCUCAACUGCGAAACCACUUUUUGGCACACGCGUACCAUUUUAAAGCCCCGUACACUCAUUUCGCAGCUGCGAAAUGAGCUGCGAAAAUGGACUUUAGCUGCGAAAUCACCUUUAGGCUGCGAAAUGGUCUACGAAAAUGCCACUUUUCUGCGAAAUGAUCUCUAAGCUUCGAAAUGGCUGCGAAAUGAUCUCCAAGCUUCGAAAUGGCUGUGAAAUCACCUCCAAGCUUAGAAAUGACCUUCAAAUUGUGAAAUUGACUUGCAAAAUGGAGGAAGGUUUGCAAAAACACCUUGCAAAGCCAAGGGAAGUUGCUAAAAUGCCAUCAGAGCCCCGCAACCAUGCAUCUGAAGAGGAGAGCCCCGUGCACCCUGGGAUCACACACACUAAGCCUCUCACUCCAUUUCUUACCUCCUUAAACCAUCAAAGCCCAUAGCUCCAGUUGAGAGCUCCAGCUAUGGAGACUAUGCCAUCUAAGGAGACUACCAAAACAGAGGUCAAAGUCUUGAUCCAACCCAUUCAAGAGGCCACCACAGACGCAUCAGCUCCACAGGACCCUACCAUUACUUGAUCAUCUCUUUACUUUUUGUCUUUACAUAUUAUAUUAGUAUAGAUAAUUCCAUGUUUUGAUGUCUUAUAUUCUGGGAUUGGAUGUAUUACUGAUGAUACAUCAUAUAUAGACAUCAUUCUUGUUUAAACUUGGCAUUUUCCUCUACUCACUAACUCUUAUGUUUUCUUUGAAACAUGUGGUUUCUCCUAUACGACUCAGACUCCAUGUCACUCAGGAGGUACCACUUCCUCCCUAUUUUUCAAUCCCUGUUGUCACAUUGAGGACAAUGUUCAGCUUGGUUGGGGGGAGAGUUGAGGAAGUAAGUAUUGUUAAUAAUGCUAAGUUAUUUUGGUAAUUUAGUUGUUUUUUGCUUAAUUUUUAAAAUUUUUGAAAGUUUUUAUUCUACUCUCCAUGGUUAUUAAGGAAAAAUUUUCAAACUAAAAAGGGAGAAAUUGAAUUUUUGUCUUUUUACUUGACUUAGAGUUUGUAUUAUGCUUACUAAAGUUGAUGAAUUAUUGAAACUUCUAUUGAAUUCAACCUCAGUUCUUCCACUUUAAGCUAUUCACACACUGUGCACAAUAGGUUCCGAGUAUAAGAUGAAAAACUAUUUCCCUCUUGACUUAGGAAAUUUUAGACUUGGUACCUUUGACCUUAUUUAAUAGUGUUGGGACACCUUGUAAAAGGCUAAUGAGUCUUUGAAAAAAAAAAUGUUUGCUUGCCUUGAAACCCGAGCAAGGUCUGAGGGGUAUAUGGUGAAAAUCUUUAAAACCUGGUGCCCUAAGCCUUAAUUGGUUGGGAGUCACCAACCUCAAUGCUCGUUACAAGGGUGGAUAGGUGGAGUUUAACAUACUAUAGGUGCUUGGGUAUUAAAAUUCAUUCUCAAAACUCCGAGGUAAAAUCCGAGGAGUUAGUGGUUGAAAGAUCCUUAAAACUUGAUGCCCUAAACCUUAAUUGGUUGGGAGUCAUCGAUGGACCCCCGUUACAUGGACAAUUUAAAAAAGAAUACCUUUAAGCCUUGUACUCCUACAAUGAAAAAAAAUUGUGAGAAAAGAGGUGCAUUCUUAACCUAUUGGAGCUUGAUCAGUUUGCUAAGCUUUGAAAAAAAAACUAGGUUGGGGGGUGGGAGAUUAGUUCAACAUACUAUAUUCGGAAACUAAUAAAUAACACUUAGAUUUUUGUGGAAGAGUAAGGUUUGACCCUUUGGGAGUGGAAACUCUUUUAAAAGCUUAAAUUUGCAUAAUACCUUCUCUUUAUGAAUUGUGAUUAGACAAGUUAUUUAAUAACUCUUGUUGAAGUUUGAGUUUUAUUUCUUUAAUGUUCCAUGUGAGAGUUAGAUCAUCAUGCCACUUGAGAAUUGUUUUUUGACCAGCAUGAUGUUGUAAAUUAUAGUAUUGUUUAUUUUUAUUUUUCUCUCCUUCAUUGCUAAGGGACUAGCAAUAUGUCGGUUGGGGGGAGUGAUUACUACUCAAAAAGUGCUAUUUCAUAGCUUGUAAUUAACUCUUUUAAACACUCUUGAGUAGUAAUUAUUACCUUUUAACUCAAUUGACAUGUUAAGGACCCUUGCAAUAGUUUCUAAUCAAAUUGUGUUAAGUUUUGGUGUUUUGAUAGCUUUUUGAUCACCAAAGCAAUCCAAGAAUGAGGGAGAGCUGUAUAUAGUUCAUGGAAAAGCUUUUGGAAGCUCAAAUUCAUGAAGAACCAAGCUUGGGAUCUCCAUAGCCCUUUUCCAAAGUCGUUCAAAGUAUGCAAGGAAAGAACAACGGAGAGAGGAAAAACAGAGUGAAGAAAACAGAGAACAGCAUCUGCAGUCUUAUUUCACACUUUUGGAGCACUUUCCGAAGUCCAUUUUCUAUAUGCUAUAUACCAUUUCAAAGCUCAGGAAGUCAAGAAUCCAAAGCUUUAAACGGUGCACAAUUCAGAGUUGAAAUGAAGGAGUUACAACCAUUUCAAGCCGAUCACUCCAAGCUGAAGGAAGAAUUUUGCAUAGCGCUGCGAAAUCACCCUUUUGUUGCGAAAUGAUUUCGCAGCCUUUUUGUACAGUGCUGUGGAUUUCCCCCUGAAUUUUCCCGUCACGUUGGAAGCUGAACACCACAAUCUCAAAGACCACUUCGCAGCGAUGAGAAAUCAACCGUUUGUUGCGAAUUGGAGUGAGGAAAUCCGGGCCGGGUAAGUUUCCAAAUGCAUAAAUUGGAAGUUUUGUUGUUUUAAUUUUUAAUGAAGAGAAAGUGUGACCCGUUAAUGGUUUUUAUCUUUUUAGUUAACUUAAAACGCCUUUAAAUCACCUCGGCCAACACUUGGUAAGGCAAGUGAUCUUCGUCCAUGGAGAUUCACUAGUUUAUCUCUUGCGAGCCUUUGGGAGGUGGUUUGAAGGUAGGAUUUUCUAGAAUAGCCAACACUUGGUAAGCUUUUGGACUUCAAGGAGACAUCCAUUAGUUAUCUCUUGCGAGCUUUUGACGGGUAAUCCAAGGUUAAAGAUCACCUUGAAUGGCAAGUGCUAAGUGAGAGGUAGGAGUCAUUGCAAGGUGCAUCAGUGAGAGAGAUUUAGUGUUUGAACCCAUUAAUGGGAAGCAUCUGUACAACACCGGUUGGAGAAGGAACUAUAUGUUAAUUCUCUAAUGCGAGGAAAAGAAACAAGUGAUCGGAACUCUCCUUUUUGUAUGAGGAACCUGAGCCUAGUGAUCUGAACUCCAAGAAACACUUUUCUUUGUAAGUAAAAUCAGUUACUAUUUUUGGUUAGUUUAAAUCUAAACCUUUUUCAUUCAAACAUCUUUAUGUUUUCUUUUAAAUCUAACCUUGAAAUGAAAAGGCACCAAUUCAGCUUUGAAUUAAUAUCAUUUGCAAAGUGAAAACUCAUCCCAGUGAACGAUCCUAGAGCCACUAUGCUAUAGUAGCUUUGUCUUUGCUACCCUAGUUUAUGGUAUAAUAGGUUAUAAAUUUUGUUGAUUACUCCCUCAAUCAAGGAGCACCAGCUGGACACGAAUCAGCUGAGACACCAAUUGGGCACGAAUCAAACACGAUUACCCAUCCUAAUCGUCCUCCCUUAUGAGAGGUCCUGAAUAGUACAAGAACCAGAAGGGAGUGUUGAUGUGAAAGGGAACUAAUAGAAAGCAAAUUAAAUGAAAACUAGGAAUGAACAAAACAUUGGCAAGAACAAUUGUAUCCAUUAUUCAAAUAGAUCCUAUACAUGCUAUGCUAACAGAAUGACCAUUUGGUAACAUAAUAAAAGAAUUUGAAAUUGGUUUGGAACUAGUGAAAAAAUCUAAAAUAUAACAAACAUGAUGCGUUGCUCUAGUAUCCAACACUCAUGAAUAAAGAGAAAUAGUUGAAGAGUUGUAGGUCAGAGAGAGAGAAAGAAAUAUUACCACUGAAACUUGACACAGAUGGACCAAGUUGUGGAGUAUCUGUCAAGGUUUGAGAUCCAAUUUGAAGUUGUGAGCACAAGAGUGUAAUGAGUUGUUUAUCUUCAAAUUGAUGAAUGGUAGUUUUUCAUUUAAUUAUUUCAUUCGUUCAUGUACAGAGUAUAUAUAGAGGGUAAUCACCAUUCUAAGAAUGGGAAAGAAUGAUACAAGGAAUGAAUGAUAUAAGGAAAGAAAAACUAAUAUCCUAAUAUCUCAACAUUCCUAAUAUCUCAACUUUCCUAAUAUCUCAACACUCCCCCUCAAGUUGGUGCAUAGAUGUCACACAUGCCCAACUUGUCUAAAAAUUUUGAGAACACUCGACUAUAGACUGCAGCUUUGGUGAGGAUAUUUGCUAAUUGAUCUUCUGAUCGAAUCUUAGGCAAUUUCACAAUCUUAUCAUCCAACUUCUCCUUAAUGAAGAAUUUGUCCACCUCGACAUGUUUUGUACGAUCAUGUUGUAUUGGAUUAUGAGCAAUAUCACAUAUGACUUUAUUAUCACAAAACAAUUGGAUUGGUUGCCUAGAUAGGUAACCUAAAUCCUAUAAGAGGAGUUUUAACCAUAAUGCCUCACAAAGUCCUAGAGUCAUACCCCUAAAUUCCGCUUUUGCACUUGAACGAGUGAUGACAUUCUACUUCUUACUUUUCCAUGUCAUAAGAUUACCACCUACAAAGGUAAAGUAACUAGAUGUAGAUCGCCUAUCAUCCACUGCACCGGCCUAAUCAGCAUCAGUAUAUACUACUAUACUCUGAUGAUCAACAUUUUUAGUGAACAAAAUUCCCUUCCUAGGAGCAUUCUUCAAAUACCUCAAAAUAUGCAUGACUACAUUCAUUUGUUGCUCUUCAGGAUUAUGCAUGUAUUGACUUACUACACUCAAUGCAUAAGCAAGAUCUGGUCUUGUAUGAGCUAAGUACGUUAAUCUCCCCACAAGUCUCUAGUAUCUUCUCUUAUCGAUUGAUACUUGAUUAGGCUCAACACACAAUUUCAGAUCUUCUUCUAUUGGUGUAUCAACAAGUUGACAUCCCGACAUUCCAGUCUCCUGUAAAAAAUCUAAGGCAUACUUUCUUUAAGACAGAAAAAUUCCUUCAUUUGAUCGAGAAACUUCAAUCCCAAUAAAGUAUUUCAGAGGACCUAGAUCUUUCAUUUCAAAUUCUCUAGAUAGAUAAUUUUGCAGAGCUUUUCUUUCUUUGGGAUCAUUUCUUGUAACUACCAUGUCAUCCACAUAUACGAUGAGUGUCAUAAUCUUACCAUGUUGCUUUUUCAAGAACAAAGUGUGAUCUGAAUUACUUUGACGAUAGCCAAAAGCUCUCAUUGACUUUAUGAACCUUCCAAACCAUGCUCUCGAGGAUUACUUCAACCCAUAUAAUGGCUUCUUCAAUUUGCACACCUUCUAACAUUGCUUUUCUGAAACCAUGCAUCUUGGUGUAAGAUCCAUAUAUACUACUUCAAAUAACUCACCAUGCAAAAAGGCAUUUUUCACAUCGAACUGUUGUAAUGGCCAAUCCAGGUUUGCAACUAAAGACAGUAAUACUCGAACCGUGUUGAUCUUAGCCAUAGGUGCAAAUGUCUAUGUGUAGUCAAUUCCAUAAGUUUGAGUGUACCCUUUUUCUACCAGUCUUGCUUUAAAUCAUUCAAUAUUACCAUCUGCCUUGUACUUCACAAUAUAGAUCCAGCGACACCCAACUGGCUUCUUUCUUGGUGGACAUUCUACGAGUUCCCAUGUUUUAUUCUUCUACAAUGAUUUCAUCUCUUUAUUCAUGGUUGCUUUCCAUCUUGGAUCAACUAAGGCUUCCUGCACAUUGUUAGGAAUAGCUACAGUAGAUAAUUGAUUUACAAAUGACUUAUUUGAUUUAGACAAACGAUGGUUAGACACAUAGUUGCUCAUGUGAUAUUUGACUUUGGGAGACAAUUCAGGUUCAUAUGUGGGUUUAGGAAUACCUCUAUUAUGACGGUGUGGUAACCGUUUCAUGAAUGGAUCAGGUUCCAAAUUAAGAACACCCUCAACAGACGACGAUUGGUUUGGUAUUUCAGUGAAGACAUCUUCAAACCCAAAUUGUUCAUAUGGUGGUGAUGGUUCAAUUGUACUUUCUCUUCCUUCUUCUAUCUCUUCUUCAGUUUCUGGGUGGUCAUUACUACUUGGUUCCAAAGUUGUACCACUCAUAUCCAACUCACCCACUUUCUGGUUCACUAGUUUAGAUUGUCCAAAUUCAUCAUCCUCAGAGAUAUGAUAAUCAUAAUCGAGAGUCUAAAUUUCCUUCUGGUACUCCCCCUGAAGUUCAAACUCAAAUGAAAAAUACAUCAAAUCUUCAUGAAACACCACAUCCAUUGUAAUAAACAUUCGUCGAGUUGGAGAAUGGUAACAUCGAUAUCCCUUUUUGUGCAAUGCAUAUCCAACAAACACACAUUGCAAUGCACGGGAAGUUAACUUAGUGCUUGGUGUUUGUGUAGAUGCACAAGAUAAGGAUGCAGUGAUUUGAGAAACUGACAAAAGAUUGUAAUCUAAAGAUGAAACAACUAAAACAGAAUCCAAAUUCAAAGUAUCAGUAAGAGUUAAGGAUUCUUCCCCAAUGACUAGGGUUGUGUUACCAUUGGUUGUGGAAACAAUUUUUUGUGAGGAAGGUCUAAGAGGUGAGACCUAUCUAGAAUCAAAAUUCAUAUGAUCUGUAGCACCAAAAUCAAUUUUUCAUGCACUAUUAAUAACAGGUGUAAAAGUAUUUAAAAAUUUACCACCAUAAUCUGUAGCGGCUACCAAUGCAGAGGCUUUCUCAGCAACAUUAACCUCUAUUUUUAUUUCGGCAACAACUGCAGUCAAGGUUUUUUUGGAAUCCUUCUUUCGUUGAUCACGAUUAUCAUCCCACCAGUCUAGAUAUCCCACAAUUUCAAAGCAACGACUCUUGGUAUGACCAGUCUUAUUGCAGUGAGUGCAUUUGAAGGUUGACUUAUCAAUAUUAGGGUCUAUCUUAGGAUGGUUGGUCUUGGAUUGGUCCUGCCAAUUCUAGGUUGAUCGUUGUCGAACUACCAUAGCUGAGGUGUCAGGGUUGUCAAAUUCUACUUUCAUACUAGCAUGAUGCACUGCCUCUUAUUGAAUCAGUGCAUAAUAUUCUUCCAAAUCAGGAAGAGGAUCUUUGCGUAGAAUCUCUCCUCGAACUUGCUCAAUGUCACCAUCCAAUCUAGCAAGAAAGAUGUGCACCCAUUGUCGUUCAAUGGAUUUCUGGUAUGCUGCAAUGUCAUCAGGGUCUUUCAUGACUACCUUAUCCCGAUGAUCCAAUUCGCAAAAAAUUUCAGUUAACUCUCCAUAAUAUUCAGAAAGAGACCUUCCACUUUGUUUGGCAGUGAAGGCUUUUUUAUUCAAAGAGAAAACUUGUAAUUCAUCAUAGAAGGCCUUUGAUAAUGCUCUCCAAAUUUCUUGAGUGGUGGGUAAGCAUAAGUAACCCUUCAUAAUUUCUGGACUCAUGGACAUUAACAACAAUCUCUUCAACUUUUGAUUCUCAACAUACCAUUUUUCAUAUCCAUUUUCUGACUAUUUUGGUGGAUUUGUCUUACCUCAAAUGUAGGAAAGUUUUUCCUGAUGGGCAAUAUGCAUCUCCACGAGUUGUGAACAAACAUCAUAGCUUGAUUCAGUCAAAAUAAUUCCUGGAUUAAAAGUACCUUCAAAUUGAAAAACAAUAGUAUUUUUUUCACUCUCAUUUUUUUUUAUCGCUAAGGAGGGGCGAUGGUUGGCCUUACUGACAAAAUAUCCAGGAUUUUAGUUCCAUGGCUCUGAUACCAUCUUCAAAUUGAUGAAUGGUAGUUUUUCAUUUAAUUAUUUCAUUCGUUCAUGUACAGAGUAUAUAUAGAGGGUAAUCACCAUUCUAAUAAUGGGAAAGAAUGAUACAAGGAAGGAAUGAUAUAAGGAAAGAACAACUAAUAUCUCAACAGUUUACACUAAUCACUAGUUAGAGUGUUCAAUGGUGAAUCCUGUGGACAUAAACCAAAUCCAUUGAGUACAUUGGAGCUCGUUUUAUUUAUUUGGACCUUUAGUGGAUUCGAUUUUUCUCUAGUUUUAUAGCUUGGUGGGUAUCUAUGAAGCUUGUAACAUUUAUCAACUAUAUGUCCUUGAAUACCACAAUUAGAGCAUAAAGGUCUUUCUCAUUUUGAUUUUGAAUUGAAGGAAGCUAUAGCAAUAGAAAUGCCAGAAUCACCCAAAAUCUGAGAAUCAUUAGAGAGUGACAAACCUUGAUUGACUGGACGUUGACUUUCUUCUUGAACAACCAGGGUAAAAACUUUGGUGAUUGGAGGCAAAGGGUUCAUCAUCAAAAUCUAACCCCAUGUGAAGGCAUAUGAGUCAUUAAGACCCAUUAAAAAUUGAAUAACACAUUCCUUUUGUUGAUACUCCAUCCAAGGUUUCAUCCUUCCAUAGUGACAUACAAGAAUAGGUUGAAAUUCCUUCAUCUCAUCCCACAAAAUCUUGUGCCUAGUGUAAUAAGUGUUGACAUACAAGAAUAUGAGUCAUUAUUUCUAUCUCAUUCCCUGCCUAGUGUAAUAAGUGCACCUUGAUUCAAGGCCAUAAGAGCCUUUAUGACUUGGAAAAUUUGUGGAGCAUUGGUUUGAUGAAACUGUUCUCCCAGGCCGUUCCAGAUCUCUGUAGUAGUAGAGAUGUAGAGAAGACUCGCAACUAUCUCCUUAGCCACCAAGUUCAAGAUCCAUGAAUUAACCAUGCUAUUGCAUCGAUUCCAAGCUCCAUAAAGCAAAUCAUUAGUAGUUGCAGGUUGAGGAAUGCUAUCAUCAAUGAAGCCCAUUUUGUUCUUGGCUAUGAAAGCUAGUAGCAUCGCCCAACUCCAUGUGUUGUAAUUGGGGCCAUGAAAAUGAUGGGAAACAAAAAUAAGCCUUGGAUGGUCUCCAUUAUGGAGAAAGAAGGAACUGGAGAAAUCUUCCACUGGAGAAGAGGUGGAGCUCAUAACAACCCAAUUAUUGUUUUGUCUUCCACGAGCCAUCAGGAAGAUUUAGAAACAAUAAACAUAGAAUAGUUGCAACAGAGAAGAACGCUUUGAUACCAUUUUACAAAAAAGGUAAAGAAAUUUCAAAAUUUGAUGAGGAGUACUAUGUUCUCUAUUUCUAGAGGGAAAAAAAGGGGGUGGGGGAAUGACAAGCAUAUAUUUGGGACUGGAGACAAAUUGCACAUUAACCUAAUUCCAGCUCACCAAGGAUAAUAGAAAAAAAAAAAACUUCUCUAAUUAAUUUCUUCCUUUUUAUUUAUUUACAAAAAGGUCCUCAACUUUAAUAAAAAGUCAUUGGAUCAUGCCCUCUUCACUCAUAAAAUUAUUCUUAUUCCUAUCAUAAACUAAGAGAAGUAGGGACGGGGAAUCCUUGAUGAGGUAUAAAUUUCCAUCCCUAAUAGGAAUCUUCAUUAGUAUUUUUGAUUUGAUAAUUUUUAUUUAAUUUUAAAUUUUAUACAUACACACACACAUACAAUAGGGCCCUAUCUUUGUCCCAUUCUUAGUUUAAGUUUUUACAAUUUUCCCCAUCCUCAACUUGAAAAAUACUCCUAGUCUCUGCCUCAAUGAGGUUUUUUGUCAUCCUUGCACUUGGUUUGUGCACUUGACUACCUAGCUGAAUUUCAUGUGGGCUACACCUAAUUUGAAAUAAAAAUUAUAGUGAUAAAGGGAAAAAUAAUUUUAAAAAGCAAUUUUCAUUGUUCCCACUAUAAGAAAAAAGGGCUUUCGUUGACAGUUUUUCACUGUCAAGAUAAGAUAUAUCUAUUAAGAUGGAUCAAUAUUCAUAUAUGUCAUCUAUACCAAUGUCAAGAAAAAGUAAAAGCUAUCUGGACAUAAUAUAUGUAUAUAUAUAUAUAUAUAUAUAUGUGUGUGUGUGUGUGUGUGUGUGUGUGUGAAGAUUAAUUUAUCUUAUGUCAAGGUUGACUUAGACUUCUGUUGAGCUUCACUUAAAUAUAUGUUAAUGUUGCUUUAUCUUCUUUAAGGUUAAAUUCAUGUGUCAAGGAUGUUUUUUUGUCACGGUUGAACUAUUUAUAUGUCAAGGUUGGUUUAGUUUAUGUCAAUGUUGUGUAUAGAAUAUAUCGAUAAAUAAAUCUUUAUUCUCUUCAAAUAUAUCCAAAAGUCUAAUAGUGGUAUGUGAUUAAAAGAACCUAUGCAUACACUGAGCAAACAUUGAUGAAAUAUAAAACCUGUAAAAAAUAAAUGUAAUAUUAAUUAGCUAAUUAUUGAUUAAAGAUGAAGCCAUAGAAUAAAACCUUAUGUAAAUAUAUGAACUUUUAUCUUACAUUUAUUUACCCCUAAAAAAAAGUUUCUAAUAUAUACAUAUACACAUACUCAAGAAUAUUGAGUUUUAAGAUAUACCCAAUGCUCUUAGUUUAGGUAGACACUUAUAGAAUUUAUUAGAUACAUCACACUCAUGAAUUUUGAGAUACAAGCAACACUCCAUUUUAGAAAGAACACUCAUACAAUCCAUGAGAUACGGGGAAAGUUUUGGGAGGCCUAGAUAUCUACGUUUCAUAUGCCCGGAUUAGGUUAAGAACAUGCAAAAGCUUAUUACAAGAUAGAAAUAAGAUCAUGUUUGAUAACCAAGAAAAAAAUUUCUUCACAAGUACUCUAGCUCAUCUCAUCUUGUUCAAGAAAGAAUAGACCUUUUGACAGUAAUUGGAAUAGAAUUUCAUAUGCAUAUAUAGUAACCUAGAUGACCAAAAGGGCUUUCAUAAGCACUUCAAACAAUGAUAUCUUCUAGAUAACCUUUUUAUACAGCCAUCCUAAACUUUACUCAACUUGCUAGUAAAAACAACCUCUAAUAGAAUGCCUAAAUCUAUGAACUAAUUGUGAACAAGUCAUCUACUUGGAAGGAACCCAUGACUUAGAUUUUUCAUGCAACUCUUAAUAUACCUAAGUCAUGUACAAUGCAAAAGAUGUUGUCUAGAAUACUAAAAAAGUACAAUACAUGGAAUAAGGAUAGAUAAAAGUGAAACUAGAAUAUCAUUAAAUAAAUAAUGAUUUCCAAAACUAUUAUAUCAUGUCAUGCUUUUAAGGGUUCUAUCCUAACACGUUCCCUAUCCCAAGAUUAAGUUAGGUUUCUCCCUAAGGCUCUAAAUCCUUGUAACAAAAGUAAAAUAUACAAUUUUUAACAAAAGGAUCUAGAUUGCAAGUGCUUUAGAAAACUUUACCACAGAUUUCGACGUUCCCAAAUCUAAUAUGUGCGGUAAAGAUGAAACCUAAAGUAUUUGGAGAUCUUGUACACCCAAGAUCUUCCGCCCAAUAGCUCUUUUCAGGACAUUGAGUCUAGUUUGUAUGUUGGCAAUUUUGUUAAUGUUUAUCCAUAUAAGUCUUUUUAGAUAGUAACUUACUCUCCAUUGAAGAUCAAUGGUUUCUAUUCUUCCAACCAAGAAGUCAUAAGUACAUUUAAAAAAAUUUAGUUUGUGGCAAGUUAGACUCUUAGGAGGUAUAAAGAGGAACGGUACUUUUUAAAUCAAUAAAAAUUGUUUUUUUCUUUUUACAAAUUAAAUGAAACAAGGGACGCUUGAGCAGGCAACAGUGCUUAGCACUUCUCAAAGCACUCAAACAGUGGUUAAGUGCACUCAAGCACUCAUGUAUUUUCUGUCAAAAAUUAGAGAAUAUUUUUUAGAUUUUCAUGCAAAUUGGAUUUGGAAACCUAUUCAUACCAAACCUCUUCGAUUUAUUUUCCUAUAAAUACAUGUCCAUAACCCCAAAAAGGUUAAAGAUCUCAAUUUCAUUAGAGAAGGUUUCAUUAAGGGGAAAGCCUCAUGAGCCACACCAUUCUCGAUCUCUCAUUCAAAGGAUUCAAGUUUUGAAUCUUGGGUUGAAGACCUUCAUCCCUUCAACAAGGUUGAAGCGUAUCCACUAGAGCAAUUGGAGGUUGCUACAUGUAGAUGUGGAUCAAGUUAUAGGUACUGGAAAGUAAGUCUUUAAGGUAAAGUAACUAGGUAAAUUUUUGUAACUUGGUCUCAUAUAGUGGAUUUACAUUAGUAGUCUUAGACCUCAUGGUUUUUUAUCCCCAUAAUUAGUAUGGGGGUUUUCCAUGUAAAAAUCCUUGUGCCUCAUUGCAUAUUUUUUAUUAUCUUGAUUGCAUUGCCUAUUAUUGAAUUUCCUUAGGAUUUAGUUUCCUUGUUACAAUUCAUGAUGUUUGAUUAUUUAUUUUUGAAAGCAUGUUAACUUCUUUAAGAUUUUGUCUCCUUGUUAAAAUUUAUGAUGUUUGAUUAUUUAUUUUUGAAAGCAUGUUAACUUCUUUAAAAUUUUGUCUCCUUGUUAAAAUUUAUGAUGUUUGAUUAUUUAUCUUUGAGAGCUUGUUAUUCUUUAGAAAAAGUUUUCUUAAUUGAUUCUGAAUUAAGUCAAAAUUUCUUUUACUAAAAAACAAAAAAAAAAGAAAAAAAACUUCUCUAAUUAAUUUCUUCAUUUUUUAUUUAUUUACAAAAAGGUCCUCAACUUUAAUAAAAAGUCAUUGGAUCAUGCUUUAUUAGUUGGAUUGGUGAUUCAAUAAUGGUCAAAUGAUGGUGAAGUUAUAGUGAUAUCAUAUAUAUAAUUUAUAUGUCGUAAAAAUUUAAAAUAUGUAUAAAUAAUAAAUAUAGUUAAUAUAUAUAUAUAUAUCUUUUAUAUUUCUAUCUUUACUACUAAUGGAUUCAAUCAUGAUAAGGUUAAAACGUAAAUGUAUUAUUAAAUAGUAUAAAUUUGUAAUAUUUUAAUUUGCUAUGUCCUAGAAUAAAAUUAAAAUUAUUUAAUAUAUUAUACUAUUCUAUUAUCUAAAAAAUUAAUUUUAUUAAAUAAAUAUUUGUAUGUAUGCAUUAUUAAGAAUGAUAAUAUAUGAUAUUAUAUUCAAAAUAAUAUAUGAUCACAAUAAAGCUAGGAGGUAGCAUUCAGUCAUGGAGAGAAGAAAAAACAAUGUCUUUCAUUUUUCAAAGAAACAUUGGACUAGUGAUUCAGGCCAUUCUCGUCUUGUUGAAAGUCAAGGAUGAUCUAAUAAUUCAAUUGAAUCGAUACUAAGAUGGGUCAGCAGUUCAGAUGGUUUUCUAUCCAUUAAAAGUUUGACCAAAUAAGCCCCGGAAAAAACCUUGGAAGAAGAUCGUCAAUGUCAAUUUUGGUCUGAAAUUAUGUUACUUAUUAUCUCUUUGACAAUAUUAAUUUAUUGUAUUUAUAACAAAUUGGCUUAGUAUCUAUAAAAUAAUAAUAUAUAUUAUUUAUUUAUUUUUAAUAUUAAAUAAAUCUCAACAGCCACUCCUAAAAUUUAAAUAUUUUUACUAGUUUUUUACUCAUUUCAAAAUUUUCAAAAUUGUCUCAUUUGAAAAUAUUAUUUUAAUUUUUUAAAAUUCAAAAGUAAUUAUUUCAAUUAAAAUAAAAAUUUAUGAUUUUAAUUAUUUUUUAAUAUUUAAUAUUUGAAAUUUAAAUUUUAAAAUACAUAAAUGUGACUCUAUUAUUAUGCAAGGUAGUAAUUACAAUUGACUAUGCUUUUCUGGCAAUUGACAGCGUAUGAUAAAUACAAACAUAUUAAUUAAAUUAUUGUAAAUUAUAAAGUAUUACUUUAUAUAAUAUGAAAUUUAUAUUAUAAUUGUAUUAGUACUUUAUAAAAGUAUAUUCUUUGGCAUUGGCUUUGUAUUGUAAUGAUAAAAGAAAAAAUGAUUUUUAGUAAAAAUUAUUCAUAGAAUUAACCUACUAUUGUUAUGUGCAAUGAUGAACAUUAUUUAAUUAUGUGGGAUGAAUUAUUUAUCUUCAAGUUCAAAUACUUAAAGUGUUGGGUAUUACAUAUACUAUUAAAAUAGUCAACCAUAAAAUAGAUGCAAAUUUACAAUUUUCUUCCUUAAUCAUAGUUUAUAUUACUUUCAUGAUAAUUUUCUUCCUUAAACUUUGUUACACACACUUAAAAUUAUUCUCAUUCCCACCCCUAUUCUCGACCAUAGACUAAAAGGCCAUGGAUGCAAAAUCCUCCUAUCCUUGAUAGGAAUCCUAUUAGUAUUUUUAAUCUAAAAAAUUUUUAUUUAAUUUUUAAAAAUUAUAUAUAAAUAAAUAAAUAUAUAUAUAGCAAAAUUUAAAUAUAUAAUAUUAACUUUAUUAAUUAACCAUAGUCAUGGUUAGUGCACUUGCCUAGGGAUAUAAACCAGGUUGGGUCAAGAAAGGCUCCCUCAUCCCCUCUCCACUCGUAAAAUUAUUCUUAUUCCUAUCUCAUUCCCUGUCAUAGACUAAGAGAAGUAGGGACGGGGAAUCCUAGAUGGGGUAUAAAUUUCCAUCCUAGUAGGAAUCCUCAUUAGUAUUUUUAAUCUGAUAAUUUUAAAAUUUAUACAUAUACACACACAAUAGGGUCCUAUCUUUGUCUCGUUCUUAGUUUAAGUUUUUAAAAUUUUCCUUAUCCUCAACCUGAAUAAUACUCCUAGUCUCCGCCUCGAUGAGGUUUUUCGUCAUCCUUGCACGUGGUUUAUACACUUGACUACCUAGCUGACUUUCACGUGGGGUACACCUAGUUUGAAAUAAAAAUUAUAGUGAUAAAGAGAAAAUUAAUUUUAAAAAGUAAUUUUCAUUGUUCCCACUAUAAGAAAAAAGGCUUUCGUUGAUAGUUUUUCACCGUUAAGAUAAGAUAUAUAUGUUAAGGUGGGUCAAUAUUCAUAUAUGUCAUCUAUACCAAUGUCAAGAAAAAAAAUGUAAAAGCUAUCUUAACAUAUAAUAUAUUUGUGUGUGUGUAUGAAGGUUGUCUCUAUUUCUACCAAUUAUGAAAUCUUGUUAGGAUGAUAUAUGUCAAGAUUUCUUCCACUUUUGUUAAGUUUUCUUAUUCUUAUGUCAAGGUUAGCUUACUCUUUGUUAAGAUUAAAUCCAAAAUAUGUGAAGGUUGGAUGAAACAAAUGUCAAGAUUAAAUAUAUGUUAAGGUUGCUUUAUCUUCUUUAAGGUUAAACUUAUGUGUCAAGGAUGUUUUUUUGUCAAGGUUGAACUAUUUAUAUGUCAAGGUUGGUUUAUUUUAUGUCAUGGUUGCAUAUAGAAUAUAUUGAUAAUUUAACAUGUUACCAAAAUAAAUCUUUAUCCAAAUUGAACAUAUAAUCAAAUUGAAUCCAUAACCAAAUCCAAUAUUUAACUUUCAUAUCCACAACACAUCUUAAAUUUUUUCAAGAAGAUAUAAAGUACACAAAUAUACAAUAUAUAUAUAUAUAUACUUGAACCCAAGUAUAUAAAAAAGACCUAGCAACUAUACAUGAGAAAAGAGUACUCCAUAUAUGAUCUUAUCCUCUCUUCAAAUAUAUCCAAAAGUCUAAUAGUGGUAUGUGAUUAAAAGAACCUAUGCAUACACCGAGGAAACAUUGAAACAUCAAACCUGCAGAAAAAAAAAAAAAUUAAGAUGAAGCCAUAGAAUAAAACCUUAUGUAAAUAUAUGAACUUUUAUCUUACAUCUAUUUAACCCUAAAAAAAAGUUUCUCAUAUAUACAUAUAUAUAUAUAUACAUAAUCAAGAAUAUUGAGUUUUGAGAUAUACCCAAUACUCUUAGUUUAGGUAGACACUUAUAGAAUUUAUGAGAUAUAUCAUACGCAUGAAUUUUGAGAUACAAGCAAUACUCCAUUUUAGAAGAACACUCAUACCAUCCAUGAGAUACGGGGAAAGUGUUGGGAGGCCUAGAUAUUUAUGUUUUCCAUGCUCGGAUCAAGUUAAGAACAUGCAAAAGCUUAUUACAAGAUAGAAAUAAGAUCAUGUUUGAUAACCAAAAAAAAAUUCUUCACAAUUACUCUAGCUCAUCUCAUCUUGUUCAAGGAAGAAUAAACCUUUUGAUAGUAAUUGAAACAGAAUUUCAUAUGCAUAUAUAGUAACCUAGAUGACCAAAAGGGGCUUUCAUAAGCACUUCAAAUAGUGAUAUCUUCUAGAUAACCUUUUAUAUAGCCAUCCUAAACUUUACUCACCUUGCUAGUAAAAACAACUUCUAAUGGAUUGCCUAAAUCUAUGAACUAACUAUGAACAAGUCAUCUACUUGCAAGGAACCCAUGACUAAGAUUUUUCAUGCAACUCUUAAUAUACCUAAGUCAUGUACAGUGCAAGAGAUGUAGUCUAGAAUACUGAAAAGGUACAAUGCAUGGAAUAAGAAUAGAUAAAAGUGAAACUAGAAUAUCAUUAAAUAAAUAAUGAUUUUCAAAACUAUUAUAUCAUGUCAUACUUUUAAGGGUUCUAUCCUAAUACGUUUCCUAUCCUAAGAUUAAGUUAGGUUUCUCCCUAAGGCUCUAAAUUCUCGUAACAGAAGUAAAAGAUACAAUUUUUAACAAAAGGAUCUAGAUUGCAAGUGAUUUAUAAAACUUCACCAUAGAUUUGGAUGUUCCCAAAUCUAAUAUGCGCGGUAAAGAUGAAGCCGAAAGUAUUGGGAGAUCUUGUACACCCAAGAUCUUCCGCAUAAAUAGCUCUUUUCAGGACAUUAAGUCUUGUUUGUAUGUUGGAAAUUUUGUUUCUUUUAAUGUUUAGCCAUAUAAGUCUUUUUAGAUAGUAACUUACUCUCCUUUGAAGAUCAAGGGUUUCUAUUCGUCCAAUCGAGAAGUCACAGGUACAUUUAAAAAAAUUUGGUUUGUGGCAAGUUAGACUCUUAGGAGGUAUAAAGAGGAACGGUACCUUUUAAAUCAACAAAAAUUGAUUUUUUUUCUUUUGUACAAAUUAAAUGAAACAAGGGACGCUUGAGCGGGCGACAACACUUAGCAUUGCUCAAAACACUCAAACAGUGGUUAAGUGCACUCGAGCGCUCAUGUAUUUUCUGCCGAAAAUUAGAGAAUAUUUUUUAGAUUUUCAUACAAAUUAGAUUUGGAAACCUAUUCAUACCAAACCUCUUCGAGUUAUUUUCCUAUAAAUACAUGUCCAUAACCCCAAAAAGGUUAAAGAUCUCAAUUUCUUUAGAGAAGGCUUCAUUAAGGAGAGAGCCUAAUGAGCCACACCAUUCCCGAUCUCUCAUUCAAAGGAUUCAAGUUUUGAAUCUUGGGUUGAAGACCUUCAUCCCUUUAGCGAGGUUGAAGUGUAUUCACUAGAGCAAUUGGAUGUUGCUAUGUCGCAAACGUAGAUCAAGUUAUAGGUACUGGAAAGUAAGUCUUUAAGGUAAAGUAGCUAGGUAAAUUUCUGUAACUUGAUCUCAUAUAAGGAAUUUAGAUUAGUGGUCUUAGACCUCGUGGUUUUUUAUCUCCAUAAUUAGUGUGGGGAUUUUCCAUGUAAAAAUCCUUGUACCUCAUUGCAUAUUUUUUAUUAUCUUGAUUGCAUUGCCUAUUAUUAAAUUUCCUUAGGAUUUAGUUUCCUUGUUAUAACUCAUGAUGUUUGAUUAUUUAUUUUUGAAAGCAUGUUAAUUUCUAUAAGAUUUUGUCUCCUUGUUAAAAUUUAUGAUGUUUGAUUAUUUAUCUUUGAGAACUUGUUAUUCUUUAGAAAAAACUUUCUUAAUUGAUUUUGAAUUAAGGCAAAAUUUAUGUUACUAAAAAACAAAAAAUGAAUUUUCUUCUUCAUGUAUGAGGUUCCUUGAUCACAAAUGAAAGGUGGUAAAAAAGGGGAUCCAAGUUAGUAUUUCUUUUAUUUUGAAAUCCCUUUAAGUUAGAAAUAUAAAAAUCCUUUAUUUGGCCUAUUGUUCAGGAUUUCUUAAUUCACUUGUUUCUUUUUGCUUCUCCCAAAAUCAUUGUUAAAGGAAUUUAAAUCAUCUAAAGUGUGAAACCAAGGUUUGGUUAAUCUUAAUUUUGAUGAUAACAAAACAAGGUUUAGAACUAAUGAUCAUAUUUCAAGUGCGAUUAGGCAAGACGAUUUCCAAAGUGGCAAUCACAAAGACAAAUCAAGCUAAGAAGAAAUCAUGAAAAAGAAGACCACCUCAAAGAGAAGAGUUUUUCAAGACCAAAGCUUCAUAAGAUCUCUUUGUAAGGUUGUUGGUGCUCUAAGACUUUCAUGCUUUUCAUUCUUUAUUUAUGCACCAAAAUCAUCCAAGAGUAAUAUUAUUUUAAUUAUCUUAAGAAUUGGAUGAUUUCAUGUUUUCAACUAAAACCUUGUGUUAAAUGAUUUUCAAACUUGUGUUAAAAGGUUUUAAGUUGAAAAAGGUUGGGUGUUGAGCCAAAAAAAAUGGCUCAAUCGGUUCAACCGGUCGACCGGUUGUGCUCGUCCGGUCGAAGACCGGUUGAGGGAGGCCAAAAAGUUUAUCUCUCUCCUAGUGGCCUUCUCUUGCCGGUCAAGGUUGAACCUCAACUAGUUGAGGUCCGGUUGAGGCCCAACAAUCACCUGCCAAGCAUUAAAUGCUAACGGCUAGUCAUCCAGUCGAACCCCCAACGGCUAGUUUGGCUUUUUUCUUCUAUAAAAAGGCUUCAAUCUUCAUUAUUUCAAAAGCUUAACCUUCCCAAAUCUUUCUUGAUUAUAUUUGAGCAUUGGAAGAGUAUUUUUGAGUGCACCAUUAUUCCAAAACUUGCAUAUCUUUAGUGCACCAUUCAAUCCAAGUUUUUCUUGUAUCAUUUGAGCUUAAAGUUCUUGUACUAGGAUUUUUGAGAGAUCAUUCAUUUGUAAAUCUUUGAGAGGAAGUUUCUCAAGUGUGGGGUAUCACUUGAGGGGUUGUUCAAGAAUGGGAUAUCUCUUGAGAAGUGCAAAGGGUGCUUGAAGCCAAAAGUCCAAGAGGGUGAAUUGGAACCAUAAUCCAAUUGUAUUGCUUGAAGGCUUGGUUUGGAAGCCUUGGAUUAGUGGAACCUCAAGCUCGGGAUUGAAGCUAGAGGAGAGUGGAUGUAGGCUGGGUUGCGUCGAACCAUUAUAAACUCUUGUGUUUGCAUUCUCUCUUCCCUACUCUUUAAUUUAUAUGCAAUUGUCUAUAUAUUGAUUAUUAUAUACUUGCAUAUAAUUGUCUCUUACAUUCACUUGUUUAAAUUUGCGAAAAGAGACCAUCACCCUAUUCACACCCCCCCCCCCCCCCCCCCUCCCCCCUCUAGGGUGACUACCAUAGGUUGGAUUAGCCUCAAAUUCCUAACAUAAAGAAUUUGGAAAAACAAAAUACAUUCUAAGUUUAGGACAAAGAUCCCACUUUCUUUUAAAAAAAACAUGCAACUCAUUUCAUCCAAGUUGCUUUUUUGCUUUCUAAAACUCUUUUAUAUUUUUAUUUUUAUUUUUUAACAUACGUUUGAACUUGAGCCCCCAAGCUAAUGAGAAUGUUCUUGGCCUUGAUGAAUUUCUAAGUAUUCAUUUGAGGUUGAGGAUGCACAAGUUGAGCUUGUGUAGAUUGAACGGGGACUAAAUUGGAACCCCAACAUUAAAAAAUGUUUUCAAAAAUCAUUUUUGUUGCUAGUUUCAACCCAACUACUAUCCCUUCAAAAAGAAAAUUCAUUUGGAUUAUUCUGAAGUGUUUUAAUUUUUUUUUCAAAAUUUGUAUGAUAUUAUUCACUUUUUGAAGUUGCUUCUAGAAUGUUGUUUGAAUCAAAAAGCUUUUCUCAAAGCUGAGUUAUGAUAUAUUAUUUUAGCAUGUUCUGUUCUAGCCUGAUUCUAUACAUCUGAGAGCAUUUUGUAAAAUUAAAUUGCUUUUUGACUUUUGAAUUUAAAUGAAUAUUUUUUCCAAAUUCUCUCAAAUUGAAUUUUGACAUAUAAAAUAUUGAAAUAUAUGUUUUCUACAAGGAGAUAUGAUUUUUCAAAUUCACACCUACUAUACUUGACCAAUUCUGGAGAGCUGACAAAUUUGAAUGUUUUAAAAAUUCUUUUAAGUGCUCCCUAGUCUUGGCUUUAUUUUUUAUAUAAUCUAGACACCUUAAAGGACAUAUGUGAUUUUUUUUUUUUUUUAUGAACUUAGAAAGCCUCUAGGUAUUUUUAUUUUUAAAUUCAAUUUAUGUAUAUCAUUGUUUUUUGCCUAGUUUUGGACCUUGUAGAACUUUUAAUUUUUUUAAUUAAAUCUAUUGUUUGAAUGAGUGUUUGGAAUUUUUUUAUAUUGUUGUAGACGUAUAGGAUAAGUUUUGUGUGCUUUGGUAUGGUUAAAUUUAUCUUCUUAAUAUUUUUUUGGAAUUUAUUUUUGAAGACAAUCUAUUGUGGUCAUAUGUCGAAUUCUUGCAUACUAAUUGUUCUUAAUGUUUAAUUCAUAAUGAAUAGAUGUUUCAUUGAUUAUUAUUCAUUAUUGAAUUAUGAUAUAUUAUAUAUGAUAGGGUUGUGUAGUGUGCAAAUCCCCUAUACUAAAGCAUAUUCCCCCACUUUGAGUUUAUCAGAUCCACAUCAGAUUCAAUAGGGUCUUAUUAGAGACUUACUCUACUCUUGAGAUUAUGAAAUCCCUUGUCAUUUCAAUUAUCCUUUUGAGAUUUGAUUUGGAGUAUUUUUGCUUGAGACAUGAACAGAUUUAUAUUUUGAUUUCUUAGAAUAUAUUUUUUUCCUUGUCAAAAUUUCAAACCAAAUCAUGAUUGUUGAAUUGGUGGAUGUAAGGCAAAGAGAGCACAAGAGACUAAUUGAAACAAAAGAGUCUCCCUACCGUCAUUAAUCUUUUGCCUCUUGUUAUUGUUUUAUUGUUAUCGAUGUCGCAUUACUGCCAAAAUUCCACUAUCGUUGCUUUUGUUGUUUCGCCCCUAUCGAUGUCUUUGUUUCGCCACUUGUUCACCAUUCCAACCCCUCUCCUCUGUCAUUUGGAUUUUGGGUAGAGCACAUCGCUUUCAGCCUCCUCAUAUCUCUCUCAUACAUGACUUCCUAUUUUUUAUAAAUAGUAAUUAUUUAAUCAAAUAUUAUAUUUUUGUCUGUGUAGUAGAUAUUUUUAUUCAUUAUUUAUUGAAUAGGUAAUUUUAUUUUUCAAAUGAUCAUAGACUUAAAAUCCAACUCUAUUUGGAUUCACAACCAACUAGUAAUAAGUGAUACUUCAAAAGAGGCAAUGGAGAUUCGUGAUGUUUGCUUUUUUAGUCCUAAAACCUAUAAACAUUGCAAAUGUACAAACCUUCCCAAAAUUUAUAAGUCUUCCCAAAAUACUUGAACUUGUUAGUUAUUCCUGUAUGUGGGUAGAAUCUCUAACCAUGUUAAUAAUUGUUAUAUUAAUAUUUAAUUCUUGUGUAUCAAAGACAAUAGUAUAUGUUGGUCAAUGUUGCACUCAAUGAUUAAAAAAAAGUAAAUAUAGCUAACAAUUUUUUUACAAUUUAUAACUAUAAUUAAAAUUGUGAAAUUAUAUGUUUUCUUAAAUUGACAUUUGAUAAUUUAUUAAUCAAGAUGGAUGGGAGGUUCUUCUUGGUUUUUCACUACAAGAACCCCCUUAUAAAAAUGCUUAAUUGAGGAGGCAAAAUAGAAGUUAUAAUUAAUGUUUUUGUUUAACUUGAAUUUAAGCUUUUAUCCUUAUGUGGUACUUCCAUUUGUUUUUAAGGAGUUAAAAAAAAUAUUUAAAUGAGGUUUUUGUUCUUGAUUGGAUAAAGAAUUUAAUAUAAAAAUAAAAAAUAAAAUGAUUUCUCCUUAGAUAUAUAUAUAUUGAUUCAUGAAGAAAGUUGUUUCAUGGUAAUUUUAUCAUAUUACUGUUUUUUAUAAUUAUGGUUUUGGUAGUCUUGGUGUUGAUUUUAGCUAGGAACGAUGGUGGGAUGAGUUUUGUUAGGUACAAGUUUCGUCUUUCCCAUUUUGUUAAUAUGUAUAGGGACAAGGGUGUUUAAAAGUUAUCCCAACAUUGUUAAGGUAAGAUAAUAAGCUUUGGUAUUCACUCCUCCGAUCAAUGUAGAUACUUAAUCUUUUUGUCAAAUUGUCUUUCCACAAAGGAUUGAAAAUAUAGGAAGGUUGUUUUUGCUUUAGAUUUUGUAAGAGGUAGAUUCAUGUAAACCUAGUAAAAUCAUCAACAAAAAGAAUACAAUAAUAAAAUUCCUCAUUUGAUAAAAUAAAAGUUGGACAGUCAAAAGAUCAUAAUGCACAAGUUGUAAAGGCGUUAUUCAUUGAAGAACAAAAAGGUUGUUGACAUGCCUUAUCAUAUUGACAAGUAGUACAAAAAUCAAGUGUAUUUGUAUUAAGGAUAUGCAAGUACUUGAGAACAAGAUCAAGAAUAGAUCUAGAAGGAUGUCCUAGCUUGUGAUACUAAAGUGCAGUCUUAGUAUUGAUUUUGGGUUCAAAAGUACAAGGCUUCAAAACUACUAAGAUGACAUUUAUUUGUAAACAUGAAAGUUGAAGUACCUAAAUAAGUUGAAACACUUGAAUCAAUUAAUUUAGUUAGGUAUAUUGAUGGCAAAACAACAUUUUGAGAACUUAGAAAAGACUUUAACCUUGAGUAAAAACCAAAUACAUUUAAUUAGUACAACCCAUUCCUAUGAGAGUCUUAUAAUAGUACUACCUCAAGUUCUUGUCCUUCACAUAAAAACAAUCAACAUAAAAUUCAACAAUGACAUUAUUAUCAUUAGUAAACUAAGAAAUAGUUAGUAGGUUCUUGUUUAUGGAAGGAACAUGAAGAAUAUUUUUGAGAUGUAAAGGUUAGGAAUCAAUGUAUAAAGUAAAAGAAGUAGAACUAACAUGUUUAAUAUCAAGAUUUUGACCAUUACCUAUAGUGAGCUUCUCUUUACAAUAUUUGUUUGUAAUUCUUAAUUGUUGAGUUCUAUAGUAAUGUGAUUAGUAGAACCAUUGUCCAUGUACCAAUUUGAAUCCAUGACUAUUUCAAAGGAGGCUAUGUAGGCUUGAUGUUGACCAACUCCUUAAGAAUUUUCUACUUGUGACAAUUUAGAUUUGAUUUAAAUAUCUAAUGAAGCUAAUGUCAAAUUUGCUAUAACAUUUUGCUGCCACAUGUCCAACCUUGCCACAAAGCUAGCAAAUUGGUUUAUACACUACAAGAAAAUAGACUUUUAGUGAUAAAAUAUUUUAUAAUUGAAAAUCUAAAAUUUGUUUGCAAAAAUAUGUCCUGACAAAAAGUGUUUUGUAACAUGUCCAUUCCCCUAAACCCAUUGUUAAAAGUAUUCCAACAAAAUUCACAUUUCAUCUCCAAAAUCUUUUCAUAAUUGAAAUUUCAUCAUUUAAUAUUUUUGCCAACAAAAUAUUUCAUUAGCGAAGUAAGAUUUUUUUGUCAUUAAAAAAACAAAAUUUAUCCCAAGAGUUGUGAAUAUUCAACCGUGGCAAAUUCAUUUCAUUGUUAAAUAUUUUUUUCUAACAAAAUAAUUUAAUCAAGAAAUAAAUUUAACAAUGAAAAUUUUUUGUCAGGUAAUGUACUUACUAUUUUCAUUUUCCAUAUUAUAAUUAUACAUUUUCUUCUUCUAUCUAAACUCGGUUAAAACAUUUUAAUAAAAUUUUUCAUUCUAAAAUCUAGUUACAAAAAUUUAAAUAUAUAUUGUAUAACUUUAUUUUUAAUACAUAUAACCAUUGUGAGUGAUCAUAACAAUAGAAUGUGUACGUCAAUAACUACAUAAAAAAUAAAGUAUUUGUUUAACAAAAUGUCAAUUACAAAAUAACCAUAACAACAUGAACAAAAAAAGGUAAGGAGGAUUCAUCAUAUGUGUAUAAAAAAAUGAGGGAUUAUGACAACUUUUGACUUGAUCAUAGAUGAUAUAAGAUCUCUUCAAAUUGUUGUUGAUGUUUUCUAUGUUGUUACUAUAGUAGGCUCUCUAGUUGAUCGAUAUAUUCUUGUUGGGUAUCAAGCCAUUAUUGUUGAGUCACCAGAAAUUUUUAUCUCAUUCAUGGCCUUAGCUCCCCCCACUAAUGGCUAGCAUUGGAGCUCUAGCACCUUCUCUUAUGAAUGCAAAAAAGAAAAAAGAAAUCUAAGAAUACAAUUUUAUGUAUCUAUUUAGCAAAAAGAAAUAACAAAAUGACAAGAAUAAUAACAAAGAUAGAACUAUAUAACAAUUAAACACACCAUAAUAUAACAAUUCAUUAUGUCAAAAUGUCUUUCUAAUAAGAUUGACUUCCCAUUAUUCCUCCCAUUGGCCAAUAUACCUCACAUAGUGAUUCACUUUAAAGUUAAUCCACUUUAUAAAGGACAUAUAGAGUUAAUUUAGUAAGUGACACUAGAUAUUAUUGUUUACUUUAUAAAGGACAUAUAGAUAUUAUCUUCCUUCCAAAUUUAACUUGUUAAAAACAAGUUGAGAGGAAACACAAGAAUAUAGUUGAAGUAGGCCUAACUCUUUUAGCUCAAGCUCAUAAGCCUUUUCAAUAUUAGUGUGAUUCAUUUUCCACUAUUGUGUAUUUGAUAAAUCGAUUUCCAACCUUAUAACAAACAUAAAUUUGACUUUCACACAUCCAAAUGUGUCUUUCUAUGAUAUAGUUCAAAUCACAAAGGGUACAAGUGCCUUCAUUCAUUUGGUCAUCUUUGCAUUACAAGGAAUAUUAAUUUUAAUGAAUCUAAAAUUUUUUUCCAGUAAUCUCUUCUUUUCUUUAUUAAAAUCCAAACAUGGUACACCUUUAUCUCAAAUGCCUUUUGUUAUUCCAACUCAUUCUCAUAACUUUCAUUAAGCUAUAUCUCAUUAUUCAAAAUAUGUAAUUGGUACAACAACUGAAGUAGCCAUUCCAAGAGAAGCCUCUACAUAUGAGCAAGUUCCUCAUAAUCUGCAUAUAAAAUUUGUUCCAUCCAUUGUAAGAAUUUCCUCCCCUUCGUCUAAUAUUGAACCUAAUCCUUCUUCUACUUUAUUCUAUCCUCCUUCAACCUCUAUUCAUCCUAUGCAAAACAAGGUCAAAUUUUGAUAUCUAUAAUCCUAAGGUCUUUAACUCCAUCACCAAAACACUAGCAUGUAAGUGACCAUGUUAAUCAAAAUCGACUAAUAUUGCUCAGGCCCUUAAUGAUCCAAGCUAGAAAUAUACAAUGGUGGAUAGAUAUAAAACUCUUAUGUUCAACAAAACUUGAAAUUUGAUGCCUUAUCCAAUAGGAAUGAAUGUGGUUGAGAAUAAAUAGGUGUUUUGAGUUAAAUACAAAUCAUGUAAGACUAUUCAAAGGUAUAAAACAAGGUUGGUGCCAAAAGGUUUUUAUCAAACAUCUAGUCUAGACUAUUUAGAAACCUUUAGUCUUAUGGUUAAGCUCUUCUAUGAUUGGAUUUAUUUUAAUAUUGGUUGUUACAAAUGGUUGGGAUAUUCAAUAAAUUGAUAUCAUCAAUGCAUUUCUUAAUGGUGAUUUACAAGAGGUGGUAUAUAUGGCAUAACCUAUAGGCUUUGUUGAUGCAACCAAACUAAGUUAUGUUUGCAAGUUACACAAGGCCUUGUAUGGCUUAAAACAAGCCCUAAGAGCUUAAUUUAACAAGUUAAAGAAUGCAUUACUUGACUGGGGAUUUCAAAAUUUUGUAAUUGACACUAGCCUAUUUAUUCACAAGAAAGGCAACACACUUAUCAUUUUGCUAGUGUAUGUUGAUGACAUCCUAAUAAUAAGCACUAAUGCUACUCAAGUCAAUCAAGUGGCUAAACAUUUAUUUCUUGAAUGGUUUUCAGAUGUGGAUUAGGCCAACAACUUAGAUGAUUGAAGGUCGACUAGUGGCUAGCUAUUGUGUGUUCUUAGGUGGAAAUUUGAUUCAAUGAAGCUCAAGGAAACAAAAGACUGUUGCUUGCUCUAGCAUAGAAUCAAAAUACCAGUCAUUAGCUCAAGUAAGCGCAAGGAUUCUUUGGCUUUAGUUGUCACGCCCCAAGACCCACUCGAAGGGCGUGACGGUCAUUUCACACCUCAAACCCGAAGGCUUAAAUUGUAACCUGACCCAAAUAAUCAUAUUGUAACUAGAAGUAACCAAUUACCAAAAACCUAUUCAGAGUAGCGAAACAAAAUUCUAAAAUCUUCAAACUUAACUUUAAAACUAAGCAUCCAUCAACCAAAAUCCAUUAUCCAAAUAGAUAGCAAACUCAAAUAAAUCAAGUGCUAACAAAUUGUCAUAAUCUCCAAAUCUCAACUUCAAACUUAUCAAAAAAAAUAUUUAAAAGCUCAAUAUCUAAAUAGCUUCCAAAAACCAAAUAAUCCAAAUGAACAUAAACUUAUAAGCUAACAAUGUCCAAAUAACAUCCUAAGCAAAAUCCUAAUGAUGACCAUUUCCCGACCUAGCCAUCACUCCUCGCCUGAACUAAGGGUGCUUGAAAAGUAAUCAACAAAUAGGAAUGAGCUCAAAGCCUAAUAAGGAACAUUAAUGCAGUCCAUGGAUCAAAUAUUUCAAGUUCACUUGCAAAAUAGGAGAUAUUAUAACUAAUUAUUUUCAUAAACCUUUCAGUCAGUUUUGCCAAUACAUUCAAAACUUUUAAUUAUACACUUUCAUUUCUGAUUCAAGCAUUUCCGUAUCAAAUUCGAUCAAAACAUUCAAAUUAUUUAUUUACUCUGGUCAUCAAACAUCAAAUGGUGUCCAAUUAGAUGGGAUUUUUCAAAUAGGUGGCUAGCCUCAAAUUGUUCCUUUAAAGUGGACGGAACCAAACACUACUAGUACUAGUAACCUCUAACAGAACCCCUAAAGGCUGGGGUCCAAAUCAAUUACAUUCCCCACCAAGAAAUGUAAAGGUCAACUAUUAUAUCCCGUUGACAAGGGUCAAAAAGUCAUAAGUCAACUAUUAUAUCCCGUUGACAAUGGCCAAACAAACUAGAGUCAAACACUUAUUUCAAUUAUUCGAAUUUGCAAAACAUAGUAUCUUCACAUUUCUCUGUUGUAAACAAAUUAUAAAGUUCUAACAUACUUUUCAUACAAAACAUAUUUGAUCCAUGCAUAAAACGAAUAUUAAUUCAAAAUAUUUCCAAAUAAUGUAUAUAAAAAUUUGUUUCUAAAAAAAAUAAUAACUGCAUUAAUUUCCCUUACCUCAAAAGAAGUCCUUGAAAACUUAGGAGAAAAAUAAUUCUGGAAAAUCUACUCUUCACCUAAUAUAACAUUAGAGAAAUAACUAUUACUAUUUAUCUAUAAUUUAAUUAAUCUAUUCCUUAUUUAAAUAAAUUAAUAAAUUCCCAAUUUGUUUCUAAUAACACAUUACUAAUUUAAUUAAAUUGCAAUUUUAUUUCAUUAUAAAAUUCUAUAGUAUAUAUAUAUAUAUAUUAUUGUUGACGUUUCUACAUGUAAGUGAAGUUUCUUUGGAGUUCAUUAGUUAUUUAAGUAGUAACAAUGUCUUGGCUAUUUCAAGCUUUUUUUUUAUUUUUUUAUUUCUUAGGCUGGUGUACUUUUUGAGUCAUGCUUCUAGCACACAUGGAUUGCACCCCCUGCAACUACCUCAUUCUAUUUAUUACAUUAAACCAUUAUUACUAUAUCUUAUUUAUUAACCUAAAACUAAUCAGUUCCCACACGCAGGCAACCAUUUUUUUUCCACAAUUCUUCUAUCUUCCAGUGCACACGCGUUCUCCCUUUUUUUUUUUACCAUUCUUCUAUUUUCUAAUGCACAACCGUUCUUUUUUUUUUUUUUUUGUUAAAUCAAAUUGUUUUAAUAUUAUUCUAAUCCCUUAAGCCACAAUUAAAAAUAUAUUUAUUUUUUAUUUUUUAAAAUAAAUUAACCCUAGUCUAAAUCGAAAUCUUCCAAAUAUUCAUUUUUUUUUUCAUCUAAAAACUUAAGAUUUCCCAAUUUCCAACAAUAAAUCAAAAUCUUAAAUUUUCACUAUUUUGAUAUUAAAAUGAAUUAAAAAAUAAAUAAAUUAACCCUAAUCUAGAUUUGGAUUUUCUAAAAAAAUAUCUAAUCUGCUUAAAAUUAACUAAUGAAUCUAAAAUAUUAAUCUAGGGGUUAGAAUCUUACCUAUAGAGAUCUAUUCUUCAAACCCUGAAAUCCGACUCCGAUCUUACGUUCUUAGGAACUAUCUGCGAACAGGAACGCGAUUCAAAAAAGAAUAGGAAGAACAGAAUUCUAGUUUAUACCUAGGGUAUUUAUUCGUAAAAUUACCUUUUCACCCCUCUUUUAUUUUAUUAAAUUAAUUAAUGAAUUAAUUUAAUAAUAUUAUUAUUAAUAUUUUCCUAAAAAGAAACUUGGGCGUUACAUCCUCCCCUCCUUAACAAAAGUUUGGUCCUCUAAAUUUGACAUACCUGAGUCUUGAAAUAAUUGAGGAUGUUUUUCUCUCAUCUCUUCUUCUAACUCCCAAGUGGCCUCUCGAAUACUAUGAUUGCUCCACUGGACCUUUACCAACUUGACAACAUCAUGUCGUAGUACCUUAUCCAUCACAUCCACAAUUUGAACGGGUACCUCUUCAUAGGUCAAGUCCUCAGAAAUUUGAAUAGGCUCCAACUCCACAACAUGAAAGGGAUCAUAAAUAUAUUUCCUCAAAGUCGAAACAUGGAAUACAUUAUGAAUCUUAGAUAGACUUGGGGGCAAGGCCAGUUUAUAAGCCAAAGUGCCUACUCUUUCUAAUACCUCAAAUGGUCCUACAAAACGAGGACUGAGUUUCCCUUUUCUUCCAAAUCUCAUUAUAGACUUCAUAGGUGAAACUUUCAAGAAAACAUGAUCACCCACCUCAAACUCUAAAUCUCAUCUGCGAUUAUCAGCAUAACUCUUCUGUCUACUUUGUGCUGCUUUUAAUCUUUCCUUAAUUAAAGAGACCUUUUCAAUAGUCAACUACACAAGUUCAAGCCCUAAAAGUUUCUUCUCUCCAACACCAUCCCAACAAACAGGAGAUCGACAUCUCCUACCAUACAACUCCUCAAAAGGUGUCAUCCUAAUGCUAGCUUGAAAGCUAUUAUUAUAGGCAAACUCCACUAGGGGCAAAUAAUCAUCUCAAUUACCAUUUAGGUCCAAAGCACAAGCUCUCAACAAAUCUUCCAAGACCUGAAUUACCCUCUCUGAUUUACCAUCAAUCUGCGGAUGAAAAGCAGUACUAAAACUCAACUUAGUACCUAAUGCUUUAUGUAAACUAUGCCAAAAUCUAAAAGUGAAACAAGGAUCUCUGUUAGAUACUAUAGAAACAGGUAUACUAUGCAUUCUCACAAUCUCCUUAAUAUAAAUAGAAGUCAAACGAUCCAUAUAAAAAUUGACUUUCAUAGGCAGAAAAUGAGUAGACUUUGUCAAUCGAUCAACAAUCACCCAAAUUGCAUUAUUACCCCCCUAAGGUCCUUGGUAACCUUGUCACAAAAUUCAUAGUAAUAUGUUCCCAUUUCUACUCGGGAAUAGAAAGUGGUUGCAAAAACCCUGCUAGUCAUUGAUGCUCAGCUUUCACUUGUUGACACACCAAACAUUGAGCCACAAAUUGUGCAAUAUCUCAUUUCAUACCUGACCACCAAUAAUUUUGUUUCAAAUCUUUGUACAUUUUUGUCCCUCCUGGGUGGAUCGCAAGCCUAGAACAAUGAGCUUCCUCCAAAAGCUUCCUCCUUAAGUCUCCAUCAUUUGGGACACACAGUCUAGCCCUAAACCUCAAAAUUCCAUCAUUUGAUAAAAUAAAGUCAGGCUUACUGCCCUUUUUAACCUCUUCCGUAAGUUGCACUAAAUUCAAAUCGUUCUUUUGUAGGGCCUUAAUUCUCCCAACUAAGUCUGGUUGUACUCUAAAGUUUGCCGCAAGAGCUCCCGAGUCCAAAACUCUCAUAUGGACUUGUAAACUCCUCAAAUCUUCCAAUAAUUGCCUCUCACAACCUCUAAUAGCUGCUAAGGAACCGACAGAUUUCCUACUCAAGGCGUCAGCCACAGCAUUCGCCUUCCCUGGGUGAUACUGAAUAAUGCAAUCAUAGUCUUUAAGUAGUUCAAUCCACCUCCUCUGUCUCAUGUUCAAUUCGUUUUAGGAAAAUAAAUACUUCAAACUCUUAUGAUUUGUGAAUAUCUCACAAGUUUCACUAAAAGGAAAAUGUAUCCAGAUCUUAAGUGCAAAAAUCACUGUAGCUAACUCCAAAUCAUGAGUAGGAUAAUUUCGUUCAUAAGGCUUCAACUAUCUACAAGCAUAAGCUACAACUUUCCCAUGUUGCAUAAGAACACAACCCAAACCCUAACGAGAGGCAUCACUAUACACCACAAACCCUCCUGAGCUUGAAGGGAUAGUCAAAAUAGGAGUUGUCACUAAUCUGUUCUUUAUCUCUUGGAAACUACAUUCACAAUCAUUAGACCACUCAAACUUAACCCCUUUCUGAGUUAACCUGGUCAAAGGUAGGGUAAUCUUAGAGAACCUCUCAAUAAAUCACCUAUAAUAACCAAUCAGUCCUAAGAAACUUUGAAUUUCGGUCAUAGUAUUAGGUCUUCUCCAACUUGACACGGCAUCUAUCUUUCCAGGGUCAACAGAGAUGUCAUCCUUGGUCACCACAUGCCCAAGGAAAGAGACUUUGUCUAACCAGAACUCACACUUCUUUAGUUUAGCAUACAAUUGUUUAUUUCUGAGAGUUUGCAAUACAAUACUCAAAUGGCGCUCAUGCUCCUCACUACUCUUUGAGUACACCAAAAUAUCAUCUAUAAAAACUACCACAAAGUGAUUUAGAUAGGGCUUGAAUACCCUAUUCAUUAAGUCCAUAAAAGCAACAGGUGCAUUAAUCAAACCAAAAGGCAUAACCAAAAACUCAUAAUGCCCAUAUCUAGUUCAAAAAGAAAUAUUGGGUACAUCUUCACUUCUAACCCUUAACUGAUGAUAACCAGACCGAAGAUCAAUUUUAGAGAACACAUAUGCACCAUGAAGUUGAUCAAACAAAUCAUCAAUCCGAGGAAGAGGAUACUUGUUCCUCACCAUCACCUUAUUCAAUUCUCUAUAAUCAAUGCAGAGUCUCAUAGAUCCAUCCUUCUUCUUUACAAAUAAAAUAGGAGCUCCCCAAGGUGAAACACUAGGCCUAAUAAAACCCUUAUCUAACAACUCCUAAAGUUGAAUCUUCAACUCCUUAAGCUCCAAAGGUGCCAUCCUGUAAGGGGCCUUAGAGAUAGGAGUUGUCUUUGGUGUCACAUCAAUGGUGAACUCUACCUCCCUCUUUGGUGGCAAGCCAAGUAGAUCCUUUGGAAAGACAUCACGAUAGUCCCUUACAAUGGGUAUGUCUUCCAACUUUAAAUCAUUUUCCCCAUUCACAACAUAAGCCAAAAAGCCUUGACAACCUUUCCUGAGUAAAGAACUAGCUCGCAAGGCUGAGAUCAUACGCAGUGGUUUAUCCACAUGCUUCCCCUCAAAACUAAAAUCAGGCUGACCAGGAAUGCUAAACGUCACUCUUUUCCCAAAACAAUCAACAGAUGCAUGGUAUGAAGCUAACCAAUCCAUCCCCAAAAUCACAUCAAAAUCCUGGAGGUCAAGAAGUACUAAGUCAACUGUCAUCUCUCAAUACCCAAUCAUCACACAACAAUCUCUAAGUAUUUUAGCACGUUUUGCAUUUCCCAUUUGAGCAUGAAAGUCAAUCUUAGAUUCCACAAAUAUGCAUAAUAUCAAAUAUCCACAUUCGAGCAUCAAGAUGAACCCAAAUACCAGCAGGAAAUAGAAUAGAACAAUCCAAAAUGGGAAAUGCAAAGCAUACUAAAAUCAUACCUGGACCAAAACGGCAAGCUCCUCCUCUGCUCCACUCCGACUGCCUUUUUCCCAUUAAUCUUUUUCAAACCUCCCCCUCUGCAUCCUCUUGCUCUAUUUUUCUUCCAAGUUGCCUUCUCGUUUCCUACUCCUACUCAAAUCAUCAUUUCCUACUAUCUCUUUUCAAUCAUCCCCCUCCCCAACUACUCCUCUACUCCAUUGCUUCAACUGCCGCCAUGGCCUCAAGGUGGUCACAUCCUUGCCAUGCGUCUCAUACAUGUAGCUUCAUGGAAGCUAUCCCCCACUUCAGAAAAAUAUCUUCAGCUCCUCUCUAGGGUGAUAUAAAAUACCCUUUGGUGCUAUUGAUAAAAGCAAUAAUAAUAAACACUAAAGUUGGUUUGCAAAAAGAAGGGGUCUACAACACAGCUUUAAUUUUUUUUUUUUUGACUAAAUUUUUUAACAUUUUAAUCAAAGAAAACAAAAACUCAAUUGUAGUUCUAACAUUUUGUUUUAUUAAAUUUUUAUUUAUAUAAAAUAAAAAAAUAAAAAAUAUUUUUCAUAAAAAAAUGUAUUUAAUCAUAUAUAUAUAUAUAUAUAUAUAUAUAUAUAUUAAUUUUAUUAAAAAUUAAAAUUUUUAUAUAUUGAAAUUAUGUAUCGAUCAACACAACCAUCAUAAAAAAAAAUGUCAAUCUUUUAUUAAAAAUGUAACAUUAAACUGUGUGUUAAAAGUUGGUGUUACAUUUUUCAUAUAUAUAAUAAUGGUACCCUCUUUGUCAAAAGUUAUGUUUAUCAAUGUACAACUUUAAUAUGUAAUAAUUUUAAUUUUUAACAAAAUUUAAGAGAAAAUUAACAUAACUGAUUAAAUAUAAUUUUUAUGAAAAAUAUAUUUUACUUUUAUUUAUAUACAUAAAAAAUUAAAAAAUUUUACAAAACAAAAUGUUAAAACUACAAUCAAGUUUUUAUCCUUUUUAAUUAAAAAUAUUAAACAUUUUAACCUAGAAAAAAAGUUAAAACUAUGUUCAAGUAAGAAUCAUAACCAAAGAGUUAAAAAUCAUAAUAAUUGAUUUUGAUUUUCACAUGAAAAUUUAAAAAUUUUUAAAAAUCUAAACAAUAAAAUAAUAUGAUAAAGUUAUUUUAUUUAAUCUAUAUAUGAUAAGAUUUAUCAAAUAAAUAAAUAUUUCAUUUAAUAUGAAUAUAUAAAAUUUUAUAUUUUUAAACCUUUAAAUUUAUGCAUUAUAUAUUUAUUUUUAUAUUUAUUUUUUCUCAUUAAUUAUUUAUCAUAUAUUAUUAUUAUUAUUUUAUGUUUAAAAUGUCUCUAAAUAAUUAAAAUCAAUAGAUAUGAAAAAAUGCAUUAUUUUUAGGUAAAAUAAAAUAAAAAAGAAAAAUAAUGUGACAUGUUUGUUAGCCCAGUGGAUUUCUUUUGAUUUAUCAUUUCAAAAUUAAAAAUAUAAAAUAAAAAUAAAAACAAAUGAGUUAAUUGAGUUGCGGAAGAGAUAAGAAUUGAGGGCAAUUUUAGAGGCAGACCAUAAGCUGACCUGCUGACCAAGAGUCACGUGUCGCGAUCUGCAGCGCACUAGUAUACUUUUUCUUGACUAGGGCUGACAAAAGCAAUGAUGUGCAUGAUUCAAGCAAUGACGUCAAACCAAAGUUUAAAAAAUUAAUUUAAUUAUAUUACUCCUUAUAUUUCAUUUUCUGAUUUUUGUCGGUGAAAUUAAAAUUGUGGAAUUUUUUAGAAUAAUUAGAGGACAAGAUUUAAAAAUUUAUUAAUUUAUUUUCUACAGAUAAUAUAAAUUAAUUAAUUAAUUAAUAUAGAAGAAAAAUGAAAGAGGAGAUAAGGAAUGAGCAUACCCACCUUCUAGAAAUUUCCCAGGUUUUAAUCCUCUCUCUGGAAUUUGCUAUAAAUAAUUAACAAUUUCCCUUGUGUUGUUCAUCGAGAGUUGAGUUUGAAGCUUAUCGAUCCCAGUAGUAGUAGGAAUGGCGGACGAGAUUAUCUUGUUGGAUUUCUGGCCUAGCAUGUUUGGUAUGAGGGUCAAAGUUGCCCUGGCAGAGAAGGGCCUCGAGUAUGAAUUUAGAGAGGAGGACUUGAGGAACAAGAGCCCCUUGCUCCUUGAGAUGAACCCAGUUCAUAAGAAAAUCCCAGUUCUGAUCCACAAUGGGAAACCCAUUUGUGAGUCUCUGAUAAUUGUUCAGUAUAUAGAUGAGGUUUGGAAGGAUAAAUCCCCAUUGUUGCCUAGUGACCCAUACCAGAGAGCUCAGGCCAGGUUCUGGGCGGACUACAUAGACAAGAAGGUAUGUUUUUGCGGUUGAUUUAAAGCAUUCUUUUACAUCGAUUCAUGGCAAUUGGCUCAGAUUUUGAUUAUGGUGGGGGAUUUGUUCAAAAUGCUAUGUUUUCUCACAUAUUCUCUUCUGAUGGCUUGUUAUCCAUCUAUACAGAAAGUUGAAACUUCAUGAAAUGCACAAAAAAUAACCCUAUUCUCUCGUUGAUUUCAUCAUGUUUGAUAGAUCUUUGAACUUGGAAGGAAGAUAUGGACAACCAAAGGAGAAGAUCAGGAGGCAGCCAAGAAAGAAUUCAUAGAGUGCCUUAAGCUUUUGGAAGGAGAGCUUGGGGAAAAGCCCUACUUUGGUGGUGAAAAUUUUGGGUUUGUGGAUGUGGCUCUGGUGACCUUUUCUUGCUGGUUUUAUGCAUACGAGACCUUUGGCAACUUCAGCAUAGAGGCGGAGUGCCCCAAGUUGAUCGCUUGGACCAAGAGGUGCAUGGAAAGGGAGAGUGUGUCGUCUUCUCUUGCAGACCCCCACAAGGUCCAUGGCUUCGUUGUGGUGUUGAGAAAGAAGUUUGGUAUAGAGUAGAAGGACAUUUGCAGCUAUUUACUAGUGUUGUUUUGGUCAUAUGGAAG
rnacentral:lncRNA from 1 species